CUAAACACAAUGUUUGAAGGUUAAUGAGGCGACCAAGUGAUGAAGGUAAUGAAGAGAAGUGAAUUCCAGUAAAAUUCAAAACUCUGAGUCCUUCCGUCCCAUCAAAAAAGUGGUCUGAAAUUGGCAUAGAGCCACCACCCUUUUCAAGCAACAAAAGUAACUCGAGACGGGGACAUUGCAACCUUUCAGGAAGCACUUGAAUACCUCUAUAAGGUAAAGAAAUAGCAAUUGGACCUUCCUGUACUGUCUCUUCCAUCUUUUUGUCCAAGUCGGCAACAUUUGGAAUAUUAAACAUGAGCUCCUCUUUUGCAAUUGAUACGGCAACUACACGAAUGACGUCAUGCAUUUUGACUUCAUCUUCAGCAUCACCGUCCAACAAUAAGCAUGAAGAUUUGAGUUUGCUGAUCAACGUAUGCACUGUACUCCUUGCUUCUUCCGGUGUGUAAACGUUUCUAAAAUAGCCCAUACCCAUACCAUAUCUCAAUAAAGAAGAAACUGGUAUAGCAUGACCUUCACUAAAUAGACCACAAAGAAGGAACAGAGAUUUUGCUUCCUUAUUUCCCAGUAAGUCGUAACUCAAUUUCAAGGAGAGGUACACAUUUUUUUCCAUUCCAUCAAUUUCUUUUGCAUAGGAACUUCUUAGCUGACGCAGCACAUAUUUCCAAGUCUCAAGGCUCAUAUUUUUCAAAGCUUUUGCAAGUGUAAUCAGUGCAACCGGCAGUUCUCCGCAUCUUCCGACGAUCUCAUGUGCUAUAGGUUGAAAAGCAGAUGUUUUCAUUGAAUCACCCACUAUCUUCUGAAAUAAAUACAAUGCUUCUUCUUUUGAUAAAGCAUCGAUCUGGAUCUCUUUCUGAGAAUUCAUAACAUUGUGCAAUAAAUCUUGACGUCUAGACGUCAGUAUUAUUGUGCAUCGUCGCUGAUCAUCCAUUCUUUCUUUCUUAACAUCCCCGGAAGGAAUUCCAACUUCAUCGAACUUCAGUUCUCCCCAAAUAUUAUCCAAUAUAAUGAGAUGCCGCUCCUCGUUCUUCAAAACUCGACAUAGUCGAUUUGCUCUGUCGAAUAUACUCUCAUUCAACUCAAACUUUAUGCCUAAAUCAGAAGCAAGUUUGUCUUGAAUUUUCUGAUGAUCUGGGUUCUCUGUUACCUCAGCCAUAGCGACCUUAUCGAACAACUUAUCUUCCGUCACUUGCUUUGCAACUUGCUUGACGAGCGUGGUUUUACCCACUCCGCCCAUCCCGUAGACCCCAAUUAUGUUGAGCUUAUCAUCCUUCAACGCCUCCAAAACAUCUUGAAAUACUUUCUUUCUUGAGUCAAAGGCCUCGUAAUCUUUCACUUGCAUAUAUUCUGUACUCUUUGGAGCAGGACGAUAGGAAACACUAGAGAAGUUGCCUUUUCCCACGAGAUCAGCAGCAUCUUUUGCGGCCUUUGCUGCUUUUUUACUGAGUUUGUAACGAGACAACAAAUUUGGGCACAAUCCUUUGAAGCAAUACUUCUUGGCUCCAUUUUCAUCAUCAAUAAUGGAGUUUGCAACCCCUUCACUGAUGAAUUCAUCAACGCUAUGUAGCCAAUCUGCGACACCCUCAUAAAGCUCAUCCCCUUGUAGCCUAGCAUGAUUAACUGGUUGCUGCACCAUUUCUCUUUUACAUCCCAGCUGCAUUACUUGAUCUUUUAGCUCAUCUACGUAGCUCUGGUACUUGAACACAUAAGAUAUCUGCCGUAUAAUCGGUUUGAACAGUGACUUUGCACCUUCUGAUACGAUGCUUGAAAAACCACCGAGACAGAAUUCUACAGCCAUUGCCUGUUGCUUAACGAUGUAUGUGUAGUUUUUGGCUGUUAAAAAAAACAAAAAUUGGAUUCAAAUAAAUUAAAUGAACUAGAGGGGAAGAAAAAGAAAGAAACGACAACAAACAACUUUUUAGAGAAAGGUUGAUAUUGUUACAGAACACAUGUUCAUUUUUAACAAAUUGAUCAAUAACUCUAUUCGCUAUUUAAUUGAUAUUGUAACCAAUUUUAAGAGAAUAUAAUAAUAAUCCUUCGAUGCAUAAAUUUAGAAUUAGAUUUUUUAACUUUUUAUUUAAAUAUAAAUCUCAAUGGAAAAUUAUAAAAAUUUAGAGAUAAAAUUUUUCAAUCACCAAACGGAAAAACAGGGGAAUGAAAACAGAGGAAUCUUGUUUUACCUUUUUUUUUUUUUAACCUUCACUCUUGUUCUUAUAUAAAUAAUCUUGUUCUGAUGAUAGUGCUCGUGACUGCAGGAAAAUUUCUAGUGGAAACAACUCAAUUUCAGAAGAAUUUAUUCAAUUGACUCUGUACUUGAACUCGUUGGAUUGGUUGAUUUAUGAUUGACUGAAUUUAUUCAAUUCGGCCUAAAAGAUCUUUAACCAAAGUUUAAUAGCUAUCAUCUACUCCUUAAAAAAAAAUAUGUAUCUUUUUUAGAUUUGACUGAAUUUGAACUUGCUGGAUUGGUUUUUUUUAGAUUAUUAAAAUGGGGCACUGCAAAGUAAGUAUUCUAAAAUCUGUAUGUUGCUUUAGAAAAAGGGCUUUUCCCACUGAUCUUUAUUCUUCAAGUAAACUUAGAUACAAAGUAAAUCUAAAAAAAUGACAAACAAACAAUGAAAUAAACGACAACAAACUGGCAAUUUUGACACAAAGCCAACAAUUAAAAUUUAGGACAUUUUUUUUUCUUGCUUUCUUUUUUUGGAGGAUUAGAGAUUUUGGUAUUACCAGAAAGGUUUCAAGGGUCUGAGUUUCAAGGGUCUGAGUAGAAACCUAUAAUCUUUUGAAAAACUUUGUUUUUUUUUAAAAAAAAAUUUGGGGAAAGGAUGCAAAUUAACCAAAGGAAAUAAUAAGAGCACAGGCUUUAACAAUGAACAAUAACUUAAAACUCAUGCAAAAUAAAUUCAAUAUUAAAGCAAACCAGAGAAAUUUUUUUCUUGAAAAGUAGAUGGAAAUUAUGAAAGAACAGAUGUCAAGAUCAAGGAUCAGGGAUUCUACUACCCAAAAAAAAAAAAAAAAAAUUAAAGGAUUUGGAAAAUGUGCACCUAGAGUUGGUGAGCUUCUCUCUAUUCACUUGAAUAUUUAAGAACAGCUGGGGAAUGUGUGAGAAAAGAGUUGACGAGAGAAAUAACAAUGACUUGCAGAAGAAAAACCAUUAAUCAAGCACACCUUUUUAUAUCCUGUAUUUGGUUAUUGUUGCCCUCUUGACGCAUGUAGAGAAUAAUUAUGUGCAUUUUUGUUUUUAAUCCGCAUGCACUUUAAUGAUUAGUGCUCCUUUCAUAAAGCAGAUACCGGAAACACACAAAUAUCAUUUGAGAGAGAAACUAAACAGCAAAUCAUCAAAGUAAGAUCAAUAAUAUAUGAUUUGGUUAAUGCAUAUUCAAGAACAAAAACAAAAAUAAAUAAAUAAAGAAGGUUUGAUUUUGUUUUGCCAACGCUGCUUUUUUGUUAUUUCUCACUCAUCUUCAAUCCUCAAGUAAAAUUAGGUAAAAAGCAAAUAUAAUAAAAAAACAAACAAAUUAACAAAAAAAGAAAAAAAAACAUUGAUCUUGAGACAACUGAUACUUAAACAGAGAAUUCUUUAUUCUUUUUUACUUCCCCUCCCCCCCCCCCCCCCCCGGGCUCGAGGAUUAGUUUUUGCUAUUAACAGAGAGGUUUUAAGAGUCUGAAUAAAACCAGCGCUUUUUUUAAAAACCUCUUUUUUUUCUUUUUUCUUUUUUGGGAAGAUAGAUUCAAAUUAACCAAAGCUAGUAAUAAGAACACAGACCUUACAAAUGAACAAUAACUUACAACUCAAGCAACAUAAAUGAUAAGAUUAAAACAAACCGGAGAAAUUUUUCUUGGAAAAUAGACGGAAAUUAAGUAAGAACUGCUGUUAAAAGAAAUUAUUAGAGGAUUUAGGAGAAUGUGUACCUCUUUAAUUAUUUGGGAUCAGAGAGUUGAUGAGCUCUCUAUUCGCCUUGAAUAUUGAGUAAGAACUGGUAUUAAAAGAAAUUAUUAAGAACAAUAUUUUAGUGAGCAAAAUAUCACUGUUAACUGCAGAGGAAUUUUGUGAGUAAAAUGCUGAAAGAGCAGUAACAAUGAAUUGCAAAAGAAGAAGACUUAACCAAGCACCCCUUCUAUACCCGAUUUUUAAGAUUUAAUUUUGAAGUUCAGAAUCAAGAACAAAGACGAAGCUUUAAUAAAGCAUGCAGUGAGAUACAAGAAAUGGAUCGGGCAAAAUACCUUACGAAGCGUUUCAUAUUUUCUAAUGAAAUAAUUUAGUUGAAGUUUUCGACGAAUAAAUACCUGUUGUGCUUGAAUAAUUUUGGCAUAUACAUUACUUGUAUCCGGCGAAAUUGAAAAGCACACUCAUUUACAGAGCUUGUUAGUGGGGAAAAGCUUCGUAAGAUGCCUGAUAAAAGAUAAAGCAAAAGCUUGAAUGAAGAAUGACAUUUUAGAAAGAAACUAAAGUGCAAUCAUCAAAGUAGGAUCAAUAGUGAGUUGAUCAGUUAUGCUUUUUGUUAUUUCAAUUGUCCUGUCCACAAAUGAUGCUUCGUUAUUACUAAUUCCACAUGGACAUUAUUUAGAAACUGUUCUUAUGUUUAACAGAAAAAUGAAAACUCGUCAUCAUACAAAACUGCGUGAACAAAUCUUCAAUUUGAUUAUUAUAAAAUAAAGAAGUUUCAUUACUAGAUUAUGCGGACGUUAAUGUUAGAGAUUUCAUCAGAUUAUCAUAUAAUUUACCAAACGCUUUGAGAAGAACAUGAAUUAAUUAGUUAAAAAUUUAAAAAUAAAAUAAAUAAAGAGUACAUGCAAAUAUUGUUGCUUCCAAUCACCAAAGUGAAAAACAGGGGAAUGAUAACAGACGAGUCCCUGAUUAUCCUCUCUCUCUCUUUUUUCAAUCUCUCUUUAUGUUAUGAUUGAAUAAUUGUAUAGAAAGUGUGACGGUUGCUGCAGCAUUAUGAAGUCAAAAUUGAGAACGACAUUAAAUAAUCAAUCUCUUUAUGUAUAUACUCGAAUGUCUGAUAGUGUUCAGACUUGGAUUUUCUAUAAACACAGAUUCGAAAUCCAAAUAAUUGAAUAAUUGUGUGCGUUCAAAUUCAGCAUUUAAUUUCUAUAUAAUUGGACAUAAAUGCGUAUUUUUUAUUUAGCCCAUUUCGGUCCAUGUUCAAAUAAACAUAUUUCUGUGGAUGAUAAUAUCAGGACCUCUGAUGCUUUUUUUUUUAUCAGAAAUUUUAUUUUUAACUCUUCGUUAUUUAGAUAUAAAUUUUUGCAGUCACCAAAUAGAAAAACAGGGGAAUGAAAACAGAAGAGCCGUGUCCUAAAUCAGGAGUAGGUGUUUUGCCUAAAAGUACCACUUUCCUAGCAAAUCUAGUGGGUUUACUGAAUAAAAUUUUUAAUUAUUCUGUUUGAUCUUUCUCUCUUUAUCCUAAGCAUUCUUGGUUGGGAUCGCUGCAUUGUCCUGUAAUCCGUGUGCCUUAGUGAAAAGAGUAAUGGGUAACUGUAGUUAUGGGUACUUGAGAGCUCACGAUGAGGGUAGCUUGGUAAUGGGACUAUCCAUAUCUGAGCAUCAGAGCUUGACAUCUUUGAUAAAUACAUAUGCUUACUGGUACUGUUUUUGCAUAUGUCUUUCACAAAAUCUUUGUAUAGGCUUACAUAGAGAAGAAGAUUCACCAAUAAAGUGUUGGCUCCACUGGCAAUGAAGUCCCUUAAGUGGCUUGACUGGGUUUGCUCCUCAGUUCUAGUCUGGGUUGUGGUACGGGCUUAAAGGUGCCUCCCACAGUUGGGGCCUUCCCCAGGAUACCUCGUGGUCAAAACAAAAAAAAAAUAGAGAAGAAGAUUCGGAUAACUUUCAAAAUCUGAAUCCGCCUGAUGGACGGACUUGACCACACAGCCCCGUGACAAGGAAGUCCAAGCAACUAACCUAAACCGUUCUCCUUUAGUCCUUUAUUAGGUUGUUCAAAAUGAAAUUAUACUGAGGAGCACCCCCCCCCCCCCCCAAAAAAAAGUUCUUUUAUAUAUUUUUCUUGGAAUUUUAGGCAAAAGAAAAAAAAACUGAGAACGAUUUCAAGCGAACAAGUGGAUAAUAACUAAAAUACUUAUUUUUAUAUAUUUGAUAUAUGCGCUCACUAUUAAUAGAACUUAUUAGAUACUACAACUUAAAUAACUUCCAGUGGUUGAUUGAGGGUAUGUUUGGGAUUUCCUUUACUUUCCAAGAAUUAAUUUCUACCUUGAUUCUGAACAAAAAAAUAAUUUUACAAAUAAUUUAUUAGGGUGUUUGGUAAAUGAUGAUUAUUUGACAAUCAAUUUUUAAAUGGUUUACUAUACAAAUCUGGUAAAUGAAAAUUAAAAGUGUAAAAUGUUCAUGUACAAUGACAAAAAUGUACUUGUUUACUUUUUUGUAAUUUAUUUAGAAUAUUAUUAUUUAAAUCUUUUUUAUUUACAACAUUUUUAAGAGCAUAUUCUAUUUUCUUUAUUACAUAUUUAAAUAAUUUUUUAUUAACUAUUUUAAUUUGCAAUAAAAUUAACUUGAAUAUUUUUUUAACUAAAAAAAUUGUUAUCUAGUUCGUGAUAUAACAAAUACUAACAUAUCAUCAAAUUGAUUAAUAAAUUAAGUGCAAAAAAGAAAAUGCAAAAAUUUAAUCUUUAUAGCUCAUAGAAAUAUAAUAUUAUAUACAUGUGUGUAAAAAACAACAUAUGACCAUAAUAUUAUCCACUCAUUAAACUUGCUGCACUAUUAUUUCUCAAUCUCUCCAUCUCUCGACCUUCAAGAACAUUACUACCAUAAUCUUCUUCUUGAAUUCAACCUCCAUUUCCUCAUCAUCAACAAUGCGACCAAUUUGCCUUGAUAGCCUUUCAACUCCUCCCACUUUCCUCCCUUUUGCAGACACUCUUUUUCUUUUUCUUUUUCUGUCUUUAAUAGCUUCAAUGGGAACAACCUCAUCUGACGACAAGUCCAUUCUUCAACUAGGACAGAGUUGGUAGUAGAUAUUCUAGUACUCUCAAACGAUGCCCAAACGGGGUCACCAGUGAUUGUUGUAUUAAAAGACAUUCUAUUUAAUUUUCCUCUGACUCUUGGUCGAUACCUUUUGUACAAAAUCUAUUUACUUCAGGAAUUUUAUACAUAUGUCGAUAUCAUAUUAAAGUGAAUUCAGAUCCUAUAUUAUUGACAUUAAAAUUUAGCCGAAUAGUAAAAAAUUUCCCUUUUUGUUUGUCACACAACUAUAUAGUCCCAUUUUUGGUUAUAAGCUCACGAUAUGCAAGGGAAAUGAAGAUCUAUUAAAAACUUCCCCAUAAUAUUAAACAUUAAACAAUAUCAACAUUUUGUGCAUAUGGUGCCUCGUCAACAAUUUGAUGUUCAUUUUGUUGCUCGGAGGAAUAUGACUACCUAUUAAUUAAUUAGCAAGAAUUGCGUUGCGAGUCCAUGUUUUUUGUCGUUUGGAUGGAGGAUGUGCUAUCUUUUUAUUGUAGAUGCUUUGUAAGGCUUUUGAUUUAAUGAUUGAAUGCAGUCAAUUAACAAAAGCUUACAUACAGUAUUAUGUAGUUGCUGAGAUGUCUAUUCUUGAUAAAGUCGAUUUAUUUACACCCAAGCCAACGGAAUCAAAGCCUUUUCGUUAAUAAUAUACACGGUAAUUGUUUUUGUUAAAUUGAUUUCUGGCUAACAAGAUCUUUGAAAGCAUUUAUUAAAGAAACCACUGACUCAUAAGAAAGCCAUGAUUAAAUACACAGCCAAGCAUGUGAGCUCGUUUUUCAAUCUCUUUGAUCACUCAUAAGCUUCUCUAUACCACUCACUGUAUCAUCCUUUUAAGUCAAUUUUGACUGAUCAUCAGAGAUCAUGCACCCCACCUUGAGAUGAUUGAUCACCAAUUUGGCAUUGUAACGUUGAUCACCUCUAAUUGGCCAUGCUAAAAUUGGGACCUCACAGCCAAUUGCUUCUACAGUUGAAUUUUAUCCACAGUGAGAUAAAAAUCCACCUAUUAAUUGAUAACUCAGUAUCAAUAAUUGUGGCACCAUUCCAUCUAUUAUCAAACCCUUUUUACCGACUCUACUAUCUAAACCACUACAAAAAUAAGCUGGUUAAAUGACGUGGAGGAUCCAAUCUAUUUACAUCAGUUUGAAUUACCUAAAUAAUCGGUGGAUUUGAUGCUUCUAAAUCAUUGGCUAAUGUUGAAUAAUCAUUUAAGGUGGGACCCAUUUCGGUACCAAAUGACAUGUAUAACACGGAUCCACAUGAUUUCAAAUCUAACCAUUGAAUGAUCUCAUCUUCGGUCAUGUUAGAACUUCGCCGGUUGGUUCUCAUCUCACAAUCACGAAGCACUGAACCAGCCGAUUUGUAAAAUUGUUCAGGUAACAAUUGGCCCACUCCCCACACUGGCAUCAACACCAUCGAUCCCUCCACUUGCUUCAUCCAGUGUGGUUGAUCACUCGGUUCUGAUGGGCCUAUUUAUUCUGAACCGGGUGCACCUCACAAAGGUUGUGGACCACCAGGAAGGGACCCGUGAGGCCUGCGUUUAAGAUCCGAUUCGAAUAAAGCAAUAUCCUUGGGUAACCCAAGAAGUAAACGGGCCUCUCCCGGUUUGACAUCCUGGAUGCGAGCCUGCCACAUGGCACACUCCACAGCUGCUGAGCAAGCAUCAGAAGUGAAGAACCCAACAAUGGGAACUUCAAAAUUCUUGAAAACAUCAGCCGUCCAGCCCAUCAUAACGCCGAUGACUACGCAAACAGGUCGGCUUUCGGGUUCCGGGUUGAAAGGAGGUUUCGAAGGCCUUGAAGCAUUUGGCUGUGCAUGACAACAUGGUGGUGAGAAGGAGGUGAUGGUAGUGGUUGAGAUGGGGAGGGUAUUUCGGUAAUUUCAAAUAGAGCGUAUUGGUGAAGAGAGGAAGGGGUGAUGCUGGUGGUAGAAACGUGAGAGGGAAUAAUGAGGGUAGAUUUGUAACAACGAGAAGUGAUUUGCUUGCAUAAUUCAAUGCAUGGAAACAGAUGUCCCUGACCGAAGAAUGGGACAAUCCAAAUCUCAGCCUCAGCAGCAUUCGCAACAGAGCUUGACAUCUUUUAUGAAUUAUUUGAGACUUAAUUGUUAUUGACUGCUUUUGCCAUCUUUCAUAAAACAUUCUUUGUUAUAUAUAAAGAGAUGACUUGAUGGAGAAGCAAGUGUUUUACUUUUAUAGUUUUACUAGUAGUUGAGCUCUGAUUUUGAUAAUUUGAUUGUUAGUUUUAGUUGGUUAGUUAUGAGAAAGCAUCUUUCACAAAAUUCAUUCCAGUUUCAACUAAAAUUAACAAUACUGUUCAAAUUAAUUACUGGAUCAACAAAUAGUCAUAGGCAAAUCUAUCCCUAGCGCUAGAUCUUGAACAUAAUUAUUAUCAUAAUCUCCCCUUCCCCCACCCCCCACCCCCAAAAAAAAAUUUACUAAAUAUCUUUUGUUAUAUAAUGAACAAGAUAAGUUGACGGAGAAGGGUUCUACUUUUACUAGUAAAUGAGCUUUGAGUAGUUAAGAAGGUUAGUUUUAGUUAGUUAAAUAUCUACCAUCCGAAUCAAAGUUCCUUAGACUAUUAUUCAAGUGAGAUGCUUGAGUAACAUAUACUUGUGUUAGUUGGUGCCUAACAAUUCGUGUGAUACAUGAAACCAACCACUAUGAAAUCCAAAUGAAGCUGGUAGGAUUAGAUUAAUUUAAAUGAAAAUAAAAAUUUGUUUAUGCUAUUUAUUAAUCUUAUAAUGUUGAAACUUGAAAGUUAAUUCUUCAACCUGUCAAUUGGUUCAUGACAUGGUUUAAUAUUCAAGUAAAUAAAUUUAUCGUUUAAAAUUAAUUUUUCAUGUGGUAAAAGCAAUACAAAAUAUGGGGUGGAGAGAAUAAUUUGUAGGGUAUACCCCCACCAUUUAUUUAAUUUCAUUAAAAAAAAAGAAAAGAAAUAAAGGCUUGUUCAACAUUCAAUUAAAAUUAACAAUUCCAUGAUAAAAUUACUUGAGAAUAAAAAUUAAAAAAAAAAAAGUAACACAAAAACGAGGAAUUUUUGAGUAACUGAAGAACCAUAGAUGUUUUUUGGUCAUGAGCAAUUUUUGAGUUGAGACAGAACUUGUAUAAAAAAAUAGUUUUGAAUAACUUCUUUUCUUUUUUCAUAAAUAUAGAUAUAAAAUUUUAAAGUCACCAAACACAAAACCAGGAAAAUGGAAAGGAAGCCCCUGUUUCUCCUCUGUUGCAAGAACAAAUUCGGUUUCUACAGGAGUACCUUCUAAAUGCACCAUUUGUAUUGCUUUGUUUCCACGUAAGCUAACGGAAUUUUUAAUGAAAUUAAAUAAAUACAAUCUCACUGACCGAAAAGUUCUGUAGCUGUUUCAAUUCAAUUGCAUACAUUGACGAAACAUUAAAUACGGAAAAAACAAAAAAGAAGUAAUAGGACAUGGGGAUUUCGAGAACUUCUAAAGAGAGAAAUCUAUUUAUAAGCAUUGAAAAUUAGCUCAUUAAAUUUGACAGAAUAAUAUACAAUCUCACUGUUGGCCAGAAAAUAAUAGUAAGAACUUGUGAACAUAUAUAAUCAAUUGUUUAUUACUUAAGCUCUUUUUCUUCGUUAUUUUGAAUGGGUGCAAAGAAGAGAAGUUUUGUACCCAAAUUCCAACUCGAAUUGUGUAGGCUGCUUGCAAGAGCUUCAUUAGAUUUUUAUUUGUCUUUUAAUAGUGCUACUCGAUAAAUACAGCUAGCUACCUGUCUUUUUUGUUACUGGACUAUAGAUCAAUUGACAGUUGAAGUUAUAUUAAUUUGUUGUACUGGAAUUGAAGCUUGUAUCUUAGCCAUUUCGUGAAGUGUCAAAUAUAUUUUUAAUUUCCUUAAAAUUGUUCAAAAUAUGUUUACACUUUUAAAGUCACUAUUAUACAUGAGUGCCCUAAAAUAGGAGAAGGCGAUUUGCCUGACAUUACCUGUUUCCUGUCAAAUCUAGCAGGUUUACUGAUUAGAUUUUAACAAGUCUCUUGGCAAAGUUUGCUAGAAAUGGAAUCAAAUUAUUCUAUUUAAUCUUACUGUCCAUACCCUAAUAGUUCUUGAUUUGCAUCACUGCAUCGUUCUAUAAUCUGUGUGCGUUGGCUUAUAAAGGCUAGCAAGGCUGACCAUUCGUAGCAUAGUUUUUUUUUUUUUUUUUUUCCACAAUGAAACUCCUAUUGAUUUGACUCAGUAUUUAGAGGCGUUAACGAGGGCACUAUACUAGACAUGGAUUUCUACCGCUUUUGGUUGUACAAUUGUUGUAAUCCUUGGCCAUCAAAUCAUUUUUACGUAGCUUUCUCAGAGUUCAUGCCAAGUGUACAUUAAUGUUUUUAUGUUUUGGAUGCAAGUGGGAUUCUAGUUCUCUAUGGCAGUUGAAGAGGUAAAUGGGCAUGGAGCUAUGCUCUAUCAUAGGCUUCGGCCGCUACAAGAAAUUUGAUUUCUUAAGACGAUAUUUUUUACAACUUUAAAUUUGGUCACAAAAUUGUAUUUAUUGUGACAAAUUUUUAAAAUCGUAGUUAAUAAUCUUGUCGUAACUUAUAUUGUUUUUUGUAACCAAUUGUUUUUAUUUUGAGACUUGUUCAUUGGUCAUUAAUUAAAUUUUUUUAUGACAAAAAUUAUUUUAGUCACCAAAAGAUAUAUUUUUUUGGCGCAAAAUCUUCCCUCCAAAAGUGAUUAUUUUGAGACAAUAUUUCACUAUUUAUGACAAAAUAAAUAGUCACGAAAUAUAAUGAUAGGCGACCAAAUUAUUUGGUAACUAAAAGAAGGGUGUAAAAUUGACUAAACAAUCUAUGACACAAAAUAUUAGUAGCCAAAAUUAUUGUUCUUUUGGCUAAUUUUAAGACCAUUUUUUUUUGUCAUAUAUAAUUACCUACCAUGACAAAAUUUAAAAAUAGUUGUUGAAUGUUUUGUCUUGAAUAAUUUUAUAUUUGAUAACCAAUUUUUUUUUUUCUUUUUGAGACAUAUUACUUGGUCCCUAUUUCAACUUCUUUUUGACGAACUUUAUAAUAGUCACAAAAGACUUUUUUUAUUUUUGGCAUAAAAAGUCUGUCCAAAGUUAGCUCUUUUGGGACAAUAUAUAAUCUUUUAUGACAAAAUAUAUAGUGGCGAAAUAUAAUUAUUUUUUACAAAGUUAUUUCGUAACUGAAAAAGAGGUGUAAAUAUAGUUAACCUAUUUGUGACAUAAAAUAUUAGUCUCCAAAACUAUUAUGUUUUUAGCCAAUUUUAAGACCCUAUUUUGUUGUCAUGGAUAAUUACCUAUUUUCAAAAAACUAAGAGAUAGCAAUCAAAAGUUUGUCUUGAUUGACAUUGUAUUUUAUGAGCAAAAUAUUUUGUUUCAGUGACACUUUACUUGGUCUUUGAUUAGACUUGUUUGUGAUGAUCAAUAGAAUUAUAUAAUAACCACUAAAUUUUUUUGGGUUAAAUUUUUAUAGAUACUAUUAAUUAAGUUGUUGACGAAAAUGAUCGAACUAAUACUAAUAUGGGAUACCAUCAAUAGCCGUAAUACUUAUGAAGCGAGAAAUUAUAAUAUGUAGUGAUUUAUUUAGAAUUAUUUUGACUACUUUAUUGAUUUCCAAAACAUAAAAUUCUCAACCCAAAAUUCCCCGCAUUGUGUUUUAUUUUGUCUCCUCACUCAGUUACUCUUUUAGCUAAAGUUGCUUUGGAAAAGUUGGAAUCUUUUGUUUGGGUGGAAAAUUUCCCACCAGAGAUUAGACAUGUAUUCACCUAGUUGAAGUAAUGAAAGUUUUACUUUCCCAUAAAAAAAAAAACUCACGGCUUGACAAAAAAAAGGAAAAAAAUUCUCACAGCUUGAUGGUCUCCUCUCUUUAAAAAUAAAAAUCCCUAGUUACUCUGCUCAAACUCGUUAAUAUUUGUUUCCACCACCUAAGCAGCCACUAGUAUCUUUUUUUUUCGCAAUUCACUUUUGCUGUGUUUCGUGGUUUGGAUGGAGAUCAUGACAAUAAUUGAACGAUGGUGAUAAAUAUCAAAGAAGGAGCUUACAUGCCCUAUAUAUCUCUCUUUGGAUGAAUAACGAAGGUGAACUUUCAAAGUACAGAGAUUUACAUGUUUUAAUUGUCAUUUACAUUGCUGCAUGCCCAUUGCUUGAUAAAAUACCGCAACAAACACGCAUUCUCGAUUUUCUCAUAAAUUUAUUUUCUUAGUCUGAAAAAAAAAUUGAAUGUUCAGAGAAUUUUGAAGGUUUUGGUGUAUGCAUUAAUAUUUUGAUUCUAUUUAUGUUGUUUAACUAAUGAAGAUGAUACAUCUAGCCUCUUUUUGCCCCUUGUUGUUUUUAUUCUUGUGCUUUAUAUACGGUUCAAGUGUGAUACACUUUAGUUUUUCUCAAGUGUUUGUUAGUAUUUCCCCAAGCAAAAUUUGUCACAGACUUUGAGUUCAAAAGUUGAAAUCAUAACUAACAUACUUCGAUUUUUUAUUUUCCUUUUUUCUUCGGGGUCCCAUAUAUCUUUCUAUAUGGCAUUGCUUGAGAAAUUGGUGUACUUAGAUCGUAAUAUUCUGUAGAAAUAAGCUAAUAUUUCAUUAGGUACAUUGUUUAAUAUGAUAAGUACUGUAUGGAAGUUUUACAGAUAAGCUCCUUGUAUAUUAUGCAUUAUGUUUUUAUCAUAUUGUUGCUUGGAACUUUGAAGGAUUGGCCACAGGGCUUUAGUCCUACAAGGACAUUUUAUAUUGGGAAAUUAUCAUUCGUAUACCCUAUAGAUGCUCUGUUAUAAAAAAUACUACAACACUUUGAGGGUGUAUCAAUCGUCCACAUUAAGUUGACAAAAUGUAUCUGUUGUCCACCAAACCGUUACUUGCCGUUUAAAUAGGAUAACGACAGAGGGGUAAUUUGGUCUUUUCAUAUGAUACAAGUGAUAAUUUAAGGGUAUACAAGUGAUACUUUUCAAGGGUAAAAUUGUCAAUUCGCUAUAAUUCCGUUAACUUUCAAACGGUAGCUAACGGUUUGAUGGUUGGUAGAUAGCUUUUGUCAAUUUGGGGUGGACGAUUGAUACACCCUCAAAGUGUUGAAGAACUUUUUAUAACAGAGCUUCCUACANNNNNNNNNNNNNNNNNNNNNNNNNNNNNNNNNNNNNNNNNNNNNNNNNNNNNNNNNNNNNNNNNNNNNNNNNNNNNNNNNNNNNNNNNNNNNNNNNNNNNNNNNNNNNNNNNNNNNNNNNNNNNNNNNNNNNNNNNNNNNNNNNNNNNNNNNNNNNNNNNNNNNNNNNNNNNNNNNNNNNNNNNNNNNNNNNNNNNNNNNNNNNNNNNNNNNNNNNNNNNNNNNNNNNNNNNNNNNNNNNNNNNNNNNNNNNNNNNNNNNNNNNNNNNNNNNNNNNNNNNNNNNNNNNNNNNNNNNNNNNNNNNNNNNNNNNNNNNNNNNNNNNNNNNNNNNNNNNNNNNNNNNNNNNNNNNNNNNNNNNNNNNNNNNNNNNNNNNNNNNNNNNNNNNNNNNNNNNNNNNNNNNNNNNNNNNNNNNNNNNNNNNNNNNNNNNNNNNNNNNNNNNNNNNNNNNNNNNNNNNNNNNNNNNNNNNNNNNNNNNNNNNNNNNNNNNNNNNNNNNNNNNNNNNNNNNNNNNNNNNNNNNNNNNNNNNNNNNNNNNNNNNNNNNNNNNNNNNNNNNNNNNNNNNNNNNNNNNNNNNNNNNNNNNNNNNNNNNNNNNNNNNNNNNNNNNNNNNNNNNNNNNNNNNNNNNNNNNNNNNNNNNNNNNNNNNNNNNNNNNNNNNNNNNNNNNNNNNNNNNNNNNNNNNNNNNNNNNNNNNNNNNNNNNNNNNNNNNNNNNNNNNNNNNNNNNNNNNNNNNNNNNNNNNNNNNNNNNNNNNNNNNNNNNNNNNNNNNNNNNNNNNNNNNNNNNNNNNNNNNNNNNNNNNNNNNNNNNNNNNNNNNNNNNNNNNNNNNNNNNNNNNNNNNNNNNNNNNNNNNNNNNNNNNNNNNNNNNNNNNNNNNNNNNNNNNNNNNNNNNNNNNNNNNNNNNNNNNNNNNNNNNNNNNNNNNNNNNNNNNNNNNNNNNNNNNNNNNNNNNNNNNNNNNNNNNNNNNNNNNNNNNNNNNNNNNNNNNNNNNNNNNNNNNNNNNNNNNNNNNNNNNNNNNNNNNNNNNNNNNNNNNNNNNNNNNNNNNNNNNNNNNNNNNNNNNNNNNNNNNNNNNNNNNNNNNNNNNNNNNNNNNNNNNNNNNNNNNNNNNNNNNNNNNNNNNNNNNNNNNNNNNNNNNNNNNNNNNNNNNNNNNNNNNNNNNNNNNNNNNNNGAGGAUGAAAUUUGCAAAAACCUUGUUCAUAGCUAUGGUAAUUAAGCAAAUUGAGUCUUCUUUUUUUGUUGUUUUUUAUUCACUUUUUCCUGUCCUUAAAACAAAUAAUGAGUUUUCUUGUUUUUAAUAUUUCUUAUAAACUUUAUGUUGUUUGGUAUAAAAUUAGGUAAUUGGAAAGGUCUCAUGUUGGAUGAAAUUAUCAAUUAUGUGCAGUCCCUACAGAAUCAAGUGGAGGUAACAUUGCUACUAAAAAACCUUAUUAACAUAGUUAUAAUGAAUUAAUCUUCUUUAAUAUAUUGCAAUAUUUUUUACUAUUUCUAGGUCUUUCUAUGUUGGUUUUGGAUCAUUGUAGUUGCUGAUUGUGAUUUAUUGCCGCCUAUGGUUGCUGACUUUUGUUUACUGCAGCUACUUUAUUAAAGCAAUUUUGGAUAUUGAAGUUUAUGGCCAACUUUUAUUAGAUACUUCUGACCUUUAUCGAUAUAUUUUCUGAACCUUUACACUUAAGAUGUGUGUGUGUUUUUUUUAAGUAAUUUAAUCCUUACUAACAUUUUCUAACAAAAUCAAUUACAGAAAUGAUUAGGAAAAAACAAGCAAAAUCAUUGUAAAGUGUCUUCUGCGCACCGUGGUUGCUCAAGUCUCAUGUGCAACAUGUGAAUGAAAUAGUACUUGAAAUAAUAGAGACUUUGUUUUAUGACUCUUAUAUUUACAUUUCUUUGCAAGGAACCAUACUUAAUUGUACCUAAUAGAAGAGAUAUCUUUUCACUAUAUAGUCUUAGUAUAAAAAGAUACCUCUUCUAUAAGGCACAAUUAACGGGACAUGUCUUUAUACUAAGACAUCAUUCAUAUUUAUCACACAAUAAUAGAAACUGCAACGGUAGCUGGAAUAUUAUGAAGUCAAAAUUGAGAACGACAUUAAAUCAUGAAUUCUUUAUGUGUUUACUCUAAUGCCUGACGGUAUUUAGUUCAAUUAACACAGAUUCGAAAUCCAAAUGAUUGAAGAGUUGUAUGGGUUCAAGUUCAGUAUUUAAUUACUAUAUAAUUAUACAUAAAUGUGGAUUUUGCAAUCUUGAACCCAUUUAAUUACUAAAAAAGGAUGACGAAUAGAAUUGGUGGAAAUUGACCACAAUCAUCUCUCUCUCUCGGCUUGCUCAAAUUUGGCCGAUCUGUGCGCUUGCUUAAGCUUGGCCGAUCUAUGCUUGCUCGAUUACUCUUCCUAUAUUCAGUCAGAGUCAACUGUUUGACAAGAGUCGAAGUCCAAGGUUCUUUUUUACAGGAUUUGAGCUACUUCUUUUAUUCUUCUUGCAUGUUCACUGAUAGCGGGUGGAAUUUGAGAUGUUCACUGAAGCUUUGAUGUGGUGUUCUGAUAGCGGGUGGAAUUUGAGAUUCUCCUUUCUUCUCUAUAUGAAGGUGCUUGUCAUGUGUCAAGAAAAAUAAAAUUAUUUACAAAAGAUUAUUUUAAGGAGAUUUAUUAUUAUUCGUGGAUCAGGAAGCUCAAAAAGUUUUCUUAUGUAGAACAUAAAAUGAUUUAAAUUUUGCCAUGGUAUAUCCUUUUCUUUGAUUGUGUUGUGGUUUUCCAGUUCUUGGAGAUGCAGAAGAAGUUUAUUUUGUUUUAUGGUAUCUUAUUUAUUUAUUGUUUUCACGAGGAAAUAGCUGUGCUUUUGGAAAUUAAUAUGCUGUGUUGUAAAUGUUGUGUGAAAUCCUUUUAUUGGUGUCUAUGUAAAGUGUUUCAGAUUUCAGACCUGAGAGUUAAUCUUCGCGUACCAGUUGGCUUUUGGGUUUAGUAUUGCUGCUUUUAACAUAAUUGACCUAUGGCCCAAAUCAUUUCUUAGGGCGAAGCAUAUGAAUGAUACAUAUUAUCUUUUUUUGGCCUUAUGUAUUGUUAUUUGCAGUGUGAUUUGGUCUAGCUUAAGAGCUUAAGCUUGCAAGUUGGAUUUGUCUAACAGGGAACAAUUUAAUUUGUUCAUCAUGAUGUUUAUAUCCAUUUUGUACUACUAUCAAUUUCAAUCAUGCCUAAUUUUUAUAUGUAUUUCUUGUGGACUCUCAGGUUCAGUGCACAAGAGGAUGAAGACGAUGGACACCCAAAUUUGAUGUGGAGAAUAAGUAUUGCAAAUGGUCCUUGAUUUACUUCUCCAAUUGACUUGAAUUGGUUUGACGCAAUUUAUAGUGUAUUUUUGUCAUCUUUGUAUGACUGGCAGGUCGUCCUGAUUUGGUACAUGACUGGACUCAGGAAUUGGACUCAUAUUUUUCAAACCAGAAUGCCAACAAUCAAGCAUUUUCUUUUGAAAGCACUGGCGUCUUCUUCAAUGCCAAAAAGGUUAGAGAUUUUUUGUAUCCUGUUUUGUAUUUGAUCAGUUUAGCAUGUGGGUGGCAAUCAAGAAAAGUUAUUCUAACAUUUUUGUGUUCCCGAAAAACUGCUGAUGAUGUGUAGUGCAGGAAAUGAAUUGUUUGUGACUUCUUUUUAUUCGUAUUCUUUCUUUUUUCUUUUCUCCCCAACAGGAUUAUGUAUUUCUGAAGAGCUUCUUGAAGUUGAUUACCUUGUAAGCCACUUUCUGUACUCUAUGCUCAGGAUGUGAUUUUGCCAAGCAUUAAAAUGGUUUAGGUCAGAACCAUCAUCUAAAGUUUACUUAAUGCAGCCGAGAAGCUGUAGUAGAGCAAUGAAGGCUGUUGGUGUUAUGAAGGCCAGCUGUGAAGAAAUAUUUGAACUUGUAAUGAGCAUGGAUGGGACACGAUACGAGUAUGCUUCUUUUCUAUUUUUUAAUUUUAGUUAUUUUAACAUAAUCAAGACUAUAUUGGCUGUCUCUGUAAGCUGAGUAUUAUAUUUCCUCUUGUAUGCUGUGAAAUUCACAUUGUCUCCAGUCCCGAUUCUGUAUGUGCCUUUUUGAAUAUAUUUAAUUAAUCUGCAUGGUGCUUUCUAAAGAUUAUUACAAACUUUUGUUGCUUAAGUAUAUGAAGAAUGUGGAAAUGAAAAUAGCUUUUGAAGUUUGAUGGAUUGCUUCAUUAAUAAAGAAAGACUGGGACUCAUUUUUAUAACUUUUCUCCACUUAGCUAAUGGUAUUUGAUGAAGACAAAAUAGAUGUAGCUAUCUGUAUUUUUUGUUGCUGAACUAUAGAUCAAUUGACGGUUGAAGUUAGUUAUAUUAAUUUGUUGUACUAGAAUUAAAGCUUGUAUCUUAGCCAUUUCAUGAAGUGUCAAAGACGUUCAUGUUUUUUAAAAAAAACAUGUUACACUUUUGAAGUCACUAUUACAUAAAAGAGUGUUCUAAAACAGGAGAAGGCGUGCUGCCUGAAAUUACCUGUUUCCGAUUUUAACAAGUCUCUUGGCAAGGUUUGCUAGUAAUGUGUUCAAAUUAUUCUAUUUAAUUUUACUGUCUGUACCCUAAUAAUUCUUGGUUUGCACCAUUGCAUUGUUCCAUAAUCUCUGUGCGUUGGCUUAUAAAGGCCAGCAAGGCUGAUCAUUUGUCAAAUAGUUAUUUCCAUGAAAUUCCUAUCAAUUUGACUCAGUAUUUAGAGGUCUUGAAGAGGGCAGUGUACUAGACGUGGAUUUCUUCCUCUUUUGGUUGUACAAUUGUUGUAUUUCUUGGCCAUCAGAUCUUUUUUAUGUAUCUUUCUCAAAGUUCAUGCCGCACGUACACCGUUUUUCAUGUUUUGUGCAGGUGGGAUUGUAGUCUUUUGUAUCGCAGCUUAGUUGAAGAGGUAGAUGGUCAUACGGCUAUUCUCUAUCAUAGGCUUCAGCUGGACUGGUUUCCAAUGUAAUAGUCUCUUGAUUCAAUCAUCUCAUUUAUGCUUUGGUCAGAAUAGAACAUUUAUUGUUUUCUUCUUUCCCCUUUCAUGUCUUCUGAUAUAAUAUGUGAGGAAAUUACCUAAAAUUUCUGUAUCCCAAUGUAAUUGUUGGAAUUCAGAAAUAAAAUAAAUACACCGUCUUGUUUUUCCCUCGGUUCAGUCCUAAGUUCUCUUUGGGCCUUCUGCAAGUUUUUAAACAUACUGUGACAGUAAAAAAUCUAGUGAUUGAGAUCAUUUUGAUGAAUUUAAUUUUAAUUCUUAGCUGAUACUUUUUCUGGAAUUUUUUUUCUUAUGUUUCCUCAAUAUGACUUAAAUAUAGGGCUUAGUUUGGUUUAGAAGUUCGUCUAAAACCUUCUCCUUGAUUCCAAAAAAAUUCUCUAGAAAGGUCUCAGAUGGAUUUUAGGGGAGUUCUGUGGCAAAUUUGAAAAGUUCAGGGGAAGGGUCUAAUGAAUUUUAAAACCACAUGGGUUAUCUGUUUUAUUCAGAGGAUAGUGGAAUUCCCUGAAAUUUAUCAUUUUUAUUUAAAUAAUCUUCCUACUUUCCUCUGCGGAAUUUAUUUACAUUUAUGAAUUCAUUUGGUUGCAGGUUUGUUUGGCCCCGCGGCCUUUGUUAAGUACGUUAUUGGCGUUGAAAUGACGCUGCGAGUUAUGGUAAGGUUCUUGCUUCCCCACUUCUUGAAAUUAAAUCUAUCUUUUCUGGCACUAGAAGUUUCCAUAAGCUGUGUUUUGUUAUCGCGCAGUUGUGUUAUUUCAUUCUAGGGAGCAUGAGAACUGUGGUCCACAGCCAGGAUAUGUACGAGCUCACGUGGAGAGUUAGUUUUCUGUCCUUUACUUUGGUUGAUGUAGAGAAUUAACAAGUGACUAAGUCAUGCCAAGUUGCACCACUUGCUUCCUGUAUUCUGAUUUCUCAGGUGGUGGAUUCAACAUUUCCCCACUCAAACCUCAAAAUGGUAGGCCCAGAACACAAGUACAGCAUCUUAUGCAGAUUGAUCUAAAAGGGUGGGGUGUUGGUUAUGUGUCAAUGUUUAGCAACACUGUCUUCUUCAGAUGUUAAAUAGCAUUGCUGGUAAGUUUCUUGCUUUCACAUUUUAUUUUGCGCUGUUAUGGGUUAAUAUGUUUCUGUUGGGUGGCCAUUUUAAGUCAUAUUUUUACGUGUUACUGUAUUUUCUUCAGUCCUUUUAUAGGGAACACACACAUACACGUAUGUAGAGUCACCUUUUAAUGAGGGAUCUACCAUUUUAAUAAAAUGAGGAAUGAGCUAAAAGAUAAAAAUUCACGAACUCCAAUGCAAUAUGUGUGUGUGCGUGUGCACACCUUUUCUAACUCUUGUUCUUAGUUAGAUAUUUUUCGGGAUUUCAGGCAAAUGAAAAAAGAGAUUAAGAGAAAGAGAAUAGGUGGAUGAUAACUUAAAUAUUCAUUUUUAUAUAUUUUGUUAAUGUCCUCUUUAAUGGAUUUCUAUGGAAUUAAUCUUUUUUUUUCAAUUAGUUGCAGCCCUAGAGGAAAAGUAGGGUGAUCAAAUUGAUUUAUCUCAUUUUUUUUUAGCAAUUUGCGACAUAAUGACCGUGAUAAUGCUUGUGACUGCUGGAAACUUUCUGAUGGAAAUAACUUCAGAGUUCGUAGCAAGCAUUUUUGUUAUGACAAAACAAAGGUUCCCGCGAAUUUUGGUUGUUGUUAGGCCACAAGUGCGUUUCACAUAUGCAAGGCGCAAGGGUAAUUCCGGAAAUACCAAUCGUGGCUGACGUGUCAUCAAGUAGUAUAGAGAGAAGAGUUUGUUAUGCAUUUCUGUUAGUGAUAAGUUGAUGGUAUUCUGUUUUGAUAAUUUGUUAGAGUUUUCUAUUAUUCUAUUUGGGCGUAAAAGUGAGGAGGUUAUAUGGAGAGGAGCUGUUUUUUGGGAAGGGGAUCUAGAGAAUUAUUUUGUAGUGAGCUUGCUCAUUUUGGGAGAGAUACCAAGCCUCUCGAAUGCUUGGGUGUUUUGGUUUAUUUCUGCAGAUAAAUACCAGUUUUCCUACUUCCAACAACAUUCUGUUCUCUACUGUGUUGUUUAUCUAACCAUUUCAGUUCAGGGCUUAUCAAAUUGGUAUCAGAGUAGUCACGUACCUAGAAAAUGACUGGCAAAAAUGUUGCUCAACGAAUGGAUUCCAUAGAGGAGGCGAUGGGUGCUGCGUAGGAGGAGUUUCAACGGGAAAUGAGAUCGUUGAAGGAUGAAAUAUAGAUGAUGAACAAACGAUUCGAACAGUUCAUCAAACUUCAAGAGGAUACGGGAGGUUCGUAUUCGAAUAAAAGGGAAAAGAUGCUCAGCCCCAACUUCGGCGGGUUGAGCUCAAGCGGAACUAGCCAUGAUUUCCGAUUCCGGAAACUUGAGAUGCCACUGUUCGAUGGCUCAAAUCUGGAUGGCUGGAUCUGAAGGCUGAACGAUAUUUUUCCGUAAAUCGGUUAUCCAAUGAAGAAAAACUUGAGGCAGCGAUAAUAGCUUUCGAGGGAGAUGCCCUGUUGUGGUAUCAAUGGGAGAAUAGGAAGAGAUCCAUGAUGGUUUGGGAAGAGAUGAGGCUACUAAUCUUGAAACAAUUCCGAGUAAUCCAAGCCGAUUCUCUCCAUGAACAAUGGCUAGCCCUUACUCAAGAUAGCAGUGUGCGAGAAUACCGCCGGAAAUUCAUCGAACUUUCGGCGCCGUUGGAGAACAUUACAGACGAACUAGCUCUGGGAAAUUUUAUCAAUGGGUUGAAGCCUGAAAUUCGGGUCGAGGUUCGGAUCAUGGAACCCAGUAAUUUGGGCCGGGCCAUGGACUUAGCCCAAAAGAUUGAGGAGAAACUGUGGGUGACCAAGGCCCACAAAGCAGACGGUGGGUUUCAUCGAGCAGGAGGGUCAACGCGAGGUGUGAACUUCCAUUCUGAAGCUUCGCAAUCUUCGUUUGGGGCAAAUCAUAACACGGCCCGAUUUUCGGGAGAGGUUAGGAGGUUGUCCGAUUCAGAAUUACAGAAGAAAGAGAGAAGGGACUAUGUUAUCGAUGUGAUGAAAAGUGGGCACCUGGGCAUCGCUGCAAGAAGAAAGAAUUGACUGUCCUUCUCACCUACGACAUGGACGAAGCAGAGCAGGAAGAGGAAGAAGGUUCGGGUGAAGGCGAUCCCGAACUGGAAACGGCCGAAAUUAAUCAAGGGAUAGAGGUCUCUCUUAACUCGGUGGUUGGUCUGACUACACCAAAGACGAUGAAGCUUAAGGCGUCUAUCGGGGAGCAAGAGGUGGUGGUACUGAUUGAUUCAGGUGCAACCCACAAUUUUAUUUCUCUAGAUUUGGUUAGUAAGAUGCAGAUACCCAUUGUUAAAACUGAGGCUUAUGGGGUGACUAUGGGUACUGGAGCGGCUGUAAGGGGAUAAGGUUUAUGUCGGGGAGUGACUAUUCAUCUACAGGGAAUAGAUAUUGUAGAGGAAUUCUUGCUGCUUGGGUUGGGGAGCUCGGAUGCUAUAUUAGGAGUUCAGUGGCUUGAAACUUUGGGGAUGACACACACAAAUUGGAAGACACAAGUGAUGAAGUUCAUGCUCGGAAAUGAAUCUGUUACUCUACGAGGGGAUCCUUCCCUUGGCAAGACUUUGGUUUCAUUGAAGGCAAUGAUGCGCACCAUUAAGCACGAGGGAGCUGGAAUUCUGGUGGAAUGUAAUCAAUUUGAAGGUCUGUGCGAAGUGAGCCCUGAGGUGCCACCGAAUCUAAACCAAGUCCUAGCAGAAUAUGAAUUGGUUUUUAACAUGCCCAUGGGCUUACCACCUACUAGGGGACAUGAGCAUUCCACUUUGCUCAAAGACGGCAGUCAACCUGUUAGUGUCCGACCAUACCGCUAUCCUCAUGCCCAGAAGGAUGAGAUUGAAAGACUGAUUCAGGAGAUGUUAGAUGCGGGAAUAAUCCAAGUCAGCAAUAGUCCAUUCUCGAGCCCAGUUUUGUUGGUUAAAAAGAAAGACAGAUCAUGGCGUUUUUGUGUGGAUUACAGGGCUCUCAACAAAACGACGGUACCAGAUAAGUAUCUCAUCCCUGUCAUUGAUGAACUCCUAGAUGAGUUACAUGGUGCCAGAAUUUUUUUCCAAGCUAGAUUUAAAUUUGGGCUACCAUCAAAUCAGAGUCAGUAGUCAGGAUGUUCAUAAGACUGCUUUUCGAACGCAUGAUGGACACUACAAGUUUCUCGUCAUGCCUUUUGGACUAACGAAUGCCCCGUCGACUUUCCAAUCCUUGAUGAAUGAUGUCUUCUGGCCUUAUCUUCGGAAGUUUGUUCUAGUGUUCUUUGAUGACAUUCUAAUUUACAGCCCUUCAGUGGAAUCCCAUCAGCAGCACUUGGCUCUCGUCUUGGGAAUAUUGCAGGCCAACAGCCUUUAUGCCAACCGAAAAAAAUGCGAGUUUGGAAGAACUCAAGUGGCAUAUUUAGGCCAUAUCAUCUCUGGACAAGGGGUGGCAGCGGAUCCAAGUAAAAUCCAAGCCAUUAACUUGUGGCCAACGCCCACUAAUCUGAAAGCGUUAAGGGGAUUUCUGGGAUUGACGGGGUAUUAUAGAAAGUUUGUGGCUGGGUAUGCUAGAAUCGCAUCGCCAUUGACUGAUCAGCUCAAGAAAGAUAGGUUUGGGUGGAGUCCAGAAGCUGCAGCGGCAUUUGAAGAACUCAAACAAGCUAUGUCUUCAGUCCCUGUGUUGGCAAUGCCUGAUUUCACAAAGCCAUUUAUUGUUGAGAAUGAUGCAUCUGGUUUUGGGUUAGGAGUUGUUCUACUACAGGGGCAACAACCAGUAGCUUACUACAGCCAAGUUUUGGGGCCCCGGGCUCGUCUUAAGUCCAUAUAUGAGAAAGAACUAAUGGCCAUAGUGUUUGCAAUCCUGAAAUGGCGGUCGUACUUGCUGGGAAGGCGAUUUAUUGUGCGAACAGACCAACAGAGCUUAAAAUUUCUUUUGAAGCAGAGGAUUGUUGGAGUUGAAUAUCAAAAAUGGAUCACCAAAAUCAUGGGAUAUGAUUUUGAUAUUCAAUAUCGUAUUGGGGCUGUUAACAUAUAUGUUUCCAUAAUAUUGAUUUUGAUGAUAACAAAAAAGAUUAAAAAUGAUUAAUCUUUUAAGCUCAAAUUAUUUUUUAUACAUUUUAAAUAAAUCAUUAUUUUUAUAUUAUAAAGGUUUUAUAUUUAAUGGAAAAAUGAUUUUAUGAAAUUGGUUGUUUUUCAAGUUUAUGAUUUAAUUGAAAGAGUUUUUGAAAACUUUGAAAUCAACAAGUAUUGCUUGAAAUUUUAGAGAAUGACUUAUUUUAAAAGUGUCAUAGCAUUUUGGGCUAUAUCAUAAUUUCAGAAAGUUUUGGGAUUAACAAAGCAUUACUUAGAAAUUCUGAAAUUGGACCUAUUUGUAAACUUUCAUAACAUUUUGGGCCAUACUGUAGUUUUAUAAAGUUUUGGGGUCAAACUAUAAUUUUAAAAAAUAGUGCACUGUGCAGGUUACUGUACCAAUCACUGUAGCAAAUGGCUAACCGUUUAUUUAAAAACGGCUAACCGAUAAUUUCCAGAAAGCAUGUUCUGCAAAGUAUUGUUAAAAUGAUGAUUCUGGAAACUAACGGUGAACCGUUUACUGAAAACGGUUAACCGAUUAUUUCCAGAUUGUUAACCUUGAACCGUUUAGUAAGAACGGUUAAACCAAAUUUGUUUUGCAGGUCUCUGGAAAUUAACGGCGAAAGGGUAAGCCUAAACGGCUAAUCGUUUAUUUAAAAAUUGGCCCAACGGUAACUUUGACCGGCCUAAACGGUUAACCGUUAAUGGUUAACGGCGAACCGUUUUCGAGCAAACAGUCUAUAACGGCUAGUUUUUCAGCUCCAACUAUAAAUAAGCUCAAUCCAAUUCAAACAAGAAGAAUUCCAACGAUCAUCAUUGAGCAAAAUAUUGAGAAUAUAACUUUCAUUGAGCUUUAAAUCCUUGUAUUCAUCUCAUUCAUUCACACAUUGAGCUUUCACUUGUGAUUAAACACAUUGUGUGAGAGAGAUUUAUUUGUAAUCCUUUUUGUAAAAUCAAGUUAAAAGAUUGUAAGUGUUGGGAUACACUUGGGUUAAGAGAUUGGGGAUAAUCUCUUGUUGUAAAGGUCCAUUGACACCUUGGAAGUCAAUUGUAAGCGUUUGAAGCCUUGGGAGGCUAGCUUAGUGAAAUCCUCAAGCUCGGUGAGCUUGGAGGCAUGGACGUAGGCGGGGAUUGCCGAACCACGUAAAAAUCAUUGUGUUUGUUUUCUCUUCCCUUACUCUUUUAUAUUGUGAUUGAUUUAUUUGUUAUUGCUUUAAAUUAGUUUUGGAUUUGCAUUGAGUUUUGUUUUAGAAUUGAAUAAUUUUUAAUAUCCCAAUUCACCCCCCUCUUGGGUUGCCUAGUUAGUAUUUCAUUUGGUAUCAGAGCGAGGUGUUCUUGUGUAGACUUAACCGUCUAGAGUUAAAGAUCCAUGGCAACCUAUAGUGACUCAACCUUUAGGGAAGGACAAUCCACAAUUAGACCACCGUUCUUCGACGGUAAUGACUACCCAUAUUGGAAAACUAGGAUGAGAAUUUAUUUACAAGCUUUAGAUUAUGAAAUUUGGGAAAUUGUUUGUGAUGGUCCAUUUAUGCCUUUGACUAAAAACGAAGUUGGGGAAGAUAUUCCAAAACCUUCACGGGAAUGGAAUGAAUUGGAAAAGAGAAAAGCUUCUCUAAAUUCCAAAGCCAUGAAUGCCUUGUUUUGUGCACUUGAUAAGAAAGAGUUUCAUAGAGUGUCUAGUUGUGAAAGUGCUAAUGAAAUUUGGCACAAACUUGAAGUUGUUUAUGAAGGCACGAAUCAAGUGAAAGAGUCUAAAAUUAGUAGGUACACUCGGCAAUAUGAAUUGUUCCAAAUGGAACAAAAUGAGAGUGUGUAUUCUAUGAAUACUAGAUUUACGGACAUAGUGAACACUCUAGGAGCCCUAGGAAAGACCUUUUCAAAUAGCGAGAAAGUUAAGAAAAUCAUUAGGUCGUUACCUAAGAAAUGGAGACCAAAAAGGACUGUCAUUGAGGAAGCUCAAGAUUUGAAUAUCUUACCUAUUGAUGAUUUAAUUGGUUCUCUUAUUUCUUAUGAGGAAGACAUGGCAGCCGAAAGAGGCAAUGAGGAGAAGAAGAAAAGCAUUGCUCUCAAAGCCUCGAAACAUGAGAGUGAUGAGGAAAGCGAGCUGGAUGAGGAGGAGAUGGAUAUGCUGGCUAGGAGGUUCAGAAAACUUUUUAAGAAAUCCGAUGAGCGAAGAAAAUUUAGAGACCUCAAGAACCGAAAGGAGAAGAAGGAAGUAAUCAAAUGUUAUGAGUGCAAGAAGCCUAGCCAUAUAAGAACGGAAUGCCCUCUUCUCAACAAGCUGAAGAAGAAAGCAAUGAUAGCCACAUGGGAUGAUAGCGAUGAGGAAACAAGUGAUGAUGAAGAGCAUCAAGAAAUGACAAAUCUAGCUCUCAUGGCAAUUGGAGAUGAAUCGAAUGAUGAACUUGAUGAGGUAAAUGAUCUUUUUACUUAUGAUGAAUUAUAUGAUGCUUUUAAAGAAUUACAUGAUAAUUGGAUAAAAAUUGGUAAAAAGAAUGCAUGUCUUAAAAAGAAAAUGGUAGAGCUCAAAAAUGAAAAUGAAUCUCUAUGUGCAAAGAUUACAUGCCUAGAAUUAGAGAAUAAAACAUUGCAUGAUAGAGUUGCAUUAUCAAAUGAGAAACCUAGUACUUCACAUGAGCAUCUAGAAUAUCACAUAGAUGACUUGAAAAAUGAAAAUGAAAUGCUUAAGAAGAAGAGCAAUGAGUUAAAUGAGAUUGUUUUAAGAUUUACAAAUGGACAAAAGAUGUUGGAUAACUUGAUUAAUUCACAAAAAAUGUGUGUUUGAUAAAGGAGGACUUGGUUAUAAGCCACAUUUGAAACAAAAGUAUUAUAGGAACUACUUUGUGAAGAGUACAUCUACUAACAAUCAAGUUGUAUGUCAUUAUUGUAAUCAAAACGAUCACAUGAAGCUUGGUUGUCCUAUUAAAAGAAAAGUAUAUUAUGGAGUAAAAUGUGUUUUGGUUCCAAAAGGAAAAAUUGCUAACACUCAAGGACCCAAGAGUAUUUGGGUACCAAAGGGCACAACGUGAAUGUUUUCUUUGUAGGUACCACAAUCAAGGAAUGGUGGAGAGUUCCUUGAUGAAAGCUUGUGAGGAUAAUCACUUGAGUAUGAUCUAGGAGAAAAAGAUGAGGCAAGAUGAUUUAAUUGUUUUGGUAACAAUUUUUGCCAUAUUAAUUUUGUUGAAUGAAUCAUGAUAAAUGAAUUUGCGAAAAUAUGCUUGUAUGUUUACAUGAUGGAAUUAUCAUUGUGUAUAACAUUGAGUGAUUUAUCAUGAUGCCUUUGUUUGAUUUUGAUGAUUGUAUGGUCUUUGAUUUCAUCUUCUUAAUUGUCUAUCAUCAUUGUCCAUCUCUUAUAAAUGUGUGAAUUCAUAUGCCAUUAAUUGUGUUAUAUCAUCAUUCAUGUAUAAAAUUGAACUUAGAAAUUAUGAGGAAAAAGUAGUAUCCUUCAUCUUUACAAUCAGUACAAGGAUCCCUUUUAAAUAGAGCAAUUAUAACAGAAAAGGAAACUAAUUAAGAGCUAAUAUUUGACAGCUAUCAUCUAUAUUUACAGAGGAAAGGAUCCUACAAUAUCUCUAGGAUUAAGGCUAAAUUCAAGGCCUAAUUUCCAACACUCCCCCUCAAGCUGGUUUGAAGAUAUCUUCCAUAGCCAGCUUGCUAGUCAACUUAUCAAAUUGCUUCUUGUGCAAUCCCUUUGUUAAUACAUCAGCUAACUGUUCAGUUGUUGGAAGAUAUGUCAUACAUAUUAUUCCAGUGUUGAGUUUCUCCUUGAUGAAGUGUUUAUCCACUUCUAUAUGUUUUGUUCGAUCAUGAAGAACUGGAUUAUGAGCUAUAGAAAUAGCAACUUUGUUGUCACAAUAGACUUUCAAAGGAGUUGAGAAAGUAAAUUUCAGUUCUUCAAGAAUUCUUUUUAUCCACAUAACCUCGCAGAUUCCAUGGGCAACAACUCUGAAUUCUGCUUCUGCACUACUUCUAGCAACCACAUUCUGUUUUUUACUCCGCCAUGUAACUAGGUUCCCACCAACAAAGGAACAGUAGCCAGAUGUUGAUCUCCUGUCAGUGACACUUCUUGCCCAGUCUGCAUCUGUGUAGACUUCAACUUGAAGAUGUCCAUGUUUUUUGAACAUUAGGCCCCUCCCUGGAGUUCCUUUUAGGUAUCUUAAGAUCCUGUAGACUGCCUCAAAAUGCUCUGCCCCUGGUGAGUGCAUAAACUGACUUACCAUGCUGACUGCAAAGGCGAUAUCAGGUCGCGUAUGAGACAAGUAGAUCAACUUCCCUAUGAGUUUUUGAUACUGUUCCCUAUCCUUUACUUCUUCAACCUUAGCAGGUUGUAACUUCAAGUUAGGAUCAAUUGGGGUCUCUACCAUCUUACAACCAAGCAAACCUGUUUCUCCAAGGAGAUCAAGAACAUAUUUCCUCUGAUUCACAAAUAUACCUUCCUUGGAUCUUGCAAAUUCCAUUCCAAGGAAAUACUUAAGGACUCCCAAAUCCUUAAUUUGAAACUUCUUUGCAAGUCUCUUCUUGAGGGCUGCUAAUUCUGUUUCAUCAUCACCAGUUAAAAUGAUAUCAUCAACGUAAACAAUCAAAAUUGCAAUUUUACCGUCUUUUGAGUGUUUAUAAAAUAUUGUGUGAUCUCCUUGACUCUGCAAGAAGCCAUAACUGAUAACUGCCUUUCCAAAGCGUUCAAACCAUGCUCUUGGUGACUGUUUGAGACCAUAUAAUGACUUUCUUAAUCUGCAGACUUUAUCACUACCAAGACUCUUCUCAAAUCCUGGUGGUAGACUCAUGAACACCUCCUCUUUAAGAUCACCAUUGAGAAAUGUAUUUUUAACGUCAAGUUGGUGUAAAGGCCAAUCACAAUUCACUGCAAGAGAUAACAAAAUUAUGAUAGAAUUUAUUUUAGCAACAGGAGUAAAAGUCUCAUGAUAGUAAAUCCCAUAAGUCUGAGUGAAGCCUUUAGCCACCAGCCUCGCCUUGUACCUCUCAACGCUUCCAUACGCGUUACAUUUUAUCCUAAACACCCACUUACACCCAACUAUUUUCUUGUCUCUGGGUGGAUCAACUAUCUCCCAAGUACCACUUCUCCUCAAGGCAUUCAUCUCCUCCAUGACUGCUAAUUUCCAAUUCGGGUCAUCCAGUGCUUCCUGUACAUUUCUUGGAACAAACAAGUGUGAAAUCCUAGAUGUGAAAGCUUUAUGGUUUUUUGACAGUCUUUGAUAGGAAAGAUAAUUUGCAAUAGGAUGUUUGGUGCAGUUUCGAACACCUUUCCUAAUAGCUAUAGGGACAUCAAGAUCAGAAAUAAUUGGUGAAUUAUUGGAAACAAUCGAAGGAAUCAAAGCUGGAGUUGGGAUUUGAUUACCUGAAAUUUCAGUGCCGGAACUCAGUUUUUCAAAUUGGGCUUGUGUAGGAUUGACAUUCAAGUCUUUACUUCUCAGAUGAAAUCUCUUCCUAGUAUAAACCUGAAGUUCAGAAUUUAGAUCAUGUUGAUCUGUUUGUAGUACUUCUCCCCCUGAACGAGAAUCCCUUGUACUAGGCUCUAAAGAACUUGUUUUUCUCAACUGAUCAUUAUCAGAAAAGUGUGGUCCUUGAAUAGGACAAAUAACAUUUGGAAGUGGGAUAGAAAUGUCCCAAAAAUUGUCUUCUACUCCAUUUGUCUCCCCCUGAAGAGAAUUUUUUAUGAAAUAAGGAGUUUUUUCCAAAAACGACACAUCCAUACUCACAUGAAAUGUUUUUGUUUGAGGGUCAAAACACUUAUACCCCUUUUUGUUCGAUGAAUAACCCAAAAAUACACACUUUAUAGCACGUGGGUCAAGUUUUGAACGAAAUUGACUUGGAACAUGAACAUAGACAGUACACCCAAAAACUUUGACGGGUAAAUCAGAAAACAACCUUGUUGCAGGAAAAAAUUCUUUAAGGCAAUCAAGAGGUGUUUUGUAUUUUAACACCUUGGUAGGCAUCCUGUUUAUUAAAUAAGCUGCUGUUAAAACCGCUUCACCCCAUAAAUACUUAGGAAUAUGCAUGUAAAACAUUAUGGCACGUGCUACCUCAAGUAAAUGUUUAUUUUUCCGUUCUGCAAUGCCAUUUUGUUGAGGGGUAUUCCGACAUGUAGAUUGAUGAAAAAUGCCUUUAUCAUUCAAAUACUCACCCAAGUGCUCAUUGAAAUAUUCUGUUCCAUUGUCAGAAUGUAAAAUACCAAUUCUAGUUUGAAAUUGAUUUUCAAUCAUAGUGUAAAAAUUUUCAAAUAAAUAUUUUACGUCAGAUUUUUUAUGCAUGAGAUAAAUCCAACAUAAACGAGUAUGGUCAUCAAUAAAAGUAACAAACCAUUUUUUACCGGAAAGGGUAGUGACCUGAGAAGGACCCCAAACAUCACUAUGAAUCAAAUAAAAAGGUUUGGAGGCCUGGUACUGUUUUGGCAAAUAAGUAGAACGAUGAAGUUUUGCAAAAGUGCAACAUUCACAAUAAAAAGAAGAGCAAUCAAUCCCUUUAAAUAAUUCUGGAAAUAAGUAUUUCAAAUAAAGAAAACUAGGAUGUCCUAGUCUAUAGUGCCAUAGCAUUAUUUUUUCUCGAACAGAAAUUGAACUAGUACUAAUAAAGUUCUGAGCUUUUUUAUUACUAAUAGGUACUUCAUCAAAGUAGUAAAGACCUUCAAUCAUCCUAGCACGUCCAAUCAUCAUCCCCGAGUUCUGGUCCUGAAAUUCACAAUGUGAUUCAAAUAAGGUAAUACGACAAUUAGAAUCUCUAGAUAAUUUACUAACAGACAAAAGACUGCAGGCUAAUUUAGGGACAUGAAGAACAAAAUUGAGAUUAAUUUUCUCGGUCAGUUUGAUAAGUCCUUCUCCUGCAAUAGGUGAAAAACUACCAUCGGCAAUUCUAAUUUUUUUAUUUCCAGAACAAGGAGAAUAGGUAUUAAAUAAAUGAAAAGAACUAGUCAUGUGAUCAGAGGCUCCAGAAUCUAUGAUCCAUGGAGAAGAGUUUAAACAAGAAAGGGCUAUAGGAUUUCUACCUGUUUUUGCCAAAGAAACACUAGGAAUACCAGACGAGAAGUUGGAUUUUAUCAGCUUCAGGAGUUGAUCAAUCUGCUCUUUGUUAAAGUGGCCUGAGUUGGCUUCAUUGGCCGAAGGAAUCCCACGAUUCUUCUCUCCUUGCUUGCUGCUUUUCCAGUUUUCAGGUUUGCCAUGAAGCUUCCAACACUUCUCACGUGUAUGGCGAGGCUUGUGGCAAUGAUCGCACCAGGCCUGUGACUUAUCAUCAGACCUGCGCUGAUAAUUUGCAGUCUUGUAGGCUGCUGCAUCAGUAAUUAAGGCAGAAUUCUCAAUUGACUCACCGGCACUCCUUUUCCUGAGCAUUACGCUCCUUCGACUUUCUUCUCUUCUGACUUCAGCAAAGACUUCGCCAAUGGGUGGUAGAGGAGGUCUGCCAAUAAUCCUCCCUCGUACUUCAUCAAACUCAACAUUGAGGCCGGCAAGAAACUUGUAAAUACGACUGUCUUCCACGGUUUUCUUGUGGUGGUUGCAGUCAUCAGCGGAUUUCCAUUCAUAUGUGUUGAAGAGGUCAAGAUCUUGCCACAACCUUUUCAAAGAAUUGAAAUAUUUGGUGACAGAAUCAUCACCUUGACGAAUCUCUCCCAACCUUAAAGUUAACUCAAAAACCUGAGAUUGGUUGCCCAGGUCAGAAUACAUCUGACUAACGUUGUCCCACAAUUCUUUAGCAGUAGGAUAGCACAUAUAAUUGGAGCUUAUAUCCUCCUCCAUGGAGUUGACCAGCCAUGUCAUAACCAUGGAAUUUUCAGCAUCCCAAGUGGCAUACAGCGGAUCAUCAUUAGCAGGAACCUUCUUGUCACCAGUGAUGUAACCAAUUUUUCCUUGCCCACGGAUAUACAUCCGGACAGAUUGCGACCAGCGGAGGAAGUUGUCGCCAUUUAAGCGGAUGGUGGUGAUUUGAACAGAAUGAGAGUUGGAGUGGUUUCGCAGGGUCUCAGAUGUUUUUUCUGGAAUGGCAGCAGCAAGGGUUUGAGUGGUUUCAGACGUGACUUCUGACAUGGUUGCAGACACGAUUCCCUAUGCUCUGAUACCAACUUAGAAAUUAUGAGGAAAAAGUAGUAUCCUUCAUUUUUACAAUCAGUACAAGGAUCCCUUUUAAAUAGAGCAAUUAUAACAGAAAAGGAAACUAAUUAAGAGCUAAUAUUUGACAACUAUCAUCUAUAUUUACAGAGGAAAGGAUCCUACAAUAUCUCUAGGAUUAAGGCUAAAAUCAAGGCCUAAUUUCCAACAAUUGACAUUAUUGUUUGAUACGAUUUCAUAUGUUUGGUCUUGUAUACAUUUAUGCCUCAUGCAUUAAAAUGGCUUAUAAAACAUUUUUGGAUCAAUUAGUUAGUAUUUCAGGGGCAAGUAAUCGAGUAACGGAUGCACUCUCACUCUUAACAGAACCAGCAGAGUGUUCAGCUUUGGCGAUUCCUCAGUGCCAACAUUGGGAUUCCUUAAAGGUUGAGUUGGCAGAGGAUACCUUUCUGAAGAAACUAAGGGAAGACAUAACUUCGGGUACACAAUCUCACGUGGGGUUCUCAGUUGAGCAUGGAGUAUUGUUCUACAAGAGUCGGCUGGUUAUUCCUCAGACUACUAAGCUUCUUUUUGCUCUCAUAGGAGAGUUUCACACCACUCCGAUUGGGGGACAUUCGGGAGAAACAAAAACUUACCAACGCUUAGCAGCAGAAUUGUAUUGGAUAGGUAUGCGCAAGGAUGUCACCAGAUUUGUACGGGAAUGCACCAUCUGCCAGCAGAAUAAGUACUUGGCCACUACUCCCGCAGGGUUACUUCAACCUAUUCGACUACCAGCCCAGGUUUGGGAGGAAGUCACACUUGAUUUUAUUGAGAGGUUGCCUCGUUCUGAAGGGUGGGAUGCCAUCUUAGUAGUGGUGGACAGGCUGAGUAAGUAGGCUCACUUCAUAGGAUUAAAACAUCAUUUUUCUGCUGUUUCGGUUGCUGGAAUCUUUGUUCGUGAAAUUGUUAGGCUUCAUGGGAUACCACGGUCAAUUAUCUCUGACCGAGAUAGGAUAUUCUUGAGCCAUUUUUGGAGUGAAUUGUUGAAGCUGCAGGGAACUACUCUCAAAAGAAGCACCGCCUAUCAUCCACAAUCUGAUGGACAAACAGAAGUUGUCAACCGUUGUUUGGAAACGUAUCUAUGCUGCUUUGCUUCUGGAAAACCUCGAAGUUGGGCUCGCUCGUUGGCAUGGGCUGAGUAUUGGCAUAAUACUUCCUUCUACUCUUCUACACAUUGUACUCCAUUUCGUGCUCUCUAUGGAAGGGAUCCACCCCCUCUUAUUCGGUAUGAGCAAGGAGCUGCUUCGGUAUCUUUGGUAGAACAGUUAAUGGAGGAUCGUGAUGCCAUACUGGACGACCUGAGGAUGCAGUUGCUUCGUGCCCAGCAGCGGAUGAAGCUGCAAGCUGAUCAAAAGCGCCAUCAUGUAGAGUUCAAUGCAGGUGAUUUGGUAUUUCUGAAACUAAGACCUUACCGGCAGCGCUCCCUCGCUCAACGUAAGUUUGAGAAAUUAGUUGCACGUUACUACGGUCCAUUUAAGGUUCUUCAGCGUGUCGGGAAGGUGGCAUACAAACUAGAACUGCCUCAAACAGCAAAACUCCACCCUAUCUUUCAUGUUUCGCAGUUGAAAGAUAAGGUUUCAAACAACAAACUACAUACUAGUUUUCCUACUUCCAACAACAUUCUGCUCUCUACUGUGUUGUUUAUCUAACCAUUUCAGUUCAGGGCUUAUCAGUUGUUUCUUAUGGUAUUUAUAUAUCCGACAUAUUCUAGUUCGACAUGUAACGAUGUAGUUUGGUUGGUUCUUCUUGCUUUUUGUGCAAUUUGUAACUGCAGAUACGUGUGGGAAAACAUUUAAUGGAUCUUGUUGCUGUUGAUUAGUUCAAAGACAAAGAGAAUGGACCAUGUAGCUAGGCGUCAAGGCUGUGAUGCACAAGUAACUAUUCUUUUCUUUUUUAUUUUUCCUUUUCCAUUGACGGAUUAGAAGAAAAUACUGCCUGUGAGAUACUACAAUAUAAAUAACUUCUGGUGGUUCAUUGAAUCUAUAACACUCUGAGCCCUAUUCUAAAAUAUGUAGGUUGCUUCCAAAAAAGGGCUUUUCUCACUGAUCUUUAAUCUUCAAGUAAGCUUGUUUCAUUUCAGAAGGUAUUAAGUUUCAAACUUAUCGUUUUGGGAGGUUGUAUGGUUGUAACGUAAGCAUCUGCAGGUUCCUGGUUCAACAAAUUAUAGUAUGGUAUUUUAUUUUGUCACAAGGGAAUUAAUUACAGGAUCCCUUUUGCAAUGGUUUGUUGACGGCGAUGAUGAAUUUCGCAAUGAAACUUAUCCCAUCCGUUCCUAAGGUAUCCGUCUUGGUCUUCAUGUAUUAGGACUAUGUUAACUAAUACGUACCCUCCGCUGCAUAGUACACUUUAAUUUGUACAAAGAAGGCAUGCAUUUAGGUGUAAAUGUAUUAAUGGGUUGUACCUUCAAACUUCAUUUCCUUUUUCUACCGAUUUGAAUUUGUUUUGCAUUUGUUCUUGAUUUUAAGCAUUGAAUCAUGCAGGGGUCAUGGAUCGUGCGCCAGAGUGAUGGAAGCACCCCUUGUUUAUUAGGAAAAGCAGUUGAUUGUAACUAUAUCCGCGGUCCUAAGUACUUAGAAGUAAAUGCUCUUCGAAUUUCUAUAGUACAUGGGAUGUGUUCCCUUUCGAAUAGCUUGUUCAAUACCAUUAACAUGGUUUAACAUUGUUCAUCUUUCUGCAGAUUGAUGUUGGCAUGUUCUUCUACUGUUGCUAAUGGAGUUUUGGGCCUUGUAAUUGGUGUAAUUACGGCAGUGGUGGUUGACAUGGCUUUCCUUGUACAGGUAUGUAUGAUUGUUUUUUUCCUCUACUUCUAAAUGGACACAAGGGAAAAGACAUGAUUUUGAGAUAUUGUACUGCAAUUUGCAUAUUUGCAUACUUGAAUGUUCUCAGAAUGGUAUAAUGCUUCGUGUAUGCAGGCAAAUACUACAGGUGAAUUACCGGAGCGGCUGAUUGGAGCUGUACGUGUUUCUUAUAUAGAACUCAAGUCUGCUAUUGUCCCAAAGUUGGAACCAGAGACAUCAUGACUGUGUUUUCAUUUCACCUCAACUGUUUGUUUUUAAUUUAAAAAAAAUCAUUUGUUUUAGGUAUACAUACAUGUAUUUUGAUCCCGUUUUCAUUGUAAUUUCUCAUUUACUUUGAAAGAAAGUCAUUGGUGUUUUCGAAUGGGAAUUUUGCAUUAAAAAAUAAAGAAUACUUAAUAGGAAAUUUCAUGAUUCUUUAGUUACUAUUUUUGGAAUGAGUGUAAUAGUAUUAAAGUUGGUUUCUACUCGCAAACAAGUGAACUACUCGAUCCCCAACUGUGACCACGCUAAUUGUCAUUGUUUAAUAGCUACUACUUUUAAAACUCAACAACUAACAAAAAUACUAAUAAAAAAAUGAUUUUCUUAUGAUGCUGUGAAAACAUUUAUGGGUUCACUUAUUUCCACAAGAUCUAUAACAUGGUCUUGACUUCACGAAAUUCUUUUAAUUUAAAGGGUGCUGGUAUGAGAAAAUCAGUUUUACGGAUUAAUUCCUUUUAAUAAUGGUCGAGUUAAUUUUACUAUACUCAUAAAACUAUUCUUAUUCUGAUAAUGCCACAAAUGUUAUGCUGUUUUCUUCAGCUAAUGAUCUUCUAUCAGGACUAGUUAGAAAUCAAAUGCUUAAAACACCAAUUGAAUGAAUGAUGCAGAAGUUUAAACAGUAUCUAAUUGAAAAUUGCCUGAAACAUGAAACAUCAAUUCAAGUCCUUCCUUAAACAGAGAAUGCAUCAAACAAAUCCAAAGUGUCUUUCAAGUCUGUAGCAUGACUAAAAAAUUGUAAAUGCGUUCAGAACCAAAUUAUUCAAGUACAGGAGAACGAGCAAGUUGAAUCAUGUACAAGAGGUUGACCUAGUUCUAGAUAGCUUCUUCACUGUACCUGAAGGGUUGGCUCAAUCUUUUCUUUAGAAUUCUGCACAUUUUGUAAUUACUCGUGUAAGCAAGCAUACAUUACAAUCAUAAUAAUAAUAAAGCAAGAGUAAUGAUACGACCACAACCUCUUGUGCACAAAUAAUAUUGUACAAACUAACAUGACAUAAUAUGAUUGAGUAAUGAUACGACCACAAUCUUUUGUGCACAAAUAAUAUUGUACAAACUAAUAUGAUGUAAUAUGAUUGAUUAAACAAAAACAUAACAUAACCCUUAUAAUUUAUUUAUUAUUAUUUUAUAUUUUCAAUCAAGCAAUCAUAUUAUGCCACGUUAAUAGCUAUAGAAAUAAUUUGCUAGAUAGUGCCAACACUUCAUUGAUACUCACCAUUUCAUUGAACAAUUUUUUUAUGGUGUCAUUGAGGUUGCCUUCCCCACAUCCUUCAUCAUCAUCUUUUUCUUCUUCGGUGACGUUCACUUUGUUUAGCAUUGGUGUGUCUAAGACUCCUUGAGAGAAGAUCUUCAUUUUUGGACACUGUCUCACAACUACUUGUUUCAAGGACGGGAAUUCAAGAGCGUAAUUACCCAAACAAAAGCUUGUUAGGAUUGGCAAACAAUCAAGUUCCAAGUACUUUAAUUCCUUGAAAACAAUGCAAUCUUUCGUUUUUUCUCCAACCUGCGAUUGUAUGAUUUCUUCUAUCAUUUUGCAAUCAGCUAUCUUUAUUCUUUGAAGAUUCACUAGAUUUUUAGAUGCUGAGAGCGUCAACGCAUUUAUCAACCCGUGACACUUCGAUACUUGUAGUCCCCACAGAUUUUCCAAAUGCCACGAAGGUGGUACUAAUUUUUGUAACUUACUACAUUCUGAUAUUUCUAGACUUCCCAAGUUUGCAAACGCUUUGUUGGAUUCGUCAUUUUCCUUCCAGAGAUGCUGCACUUUGUGUAAUUUAGACAGCUUUAACUCCCUCAAUUUAGGGAAUGCAACCUGAAAAUCAACAAAAUUAAGUUGUAAAUUAAAAUAUGUAUCCAAUCUCUGCAGUCUUCCCCUGCAUAUUUUAUGGACAAGAUUAAUCACGACAUUUUAUAUUUUUUUUUCCAAAUUAGUAUGCUUUGCAGUAGGAUCCCAAAUAUAAGUAUCAAAUCGAUUACCCUUUGAAACACAUAAAUGAAAUCUGAUACUAAAUCCAAAUGAAUUAGCUAGGAAAACAGAGAUGCGACAAGCAUAAUUGAAAUAUAGUUCAUCACCUCAUGUUACCAGUCAUCGAAAUAAUUUAAGACAUUUUUAUAAUUCAUACUAUAAAGUUAGUUAAUAACUACGGUUAUAUUGUUAAAUCAGAUAUAAAUUAAGACGACGUGCAAAAAGAUGAGUCAUUAAAUUUGAUUUGAUUCUAAUGAAAUUAUAUCUGUGCGAAUGAAAGUGAAGGGAAAAAUAAUAAUAAUGAUUACCUUUUCAUUGAAGAGAUGUUGUAUUUGAUUAGCUACCAAGAUGUUCUCUUCUGAUUUUAAUUUUUGAGCUUCCUUAUUAUCUGCUGUCAUGUGCAGUACAGAUGUAGAAUUGGAUAUGAAUGUUUCCAUAUCAGGGCAAUUCUCAAUAGUUAGAUAUCUCAACUCAGGCAGUUCAAUUAUAUUCCCAGUGAAGUUGUAGAAUCUUUUGAGUUUUGGAAGAUCAAUGAGCCUUAGCCAGGAAAGCCUAGGAAACAGGGGGCCUAUAUGUUCUUCCUUAGCAUUUAGCUCUUCCAAAUGAAGCACCUCUUCUAGUGAAUCACAAUUCCUCACUUCUAGGUACCUUAAAUUGUUCAAGCAUCGUAGCAGAUUGGCAGGAAUAGCACUCGACAUAUUCGUGCAGUCAUCCACCACCAGCUCUCUUAAAUUGUUGAAGAAGCUGACAGGCAGUGCUUGGCCAUGCCAUAUUUCUUGCAAGCGUGGAAAAUGCGAGAGUUGCAAAUCCUUUAUAUCACGAAAUCCAAUCUGCACAAACCAAAACAAUUGCACUGGAUAUAUACAAAUUUUUUUUUAAAGGCAUUAUAUAUAUACACAUUAAACUUACAUGUUUUGUGUUUUAACUUUUAAAAAUAUAUAUACAAGGGAGGUGUAUAUGCUUAAAUGUGCAAGUGCAGGGGAGAUGCAUGAACAAUUUGGGUGAAUCGAUUAACACAUACCAUUUCUUCAUAACACUUUUGUAUAGUGGAAUUAAGGUUGCCUUCCCAAUGGUGCGGUUCACCCUCUUCCUUUUUACUCACUUGGACUUUGUAUAGCUUUGGUGUGGAUAAGAUUCCCAGAGAAAAAGUCAUCAUGUCCGGACAAAGUGUCACAAAAACUUGUUCCAGUGAUGGGAAUUCAAGAGUGUAAUUCUCCAAACAAAAGCUGGUAAGCCUUGGUAAAUCAUCAAGUAUCAAAACUUUUAAUUUGCUGAAAGCAAUACGAUUCUCCUUCACUUCUUGUCCAACAUGUCCUACGAUUUCUUCUAAUUUUGGGCAACCCGAUACUUUAAGAUUCACUAGACUACUAGGAAUUCCAACCUUAUUAUGAAAUGUCUGUGUGCAUGUGUGUGUGUAUUAAAAAAGUAAAAAUGUAAGAAUAUCAUUCAACUAGAUUCAAAGUAUGGUUAAUCAUACAAUUAUACAUUUUAUGAACAUAACAAAUUAUGAAAUGUCUACUAGAUAUUUUUUGUCAAACAAAAACGGAACAAGAUAAAUAAAUAAAUAAAAGCCACAUAAACAAAGAUAAUAAAAAUGCAUUUACACUAUUUAGUAUUAGGAACGUAGCAAGAAUUUAAGGCAAUUUCUAAAUAUUUUAGACUUAUUUUGCAUCUUGACGCCAGUUUUUAAACAAAAUUUGCAAAUUUCAACUAUUCCUUUUGGGAAAAAAAAUCAACCAAAAUGCCGCUUUUUCCCUUUUUCCUUGGUCCCUUUUUUUUAUGUAUAUUUAAUUUUGGAAACAAAAUUAAAGUGGAUCUUUAUUAAGUACUUGCAGACUCGAGGAAAUUUCUUUACAAUCAAGGAUCAGUUGUAAAUAAUCAUGAAUUUGUGGUUAAUUAAUGGCAUAAUCAGUUCGAACUAAACAAGAGAUAUUAAUUAAAUUUGAAGACUUUUCUUUUCUUUUUUUUUUCUUUUUCCAAUCAAAAUGUGAAGAAUUAAGGAAAAGAGAAAUAUAUAGAUGAAUUUGUGAACCUAUAAGAUGAGUGACUAUCCUUUAAUUUUUGAUAAUUGUACUUAUUAAGAUAUGAGCAGAAACAAUUAAAUUGAAUUAUAUUAUGCUGUUGAAUCGUGAUUAAAAAAAUUAUAUUGUUGAUUCUAAUGCUGGCAAACCUAAAAACUGGACUUAAAAUGUAGAUUUGAGAGUGGUGGUUCGAAGUACAAUACUUGAAAUAAAUAAUCAGUGGCUGAAUAUCAUUUGUAACCCAAAAAUGGUUAAAAUAUUGUUGGAUGUAAUUUGAAAAAAAAAAAAAAAGAUUCGAAAUGAAUACAACAACCUUACCAAUGGAGGAAAAAUAUUCAUUAGGUUAUCACACCUAGAUAUCUCCAAAUUCUUCAAUUUCCUGAAAGACUCCAAAGCAAGCUGGUGGUGCCAUAUUGUUCUCAGGUUAGCCAUCCACGCAAUAUCUAAUACCUCCAACCUAGGAAGUAGUACCUGGCAGUUAAAGAUUAAAUAACUAAUUAAUCGGCAUAAUCUAUUGAUAACCAAAUUAGAGGCGGAUAUUAACUAAAUUUGAAGACUCAAGGAAAAGACAAAUUAAAUAUUGUGGCUAAAAUUAAUUAAAAAAAAAACCUUUUCGUCAAAGAGAGGUGGAGAUUGCAUUUCAGAAUGAAGGGUGUCUGCUGGUGAGCUCGUAGAGAUGAAUCUUAACAUAUUAUUGCAACCAUGGAUCUCCAGGUUUAGCAAAGAAGGGAAUUCAACAACUAAAUCUGAAUGAAUCUGUCCCGUAUUGGCAAAACUUGUUAGUUCUGGAAGCCAUUCUAGCUUGAGGGAGUGUAGUUUAGGAAAAACCUUUAAUUCAAUCAACUUUCCUUCAUCUCUUUCUGACCACCCCGUGGUGUCGACUACCCCUUCCAUUGACUCACAAUAGCUUAUCUCAAGAUGUUGGAGUUUCGCAAGACUAUUAACCAUAGAAUAUGAAAACAGAUACUUCAGACAAUCACAACUCCACACGAUGACCUUUGUUAAGUUUUGACAACAGUACAUUCCUUGAUUAUGAUCGGCCCAUAAUUUUUUCAUGUUUCUUAAGUUCCUGAUAUUCAAUUCCUCUAAGCUCGGAAGAAUAAUAACCUGCAAAGAAAACCCGUACAUUUUUGUUCCUUCAAGUACAACCGUCUAGUAUAAUAUUUUUUGAUGAUCGAAGAUUAAUCGUGAAUCCGUGAUAAUAAAUUAAUCAAUUAAUUAUUGAACAGAAAAUUAUCACCUUUGGAGCAGGGUCAUCAUCAGCAAUGAUUUCGUUAAAUCCCAAAGAAGAAGUUGGUUUCUCCCUGUCGGGUCCUAUAAACAAACAAAAACAAUAUACAUAAUUAAUCUUUGUUCUUUUUUUUUUUUUGGUCCAAAAUAAUUGAAGAGAAGUCCAUAAUCCCACCAAUACUUAACUUCAACACUUACCAAAAAUCAUUUCCAGAUCAUGGCAAAACUCCACUUCUACCUUUUGAAGCCGCAGUAGGUUUUUGGCUAUGGAGAAUGAGAAAAGAUGCUUCAAUUUGUAACAGGAAUAUACUUCUAUAAUCCUUAAGUUGCUGAAAGAUUGAUCUUCUGUGAGUUGGCUGUCACAUAUUGUCUCCAAAUUGAUCAAACGACGAAGAGACAAUGACUCCAGCAAGGGGAAGACUUUGCGACGAACCCGUCCAACUGAACGGACAAUAUGCAAAAUCUCAGAACAACUUUUUACAGAAAGAUGCUUCAAUCGUGGAAAACCUUCCCCAUCAUCUAAUUCACCCUUCAGUUCUUCUAGAUAGAGAUAUUCAGUUCUCUUCAACAACAGUUUCAUCCUGUAAUUCUGCAAAAGAAUGCCAAACUUUUCUAGCCCCUGGAGCUUCAUCAAUCUUGAUAAUCCAGAUUUAACGGACCGGCUGCUCCACCACGUAUUUCCUAUACAUAUCCUAUAGCUUUGCAAUUCCACAGAGACCAAAUCCUGUGGUAGAAUUUCGGCAUCCCGAACGUGUAUCUCCAAAGUAGUUAGCUUUGACAACCCCUUCAACUCAACAAGACUGGCGUUACUUCCUCCUUCAACCUUCUCCCACUGUGAAAAGCUGUUACUCAUAUAUAGUUCUUCUAAUCGAGAUAAUUUUGAUAUGACAUUUGGAGCUAUCACCACAAGGCUGCUACAAUUGCUCAAAUCUAGCAACUGUAAUCUCGUCAAUUGUCCAAUUACAAGUGGCAACUCCUUAACAUCAGAAUCUCGAAGGCUGAGAAUCUCUAAUUUCUUUAGCUGUCCAACUAUUGCUAUAUCUUUUAGUCCGCAACCAUCUAAACAAAAUGUUUGAAGGUUAAUGAGGCGACCAAGUGAUGAAGGUAAUGAAGAGAAAGGAAUUCUAGUAAGACUUAACACUUUGAGUUCUUCUGUCCCUUCAAAAAAGAGGUCUGAAAUUUGCAUAGGGCCAUAACCCUUUCCAAACAACAAAAAUAACUGGAGAUUGGGACAUUGCAACCUUUCAGGGAGCUCUUGGAUAUCUCUAUGAGGCAAUGAAAUAGCAAUUGGUCCUUUCUGUUUCGUCUCUUCCAUCUUUUUCUCAACGUCAGCAACAUUUGGAAUAUUAAACAUGCGCUUCUCUGCGGCAAUUGAUACGGCAACAACAUGAAUGACGUCAUGCAUUUUAACUUCAUCUUCAGCAUCACCGUCCAACAAUAAGCAUGAAGAUUUGAGAUUGUCGAUCAACCGAUGCACUCUACUCCUUGCUUCUUCCAAUGUGUAAACAUUUUCAAACAAACCCCAACCCACGCCAUAUCUCAAUAAGUCAGAAACUUCUAUGGCAUCACCUUCACUGUACAGACCACAAAGACGGAACAAAGAUUUUGCCUCCGCACUUUCCAAGAAGUCAUAACUCAAUAUUAUGGAGGUGUACACAUUUGCUUGCAUGCCAUGAAUUUCUCUUGCAUCCGAUCUUCUUAGCUGAUUCAAUGCAUCUUUCCAAAAGUCAAGCUCCUUAGUUUUCAGAGCAUUUGCAACUGUACUCAGUGCAACAGGCAAACCUCCGCAUCUUUCAACGAUCUCAUUUGCCAUACUUUGAAAAGCAGAUAUUUUAGUUGAAUCACCCACUAUCUUCUCAAAUAACUGCAAUGCUUCUUCUUUUGAUAAAGCAUCGAUCCAGAAAAUUUUCUGACAAUUCAUAUCAUUGCACAAUAAAUCUCGACUUCUAGACGUCAAUAUUAUUGUGCAUCUUCUCUGAUCAUCCUCUCUAUCUUUCUCAUCAACAUCUCCAGAAGGAAUUCCAACCGCAUCCAACUCAAGUUUUGUCCAAAUAUUAUCCAAUAUAAUGAGGACCCGCUUCUCUUGCUUCAACCUUUCACGCAGUCGAGAAGCUCUAUGGUGUAUACUAUCAUUCAAGUCAAAUUUCAUGCCUAAAUCAGAAGCGAGCUUGUCUUGAAUUUUCUGGGGAUCUGGGUUCUGUGUUACCUCAGCCAUAACGACCUUAUCGAUCAACUUAUCUUCCAUCACUUUCUUAGCAACUUGCUUGACUAGCGUGGUUUUACCCACGCCGCCCAUGCCGUAGACCCCAAUUAUGUUGAGCUUAUCAUCCUUCAACGCCUCCAUAACAUCCUGAAAUACUUUCAUUCUUGAAUCAAAGGCCUCGUUAUCUUUCCCGUCAUUAAGUCCUGUGCUCUUUGGAGUAGGACGGUAGGAAACAUUAGAGAAGUUGCCUUUUCCCACGAGACCAGCGGCAGCUUCUGCGGCCUUUGCUGCUUGUUUACUAAGCUUGUAACGGGACAUCAAAUUUGGGCACAAUCCUUUGAAGCAGAACUUCUUAGCUCUUUCUUCAUCAUCAAUGAUGGAUUUUGCAACCCCUUCACUUAUGAAUUCAUCAACGCUAUGUAGCCAGUCUGUGACACCCUCAUAAAGCUCAUCCCCUUGUAGCCUAGCAUGAUUAACUGGUUGCUGCACCGUUUCUCUUUUAUAUCCCAGCUGCUUUACUUGAUCUUUUAGAUCAUCUAUGUAGCUCUGGUACUUGAACACAUAAGAUAUCUGCCGUAUAAUCGGUUUGAACAAUGACUUUGCACCUUCUGAUACGAUGCUGGAGAAAGCUGCAAGACCCACCUCUGCCAUUGCCUGCUGCUUAACAAAUCUAAUAAAAUGUCAAAGAAAGGAAUUCAAAUAAAUUAAAAUGAACUAGAGGGAAAGACAAAAAAGGAAAAGGCAGUAAACAGUGUCGCAACAUUGAUCUUGAAUCAACUGAAACAUGAACAGAGCAUUUUUUCUUCUUUGUUAAGGAUCAGAGUUUUUGCUAUUAACAAAACCUACUUCAAGCGUCUUAAAAAAAAAAACUGUAAAUUUACCAUAAAUGAACAAUAACUACAAAACUCAAGCAAAACAAGCCACAGAAUUUUUAUCUUGGAAAGUGGAUGGAAUUAAGAAAGAAAUGCUAUAAAGAUCAAGCAUCAGAGAUUAUGCUAUUAAAAGAAAUUAAUUGAAGGUUUUAGAUCAAGUGCGCCUAUUUAAUUAUGUGGGGUCAGAAAGUUGAUGAGCCUCUGUGAUCGCCUUGAAUAUUUAAGAGCAAUUUCAAUGAGCAAAAAAUUUCUGUUACCUGCAGAGGAAUGUGAUUAUAGAGAGCUUAUAGGGUAAUGACAAUGAUUUGGAAAAGAAGAAGACUUAAUCAUGCAGCCCUUAAUAUUUAUUAAAUGACUUGUGAUCAUUUCUUUUAUGAAUAAAAUGCCAAUAGCAAAAAGAGAAAAAAGGGCGAAAUUUACUAAGUCUUAUUUUAUUUUUAAUUUCUUUUAUUUCCAUUCGCCGAAGAGGGAAUCUCUCCCUCUUUUUGUUUUUUUUUAAGGGGAAUCUCCUUACCUAAUAUGACAUAAUGAAAGCAAUCUGUAAAUAGUCAUAUAAUGUAAUAAUUAAAAAUACCCACAUAUUUAUAAUAUUAAUGAUGGGAUCCAUGUGUUUAUACUAAUUAAAUUGGUGGACCAGAAUUUAUUUGACCGUACUUGUUUUCUAUUUAAUUAAGAUUGAAACGAUAGAGAAAAAUUGUCGUAUUGAUUGUUUCGAUUGUGGAGUUCCAACACUGAAAGUGAAGAUUUCAUCAACUUUCUCACAUGGACACGUACCGUCAUGCAUAUUGCAUUAUUUUCCUAGAAAAGCAAGAUUAAUUCUUUUAAUAAUUGUGAAUUCAGGAAAACAGGUGGAUAAUAACUAAAAUAUUUAUUUUUAUAUUUUUGAUAAACGCACUCACUAUUAAUAGAAUUCAUUAGAUAUCAUAACUUAAAUAACUUUUUGUGAUUGAUUGAGGGUAUCUUUUACUUCCCAAUAAUUAACUUCUAUGUUGAUUCUCAGAAAAUUAAUUUUACGAAUAAUUUAGUAGGGUGUUUGGUAAAUGAUGAUUAUUUGACAAUCAGUUUUCAAAUAGUCUACUAUACAAAUUUGAUAAGUGAAAAUUGAAAGUGUAAUAUUCAUGUGCAAUGAUAAAAAUGUACUUGUUUGCUUAUUUGUAGCUUAUUUAGAAUAUUAUUAUUAACAUCAUUUUUUUAUUUACUGGAUUUUUAAAGAGUAUAUUCUACUUUCUUUAUUACAUAUCUAUAUCAUUUUUUUAUUAACUAUUUUAAUUUGCAAUAAAACUAACUUUAAUAUUUUUUAACUAAAAAAUUCAUGCUAACAUAUUAUUAAAUUGAUUAAUAAAUAAGUGCAAAAAGAAAAUGCAAAAAUUUAAUCUUUAUAUAAACUUUUAUGUACAUAAAACUAUUGCAAUCAAAGUAGUUCAUAAAAAUAAAAUAUUCUAUACAUGUGUGUAAAAAAAAAAUAUAACUACAAUAUUGUCCACUCAUUAAAUUUGCAGCACUAUUAUUUCUCAGUCUCCCCAUCUCUCGACCUUUACCUUUAGGAACAUUAACACCAUGAUCUUCUUCUUGAAUUCGACCUCCAUUUCCACAGUAUCAACAAGGCGAUCAAUUUGCUGUGACAGCCUUUCAACUCCUCCCACUUUCCUCCCUUUUGAGGCCGCCCUUUUUCUUUUUCUUUCUUUGAUAGCUUCAAUGGGAACAAACUCAUCUAACGACAAGUACAUUCUUCAACCACAGUAGAAUUGGUUGUUGAUAUUUUACUACUCUCAUAUGGUAUGUAAACAUGGUCACCAGUGAUUGUUAUAUUAAAAAAAAAUUCUAUUCAAUUUUUCCUCUGACUUUGUGUCGAUACCUUUCAUGCAAAAUCUAUUUGCUUCAGAAAUUUCUUCCGUAUGUUGAUAUCAUAUUAAAGUGAAUUCAAGAUCCUAUAUUAUUUUGCAUGACAUCAAAGUUUAGCCGAAUGGUAAAGAAUUUCCCUUUUUGUUUGUCCCACAACUAUAUAGUCUCAUUUUUGGCAAUAAGCUCACAAUAUGCACGGAAAUGAAGAUUUAUUAAAAACUUCCCUAUAAUAUUAAACACUAAACAAUAUCACUAUAACCAAAGUUGGCUGGUGUGAGUGGUUCGGCACUCUCACUCCUUAAGAGAGGUCAGGGGUUCAAGCCCCGCUCUCGUAUGGAGUCACCACUUUGGCCAGCACUUUACCCCUUAUGGGCCGACCCGGUGCGAGCGGGGAUUAGUCUGGGUUGUGGUACGGGCUUAAAGGUGCCUCCCACAGUUGGGGCCCACUCAGGACCACCUCGUGGUUCAGACCAAAAAAAAAAAAUAAACAAUAUCACUAUGUUGUGCAUAUGGUGCCUCGUCAACAAUUUGAUGUUCAUUUUGUUGCUCGGGUGAAUAUGACUACUUGGGUUGCGAGUCCAUGCUUUUGUCGUUUGGAUGGAGGACGGGCCAUCUUUUUAUUUUAGAUGGUUUGUAGGACUUUUGAUAAUUAUUUUUCUAAAACUGAUUUCUGGUUAAUAAGACCUAUGAAAGCAUUCGAAGAAGCCACCGAACUCAGAGGAAAGCCAUGGUUAAAUAUACUGCGAAGUAUGUGAGCUCGUUUUUUAAUCUCUUGAUCACUCAUAAGCUUUUCUAUACCACUCACUAUAUCAUCCUUUUGAAUCAAUUUUGAUUGAUCAUCAGAGAUCAUGUACCCACCUUGAGAUGAUUGAUCACAAAUUUGGCAUUGUAAUGUUGGUCACCUCUAAUUGGCCAUGCUAAAAUUGGGACUUGACAACCAAUUGUUUCACUGUUGAAUUCCAUCCACAGUGAGAUAAAAAUUCACCCGUUGAUUCAUGUCCCGCUCUCUUAUGAAGUCACCACUUUGGCCAGUACUUUACCCUUUAUGGGCCAACCCGGUGCGAGCGGGGAUUAGUCUGAGUUGUGGUACGGGCUUAAAGGUGUCUUCCACAGUUGGAGCCCACUCAGGACCACCUCGUGGUUCAAACAAAAAAAAAAAAAUCCACCCGUUGAUUGAUGACUCAAUAUCAAUAAUUGUGGGGCUCAUCCAUCUAUUAUCAAACCCGUUUCACCGACUUUAUUAUCCAAACCACUACGAAAAUAACUGCCUUCUACUGGUUUGUUCAAAUGACGUAGAGGAUCCAAUCUACCUGCACCACCUUGAAUUACCCAAAUAAACGGUCGAUUUGAUGCUUCUAAAGCAUUGGCUAGUACUAGGUACUCAUCUAAGGUCGGAUCCACUUCAGUACCAAAUGACACAUAUAACACAGAUCCGCGUGAUUUCAAAUUCAAUCAUUGAACGAUCUCAUCUUCCGUCAUGUUAGAACUCCGCCGGUUGGUUCUCAUCUCAUGAUCAUGAAGCACUUAACCGGCCAAUUUGUAAAAUUGUUCAGGUAACAGUGGGCCCACUCCCCACAUCGGCUUUCUCAAUUCAUUGGCUAAAUAAUUAUAAAUGGUCCCUCAAGACCAUCACACGUGUUGAACAUCAACGCCAUUGAUCCCUCCGCUUCCUUCAUCCAGUGUGGUUGAUCACCGGCCUCUGGUGGACCUAUUUUCUCGGAACCAGGUGCACCUCUCAGAGGUGGUGGACCACCAGGAGGGUGCCCAUGAGGCCUUGUUUAAGAUUCGAUUCAAAUAAAGCCAUAUCCUCGGGUAACCCAGGAAGUAAAUGGGCCUCUCCCGGUUUGACAUCUUGGAUGCGAGCCUACCACAUGGCACACUCCACAGCUGCCGAGCAAGCACCAGAAGUGAAGAACCCAACAAUGGGAACUUCAAAAAUCUUGAAAACAUCAGCCGUCCAGCCCAUCAUAACGUCGAUGACUGCACAAACGGGUCGGCUUUUGGGUUCCCGGGUUGAAAGGAGGUUUCGAAGGCCUUGAAGCAUUUGGUUGUGCAUGACAACAUGGGGGUGAGGAGACGAAGGAGGGUAUUUUAGUAAUUUCAAAUAGAGGGUAUUGGUGAAGAGGGGAAGGGGUGAUGCUGUGUUGAAUCAAAAUAGAGUAAAAACUCUAAUUGAUCAAGAAGAAGAAAAACACUCUUUAGAAUAAUCUCACAAAAUUGCAAAAGAGAAGAACUCUUAAGAAAACUUUCAAAUGCUUAUAAUAAAGCUUUGAUUGUUAAAUUAUAAAACUCAAAUACAAAUAAGGUAUUUAUAGGUUACAAGAAACAAUCUAAACCACUCAUUAAAAUAACCACAAACUAAUUUAAACCAUUGAAAUUAAACAUGAGAAAAAUACCUAAUUUUCACCUAACUAAAUUGAUGUAAGCAAUGACAUCAAAUUAAUUUGGGUGUGGACUUAUUUGGGCUAAUAUUGACUUCUCAACACUCCCCCUCAAUGUUAGCCCAAUUCUUUGAAUCACGCCAAGCUGACGACGGAAAUGUUCAAACUUUCCAACACUCAAGCUUUUUGUAAACAAGUCCGCAGUUUGCUCAUCUGUCUUGACUUGCCUCAUCUCAAUCUCUUCUUGCAGAACUUUUUCCCUAACAAAGUGGUAAUGCACUUCCACAUGUUUAGUUCUUGCAUGAAAAACAGGAUUCUCCGCCAGCCGAAUUGCCGAUUGGUUGUCACAGUACAACAGAACUGCAUAAUCUACUGGUUGAUGUAGAUCAUUCAUUAGUUGUAUCAGCCACGUGCUUUCUUGAGCUGCCAUUGCUGCUGCUCGGUACUCUGCUUCCGUAGUUGACAAGGACACAGUCGGUUGUCUCUUGCUACACCAAGAAAUCGUUCCAGAUCCAAGGGUAAACAUAUACCCAGUAGUUGAUCUGCGAGUAUCGUGAUCUCCUGCAUAGUCAGCAUCACAGUAGCCAACUAGUUUGUAAUUUCCACCUUUCUUGUAUAGAAGACCAUAGUCUAUUGUACUCUUCACAUAUCUGAGUACUCGCCGAACCGCUUCUAAAUGAGACUUCUUCGGAUUUUGCAUGUAUCGACUCAUCACACCAACUGCAUAAGAAAUGUCAGGUCGAGUCAAGGUUAAGUAGAUUAGACUACCCACUAAUUGUCGAUACAUCGAUGCAUCUUCCAGGUCUUUGCCUUCAUGUGCACACAUCUUGGCAUUUGGUUCCAUCGGCGUUGAGAUCGGCUUACAUUCUAGCAUCCCAAACUUCUUCAACAAAUCUUUGGCAUAUUUCUGUUGACAAAGAAAUAUCCCUUCUUUCAUCUGAUCAACCUCUAGCUCAAGGAAAUGCUUAAGUUGUCCAAGUUCUUUCAUUUGAAAACGAACUGACAAGUUCUCCUUUGUUCGGAAAAUUUCUUCAAUAUCAUCUCCAGUGAUGAUUAGAUCAUCUACGUACACGAGCACAAUAGCUAUCCUUUCUCCAUUAGCUUUAGCAAACAAGCUGGAGUCUGCAGAUGUUACUGAAUACCCACUUUGAGUUAGAAAUUCAGCAAUCUUGCCAUACCACGCCCUGGGUGCUUGUUUUAGUCCGUAGAGAGCCUUUUGCAGCUUACACACAUACUCAGGAUGACCUCGGUUCUGAAAACCCAUCGGUUGAAUCAUGUAGAUCUCCCGAUCCAGCUCUCCAUGGAGAAAGGCAUUCUUCACGUCCAUCUGCCACAAGUUCCAGCUUUUGUUGGCUGCAAGUGCAAGUAAGACUCGGACGGUUGUAAGUUUUGCCAUUGGACUAAACGUUUCGUCAUAGUUUAGUCCAUAUUGUUGAGAGAAACCACGAGCUACCAAUCGAGCCUUGUACCUCUCGAUUGACCCAUCUAGACGGUGCUUUAUUUUGUAAACCCAUCUGCAGGAUAUGGGUUUCACAUCUUUUGGCUUUGGCACGAGUUCCCAGGUCUGAUUUUGCUCAAGUGUAGUGAUCUCGUCUUUCAUAGCUGUCAUCCACUCAGAACUCUGUGAUGCUUCUUCGAAUGUCUCAGGUUCUAUUCCAGUUGCUUCUUCAACUAUGGCUGCAUUAGCGUAUUUGGGAUUUGGCCUUCGGGUUCUUGUUGACCUUCGUAAUGGAGUUGAUUCUUCCGUUUCACUAGGCACACCUUCUUCAUCUGGUUGUCGAUACACCCCAGAUUGCCAAGGAUUUAGAGUUACUCUUCGUUCGCUAUCACUAUCGCAUAGAUCCCCAGCUGAGCUUAGAUGAAUUUGGACAGUAUGCUCCCCCAUCUUUUGUUGUAGCAUGUCUUCGAAUUCUUUCGAGUCUGGCAGCACUUCUUUUUCUGAGGUCCACCAUGAGGAUGCUUCAUCAAACACCACAUCUCGUGAUGUGUAGCACCUUUCAUUUACUGGAUCACAACACUUCCACCCUUUUCGCUGGUUGUCGUAUCCUACAAAGAUACAUCUGACAGCUUUCUUAUCGAUCUUGCUACGUAGAUGGUCAGGAACAAAUACAUAGCAUACACAGCCGAAUACUCGAAGAUAGCUAACUGUAGGUUUCUUGUUCCACAAUUUCUCAAAGGGUGAAACAAACUCCAACCUUGGUUGAGGAAGCUUGUUGAUGACAUGAGCUGCAGUUCUCAUACCUUCGGCCCAAAAUCUUCCAGGUACAUUCUUCGCAUGUAGCAUACUCCGGUAAAUUUCAGCAAGAUGCCGAUUCUUCCUCUCUGCUACACCAUUUUGUUGUGGCGUAUUAGCACAAGUAUACUGAUGACGUAUUUAGCAUUCCCGUAGGUAUUGAGAAAACUCUCUCGAGCUAUACUCACCCUCGUUGUCUGUGCGCAAGCAACGAAUCUUUUGCUCCACUUCUCCUUCGACUAUCUCUUUGAACUCUUUGAACUUUGAGAAUGCUUCAGAUUUUUCUUUCAUGAAGAAAGCCCAUACAUAUCUGGAGAAAUCAUCAAUGAACGUAACCAUAUACCACAUUCCGCCAAUUGAUGGUUGCUUAACGGGUCCAAACACAUCAGAGUGAAUUAACUCUAAUGGUUUAUUUGCUUUAAACUUCGACUCCUCGUAUGGCAAUUGAUGUGCUUUACCAUAUUGACAUCCCGCGCAAACAAUAUUUGUUCUCACGUCAAGUUGAGGAAGUCCUUUAAGCAUCGACUUCUUCACCAUCACACUUAGCUUGGAAUAAUUAACAUGACCUAGCCGCAUGUGCCACAGAUCUGCCGUCUCAUUCCUUCUUGUCUUGUCUACGUAUGCAGACUCAGCUGACAUCACAUAAACUGACUCCAAUUGUCGUCCCUCCAUCGUAGGCUUUUCUGAGAUCUUUAAGUCUCGGAAUACCUUCACAUUUUGUGGACCAAACAAGACAUAGUGGCCUGAUGAUGUCAAUUGAGCUACGGAUAGCAAAUUUUUCUUCAUUCCUGGAACAUGGUAGACAUCUUGAAGUGGCACUUGGUUGGGACUAUAUCGAGGUGUAACGAUCGCUUUACCGAUGUGAGCUAUCGGUAACCUUGAGUUGUCAGUUGUUACCACCACACGAUUUCCCUUGUACUCAGAACAAUUUUGCAACUUCUGUCUAUCACCCGUCAUGUGAUUUGAGCAGCCUGAGUCUACGAUCCAAUCAUUCUCGUAGUUAAUCUUUUCUGGUGUUGUUACCGUGAGAGCUAAUUCUUCUUCCUCCAUAGCGAGUAAUGCUUCGGCAUCCCAGUUAUCUUCACUAUCUUCUUUAGAACUAGAAGUAGCAAUAUUGCUUUCGGUAGACUUCUUUUUGGACCAACAAUCUCUCUUCAUGUGGCCCUUCUUCCCGCAAUUGUAACAUUCGCCAUCAAACUUUCUAUUACUGUCGCGAUUCUUCGAAGCUCCCCCUGGACGAGAGCCAUUCCCUCCCUGAUGACUUUUUGUCUGUUCACCAGUCUUUCUAGAUCCGCCUUUGUUGUGCUGUCUUGAACCACCUCUGCUUUGGUUGGUGUAAAGCGCUUCCUCUUCACCCUUUAGUGAGACUCCUCCCAUUUUCUUGGCCAUAGCUUCUUGGCCUGUCAGCAAAUUUUCAAACUCAACAAGUGAUGGUUGUGUCGGCCAUCCUUGCACAGCGGCUACAAAGCUUCGGUAUUCGGGUCUCAAGCCAUGGACAAUUAUUCUUUUUAUCCUGGCUUCCCCAAUAGCAGCUAUUGGAUCUAAUUCUGAAAUUUCACGGCAUAUCGACUUCACCUUGUGAAAGUAUUGGGCAAUCGCCAUGUCGCGUUGCGCCAUUGAUAGAAGUUCAUUCUCGAGAAGUUGCAAUUUUGUAUCGUUCCUCUUCGAAAAGAGUGUAGCGAAGGUGUCCCACGCUUCCUUCGGUGAUUUAGCAUCCCGAAUGUGCUCCAACAUUUCUUCUUCUAUUGUGGUCUUUAAAGCAAACAUUGCUUUGCCUGCUUUAAUUUUCCACUUCCGCAAGACGCCGUUAGCAUCUUCCGCUGCCGGUUGUGUAACUUCACUACCACCGACAACCUCCCACAAGUCUUGACCUUGAAGGUAAGACUCUAUACACGUUGCCCACGUGUUAUAGUUUUGGUUGUUGAGCUUUUUGAUUCCUCCAACAACUUGAAGAUCACCCAUCGUAUCGGUAUCGACAAGACUUUGACUACACCGAACAAGCUUGAGUGACUACCGUGCAGAGUAAUACACUACUCUUGACACAAAGAAGCUCCCUCUCAAGGUUUGUGAUAACCCCAGCAAUAAUCUCAAGAAAUCUUUUCUGAUGUGGAAGAUCAGUCAAAACUGCAACCACAGAGCAUACUCGGAAUUUCAAGAGACUUUACAACCAAUGCUCUGAUACCAAAUGUUGAAUCAAAAUAGAGUAAAAACUCUAAUUGAUCAAGAAGAAGAAAAACUCUCUUUAGAAUAAUCUCACAAAAUUGCAAAAGAGAAGAACUCUUAAGAAAACUUUCAAAUGCUUAUAAUAAAGCUUUGAUUGUUAAAUUAUAAAACUCAAAUACAAAUAAGGUAUUUAUAGGUUACAAGAAACAAUCUAAACCACUCAUUAAAAUAACCACAAACUAAUUUAAACCAUUGAAAUUAAACAUGAGAAAAAUACCUAAUUUUCACCUAACUAAAUUGAUGUAAGCAAUGACAUCAAAUUAAUUUGGGUGUGGACUUAUUUGGGCUAAUAUUGACUUCUCAACAUGCUGGUGGCGGAAAUGUGAGAGGGAAUGGUGAGGGUAGAUUUGUAAUUACGAGAAGCGAUUUGCUUGCAUAAUUUAAUGCAUGGAAAUAGAUGUCCCUGACCAAAGAAUGGGACAAUCCAAAUCUCGGCCUCAGCAGCGCUGCAGCAGUAGCAACAGAGCUUGACAUCUUUUUGAAUUAUUUGAUACUUAAUUGUUACUGUUUGCUUUUACCAUCUUUCAUAAAACACUCUUUGUUAUAUAUAAAGGGAUGACUUAAUGGAGAAGUAAGUGUUUUAGUUUUACAGUUUUACUAGUAGGUGAGCUCGGAGUUUGAUAAUUUGAUUGUUAGUUUUAGUUGGUUAGUUAUGAGAAAGCAUCUUUAAGAAAAUUCAUUCCAGUUUCAACUAAAAUUAAUAAUAUUGUUCAAAUUAAUUACUCGAUAAAUAAAUAAUUAGAGAUAAAUUUAUCCCUAAUCUCACAUUUAUAAAAUAAGGAUUGAAAUAAGUUUUUGUGGGUUCGAACUCAAGCCCUCAAGUCGAGCGGCUGGAUCUUGACUACUUUGACUUAAUUAUUAUUAUUAUUAUAUAUAUAUAUAUAUAUUUUUUUUUUCAUUCUGUCACGGAACAUCUUUUGUUAUAUAAUGAAGAAGAUAAGUUGACGAAGAAGAGUUCUACUUUUACUAGUAGAUGAGCUUUGAGUUGACAACGUUAGUUUUAGUUAGUGAAAUAUCUACCAUCCAAAUCAACGUUCUUUAGACUAUUAUUCAAGUGAGAUGUCUGAGUAACAUACGCUUGAGUUGGUCGGUGCCUGGCAAUUCGUGUGAUACAUGAAACCAACCGAUAUGAAAACCAAAUCAAGUUGGUAGGAUUACAUUAAUUUAAAUUAACUUUCAAGUUCUAAUAUUAUAAGAUAAAUAAAUAGCAUAAAAUAAUUUUUAUUUUCAAGUAAAUAUGUUUAUCGUUUAAAAAUUAUUUUUUCUUGCGGUAAAUGCAACACUAAAUAAGGAGUGAAUAGGGUAAUUUGUAGGGUAUACCCCCACCUUUUAUUUCAUUUCAUUAUUAAAAAAUAAAGGCUUGAUUCAACAUUCAAGUAAAAUUAACAAUUCCAUGAUAAAAUUGCUUGAGAAUAAGAAUUAAAAUAAAAAAAGAAAACAGCAACUCAAAAACGACAUACAAAUACCGCAUAGAGGUUUUUCGUCGCAAGAUAUUUUUGGGUUGAGCAACACUUGUAUAACAGAGCAUACAGACUGAAUGACGGUGAGAAUAAGAAGGAAAACGGCGCCACACACCGAAAUGCCAGCCCAUGGAGUAUUGAAGUAAUUUUGUUUCAAGUUUGCCCUCCAUUUGUAGCACGUUCUUUUGCAGUGAUCAUUCAAUCCUUUGCAUAGCCCAGAAAAAUAGAAGCUAUCAGACAGCAGAGUAGUACCUCUAGAAAGGUUAUUUAUAAGCAUUGACGCAGUCUCUUUAUCCGGCAACCGGUUCUCAAUGAUUCCGUUCUGAACAAGCAACUCGACGUCCUUCGCUGUGUUCACGAGAUGAUGAAUAAGGAACACAUAAUCAUUUAUGUAAUUCUCUGAGUAAUGCCGUUGUUCAAAGGCAAUGAGAUUACGAAAUAAGGAUUCCGUUUCCAGCUGUAGCUUCAGUUUCGGAAUAUGCAAUGUCCUGUUUUUGAAUUCUAUGGCGAACAAAUCAUUGCUCUUGCUCAAACUGAAGUGGACUCCAGCUUGGUGGAGAUCAGUCACACUUGGUGCGGUUUUGCCUUUGUGGUAUUGCUGACCUUCUUGUUUUUCCUGAUUCCUCGAUGAUGGUAGAUGACAAAUCCUUAGAAAAUCAAGGAAAUGCUCGACCCUAACCUCAGUGUAAGGAGGGAAUUUUUGCUGAUUACCUUGUACUGCCUCUAAACCCUUGAAAUACUCGUAUGUGACUGUGAUGAUGGUUGGAUUUUCAUGUUGGUCGGGGAUUUCAAUAGCAAAAAGAUCCUCAAGAAUGAAGAAAGGAAGCUGAUUCUCAAGCAACCACAUAUCAUACCAUAUAUCCUCUAUUAAAUAGGGUUUAAGAAAUAUAUAAUCAUCUUUUUUUUGAAGUUGACGGAAAUGAUGCCUCAAUAAGAGUUCAAUGAUGAAGGCAGCAUCCAGCAGAAUCAUUUCAACAAAUUUAUCACUACUUAGUUCGACUUUUUCUGCAUAAGAACCUCGUAAUUCUGCUUCUCUGAGCUUUAUAAUUUGAACAAACUCGUCAAAGCUUAUUUUGGUCCGUUGAAGAAAGUAACGCAGGUACCGCUGUUUAUGUUCUUCCAUGAACUGUAAGUUUGCUUUGCCAUGGUGAAGAGGGCCAAUUGAGACUACCUGAGCUGUAUAUGCCUUUUCAUUUAUCUGACGUAAUCGCUCCGGAACUCUGUAGAUGCAGCAGUUUGAGGGCAAUGGUGAUAAUUUUUCCAACUUAACUUGCAAGCACUCUUCCAUGUUAUAAACUGAAAACAUGGCGCGAAAUUUGAUCAAUUCACUAGUUUAUAUAAUAUUCUUGAACCUCAUCUUAAGCAAAGCAACAAAAGCCUUCACUGUUUCUUAACAACUUUAUUGCUCUAACACAUAGCAUAACAUUUUUAAAUUUGCAUAAAGCACAAUAGUACUUUAGUUUGUAACAACAGCACAGAUAAUAAAUAGCAUUUUAUAGCUUUAACAAAAGCAUACAAAAUUCUUAAACCUUGUUUCAAGCAAUUCAUUAAUGCCACAAGGAUGUCUUUUUGCUUCCUACAGUUUUUAUUGAAAUUCAUAUAUUCUUCUUUAUCAAAUUAAGUAAUUUUCCUUUUUCAAAAAAUCAAGAAGGUUUCGACUGCAUGGAAAUACAGCACACAAUUACUACUAUUCCCGGAGUAAGAAAUUCAUAAAUGCAAUAUAAACAUACAUUUUCAUAAGACAUCAGAAUCAAAGAAUCAUCAAUGCAUCAAAUCUGUACACCCAAAAAAGUUGAAAGCACCAAGAGAAAAUUAUACCGCAUGGACCCUUUACAACCCUUAUAACGAGUUCAGACAGCUACAAUGUGCAAUACAAAAUUUCCCAAUACUAUUUAGAACAAAGUCUAGAAAACAAAACUUAUAUAUUGUACAAAAUCAUGAAAACCAGAAAUGACAAAAAACCUGCAAAUGUAAUUUUUGGGUUUCUUCAACAUAUCUUCCAUCCAAAUCAAACAAGAAUCGAUAAAUCAACAACAUUCAUCUUUAAAUGACAUAUUACCACAAUAAAAUUGUCAACCAAGCCUCAUAUAAACCUUUUUUGUGUUUUGUGGUAAAUAUAUUUGUUAUUCUCUAAGAAUACUAGGGAAAAAAGAAACCCACUUUCUUAAUCAAGAAUCAAAUAAUAUAUAUUUAUCUAAGCUGAAGUAAGUCUUCGGUUUGAUGAAAUAGCUUGCAAUGUGAUUUAGAUUGGAAAGGAAGUUGAUUUUUGCUGGUUGAGAGAGAGAGAUUUGAGACUUAAGAGUGUUGCUAAUCUUCGAUCGUGUAAACAAGGGUAACUGGGUCAUAGUUCAAAAUAAGGGUCCAAAAUUUACUAAAGCUAUUAAGGAGCCCAAAACUCAUAAUGGCUUGCCCAAAAUAAAUAAAAUUUUCGAGCAUUAAGUUUUUGUUUCUUCUUGAGAUUUCCUUGCCGUACUUACCCAUAUUUCGAUAUUGCCUCCAAGUAAACUUAUAUAUAUUGAUUAACAAUAUAAACAAGCACUAUGAAGUUUUAGGCAUGAAAGAACAUUAGGAUUGAAAUGAAAACCAUCUAUUUAAGUAACAAAUUCUUCUGAUAAUUUGAUGCUUAAUUUAGAGCAGAGAUGACAUAUCAAUCACGUUAUGAUGUGGAAGUUAUGAUUAUAUUCAUCUUAAGAAUAAGAUCUUUCAGACACUGGCAGAUUAGUAUAAAAAAUACUCAGCAUAAGACCUACAAACUAGAAAUCACGCACCAAUUAUUGAACUCAGCACAUAAGUUGAUCUUUUAUAAGCUAUAAAACAAAUCUGCUAUAACAUAAGAAAGUGGGAUUUAUCACCAGACAAGUAUUUUGGUGAAAUUCAAGCUGACGGAAGGAUAUCCAAAGCAACCUCCUUAAGGGAAGGCAUCACUUCCUGCUGAUGCAAACAUGUAUAUUUAUUACUCACUUUCUUGAGGACCUUCUAGGAACCUGGGCAGCACCUAACAGAAAGUGGAAAAGAAUAAAAUGUAAAAUAUAAGUUAAACAGCAGGAAAACAGUGAGUGAUACUAGGCAAGCAUUAAUAUGUUGCCGCAGGAAAAGUGUCAGUAACUAGCUAGCAAACCUGAAAAGGGUUCCUCCAUUGUGACCCUUAAAAUUGUGAAUGUAAAAUAUGGUCUCCAUCACAGGAAAAAGUGUUUUGGAUAGUGCAGCCAGCUUAGGGUAGAAGAAUGACGGAUAAUCUUUAGCUCAUUUAAGGAAAUCCUCUCUGAUCCUUUCAUUGCACAUUCCAAAACAACUCUACUACAACCAAGUUACCAAUUCUUUUUGUUAAGUCAUUGUUAUUUGUUAAAAAAAAAAAAUCUUCCUUGCAACAUUUUAUUGAAAGAUAUAACAUGAUCAUCCCUACUAAUUCCCUUUUAGAUUUCUGUGAGUGAAUUUCAAAUUAUUGUAUUCAAAAAUAGAAGCAAAAGACCCACUUUACUUUCAAUUUCUGCAACAAGAUACCAAUUGAAGGACCAAAAAGUUGUAAACAACCAAUUCAAUGGGUGGGCAUCUAGAAACUGCUAUAUAGCAUCAAGAUCAUACUAAAUUUACAGAAAGUACGAUAAUAAUGAAAGAAUGGUGAAGGAUACACCCAGACCUUAUCCGGUCAAGUUCUCCAUUGAAUAUAAUCAGUUUCCGGGCAGUAUUGAAGACAACUUCUUUGUAAAGCUCUUCAACGACAAGCAUUUCUACAAGACAAAAGAAAAGCAAAAUUAAUUACCUUAAGGAAUGAAUAUCAAUGAGAAGACAACGUGUAAGACUACCAUUGACAUUAAAAUAUGGAUACGCGACUAGAAACAAUUCAUCUUCCGGCUUCACACGGUCUGCCUUUUUAACCUUCUCAGUGAAUCCAAAAUCCUCAAAGAAUGAAGGUUUUGUUAGAUAGUCCAACUUAAAUGAUGAUCCUUCAAAGACCUAUUUUCUUGCAAAUUUGACUUCAUUUGCCUCUGGGAAAAACUAAAAACCAAAUGACAGACCAAGAUCACAAAACGAAUCAUGAACAUAGAUAUCAGAUAAUCAGAAAUGGGCAUUAAACAGACUACUAACAAAUAGGAAAUGCAUACAGAAAACAUUAUUCAUACACCUUAUGCACAUGAAAUAUAUAUGCAGUGGGAUCCUCUUGUGAAUUUAGUUUAUAUCCUAAAAUGAGACAAUGAACAAUUGGAUGCCAUCUAAGGGCUAACAUUUGUUUGAUUAUUAUAUGAAAAAAAAAAACAAAACAGAGUUGAUUGAUGGCCUUUGAUGGAUUGCCUACACUCCUAAAGUGCAGAGAGCCUGAUUAAUUGCUUUACCUGCCCCCCACACACACACUUGAUUUUAUUAUCUCUCUUUUCAAAUAUAUAAUCAUUGCCUGUCUUUCAUCCUGAUCCAGCUCUCCUUCCAGGCACCAGCUGUGUUUUCUUCAAUUCAGUGAAGCAUUCACUUUCAGGUAAGAAUAAACUUGUCCUUCCUCAAAAAUCAGCUUCUCACCAUGAAGCUUUCUUUUUCAAAACAAUUACUAGUCUAGCAUAAUGCAUCUAAUUGAAGACAACUCAGAAUUGAAAAAGCCAUACUUUAAUGUCUGCUGUUGGGACCUCAAGACCAGGAAAAAAAAGCUUCUUUCUAACUGUUGGAUUAACAAGUAGAAAUAGCUUUUUUCUGAAGGACCCAACAUUGCAUUGAAAAAUUCAACAAAAGGACUGGCGUCAUAUUUAGUCCUGCUAGAAUUUUGUGCACUUAACACAAUGGUUAAUAAUUGGCCCAGCAGACACUUUGUCGAACUACUGGCAAACCUUGACUGUGGAAAUGCAUAUUUCAAAUGUUGGCAGACUCUAGCUUCUUGAUGUACUGUUGAUAAAAAUGCCUAUUUCAAAAGUUGGCAGGCUCAAACUGCCGAGACUUUGGUUUCUUACAUUUCAAACCCACAAAUAAAACUUUGGCAGAACCCCAGAAAGAGCUACACCUCCCAAAUUUGAUGACAUAUGAAGAGACCAUGCCUAGUGCUUGGUUCGGCAAAUGAGUAAGUUUGAAAUAAAUUGAGGGAAACCUUUCCCACAGAGAGUCAUUUUGAAGGUUACAAUUUGAAGACUUUGUCCCCUGUCGCCCGUAACCUUCUUUGAUCUCUUUUCUUAGUCAUGAAUAAUCAAACAUGUGUUAGUGGUUGGAUGCAAUCCACUCGCUGACAUCUCAUGUCCACAAUCAAUCAACCAUAUUUUAAUAGAAAUGGAAACAUUUUAAUUAAAAAAGAAUGAGAUAGGAACAAAAUCAAGCUUGGCAGACAUGGGUCUAUGAGAUUUUAAAGAUGCUUGGUGAAAGUCGUAUUCAAGAGUUCAACAAUCAGUUCCAUCACCUAUGGCAAAGUAACCACCGCAACUAAAGCAAUUACAAAACAUCAAGAAGCUUGAACUUGGCAAGAGGUCUCAUUAACAGUAUACCUCAGAAAUUAAGACAGAAUUAAAGUGCAAGCUUUUGGAUUUAUUUAAACACUGAAAAUAAUAUGGGUAGAAGCUCCUAUGGUCACAGCAAACAAUUACAAAGCACAAAACCCAAAAAACAGAUAUGCAAAAAGCUGCAAAAGAACAUUAUUAGCAAUUGACAUCUGCUUUUGCUCAGACAAAGGUUCUCAUAACAAAGGACUUAGUGAUUAUCUGUCAUAUGUUUAUGUUAAGGGGAAAAAAGAAGUUUGUUUUAGUCAAUCUCAUGUCUAUUGGCAUUCAUAAGGAGCCCAAAAAUAAAAGAAAAAAUAAAGAGUUAGUAGGUGUUUCUUGCAACACAAAGAAAAUUUAUCAUCCAUGAAAAACUUAGUAUGGAAAAAGCUAACUCAUUUAUCUGCCAAUGCAGAAAAACUUGUUGUCUACCCACUAAGGACCCACCAUUGGCAGGUCUGAUGGAUCCCAUGGAUGGGAACCACAAAUAUUUUAUUCUAAAUGACAUGGGUAUUGCACCCAUAUCAUUUAAUUUGUAGAUUCCACUGAUGGAACUCAUCAAACUUGCCAAAUGGCAAGUCCUCCGUGGGUAGGCGCAUCACUUCAGCAUCCUUCUCCACCGAUGACCAAAUCUGGACUCAUUUAAAAAGAAUACAAAGCAAACUAACUGACAAAAAUUGCAUAUAGAGGUCUAGGAGCCAAAUCAAUGUUGUUAACUCAUCCAAUUAAUACAUUCUCUUAGAGGUCAUACCUUGGUAACUCAUUUCAAAAGAAAUUAAAAGAAAAAUGACUGCACAAAUUGUACUGAGCUCAAGAAGACCUGUUCAAGGUGUUCACUUGUCCAACUAAUAAAAGUCAUCAAGGAUUGUAUCAGGGACUUGGGACCAAUCCUGCCUUAACGAGAGAAAGGGAAUUUAGGAUGAAGAAGAUAACCUCUUUUCCUAGAGCAAAUUAAGCUGGUAAAAUCUUGGCAGUUGCACUUGGGGCAGAAAUUAGUUCCACCUUGGUUUACAGGACAGAAAUUCGUCAUAUGCAUGUAUUUAUUUAUAUUUUAUACACAUACGCAUACAUGUACACACAAACACUACCUUCACUUUGAAGAAAAGAUUAAAAUAACACUGCUCACAUACACAAUACUUACUAUUCUAGUUCGUGUGACUUUCUCCGGAGUCACAAAUAGGUCAAAGAAUUCGCGUAUUAACCGCAUACUUCCAGUCAUUUCUAUUCCUCCUUCACCAUCACCUUUCCCACAAUUACAAAAAGUGAGAGGUAGUAACCAACAUAUUUGGGUUGUUCUUCGGUAAGGGGUGGGAGGUAAGGGUUAGUUGUGGAGGGCACCUGGUACAGAAUCAAGGCCAGCUGUUGGGAAUUUGAUCUCCUGUAACAUAUACUUGUUCAUCAUAAACUAUAUACUUAUUCUGCAGUCGAUGUGGGCAUAUAGCUCUUCAAUUAUCCAGUAAUAACUCACCAUCAACUUCCUGCCAUCCUUCAUGGCUAAUUCAGCAGCUAUUUUUGCCUGUUUAAAGGGCAAAAGCCCAAACUAAGCAGAUGCUCCUACUCCGAUACUUAUUAUCUAACUACUACAGAACAGAUGAUACACAUCAAGUUGUGUCAAGAGAGACACCAAGUUGUGUUUUCCAAGAGGUUCCAAAGAGGUUUUGUGUUAGAGUGCAAUUUAUGCACUAGUUUUGAAUUGUUUACUUCCUUAAUAUCGAUGUUUUGCACUUAAUAAUAGUGAUUUACUUGUGUUUUAUUUUUAUAGGUGCAAUUAUAUUGAUUGGUGCAAAAAUUGAGCUACAAGACGAUGUUUAAGGAUGAUUGUUCUCUUGGAGAAAUUAUGAGCGUCAGAAGAACUUUGUUGAUAAGGCGUGGGCGCGUGCUGUCAACUACGGACCUGCAGUUUUUAGUUUAACGUGUUUUGUAUUUUUGGUUAUUUUUAUAAUUACGAAUUUAAUAUUUCAGAUAUUAGUAUUUUAUUUUAAAUAGAACUCUAGAGGAGAAGAGAGAGAGAGUAUUUAAGGGAAGAAUCUAUUGUGAAAAAAGGGAGAUUUUUGGAAAAGAAAGAAACCCUAGAUCUAAAUUUUUCUCUUCUCUCCAUGAAGAACUAAAUCUAUUAUUCUGUUUGAAGGUUAAUGAAGCUUUUAUUCAUCACUACUGUGAGAUCUUUCUUAUGCUUUAAUUGUUUUAUUGCUUUUUGGGUAUUUGUUUAUUCUCUGAAUUAUUUUCAUGAUUAUGUUUGUUAAUUAGAUAAUUGGCUACUAUUUAAUUAUCAACUUAAUCUAUUGUCAAUUAAAGGAUUCAUCGUAUGAAGAUUUUAAUGUUUGUGACAAAUAACAUAGCAGAGAGUUGUGUUGUGAGAAUAAACAAUCUAAUUUAAAUGAACCAUCGUAUGUGUUUGUUGAUUAGGAUUUGGGUCUCUCUGGUUUUUCAAGCUGUCAAUUGAUUAAAUCCUAUGAUCGUAUCUAGGGUUAUCUAUUGAUUAGGGAAAUAACCAACGGUCAUACCUUGGUUAUCGACUAAUUAAGGAGAUAUUGGCUAUUAGAGGGUCUCAGUAGCUAUAACCGGUCUAUUCAUAAGUAGUAAUAAUUUAUAUUUGAAUCAAUGAUCAGUAGUCGAAUCAAGCUGAGUUAAUUCCUUCAACCAGAGCUUUCUCCAAUUUGAAUUACAACUUUAAUUUGCAUUCUUGUUAUUUUAAUUUGAUUGUUAUUAUUGUCACAAAACCCUCAUUUUAUAUUUUACGUUUUAAAAGGAUUUAAAUAAUUACCGAUCUCUGUGGACACGACUUUGCUCAAUCACUAUACACAAUUUAUUUAGAGUAGGUAUUUAUUUUUGUUGGCUUCGACAACCUUCAAAUUUUGGCGCCGUUGCCGGGGAUUGGUGUCAUUUAUUUAAUCCUUUUUACGUUUUACUUGGUGUAUGGUUCGUUCUUCUUGUACAGGUACACUUUCGUUUGAUCCUUAAAUUGAGAAGACAGCUCGCCAGCUGAGACAGCAGACGAAGCGAGCUAAGCAACGACACUCAUCGCCUUGCUUUCUGAAACAGAUACGGUGCCUGAUUUAGUUGAAUCAUCAAGCGAUUUAGAAGAACAAGUGAUGGAUAGAGCUGCACCUGUAGAAAGAACUCUUAGAGAGUUAGCCGAACCAGACUUGAAUCAGCAACCACUCUACAUUCAAUAUGUAGACUUGGAGGUAAAUUUUGAAUUAAAGUCUGGUCUUAUUCAUUUAUUACCCAAGUUUCAUGGUUUUGCAGGUGAAGAUCCUCAUAAACAUCUCAAGGAGUUUCAUGUUAUGCGUUCAAGUAUGAGGCCACAAGGCGUGACUGAAGAGCAAAUUAAGUUGUGUGCUUUUCCUUUCUCUUUAGAUGGGCUAGCUAAAGACUGGUUGUAUUACUGUUAGAGUGCAACUUAGCAUAUAAUUUUUUAGGCAAGAAAGAUCACUCAGGAGUUUUCUCUAAAACUGAAUUUUAUUUUAUCUGGUGCAUGUUAAAUGAUGUGAGGCCUAAUUUAGGUUUUUGGUUAGCAGAUCAAUUUCAAAGUGUGCUUAAACGGUAUAGGACUUUAUUUCUUGGUCCAUACAUUACUCUGUUAGCUAUAAACCUAUGUGUGCUUGAUCCUGACAAUAAUGAUUUGCAUCCUGCUUGCAAAAAAGAAUUUUUGGAUAUGUUUAUGUUUGAAAGAACAGGUGUGGUCGAAUUCAAGGAGCGGAGAUUUCAGUUUACUAAACCAGGGCCCACUCAACCUCCGAAGAAGCUUUAUGCUAGGAGUGGUGCUACCUCUGAUGACGAGUUUGACGACGACACUGCUGCCCCGCCAACUAUUCCUUCUACAUCCGCACCACCUUUGAGCAUUCAGUUAGAGAAAAUGGAGCACAAGCUGAAUAAGAUGGAGCAAAAUUUGGCCACAUACUUCGAGAAUGUGGGAUUUACCUCACCAUUUCCGCCAAGCCAAUAGACGUUAUGUGGAUCAAAGCUCACAAUUCAGGGAAGUUUUUUUUGCCUUUAAUCUUUUAUCCUUACGCUUUAAUUUUUAUGUGAGCUUUGAUUAUCUUACAUUGGGGACAAUGUAAGUUCUUGGUGUGGGGGAGGGAUUUUUGCAUUAUUGAUGUCUGGAAUUAUUAUUUUCACUCUACUCAUCUAUUUUCACUCUACUCGUCCUUAAAUGAUUUUGGAGUUAGUAUGCUUCAUAUAUUAUUAAUUUCCUUUUCCUUUCUCUCUCACUACUCUUUUCCCAUCUAUCUCAAAUUAUUUACAUCUAUUUUUUUUUCUAUCAUACUCUUUCAUCACUUACAUUUUAUCUUUCAUUUUUUUACUACAUACAUCUUUCUCGCUUAUUAUUUUUUUACCUUUCUUUUUAUAUCUCACUCAUACCUUCUUCUCAUUCUACACCACUCUUGAUGGUUGAUUCAUUUGAAGAGUGUACAUGAUUUGAUGGCAAAUUUACCAACUUUGUGAGGAUUUGAGCCUGUGAGCAACCACUUUGCUCUAAUUAUUUUUGUUAUGUGAAUAUCAAUCUUAGUUUGUAUAUUCUAGAACUUGCUUUGUUAAGCAUGUUGAAGCCACAUUACGGGAUUUUAUGCAUUAAAAUGAUAAGGGCAAACCAUUUACCAUUUUUCUAUUCUCGCAUUUUCUUUUUUCUCUACCCGAAGACCUUUAUUUGCUACCUUUGUUUGAGCCUUAACCAUUACCCAUCUAAUUCUUUCCAUCUACUUAACCAUUUUUCUUCUUUUUGAGCCUAAUUUAAGGAGAUAUUUGGACUCAUUGUGUGGAUAUAUUUUGUUGCUUUUUCUACCUUGUAUUAAAGUUUCUCAAUUAGAUCAACAAGCAUUAUGCUUGAAUUAAAUUGUGCAAGGUUCGUUUCUUUUGUUUGAUUAAAAAAAAACAACAAAAAAAAGGAAAAAGAAAAAAAAGUGAAAAAAAAAUCGAAAAAAAAAAUUGAAAAAAAAGGUUUACAUUCUUGGUGACUUGAGUAGAAAUAAGCAUUUUGAUAUCAUAAGUUCAUUCAAUGAGUUCAUUCUUCUCAUUUUGAUCUCUUUUUCUUUCAUAAACCUUUCUUUUUUAUUUAACCUAUUUAACUCCAUUACAACCCUUUUAAGACCCUUAAUUUUUUGCAUUUUAUUUAUGUUUUAUGGAUUGAGAUGUGAUAUAUGAGCAAGCUUAUGGUAAUAGCAUUCUUUGAUUUGAUUUGAGUGAAUAAAUGACACCCUAAACACUUUGAGUGCAUGGAGUGAAGUCAAUGAGAGGGCUAUUAAAUCUUGUUGCACUUGAAUUUUGAAUGGAUCUUCUUGGUGGUUGAAUGUUCUUAUUCUAUCUUAUGAGAUUCUAUGCUUUAAAAUCCUUGCCUCUCGAAUGUUGAUCGACUUAAAUUCUUGAGGUAUGCUUGCUUAAAAUUGUUUUUGGAUGAGUUGAGAUGAAAAUUGAGUGGAGAUUUGGGAUUAGUCUUGAGUUAUAUGCUUGAGGACAAGCAUCAUCUUGGUGUGGGGAAUUUGUUAGAGUGCAAUUUAUGCACUAGUUUUGCAUUGUUUACUUCCCUUAAUAUCGAUGUUUUGCACUUAAUAAUAAUGAUUUACUUGUGUUUUACUUUUGUAGGUGCAAUUCUAUUGAUUCUUGAUAAAAUUGAGUUAUACGAUGAUGUUUAAAGAUGAUUGUUCUCUUGGAGAAAUUUAGAGAGUCAUAAGAACUUUGUUGAUACGGCGUGGGUUCUUGCUGUCAACUGCGGACCUGCAGUUUUUAGUUUAACAUGUUUUGUAUUUUUGGUUAUUUUUGUAAUUAUGAAUUUAAUAUUUCAGAUAUUAGUAUUUUAUUUUAAAUAGAACUCUAAAAGAGAAGAGUGAGAGAGUAUUUAAGGGAGGAAUCUAUUGUGAAAAAGGAUUUGGAUUGGAGAAAAAGAAAGAAACCCUAGAUCUAAUUUUUCUCUUCUCUCUAGGAAGAACUAAACUUAUUUUUCUGGUUGAAGGUUAAUAAAGCUUUGAUUCAUCACUACUGUGAGAUCUUUCUUAUGCUUUAGUUGUUUUAUUACUCUUUGGGUAUUUGUUUAUUCUCUGAAUUAGUUUCAUGAUUAUGUUUGUUAAUUAGGUAAUUGGCCACUAUUUAAUUAUCAACUUAAUCUAUUGUCAAUUAAAGGAUUCAUCGUAUGAAGAUUUUAAUGUUUGUGACAAAUAACAUAGUAGUGAGUUGUGUUAUGAGAAUAAACAAUCUAAUUUAAAUGAAUCAUCAUAUGUGUUGAUUAGGAUUUGGGUCUCUCUUGUUUUUCAGGCUGUCAAUUGAUUAAAUCCUAUGAUCGUAUCUAGGGUUGUCUAUUGAUUAGGGAAAUAUCCAACGGUCGUACCUUGGUUAUUGACUAUUUAAGGAGAGAUUGGCAAUUAGAGGGUCUCAAUAGCUAUAACCGGUCUAUUCAUAAGUAAUAAUAAUCUAUAUUUGAAUCAAUGAUCAGUAGUCAAAUCAAGCUGAGUUAAUUUCUUCAACCAGAGCUUUCUCCAAUUUGAAUUACAACUUUAAUUUGCAUUCUUGUUAUUUUAAUUUGAUUUUUAUUAUUGUCAACAAAACCCCCAUUUUAUGUUUUACGUUUUAAAAGGAUUUAAAUAAUUACCGAUCUCUAUGGACACGACCCUGCUCAAUCACUAUACACAAUUUAUUUAGAGUAGUAAUUUAUUUUUGUUGGCUUCGACAACCAUCAAUUACUUGCCACCUGGAUCGAUUACAACAUGGAAUGGUUUGAAGAAGCAGUUCCUUGAGAAGUACUUUCCUGUUGUAAGAGCUGCCAACAUCAGAAAAGUCAUUUGUGGGAUCAGACAACUUCUUGGGGAGACUUUGUAUGAGUAUUGGGAGCGAUUCAAACAAUUGUGUGCCAGCUGUCCUCAGCAUCAGAUUUCUGAUCAACUUCUUAUUUAAUAUUUUUACGAAGGACUGUCAUUGAUGGACAGGAGUAUGAUAGAUGCUGCUAGUGGAGGUGUGUUGGUGAACAAGACCCCUACUCAAGCAAGGGAGUUGAUUGCAAAUAUGGCUGCCAAUGCACAACAAUGUGGCAGCAGGUAAGAUCUCACUUCAAGGAAGGUGAAUUAGGUAAAUAUUUCUUCUGUUGAACAACGUUUAGAUAAACUUACUUCUCUUGUGGAAAAGUUUGUUGUAGGUAAUGUGCAACAGGUGAAGACUUGUGGCAUUUGUUACAAUAUGGGUCAUUCAACCGAUAUGUGUCCUACAUUUCAAGAAGAACCCGUUGAACAAACCAAUGCAGUUAGAGGAUUUCCAGGCAUGCCUUAGAGGAGGUAUGAUCCUUAUACACAAACAUACAAUCCGGGAUGGAAGGAUCAUCCCAACUUCAGCUAUGGAGUUAGACCAUCAUGAUUCCCGCAACAGUAUCCACCAAGACAACCAGCACCUCCACAGUCAAACUCCAAGUCAGGUAUAUCUCUUGAAGAAAUUGUUAAAUCACUUGUGACUAACACUCAACAAUUUCAACAGGCAACUACAGCAAGCAUUCAGAAUUUGGAGAACCAAAUGAGUCAAUUGGCGACUACAGUGAGCCGUCUGGAGUCUCAAGUAUUAGGGAGAUUGCCUUCACAAUCUGAGGUGAAUCCAAAGUAAAACGUUAGUGCUGUCAUCCUUAGAAGAGGGAAGGAGUUGCAAGAUCCCAGUAAGAAAGUGACAAAGCAUGUAGAAGAUGAGUUUGAGAAGAAUGAAUUGAUGCCUAAAUCUCAAGAUGCGCAACCCACCAAAGCGAAACCCCUACCUAUUGUGAUACCUCCUCCUUUCCUAAGCCGGUUUGCAAAAUCCAAGAAGGAGGAACAAGAGAAAGACAUCCUUGAGACAUUUCGCAAGGUUAAGGUAAAUAUUCCUUUAUUAGAUGCUAUAAAACAAAUACCUCGAUAUGCUAAAAUCCUUAAGGAACUAUGCACCUCCAAGAGAAAAGUAAGAGGAGAUGAAAAAGUUCACAUGGGGGAGAAUGUUUCAGCAAUUCUCCAAAAGAAACUACCUCCUAAGUGCAAGGAUCCAGGUAUGUUUACUAUCCCUUGUAAAAUUGGUAGUGUUAGAGUUGAAAAUGCUAUGUUAGAUCUAUGAGCUUUUAUUAAUGUCAUGCCUCGUUCCAUUUAUUCAUCUUUGAAUGUUGGGCCAUUAAAAGAAACUGGCGUGAUAAUUCAACUAGCUGAUAGGUCUAAUGUAUAUCCUGAUGGGGUAUUAGAAGAUGUUUUAGUACAAGUUAAUGAGUUGGUUUUUCCUGCUGAUUUUUAUGUACUUGAUAUGGAAGAGGAUAACUCCUCUAAUUCUGUCCCAAUUUUGCUAGGAAGACCUUUUCUUAAGACUGCUAGGACUAAAAUGGAUGUACAUAAAGGGACUCUCACUAUGGAGUUUGAUGGAGAGGUUAUAGAAUUCAAUAUGAAUGAUGCCAUGAAAUAUCCUAGUGAAGAACAUUCGGUAUUUUCUGUGGAUGUUAUUAACCCUAUAGUGCAGGAAGUUUUUUACAAGAAAAAGACGAAGAUAUUUCAUGAUAGAAUGAUUUUGAGAAAGGAGUUCUUUGUUGGUCAAAAAGUUCUUCUUUUUCAUUCUGAGCUUAAACUUUUUCCGGGUAAAUUACGUCCUUGCUGGGUUGGACCUUUUAUUGUUACUAAUGUUUUUCCUCAUGGUGCAGUUGAGAUUCAGAGUUCGACCUCUGACAAAGUUUUUAAGGUUAAUGGUCAUCACUUAAAACCUUUUUAUGAAGGUUUUUCGGUGAAUAUUGUGGAGAAUGUGGCUCUCGAGAGUCUCAAUUAUGGAGAUUGAUGCAUAAACGUGUCUAGCCAAAGACAUAAAACAAAGGCGCUUUUUGGGAGGCAACCCAAAUGAUUUAUUUAUUUUGGUUUUUGUUAUAUCUUCUUUUAGUUUUGAUUCAGAUUAUUUUUUGAAAAAAAAUAAUGUGUUUGCUUAUUUUGGUCAGAAGAAAAUUUUUGAUAAGGCGUGCUCACGUCUUAACUAAUAAGUACUUCUGUGAUUUUUAAAGUAAAAUGGUUUUAAGGCGUGCCCACGUGCUUAUUAGAAAAGUACUUCUGAAUUUUUUUUUAGUGUCUCAAAGUGAUUCAUCACUAAAAAAAAAUGAAAAAAAAAAUUAUUUAUUUAUUUAUUGAUUUGAAAAUUAAAAAAAAAAGAAAAAAAGAGUUUUUUUCUUCUUUUUCUUCUUUUCUUUCUUAUAUAUAUUUAUUUAUUUUAAAAAAUAAAAAAUCACUAUUCACAAAUCCCUAAUUCAAAAAUUACUGUUGAUUAUCGUUUUCCAGCAGCGCGCCUCGGCUCCAGCCUUCACUGAGCAACCAGCAGCAGCAGACGAGCACGCUCAGCCCCAGCCGCAGCGCGCAGCAUCAGCCCUAGCCGCAGCACACAGCAUCAGUCCCAACCGUAGCGCGCAACGUAACGCAACCAGCGUCACCAGCGCAGUAGAACCAACCCCAACCCGUGCAUCAAGCUACAGCCGAGCAGCAAUCGUCCGCAACCCGCCUACGCACUGUAUUCCAACCGGGUAAAUCGAAAUCCGUGAGUGCAAUUAUUAUAACAAUGCCGAAGAGGAAAGCAUCAACUUCCAAGUCAUCUAAAAAGACACCCGUCGCAAAGAAGUCCAAGAUUGCCGCUCCCACUACGGUUCCAUGGAACACAGUUUCAGAUUCACGCCAAGCCGUGAGACAAAGAACGAAACAUGGAAAGGGCAUGAGUGUUUUACUACUUGCGGAAUCCAAUCUUGGAGGGGGCCUCGCAUUCACGACUCAACAAGAGAAAGAAAGGUACAAAGAUAUUUCCAAGCAAAAAAUACUUCCAGCUAAGUAUAUUCAUUACCCGACUCUUGAAAAAUUGAAUGUUAAGGAUAAUUUUGAUUCUUUGAUAGAUAAGAUUGGUUUGCGUAAGUUUGUUGAUGUUGAUUGUUUGAGUUAUGUUGAGUUGAUUAGGGAGUUUUAUGCUACUUUUCAAUUUAAUAUACCGUAUGAUUUUACUUUGCAUACCCCGGAUAUUAUAAAGUUUAGGUUAAUGGGAUGGAGUUUUUCACACUCGAUCAUAGAUUUUAACCUAGCUUUAGGAUUCAUUGAUGAUGAUUAUUCUUCUAGUGAUGCAUAUUUAGGAACAACUUGUGACUUUAGCGAAAAUUUUGAGCCUUAUGGUCUUUGGCGUAAUUUAUCUGUUGAUCACAAUGCCUAUAACCCAAGUAAAUCAAUGAGUUCUUUCUUACGUGACCCUGUUUUGAAAUGUGUGCAUCGAUUCUUAGCAUAUAAUUUUUUAGGAAAGAAAGAUCACUCAGGAGUUUUCUCUAAAACUGAAUUUUAUUUUAUCUGGUUUAUGUUAAAUGAUGUGAGGCCUAAUUUAGGUUUUUGGUUAGUAGAUCAAUUUCAAAGUGUGCUUAAACGGUAUAGGACUUUAUUUCUUGGUCCAUACAUUACUCGGUUAGCUAUAAACUUAUGUGUGCUUGAUCCUAACAAUAAUGAUUUGCAUCCUGCUUGCAAAAAGGAAUUUUUGGAUAUAUCUGUGUUUGAAAGAACAGGUGUAGUCGAAUUCAAGGAGGGGAGAUUUCAGUUUACUGAACCAGGACCCACUCAACUUCCAAAAAAGCUUUAUGCUAGGAGUGGUGCUACCUCUGAUGACGAGUUUGACGACAAAACUGCUGCCUCACCAACUAUUCCUUCUACAUCCGCACCACCUUUGAGCAUUCAGUUAGAGAAAAUGGAGCACAAGCUGGACAAGAUGGAGCAGAAUUUGGCCGCAUACUUCGAGAGUGUGAGAUUUAUCCCACCAUUUCCGCUAAGCCCAUAGACGUUAUGAGGAUCAAAGCUCACAAUUCAGGGAAGUUUUUGCCUUUAAUCUUUUAUCCUUACACUUUAAUUUUUAUGUGAGCUUUGAUUAUCUUACAUUGGGGACAAUGUAAGUUCUUGGUGUGGGGGAGGGAUUUUUGCAUUAUUGAUGUCUGGAAGUAUUAUUUUCACUCUACUCAUCUAUUUUCACUCUACUCAUCCUUAAAUGAUUUUAGAGUUAGUAUGCUGCAUAUAUUAUUAUUUUUCUUUUCUUUUCCUUCUCACUACUUUUUUCCCAUCUAUCUCAAAUUAUUCAUAUCUAUUUUUAUUUUACCAUAUUCUUUCAUCACUCACAUUUUAUCUUUCAUUUUUUUUCUACAUACAUCUUUCUCGCUUAUUAUCCUUUUUACCUUUCCUUUUAUAUAUCACUCAUACCUUCUUCUCAUUCUACACCACUAUUGAUGGUUGAUUCAUUUGAAGAGUAUACAUGAUUUAAUGGCAAAUUUACCAACUUUGUGAGGAUUUGAGCCUAUGAGCAACCACUUUGCUCUAUUUAUUUUUGUUAUGUGAAUAUCAAUCUUAGUUUGUUUAUUCUAGAACUUGCUUUGUUGUGCAUGUUGAAGCCGCAUUACGGGAUUUUAUGCAUUAAAAUGAUAAGGGCAAACCGCUUUCCAUUUUUCUAUUCUCACAUUUUUCUUCUUUUUCUCCACCCGAAAACCUUUAUUUGUUAUCUUUGUUUGAGCCUUAAACAUUACCCAUCUAAUUCUCUCCGUCUACUUAACCAUUUUUCUUCUUUUUGAGCCUCAAUUUAAGGAGAUUUUUGGACUCAUUGGGUGGAUAUAUUUUGUUGCUUUUUCUACCUUGUAUUAAAGUUUCUCAAAUAGAUCAACAAGCAUUAUGCUUGAAUUAAAUUGUGCAAGGUUCGUUUUUGUUGUUUGAUUAAAAAAAAAGGAAAAAAACAAAAAAAAAAAAGAAAAAAAUGUUUACAUUCUUGGUGACUUGAGUAGAAAUAACCGUUUCGAUAUCAUAAGAUUCAUUCAAUGAGUUCAUUCUUCUCAUUUUGAUCUCUUUUUCUUUCAUAGACCUUUCUUUUUCAUUUAACCCAUUUAACCCCGUUACAACCUUUUUAAGACCAUUAGAUUUUUGCAUUUAAUUCAUGUUUUGUGGAUUGAGAUGUGAUAUAUAAGCAAGCUUAUGGUAAUAGCAUUCUUUGAUUUGAUUUGAGUGCAUAAAUGACGCCCUAAACACUUUGAGUGAAUGGAGUGAAGUCAAUGAGAGGGCUAUUAAAUCUUGUUGCACUUGAAUUUUGAAUGGAUCUUCUUGGCAGUUGAAUGUUUUUAUUCUAGCUUAUGAGAUUCUAUGCUUUAAAAUCCUUGUCUCUUGAAUGUUGAUCGACUUAAAUUCUUGAGGUAUGCUUGCUUAAAAUUGUUUUUGGAUGAGUUGAGAUGAGAAUUGAGUGGAGAUUUGGGAUUAGUCUUGAGUUAUAUGCUUGAGGACAAGCAUCAUUUUGGUGUGGGGGAAUUUGUUAGAGUGCAAUUUAUGCACUAGUUUUGAAUUGUUUACUUCCCUUAAUAUCGAUGUUUUGCACUUAAUAAUAGUGAUUUACUUGUAUUUUAUUUUUAUAGGUGCAAUUCUAUUGAUUGGUGCAAAAAUUGAGCUACAAGAUGAUGUUUAAGGAUGAUUAUUCUCUUGGAGAAAUUAUGAGCGUCAGAAGAACUUUGUUGAUAACGCGUGGGCGCGUGCUUUCAUCUACGGACCUGUAGUUUUUAAUUUAAUGUGUUUUGUAUUUUUGGUUAUUUUUAUAAUUACGAAUUUAAUAUUUCAGAUAUUAGUAUUUUAUUUUAAAUAGAACUCUAGAGGAGAAGAGAGAUAGAGUAUUUAAGGGAGGAAUCUAUUGUGAAAAAAAGGAGAUUUUUGGAAAAGAAAGAAACCCUAGAUCUAAUUUUUUCUCUUCUCUCUAUGAAGAACUAAACCUAUUAUUCUGGUUGAAGGUUAAUGAAGCUUUGAUUCAUCACUACUGUGAGAUCUUUCUUAUGCUUUAAUUGUUUUAUUGCUUUUUGGGUAUUUGUUUAUUCUCUGAAUUAUUUUCAUGAUUAUGUUUGUUAAUUAGAUAAUUGGCCACUAUUUAAUUAUCAACUUAAUCUAUUGUCAAUUAAAGGAUUCAUCGUAUGAAGAUUUUAAUGUUUGUGACAAAUAACAUAGCAGAGAGUUGUGUUGUGAGAAUAAACAAUCUAAUUUAAAUGAACCAUCGUAUGUGUUUGUUGAUUAGGAUUUGGGUCUCUCUGGUUUUUCAAGCUGUCAAUUGAUUAAAUCCUAUGAUCGUAUCUAGGGUUGUCUAUUGAUUAGGGAAAUAACCAAUGGUCAUACCUUGGUUAUCGACUAGUUAAGGAGAGAUUGGCUAUUAGAGGAUCUCAGUAGCUAUAACCGGUCUAUUCAUAAGUAGUAAUAAUUUAUAUUUGAAUCAAUGAUCAGUAGUCGAAUCAAGUUGAGUUAAUUCCUUCAACCAGAGCUUUCUCCAAUUUGAAUUACAACUUUAAUUUGCAUUCUUGUUAUUUUAAUUUGAUUUUUAUUAUUUUCAACAAAACCCCCAUUUUAUAUUUUACGUUUUAAAAGGAUUUAAAUAAUUACCGAUCUCUGUGGGCACGACCCUGCUCAAUCACUAUACACAAUUUAUUUAGAGUAGGUAUUUAUUUUUGUCGGCUUCGACAACCAUCAUUUUGUUUCUUUAUGUAAUUUUUAGACUGCUCUGACAACUCAUCUUAAAGGUGCCACUCAUCCAAUAUGAUAUGGUGACAGUAGUUUAGAGUUUUAAACUAAAUGCAGAGCUAAUAGUAUUUUGGAAAUAUAAUCAUCCUAAGAUACUAACAAAAACAACAACUUCGGUGUAGAGAGAAAAUGAUUUCACAAAAGCAGAUGUUUUGAUUUAAGUCUCCAAAACCCCCACCAAAGAAAUGUUCAACGGAUAUAGAAAUAUGAUCCACAUAUCUGUAACUUAAACUGUGAAAUUUGUUGAUGCUGUUCUAAAAUUGCCACAAUCUAUCUACCCCAUGAAUGUUAUUGGAUAAAACAACAAGCAGGACCCAAUGCCUGUUUUCUAAUAGCUUCAAAAAGGCCAAAUUGGUUUUGAAAUGUCUCCAGCUUUUCAUUUAACAAGUUUAAGGAUCCCUUCGGCAUUGCAAUUGGGGAGCUCAGAUAUAUAAAAGUCUGGUAAACUCUUACAGCCGCAGCUUUUGAGCAAAAAUAAUUUUAUCUCAUAAUAUUUUGACAAAAAACUUAUAUCACCUUUUAUCAGUUUUGUAAAAAAUAUUAUUUAUAAGUCAUAUUUACCAAACACAAUCAACUUUUACAUCACAAUUAUAGCUUCUUUUUUUUCACCACACAUAUACAGUUAAAAUCUACAAGAACUCGAUAUCAAAUAGAUCCUAAAGCUUAAUCUAAUAAAAAGGUAAAUAAACAAAUGCAGAAGCCAGCGUACUUGAUCAAGACGCUCUGAAUAGUCACUGGGAAAGGGAAUAUCGACGUUAAUGGGGUUAUUGCCAUCGCUUGAAACCGAAUUGGUGAGACAAUUGCGUUUUCUUCUGUACGGAGAAAAUGUGACGAUUCUUUGACCACUGAAAAUUUCGAUUCUACAAUUUACCUGCAAUUAGUGACAAUUAUUCCGUUUAGAAACAAUUUUAAAAAAAAUAAAAAGUAAUAAUUACAAACUCAGAGUAUACCUGUGGACGUGGAAUUGAAGAAACUGGAAUAGGAAGCGUAGGGAGGGCAAUGGCUGUAUUGGAGGAUAACGGCAUUUUGAACCUCAAAGUAAAGAGAGAGAGAGAGAAGAAACGCUUCCCUUUCAAAUACCGCGCUCUUUUGUACCUGGGAAUUUAACUAAUUCAUGCGAAUAAAAAAAUUUAUAAAUUUGGUAAAUUAUUUAUUAAAAAAUAUUGAGAGGUUGUGCAUUAUUUUAUUAGUAAUGACAUGGUAAUAAUCAAAUUAGUUAAAUUAAAAUAGUUGUUGACUCAGUAAUUUAUUUUUAUUAUUUUUAUAUAUUUAUUUAAUUAAUUAAUUAAUGUUAUAUCUAUUUAUAUAAAAAUGUACAGUUCUAUCCUCACUCUUAUUUUAUUUUUAUUAUUUUAAAAAAAAUGGUCUGCGUUAUUAAGGUUAAGGGUGACAACUGGGAUUAAUAUACGGUUUAUUCGAGUGCUUAAAACCUAAUAAAUAUCCACUAACUCAUAUAUAGUAAAAAUAUAAUUAUUUUAAAAAAAAUUAAUAUAAACUAAACAAAUUGAUUGGAUUUUGUUUCUCAAGGUACAUCAUUAGAACGUUACUUUUAACUGAACAAAAGCACACAUAACUAGCACAUUCGCCACAAAAGCCUCGGCUUAGUGGUCGGCUUAUUAAUUAUCCUAAUUAAAUCAUGGUCAUAAAUUUGAGUCCCGGCAGGAAUUAUUAGGCUAGGUAGCUUUUAUAGACUACACUAUAAAUACAUGUAUUUUAAUUCUCGCGGGUAUUGCUUCUAGUAGUUAUCCAUCCGAGUAUAGUGCUUUGUAGCUUUCUUCACGACCUUCCCCAAUUUCAAUGAUUGUUAAUCAAUCUUCAUAGAAAAUGUGAUAAGACUGUAUUUAGAGAAAAGCUCAAUAAAUGAUUUUUAUAGGUCAUCAUUUCAUUUAAUUUUCCGUUAUAUAUAUAUAUUCACCUUUCUCAGAGGCCAAGAAGUCUUCGACAGAAAUGUGAUCCUUGAGCUUCUCCCAAGUUUCAAUUAAUUCGCUUUGAGUGAGGAUAUUUUCUGGUGGCCUCAAAUACAAUGUUUUGUUCAGUACUCGAGGAGCAUUUAUUGUCUUAAUAGUAUUUAUGGCAACAUCAUCGAUAUGCACAGUAAAAAAAAAGAUAAUCAUUUUGUUUAAUAUGAACAUAAAUUGUCAAAUUCUGAAUCAUAUUAUAGUGAACGAUAUUGUCGUAUGGUGUGUGUAUGUACUAUCUAUAGUUUUAAUAUUAUUAAUAAGGAGUUAAAAGUCUUGAUUUAAUUUUAAAUUGUUAUUCCUCUAACUUCACCGUCUCCAUAGAUGCAGACUCUAUCUUUUGAAGGGCGGGGGUAGCUAUAUUUGAGAGAGGUGUCUGGGGAACCAACCAGCAAAAAAUAGCUAGCAGAAACAUAAAUGACAAGGAUUUGAGCAGCCUUGAUUGCCCUUCUCACACAUGCGCUCUGUGUUCUCCCUCCAGCUCUCACUCACUCACGCCCAAAUCUCACCUCACUCACGUAUCUCUCCUUUCUGACCGGUGGUUUUCUCUCUCUCGCCGUGGGUCUCUAGGCUGGCGGGGAUUUCUCGACUUGACUACUAAAACAUAAUCCAAAAACUAUCUCGACUUGACUACUAAAACAUAAUCCAAAAACUACUAAGAUAUAUAUAUAUUACUAUGAUAUACACAAUAUGAAGAAACUGCAGUUAUAUUUCAAAUAUUUUAUGAAGGAAGAGGCUGUAUGGAUUAUCCAAAGGUGCUGAAAUUAAGAGACCCACGCCAACCGACAGAGUGAGUGAAUAUAAGGGGGUUAUUGGGUAAAAAUCACAUAACGCGCAAGCGAAAUUUUAGAUUAUAUUUUUUAAUACUCUCCGAGUCUCUCUUUCUCUUUCUUUUUUGGUUUGAACCACGAGGUGGUCCUGAGUGGGUCCCAACUAUGGAAAGCACUUUUAAGCCCGUACCACAACUUAGACUAAUCCCCACUCGCACCGGGUCGGCCCGUAAGGGGUAAAGUGCUGGGCAAAGUGGUGACUCCAUACGAGAGCGGGACUUGAACCCCUGACCUCUCUUAAGGAGUGAGAGUGCCGAACCACUCACACCAACCAACUUUGGUUAACUCUCUUUCUCUUUUUCUUUUUUUAAAUAAAUGUCAGUAUAAAAUUAGAAAAUUUUAGAUAUAAAAUUUGGCGAUGACCAAACAAAAAUUGCAGGGGAAACCUUGAUAUCAUUGAAAUACUAAUCAUAGACACUGCAGUAUAAAUAACUUCUUGUGAUCUACUCAACUUUAACACUUUAAUCCAUAUUCUAAAAUUUGCAUGUUUGUUAGGAUUUUUAUUAUUGAUACUGUUGUAUCAAUAAAAUUAUAAUUUAUUCAUAUGGAAUGAAAACAUCAAGAAAGGACCUCUGAAGUUUAUUAUAACAGAAAAAAAUGGUCCAUAAGUCUAUUUAUUAUUUUAUUUAUUCAAUACAAAUGGCCAACUUUAAAAAUGGUAAAAGUCACACAAUGCACAAGUAAAAUUUUAGAAUUAAAUUUUUUAAUUCUCUUUGAGUCUCUCUCUCUUUAAAAAAUAAACCUCACUGUAAAAUUAGAAAAAUUUUAGACGUAAAAUUUGACAAUCACCAAAUAGAAAACAUAGGCAAAUGAAAAUGGAGGAGCCCUAUUUUCAUUAGAAUAUUGAUCAUAGAUACUAUAAUGUAAAUCAUUUGUUGUGGUUCAUUCAACCUGUCACACUCUAAGCCAUUUUCUAAAAUUUGUAAGGUUUAUAGGAUUUUUAUUAUUGCCAUCAUUGUAUCAAUAAUAUUAUAAAUUAUAUAUUCUAUUGUAAUGAAAAUUUGUGCAAUCUUAGGUAUGUAUUAUAUUAAAUUGUGUGGAUUAAUUAAGAAUAUUUUUGGAGACAAAAGAAGUGUGUGUAUGUAAGAAUAAUGAUAAAAAAUUUCUAAAUAAAGGUGAUUGCUUCAUUGACAAGUACAUAUUUAUAUUCCUCUAUUAGUAUUUGGGUUGUAAACUCUGUUUAUAAAGUGAAUAUAUUGUGGUAAGCGAUGUGGGAAAUAUCGGAUGCGAAAUAUUGAGAGAUCAUUAACGCAUAUAUUUAUUGAAGAUGCAUAUAGAGGAAAGAGUGUAGAUCCGGCCGUAACACUUAUGAAGCUUUCCCUAAGUAUUCUCAUGCUUGCUUAACUAUUCCGAAGUAUUUUUCAUAGUGUGCAUAUUUACUUUAUGGUGUCUUUAUUCGUCUCAAAUGAUUACUACAGUUCUUUUGGGAUGAAAGGUCAUUUAUUUUGUUAAUUUUAAACAAUAGAAAAAAUAAAUAAUGGUAACGAAAGACUAAUUGUGAUAUUGAAGCGUACGGACUUUAACUCAAUCCAAAAAUUAGUAGGACCCACAUAUAUUUGAUGACGCUGAAAGUUACAUCAAUUGUAACUUAGAAACAUCCAAAUAUUAGACAAUAAUACACAAUAACAAUGCAUAUAAUUUGGGUUUGAUUUUUAAAAAAUUAUUUGAAUAUCACUUAUCCUUAAGAUAUUAAUUUGAAUAUAUUUUAAUAGUAAAUAAUAAAAAUUUGUUUAGUUAUUAUUUGUAUUUCAUACAUUGCAUGUUAGAUUUGUUUGAAUUUUAAGUUGUUGCGAAUAAAUAUUUAUGUUGUGAAAGUCGAAUUCAAUAGCUACAAAAGCAGAGAUAAUUGUAUUUUAUAUAGUUUUUAAGAAUACAAGGAUAAGAUCAUAACGCAUGAGAUAACGGUAUUUUAUAUUAAAAGACCAUAAUGCAUGUAUUUGAGCCAUUUAUAUUGAAGACACAUAUAGAGGAAUGAGUGCAGAUCCGACCAUAACUAUUGUGAAGCUUUCCUCAAGUAUUCUCAUGCACCCAAACCUUAUCUGGUCAAGGUUUCUGAUUGAAUAUAAUCAAUUUCCGUGCAGUACCGAAGACAGCUUCUGUUGGUAGUUGAAUUUGUGGGGAAUGACAAAUGUAGAGAAAUACAACAAUAAUGGUGGAACUUUAUUACGUAAAGUAAUGUGUUUACAACUAACUCUGUAUGUAGUAAGAAAAAUAAUAGUAAUAAGUAAACUUGCAAAAAUUUUGUGUGCUUGAAGGCACGUUACAAAUGUCGCUUUCCUUAAGACGUUAUUUGCCCCCACCAAUUGAGUGAUGCACAUGGGUUAAGCAAAUACGCAUCCAGGAUACAAUGAAGCACUUGUUUGUUUGCUAGUGUUGUGCAUCAACGAAAGCAAACCAGAAUACUCUUGAAUGUUGCAAGCCUGCCAAGAAACAAUAAAUUGUUCCUGCAGAAAACAAUAUAUUGGAUUGUGAAUGCACAAAAGAAAUGGGUGUUUUGUGUUGAAAUUCGUACUAGAAAGGAAUGCUAAGAAAAGAGUGGUGUAGGAUCAUUGAUUUCAUGUCUAAAUGGCUUAAACAUGACCCCUAUUUAUGGAUAUACUUGUGCCCCCUCAUUUGGGUUGUCAUCUUCAUGAUACCCCUUCAUUCAUGGCCAUUGGAUCUAUAUUUAAUUUUAAUCAAUGGUCCAAAUUGAACCAUCACCAUUUCAAAUGAAAUGUCACCAUGAAAUGAUGCAUCUCUAAGUGAAAUGUUACCAUGAAAAGUUAUAUCAUUUAGUAAAAAGAUACAUUUUCUAUAAGACAUAAUUAAAUAGACAUGUCCUUACAACAAGACAUCAUUUAAUUAGACAUGUCUUUAGUGAAAUGUACUUUUUCUAUAAGGCAGAAUUAAUAAGACAUGUCUUCACCAUAAGACACAAUUUAUUUUGAAAAUUUUCCAACAGCUUAUCUGUAAAGCUCUUCAACCACAAGCAUUUCUACAAGGCAAAAGACUAGGACGUGUUGGAAUGAAUAUCAAUAAGGGAAUGUCUUAUGAAUUUGGUUUAUAUCCUAAUAUAAGACAAUCAAUAAAUAUUGGAUGCAAUCUAAGGGCUAACAUUUGAUUGAUCAUUGUACGAAAAAAAAAGGUACAAAAAUACAAAACAGAGCUGAUUGAUGGCCUUUAACAGUCAGUUCUAUGACAAAGUAACCACCACAACAAAUGGAAUUAUAAGACAUCAAGAAACUUGAACUUGGCAGGAGGUCUCAUUAGCAGUAUACCUCAGAAAUUAAGACAGAGACUUUAAAAUGCAAGCUUAUGGAGUAAUUUAAGCACUGAAACUAAUAACAGUGAUGCAAAAAAAGGUGCAGAAGUACGGUAUUAGCAAUUGACCUCUGCUUUUGCUUGGACAAAGGUUUUCAUCACAAGGGACUCAUUAGUUGCCCUUGCCUCACACGAUUGGAUGCUAAGGGGAAAAAGGAAGCUUCUAACGGCAUUCACAGAGAACCUAUAAAACUAAAAAAAAAAAAAAUCAUCCAUGAAAAGGCUACUAACAAAAAAACUAACUCUUUUAUCUGCCACUGACCUAAUCCGCACUCAUUUAAUUAAAAAAGAAUUAAAAGCAAAACUAAAAGAUACAAAUUGCGUACAAGUCUAGGAGCCAUAUCAAAGGCGUUAUAUAACUUUUCCAAUUAAUAAAUUCUCUUAAGGGCCAUACCGUGCUCAUCAUUUCAAAAGCAAUUAAGGAUAAGAACUUUCAUCAUUAAUUGAUAUGGCCAGUGUAGAAAAAAUGAAAAAGCCCUCCAAGAUCAAAGCACAAGGAUCAGUUUAGAAUUACACUUUUUAAAUUUUGGUUAAUAAAUAAACGUUUAUAUGAAAAUAGAAAAUCUUUUUGGAAUAACCUUUUUUUUUCUUUUUUUAAUGAAUGUGGAUAUAAAAUUUUAAAAUCGCCAAACCGAAAAGAAAAACAGGGGAAUGAAAAGAGAGCCCACGUUUCUCCUCUCUUUUGUUUUUAUUGUUAUCAAACAGGGGAAUGAAAAGAGUGCUCUGUUUCUCCCCUGUUUUGAUUUUUUUAUUACUAAACAGGGGAAUGAAGAGAUCAGCUCUUGUCGCAAGCGCAAAUUUUUGUUUCUAAAUGCAGUUGGUUGUAACUAUAUUCGCAGUCCCUAGUACUUAGAAGUAAAGGCUCUUGGAAUUUCUAUUGUAGUACAUGAGAUGUUUCCCGUUCAAAUAGCUCGCCCGAUACCAUUAGCAUGUUCAUCUCUCUAUAGAUUGAUGUUGACAUAGAUGUUAUUCUACUUUUGCUAGUGGAGUUUUGGGCCUUGUCGUAAUUGGUGGAAUUACGACAUCGGUGGCUGACAUGGCUUUCCUUGUACAGGUAUGUAUGAUUGUUUUUUUUGCACGUCUAAAUGGCACUGUUGAAAAGCUUAAAAUUGAACUGAUAAUUUUGUUUGGAAGCUCAGAAAAUUCAUGAGAAAGUGAAAUAGAAUAUUCUGGAUUUCUUUUCUUUCCAUAACAUACAAAUGACAAACGUAGCAGUAUUUAUACUCGUUGCUUACAUCAUAAAAACAGAAUUAAAGCAAGUUAUACAACUAUAACAUAAUAAAAACCGUGCUUAACUAAUUGGCUGAGCUAGCAUAUACUUCUUUAACUAACACAUGCUUAUCGUGCAGCUACUCUUUAGUUCACACGUGCUCAGUGUGCUUCCUUAACAGACACAAGGGAAAAGACAUGAUUUUGAGAUAUAACGCUUGAAUGUUCUCGGAAUGGCAUAACGCUUUGUGUGUCUCGGACCUGUUAAGAAUAACAUAUGCUGAGUCAGCUGCUGAGUCAUCAAGCCACGCUGGAAGUUAGUUUUGCAGUUAGUUAGAGAGCUUAUCAGCUUCCCUCCAAAAGUUUGUUAUGUGUAUUAGAAUCUGGGCUCACGAGUUUUGUGAGAUUGUAACCUUAAGAAGAUUCUCACACUACUAUAAAUUGUAUUGUGACUCAAUUAAUAAAAUAAGUUGAAGCUUUGCAUUUUCUCUCAGUCAAAAUUUUCUCUCUGUUUUUCUAACCAAACAAGAUCUACAGAGCAUCUUGUAUUUUAACUUGGUAUCAGAGCUUGAAUCCAAUGGCCUUAAUCGGUUCCAAUCAACAGUCAAGCAACACUUCCAUAACUUCUUUCACCUUCACAAAUCCAAUUAAGCUUGAUCGUGCAAACUAUACGAUCUGGAAACAAUAAGUACUUUCUUCAAUUCGUGGCAAUGGUCUUGAAGGCUAUAUUGAUGGAUCAAGGAUCUGUCCUAGUCAAUUUCUUUCUCCAGAGGCUAGAUCUGAAGGUUCUUCUUCUUCUAACAUCGAAGGUCAAGAGAAUCCAGAGUAUGCAGCCUGGAGACGUCAAGAUUAGCUCCUGCUCAGCUGGAUUCUGUCGUCCAUGAAUGUAGAUAUUCUCAGUCUUGUGGUAAGCUCUAAGACUUCUUUUGAGUUGUGGAAAAAUCUAGAAAAAUAAUUUGGAUCUGAAUCUAUGGCUAAGAAGGUUCAUCUAAAAAUGCUUUUGAGUAACCUGCGAAAAGGAUCUCUAACCAUGUCUGAGUAUUUUACAAAGCUUAAGUCAGUUACAGAUGGUCUUGCUUUAGUUGGUAGCCCUGUGCAUGAUUCGGAUUUAGUCACUCAUCUUAUUACUAGUCUAGAUCAGUCAUAUUAUCCUGUAGUAGUCUAUAUUGAGGCAAACAUGUUGAAAAUGGAUCUUAGUGAGGCUUAUGCUAUGCUUCUCACACAUGAAGCUAGACUUGAGAAUAAUAAGCUUCAUGAUAGUAAGGAAACCAAGAACAAUUAUGCAGCAAAUGUAGCUCAGGCUGGAAAUUUUUCAAAGAAAGGUAAUAACAAUAAUCAAAACAACUGGAAGGCUGGAGGAAACAAUUGGAAUAAUAACUCUGGUGGAAGAGGUGGUUUUGGUGGUAAUGGAAGAGGUGGUUACCAAGGGUUCAAUCCAGGAAGAGGAAACUAGAAUAAUAAUAAUUUCAGAGGUGUUGCUGGUGGAUUUAAUAGUGGAUUUCCUGGUCCCGGUGGCUUCAAUAACAAUUAUGGCAGAGGUGGUUUCAACUCAGGAGGUGCUGGAAAGAAUUUUGCUCAGGGAACUGGUGCUGCUUGUCAGAUAUGCUUCAGGUUUAAUCACACAGCAGCUGAUUGCAGAGACAGGUUCAACCGAAAUUUUAUCCCAAAUUUUCCAGCUCCAGCUCCAAAUCACUUCUGUAAUCAGCAUCAAGGACCAAGAGCAGUCUUCAUAACAACAUCUGAAGGAGCUGCUGAUCAGGGAUGGUUUCUGGAUAGUGGUGCAACUCACCACUUAACCAACACAGUUCAGAAUCUGAGUGAUGGUAAAAUCUAUUUUGGCUCAAACUUACUUACUGUUGGUAAUGGCCAAGGUCUUAGAAUUACUCACAUAGGUUAUACACAACUUCACACUUCUUUUGGCACCUGUUUACAACUACAUAAUAUUUUGUGUGUCCCUCAAAUUACCAAGAACCUCAUUAGUAUUUCCAAACUCCUCACUGAUAAUGAUAUAACCAUUGAAUUUUUCUCUGAUGUUUGCUUUCUAAAGGACAAGGUGAAGGGCACUCUGUUGGCUCAGGGGAUAGCCUAUACAAGCUACUAUCAAAAGAGGAAUCUCUCUCUUCUUCCACUUCUGUUCUGCCAGUGUCUCAUCCUAGUUCUAUGAUGUCAACUCUUUCCUGCAAUAAUGUAGUUACUUCUGUUCAAAGUUCAAAUAAUGACUUCUGUUUUAAGUCUACAUUUCCUGUAAGCUUUCAAACUUCAAGUUAUGUGUCAGCAAAUAUGUUGCACAAUAGACUUGGUCAUCCAAGUAAACAUGUCAUACAAACUAUUCUCAGAAACAAUUGUUUAAUGUCAGCCAAUGUUAGUAAAUCAAAUUUUCUUUUCUGUGAUGCCUGUCAAUUGGGAAAGUUACAUCAAUUACACUUUCCUGCUACUGAAAUCAAAACAAAAAACCCCUUAGAAUUAAUACACACAGACUUAUGAGGACCAGCACCAGUUUUAUCACUAGAUGGCUAUAGAUACUAUAUUUCCUUUGUUGAUGACUUCACCCGAUAUUGUUGGAUCUUUCCUUUAGUUUUAAAAUCUGAUGCUCUUACUACUUUCAAAAACUUCAAGAGCUUAGUUGAGAAACAAUUCAGUCUGCCUAUCAAAAUUCUGCGGUCUGAUAUGGGAGGUGAAUUCAAAGCUUUUCAGUCCUUUCUUCAACAAGAAGGUAUCCAAGCUAGAUUUAGUUGUCCCUAUACUCACCAUCAAAAUGGUGUUGUUGAGAGAAAAUAUAGACACUUAGUAGAAACUGGAUUAACACUCCUUACUCAAGUAAAAAUGCCUAUUUCUUUCUCGUGGGAGGCUUUCCAUACAGCCUCCUAUCUCAUUAAUAGAAUGCCUACCACUACACUGAACAACUUAUCUCCCUAUCAAAAGCUUCAUAAUCAGCCACCAAACUAUCAACUUCUCAGAGUUUUUGGUUGUGCUUCCUAUCCUUUUCUCAAGCCUUAUAAUGAUCACAAGCUUGAUUUUCAUUCCCAAAAAUGCUUGUUCUUAGGUUACAGCCCUCUUCAGAAAGGAUAUAGGUGUCUAACAAAGUCAGGUAAAGUAUAUGUUGCUACUCAUAUUGUUUUUAAUGAAUCUGAUUUUCCCUAUUCAGAGUUGUUCUCUUCAUCUGAGUCUUCUUCCAAUUCUCUAUCAUCAUACUCUCCAUCUAUUUGUAUCCUUAAUGACAGUGGCUUGCAUCAAUCAUCAGCUACAUCUCCUACUUCAGCAAAGUUACCAACUAUACAUUCACCUCAACAUCCUCACCAAGCCCCACACUCUCCUUGUCCCUCUCCAGUCUCAGAUUCCUACAGCUAAUCAUCACCACAUUCUUCAUCACAUAAUGCUUUAGCCAAUCCCUCUGAUGAAUUACAACCAUCAUCUCAACCUGUCAUUUCAACUCAUCAGAUGGUCACUCGAGCCAAAUCUGGUAUUUUUAAACCAAAGACCUACCUUACAGCUACCCAAGACCUUGAACCAGUGAGUGUUAAAGCAACCCUAAUUGAUACAAAGUGGAAAAUGGCUAUGCAAGAAGAGUAUAAUGCCUUGCAGAAGAAUGGCACCUGGACAUUAGUUCCAGCUGAAACAGCUACAAAACUUGUUGGCAAUAAGUGGGUUUUUCGAGUUAAAUAUAACCCAGAUGGCAGCAUUUCCAAGUAUAAGGCUCGGUUGGAUGCAAAAGGUUUUCAUCAAACCUAUGGAGUAGAUUUCUUUGAAACUUUUAGUCCAGUUGUUAAACCCUGCACUGUUCGUAUUGUUCUCAGCUUAGCAGUCAUGCAUUGUUGGCCAGUUCGGCAAUUAGAUGUUAACAAUGCCUUUCUUAAUGGCAUGCUUACUGAAGAUGUGUUUAUGCCUCAGCUAGAAGGCUUUAUCAGCUCUCAGUUUCUCAAUCAUGUCUGCAAAUUACAAAAAGCCCUUUAUGGUCUUAAACAGGCUCCAAGGGCUUGGUAUGAUAGAUUGAAAGGGUCUUUAGUUCAGUGGGGUUUCAAAUCUUCAAAGUCAGAUACUUCACUGUUUUUCAAGCAUAUUGGCAAUAAUGUUCUCAUCAUCCUUGUUUAUGUAGAUGAUAUCCUGAUAACAGGCUCUAGUGAUGUUUAUAUUUAAGAGGUUAUCAGUCUACUUAGCUCAGAAUUUGCACUUAAAGAUUUAGGAGAUUUUAACUACUUUCUUGGGGUAGAAGUGACUCCAUCUGCUGAAGGAUUACAUCUAUCUCAAACUAAGUAUGUUGGUGACAUCUUAAGAAAAGCUCAUAUGCUUGAGAGUAAAGGUUGUAAUACACCUAUCAGUGUUGCUGAUAAAUUGCAGAAGGACAAAGGCUGCUCAUUUACAAAUCCCUCACUUUACAGAAGCAUCAUUGGUUCUCUGCAGUAUCUGACACUGACCAGACCAGAUAUUGCAUUCACUGUAAACAAAUUGAGUCAGUUUUUAGCUGCUCCAACUAUCUUGCAUUGGCAGGCUUGCAAGAGGGUAUUACGAUAUCUACAAAGCACAUCACAUUUUAGACUGCAAUUCUUCAAGUCAGGUUCUCCAAGUCUCAUAGCAUAUUCUGAUGCAGAUUGGGGGUCUGAUCCAGAUGAUAGAAGAUCUGUUGGAGGGUAUUGUGUUUAUCUUGGAUCCAAUCUUGUGUCUUGGUCAUGUAAGAAACAGAACAUUGUUUCCAGGUCAUCUGUUGAAUCUGAGUAUAGAGCAUGGCCUUAGCUACAUCUGAGGUUUUGUGGAUUACAUAUCUAUUAAAAAAGCUCAAAGUAUCACUUCCCAAACCUCUUGUUCUUUACUGUGACAACAGCAGUGCAGAAGCUUUGGCUAGCAAUCCUAAGUAUCAUUCCAGAACUAAACAUAUAGAACUGGAUUUACAUUUUUUCAGAGAACACAUUGCCAACAAGGAUCUCUUCAUUGAACAUGUGUCUAGUUCUGAUAAGCUAGCUGAUGUGCUUACCAAACCUCUGAGUUUUGAUCAUUUUGCCUAUAUGCAAACUAAGGUCAAUGUCUGCCCAUGACCUUGAGCUUACGGGGGCAUUUUAAGAAUAACAUAUGCUGAGUCAUCAAGCCAUGCUGGAAGUCAGUUUUGCAGUUAGUUAGAGAGCUUAUCAGCUUCCCUCCAAAAGUUUGUUAUGUGUAUUAGAAUCUGGGCUCACGAGUUUUGUGAGAUUGUAACCUUGAGAAGAUUCUCACACUACUAUAAAUUGUAUUGUGACUCAAUUAAUAAAAUAAGUUGAAGCUUUGCAUUUUCUCUCAGUCAAAAUUUUCUCUCUAUUUUUCUAAGUAACCAAACAAGAUCUACAGAGCAUUUUGUAUUUUAACUGGAGCGGCUGAUUGGUGCUGUACGUGUUACAUUUUUACUUUUUUAACUCAAGUCUGCUGUUGUCCCAAAGUUGGAACUAGAGAUAUCAUUUCACCUCAACUGUGUUUUUUUUUUAAUUAAAAAAAUCAUUUGUUUUAGGUAUACAUACAUGUAUUUUAAUUCUAUUUUCCUUGUAAUUUCUCCUUUACUUUGAAUGAAAGUCAUUGGUGUUUUCGAAUGGGAAUUUUGCAUUAAAAAAUUAAGAAUAGUUAAUAGGAAAUUUCCUGAUUCUUUAGUUACUAUUUUUGGUAUGAGUGUAAUUAGUAGUAAAGUUGGUUUCUACUCGCAAACAAGUGAACUGCUCGAUUCCCAAGUGCUAUUAACCAGUUUCCAACUUUUUAAUAUACACUAAUUGUUCCUGUUUAAUAGCUACUACUAUUAAAACUCAACAGCUAACAAAAAUACUAAAAAAAAUGAUUUUUUCUUAUGAUGCUGUGAAAAAAAUUACGGGUUUACUUAUUUCCACGAGAUCUUGUAUAGUGUUCUUGUAUAGUGGAAUUAAGAUUGUCUUCCCGAUGGUGCAAUUCACCCUCUUCCUUUACAGUCACUUGCACUUUGUGCAGCUUUGGUGUGGAUAAGAUUCCCAGGGAAAAAGUCUUCAUGUUCGGACAAUGUGUCACAAAUACUCGUUCCAAUGAUGGGAAUUCAAGAGGGUAAUUCUCCAAACAAAAGCUGGUAAGCCUUGGUAAAUACGACUCUCCUUCACUUCUUCUCCAGCAUGUCCUACGAUUUCUUCUAAUUUUUUGCAGUUCCAUACAUAAAGAUUCACCAGACUAGUAGGAAUUCCAACCUGAAAAUAAGCAGAGUGUGUGUGUGUGUGUGUAUAUAUAUAUAUUAAAAAAGUAAAUAUGUAAGAGUAUCAUUCAACUAGGCUCAAAGAAUGUUUAAUCAUACAAUUAUACGUUUUAUGAACAUAACAAACUGUGAAAUAUCUACUAGAUAUUUUUUGUUAAACAAAAAAGGUAACAAGAUAAAUAAAUAAAUAAAAGCCAGAUAAACAAAGAUGAUAAAAAUGUAUUUACACUAUUUAGUAUUAGGGACGUAGAAAGAAUUUAUGGCAAUUUCUAAAUAUUUUGGACUUAUUUUGCAUCUUGAUAUAAGUUUUUAAGCAUAAAUUUGCAAAUUUCAACUAUUCCUUUAAAAAAAAAACUCAACUAAAAUGCCUCUUUUUCCCUUUUCCUUGGUCCCUAUUUUUUAUGUAUAUAUAAAAAUGGAAAAAAAAAUUUUGGAAAAGACUUCCCAGUACUGUCAACAAGGGAUUGCUGUAAAGUGGAUCUUUAUUAAGUACUUCCAGACUCGAGGAAAUUUCUUUACAAUCAAGGGUCAGUUGUAAACAAUCAUGAAUUUGUGGUUAAUUAAUGGCAUAAUCAAUUCUUAACUAAACUGGAGAUAUUAAUUAAAUUUGAAGACUUUUUUUUUUUCCAAUCGAAAUGUGAAGAAUUAAGGAAAAGAGAAAUAUAUAGAUGAAUUUGUGAACCUAUAAGAUGAGUGACUAUCCUUUAAUUUUUGAAAAUUGUACUUAUUAAGACAUGAGCAGAAACAAUUAAAUUGAAUUAUAUUAUGCUGUUGAAUCGUGAUUAAAAAAAUUAUAUUGUUGAUUCUAAUGCUGGCGAACCUAAAAACUGGACUUAAAACGUAGAUUUCAGAGUGGUGGUUUGAAGUACAAUACUUGAAAUAAAUAAUCAGUGGCUAAAUAUCAUUUGUAAACCCAAAAAUGGUUAAAAUAUUGUUGAAUGUUAUUUGAAAAAAAAAAAAAAGAGAUUCAAAAUGAAUAUUCUUACCAAUGGAGGAAAAAUAUUCUUUAGGUUAUCACACCAAGAUAUCUCCAAAUUCUUCAAUUUGCUGAAAGACUCCGAAGCAAGCUGGUGGUGCCAUAUUUUUCUCAAAUUAUCCAUCCAGUCAAUACGUAAUACCUCCAACCUAGGAAGUCGUACCUGACAGUUAAAGAUUAAAUAACUAAUUAAUCAAUUAAUGGCAUAAUCAAUUGAUAAAUAAAUUAGAGGCGGAUAUUAACUAAAUUUGAAGACUCAAGGAAAAGACAAAUUAAAUAUUGUGACUAAAAUAAAUUUAAAAAAAAAAAAAACCUUUUCGUCAAAGAGAGGAGGUUGCAUUUCAGAAUGAAUGGUGUCUUCUGGUGAGCUCGUGGAGAUGAAUCUUAACAUAUUCCAGCAACUCUGAAUCUCGAGGUUUAGCAAAGAAGGGAAUUCAACAACUAAAUCUGAAUGAAUAUGUCCCGUAUUGGCAAAGCUUGUUAGUUCUGGAAGCCAAUAGAGCCGCAGGAAGUGUAGUUUAGGAAAUACCUUUAAUUCAAUCAACUUUCCUUCAUCUCUUUCUGACCAUCCCGUGGUGUCGACUACCCCUUCCAUUGACUCACAAUAGCUUAUCUCAAGAUGUUGGAGCUGCAAAAGGCUAUUAACCAUAGAAUAUGAAAACAGAUACUUCAUACGAUGACAACCGACCACGUGCAGCUUUGUUAGAUUUUGACAACAGUACAUUCCUUGAUUAUGAUCGGCCCAUAAUUUUUUCAUGUUUCUCAAGUCCCUGAGAUUCAAUUCCUCUAAGCUCGGAAGAAUAACCUGCAAAGAAAACCCGUACAUUUUUGUUCCUUCAAGUACAACCGUCUAGUAUAAUAUUCUUUUGAUGAUCGAAGAUUAAUCGUGAUAAUAAAUUAAUCAAUUAAUUAUUGAACAGAAAAUUAUCACCUUUGGAGCAGGAUCAUCAUCAGAAAUGAUUUCGUUGAAUCCCAAAGAAGUUGUUGGUUUGUCCAUGUCGGGUCCUAUAAACAAACAAAAACAAUAUACAUAAUUAAUCUUUGUCGUUGUCUUUUUUUUUCAAAAUAAUUGAGGCGAAGUCCAUAAAUCCACCAACACUUAAUUUCAACACUUACCAACAAUCAUUUCCAGAUCAUCGCAAAAAAACACUUCUACCUUUUGAAGCCACAGUAGGUUUUUGGCCAUGGAGAAUGAGAAAAGAUGCUUCAAUUCGUGACAGUCUGAUACUUUUAUAAUCCUUAAGUUGCUGAAAGAUUGAUCUUCUGUGAGUUGGCUGUCACAUAUUGUCUCCAAAUUUAUCAAACGACGAAGAGACAAUGACUCCAGCAAGGGGAAGACUUUGCGACGAACCCGUCCAACUGAACAGACAAUAUGCAAAAUCUCAGACCAACUUUUUACAGCAAGGUGCUUCAAUCGUGGAAAACCUUCCCCAUCAUCUAAUUCAUGAACAACAUUCUGAACACCCUUCAGUUCUUCUAGAUAGAGAUAUUCAGUUCUCUUCAACAACAGUUUCAUCCUGUAAUUCUGCAAAAGAAUGCCAAACUUUUCCAGCCUCUGGAGCUUCAUCAAUCUUGAUAAUCCAGAUUUAACGGACCAGCUGCUCCCCCACUUAUUUCCUAUACAUAUCCUAUAGGUAGAAGUGUUCUAGCUAUUAAUUUUAUACAUAUCUUCUAUAGGUGUAUUCUAAUUAAUUUCAUACAUCAGAUUUUUAGAUAAAAAUAAAGAAGUAAAAAAAAAAAAUCUUCACAUCAUCUUAAGAAAUUCAAAGCCAUGAUACCACAUCCAAUCACGAGAAUCCAUUUUCCUAUGAUCACUGACCUUUAGGUGCGGUGCUUGGUUUGAAGAAGGGAAAGGGGGUGAGGAAAGUAAUUUGAAUUCCUUUCUUAUUUCCGUUGUUUGGUCGGUCAUAAUAUAAAAGAAUUUAAUUUUCAUUAAAAUUUAAUAUAAUCAUAAUGUGGAAUUUAGAUUUCUCAAUAAAGAGUGAUGAAUCUUGGUUUGGGUCUGUUUUGAGUUUAUUUUCAUUUAUUUGGCUAUGUUUUGAUAGCGAAUUUUGAUAUGUCAAUAUAACGUGUAAUUGUUUUGGGUUGAGCUGGUAAUUAUGCUGGAUUAGAUUGGUUUGGUUUUGGUGCUUCUCUGAUGGAACACUGUUUUUUUUAGAAAUUUUGAAUGUAAUAUGAGACUACAUUUAGUUUAAUUGAACACUGCAUCUAGUCUAAUUACUAGAAGUGCGGCAUUUGGUUUGGUUUAUCCUAUAUUCUCCAGAAUUUCACUUGCAUCUGGUUUUGUUGCAUAUGUUUGCUUGCAUUUGAUGGCAGUAGCAGACUGUUUGGUUUUGUGACAUUUGAUGGCAGUUUGGUCUGUUCUUGGUGUUGGUUUAAGAUUGUUCCUGUUGUGCUGAUGUUAAUUGCAGGUGCUUGAAUCAGCUAGGGUUGCUGGUUUAUUCAGAUGGUUGACUCAGGCGUUGUUACUGGUUAAUUCAGGUGGCUGACUCAAGUUGUUCAUUUAAUGUUAGGAAGCAAAUUAAGAAUUAAUGAAGUAUUCAUUAAACUAUAAUUAUUGUAGUUAUUUUAUUUCAUAACUGAAUUAUAAUCUAUGAUACUUGUGAACAAAUUAGAGAAUUUUUAUAUAUGAAUUAUAUAUAUGUGUAUGUACAUUUUGCUAAUAAUUUAAAGAAUAUAUUUCAAUUCCCACAAAAAAAUGGCUCCAAUUUCAAUAAUUCCCGCCAAAUAAUUAAAUUUUUUUAAUUUACCACCAAAAUAUAUCUUAAAGAAAUUUUAGUUAUUCUUGCUAGAUUUAACAAAAAUGAUUUGUAGGAUUAACAUUUAAUUAAAAUAAUUAAAUAAUUUUAUUAUUCCAAUUAAAUAUGUCAUGUUUAUACGACAGACAAUAUUCAUGAAUGGGAAGUAUUAGUUACGUAUUUUUCCUUGGGAUUUCAGGCAAAUGAAAAAAAGAUUGAGAAUGAUUUCAAGAGGACAGGUGGAUGAUAAGUAUUCAUUUUUGUAUAUUUGUCUAAUGUCCUCAUUAGUGGAUUUUUAUGGUAUUGAUCUUUUUUUUUUUUUUUUUAAUUUUCAAUUAGUUGCAGCCCUAGAGGAAGAGCAGGCUGAUCAAAUUGAUUUGUCUUGUUUUUCGGGCAAUCUACGACAUGAUGACCGUGAUAAUGCUCGUGACUGCUGGAAACUUUCUGAUGGAAAUAACUUUAGAGUUCGUAGCAAGCAUUUUUGUUAUGACAAAACAAAGGUUCCCCCAUAAUUUGUUUGUUUGUUAUGGUAUUUAUAUAUCCUGCAUAGGCUAGGUAGACAAGUUAUGAUGUACGUGUUUCUCAUAUAGAACUCAAGUCUGCUGUUGUCCCAAAGUUGGAACCAGAGAUAUCAUGACUCUGGUUUCAUUUCACCUCAACUGUGUUUUUUUUUUUAAUUAAAAAAAUAUUUGUUUUAGGUAUACAUACAUGUAUUUUGAUUCUAUUUUCAUUGUAAUUUCUCAUUUACUUUGAAUGAAAGUCAUUGGUGUUUUCGAAUGGGAAUUUUGCAUUAAAAAAUGAAGAAUAGUGAAUAGGAAAUUUCUUGAUUCUUUAGUUACUAUUUUUGGUACGAGUGCCAUUAGUAGUAAAGUUGGUUUCUACUCGCAAACAAGUGAACUGCUCGAUUCCCGAGUGGUAUCAACCGGUUUCCAACUUUUUAAUAUACACUAAUUGUUAUUGUUUAAUAGCUACUACUAUUAAAACUCAACAGCUAACAAAAAUACUUAAAAAAAAUGAUUUUUCUUAUGAUGCUGUGAAAAAAAUUACGGGUUUACUUCUUUCCACGAGAUCUAUAACAUGGUCUUGAUUUCACGAAAUUCUUUUAAUUUAAAGCGUGCUGGUGUGAGAAGGUCAGUUUGACUGAUUAAUUCUUUUUAACAGUGGUCGAGAUAAUUUUACUAUACUCGAAAAUAUUCUUAUUCUGAUAAAGCCAUAAAUGUUAUGCUGUUUUCUUCGGCUAAUGAUCUUCUAUCAGGAGAGGUUAGAAAUCAAAUGCUUAAAAGACCAAUUGAACGAAUAAUACAGAAAUUUAGGCAGAAUCUAAUCGAAUAUUGUAUGAAACAUGAAACAUCAAUUCAAGUCCUUUCUUAAACAAAGAAUGCAUCAAACAAAAUCCAAAGUGUCUUGCAAGUUUGUAGCAUGAGCAAAAAAUUGUAAAUAUGUAGAACCAAAUUAUUCAAGUACAGAAGAACGAGCAAGCUAAAUCAUGUAUAAGAGAUUGGCCUGGUUCAGGAUAGCUUCUUCACUGUAGCUGAAGGGUUGGCUCAAUCUCUUCUUUAGAAUUCUGCAGAUUUUGUAAUUACUCGUGUAAGCAAGCAUACAUUGCCACCAUAAGAAUAAUAAAGCAAGAGUAAUGAUAUGACCACCACCUCUUGUGCACAAACAAUAUUGUAUAAACUAAUGCGACAUAAUAUGAUUGGUUAAAUAAAAACAUUACAUGGCCCUCAUAAUUUAUUUAUUUAUUUAUUAUUAUUAUUAUAUAUUUUCAAUCAACCAAUCAUAUUAUAUCACAUUAGUUUCUAUAAAAUAAUUUGCUAAAUAGCACCGAAACUUAAUUGAUACUCACCAUUUCAUUGAACAAUUUUUUUAUGGUGUCAUUGAGGUUGCCUUCCCAACAUCCUUCAUCAUCAUCAUCUUCUUCAUCAUCAUCAUCUUCUUCUUCAUCAUCUUCAUCAUCAUCAUCUUUUUCUUCUUCGGUGACGUUCACUUUGUUUAGCAUUGGUGUGUCUAAGACUCCUUGAGAGAAGAUCUUCAUUUUUGGACACUGUCUCACAACUACUUGUUCCAAGGAUGGGAACUCAAGAGCGUAAUUACCCAAACAAAAGCUUGUUAGGCUUGGCAAACAAUCAAGUCCCAAGUACUCCAAUUUCCUGAAAACAAUGCAAUCGUCCGCUUCUUCUCCAACCUGCGACUGUAUAAUUUCUUCCAUCAUUUUGCAAUCAGUUAUCUUCAUUCUUUCAAGAUUCACUAGACUUUCAGAUGUUGAGAGCGUCAAUAAAUUUAUCAACCCAUGACACUUCGAUACUUCCAGAGUCGCAAGAUUUUCCAAAUGCCACGAAGCUGGUACUAAUUUCUGCAACUUACUACAUUCAAAUAUUUCUAGACUUUUCAAGUUUGCAAACACUUUGUUGGAUUUGGCAUUUUCCUUCCAGAGAUGCUGCACUUUGUGUAAUCCAGAUAGCUUUAACUUCAUCAAUUGAGGGAAUGCAACCUGGAAAUCAACAAAAUUAAGUUGUAAAUGAAAAUAUGUAUCCAAUCUCUGCAGUCUUCCCCUGCAUAUUUUAUGGACAAGAUUAAUCACGGCAUUUUAUAUUUUAUUUCCAAAUUAGUAUGCUUUGCAGUAGGAUCCCAAAUAUAAGUAUCAAAUCGAUUACCCUUUGAAACACAUAAAUGAAAUCUGAUCCUAAAUCCAAUAUGAAUUAGCUAGGAAAACAGAGACCUAACACGCAUAAUCGAUAUAGUUCAUCACCUCCUGUCACUAGGCAUCUAAUUAAUUUGAGACAUUUUUUUAAUUCAUACUAUAAAGUUAGUUAAUAACUACGGUUAUAUUGUUAAACAUGUAUAAAUUAAGACGACGUGCAAAAAGAUGAGUCAUUAAAUUUGAUUUGAUUCUAAUGAAAUUAUAUCUGUGUGAAUGAAAGUGAAGGGAAAAAUAAUAAUAAUGUUACCUUUUCAUCGAAGAGAUGUUGUAUUUGAUUAGCUACCAAGAGGUUCUCUUCUUAUUUUAAUUUUUGAGCUUCCUUAUUAUCUGUUGUCAUGUGCAGUACAGAUGUAGAAUUGGACAUGAAUGUUUCCAUAUCAGGGCAAUUCUCAAUAGUUAGAUAUCUCAACUCAGGCAGUUCAAUUAUAUUCCCAGUGAAGUUGCAGAAUCUUUUGAGUUUUGGAAGGUCAAUGAGCCUUAGCUCAAAAAGCCUAGGAAACAGGGGGCCUAUAUGUUCUUCCUUGGCAUUUAGCUCUUCCAAAUGAAGCACCUCUUCUAGUGAAUCACAAUUCCUCACUUCCAGCCAUCUCAAAUUGUUCAAGCACCGUAUCAGAUUGGCAGGAAUAGCACUCGACAUAUUCGUGCGGUCAUCCACCACCAGGUGUCUUAAAUUGUUGAAGAAGCUGACAGGCAGUGCUUGGCCAUGCGAGAGUUGCAAAUGGUUUAUAUCAAGGAAUCCAAUCUGCACAAACCAAAACAAUUGCACUGGAUAUAUACAAUUUUUUCUUUCUGAAAGGCAUAGAUAUAUGUACAUUAAACUUACAUGUUUUCUGCUUUAACUUCUAAAAAUAUAUAUACAAGGCAGGUGUAUAUGCUUAAAUGUGCAAGUGCAGGGGAGAUGCAUGAACAAUUUGGGUGAAUCGAUUAACACAUACCAUCUUUUUGUAACAUAUGUUUAAAUGUGCAAGCGCAAGGGAGAUGCAUAAGCAACUUGGAUGAAUCGAUUAGCACAUACCAUUUCUUCGUAACACUUUUGUAUAGUGGAAUUAAGCUUGUUGCCUUCCCAAUGGUGCAGUUCACCCUCUUCCUUUUCAGUCACUUGCACUUUGCAUGGCUUUGUAAUGGAUAAGAUUCCCUGAGAAAAAGUCUUCAUGUCCGGACAACGUAUCAUAGAAACUCGUUCCAAUGAUGGGAAUUCAAGAGUGCAAUUCUCCAAACAAAAGCUGGUAAGCCUUGGUAAAUCAUCAAGUAUCAAAACUUUUAAUUCGCUGAAAGCAAUACGAUUCUCCUUCACUUCUUCUCCAACAUGUCCUACGAUUUCUUCUAAUUUUUGGCAAUCUGAUACUUAAAGAUUCACCAGACUACUAGGAAUUCCAACCUGAAAAUAAGCAAAAGUGUGUGUGUAAGAGUAUCAUUCAACUAGGUCCAAAGUAUGUUUAAAACAUACAAUUAUAUGUUAACAUAACAAACCAUGAAAUGUCUACUAGAUAAUUUUUGUUAAACAAAAAAGGCAACAAGAUAAAUAAAUAAAUAAAAGCCAGAUAAACAAAGACAAUAAAAAUGCAUUUACACUAUUUAGUAUUAGGAGCGUAGAAAGAAUUUAAGGCAAUUUCUAAAUAUUUUAGACUUAUUUUGCAUCUUGAUGCCAGUUUUUAAACAAAAUUUGCAAAUUUCAACUAUUCCUUCUGGGAAAAAAAAAAAUCAACCACCAACAAAGUGUUGGCUCCAUUGGCAAUGGAGUCCCCUUAAGUGGUUUGACUGGGUUUGCUCCCCAGUUCGAGUCGCAGGGAAGUCGCCUUUGUUGGGAGAACUUGUGCCUCCCGGUUCGAGCGGGGACUUCUAGUCUGGGUUGUGGUACGGGCUUAAAGGUGCCUUCCACAGUUGGGGCCCUCCCCAGGAUACCUCGUGAUUAAUAUAAAAAAAAAAAAAAAAUCAACCAAAAUGCCGCUUUUUCCCUUUUUCCCUUUUUCCUUGGUCCCUUUUUUUUAUGUAUAUUUAAUUUUGGAAACAAAAUUAAAGUGGAUCUUUAUUAAGUACUUCUAGACUCGAGGAAAUUUCUUUACAAUCAAGGAUCAAUUGUAAAUAAUCAUGAAUUUGUGGUUAAUUAAUGGCAUAAUCAGUUCGUAACUAAACAAGAGAUAUUAAUUAAAUUUGAAAACUUUUCUUUUCUUUUUUUCUUUUUCCAAUCGAAAUGUGAAGAAUUAAGGAAAAGAGAAAUAUAUAGAUGAAUUUGUGAACCUAUAAGAUGAGUGACCAUCCUUUAAUUUUUGAAAAUUGUACUUAUUAAGAUAUGAGCAGAAACAAUUAAAUUGAAUUAUAUUAUGCUGUUGAAUCGUGAUUAAAAAAAUUAUAUUGUUGAUUCUAAUGCUGGCGAACCUAAAAACUGGACUUAAAAUGUAGAUUUGAGAGUGGUGGUUCGAAGUACAAUACUUGAAAUAAAUAAUCAGUGGCUGAAUAUCAUUUGUAAACCCAAAAAUGGUUAAAAUAUUGUUGGAUGUAAUUAAAAAAAAAAAGAUUCGAAAUGAAUACAACAACCUUACCAAUGGAGGAAAAAUAUUCUUUAGGUUAUCACACCACCAUAUGUCCAAAUUCUUCAAUUUGCUGAAAGACUCCGAAGCAAGCUGGUGGUGCCAUAUUUUUCUCAAACUAUCCAUCAAGUCAAUACGUAAUACCUCCAACCUAGGAAGUCGUACUUGGCAGUUAAAGAUUAAAUAACUAAUUAAUCAAUUAAUGGCAUAAUCAAUUGAUAACUAAAUUAGAGGCGAAUAUUAACUAAAUUUGAAGACUCAAGGAAAAGACAAAUUAAGUAUUGGGACUAAAAUUAAUUUUUUUUUUAUUUUAAAAAAAACCUUUUCGUCAAUGAGAGGAGGAGGUUGCAUUUCAGAAUGAAUGGUGUCUUCUGGUGAGCUCGUAGAAAUGAAUCUUAACAUAUUACUGCAACUAUCAAUCUUGAGUAUUUGCAAAGAAGGGAAUUCAACAACUAAAUCUGAAUGAAUAUGUCUCGUGUUUGCAAAGCUUGUUAGUUUAAAAAGCCCAUAGAGCUGCAGGGAGUGUAGUUUAGGAAAAACCUUUAAUUCAAUCAACUUUCCUUCAUCUCUUUCUGACCACCCCGUGGUGUCGACUACCCCUUUCAUUGACUCACAAGAUCGUAUUUCAAGAUGUUGGAGUUGCAAAAGACUAUUAACCAUAGAAUACGAAAACAGAUACUUCAAAUGAUCACAACCGUCCACGAUCACCUUUGUUAAAUUUUGACAACAGUACAUUCCUUGAUUAUGAUCGGCCCAUAAUUUUUUCAUGUUUCCUAAAUGAAAGAGAUUCAAUUCCUCUAAGCUCGGAAGAAUAACCUGCAAAGAAAACCCGUACAUUUUUGUUCCUUCAAGUACAACCGUCUAGUAUAAUAUUCUUUUGAUGAUCGAAGAUUAAUCGUGAUAAUAAAUUAAUCAAUUAAUUAUUGAACAGAAAAUUAUCACCUUUGGAGCAGUAUCAUCAUCAGCAAUGAUUUCGUUGAAUCCCAAAGAAGUUGUUGGUUUCUCCCUGUCGGGUCCUAUAAACAAACAAAAACAAUACACAUAAUUAAUCUUUGUCGUUGUUUUUUUUUUCAAAAUAAUUGAGGCGAAGUCCAUAAAUCCACCAACACUUAAUUUCAACACUUACCAACAAUCAUUUCCAGAUCAUCGCAAACAAACACUUCUACCUUUUGAAGCCGCAGUAGGUUUUUUGCCAUGGAGAAUGAGAAAAGAUGCUUCAAUUUGUGACAGGAUUGUACUCCUAUAAUCCUUAAGUUGCUGAAAGAUUGAUCUUCUGUGAGUUGGCUAUCACAUAUUGUCUCCAACUUGUUCAAAAACCAAAGAGACAAUGACUCCAGCAAGGGAAAGACUGUACAAUGAACCCGUCCAACUGAACCGACAAUAAGCAAAAUCUCAGAACAACUUUCUACACGAAGAUGCUUCAAUCGUGGAAAACCUUCCCCAUCAUCUAAUUCAUGAGCAACAUUCUGAACACUCUUCAGUUCGUUUAGAUGGAUCUCUUCAGCUUCUUUCAGCAACAUUUUCGUCCCAUAAUUCUCCAAAAGACUGCUAACAUUUUCUAGCCCAUCGAGCUCCACCAUUCUUGAUGUUUCAGAAUUAACGCCCCACAUGCGCCACGCUUCUCCUAUACAUAUCUUAUAUCUUUGCAAUUCCACAGAGACUAAAUCCUGCGGCAGAAUUUGGGCAUCCCAAAAUUGUAUCUCCAAAGUAGUUAGCUUUGACAGCCCCUUCAAUUCAGCAAGACUGGCGGUACUUCCUCCUUCAACCUUAUCCCACUGCGAAAAGCUGUCACCCAUAUAUAGUUCUUCUAAUUGAGAAAAUUUUGAUAUGAGAUUUGGUGCUAUCACUACAAGGCUCCUACAAUUGCUCAAAUCUAGCAAUUGUAACCGCGUCAAUUGUCCAAUUUCAAGUGGUAACUGCUUAAUGUCGGAAUCUCGAAAGCUAAGAAUCUCUAAUUUCUUUAGCUGUCCAAUUGCAGCUACAUCUUCUAGUUGGCACCAGUCUAAACACAAUGUUUGAAGGUUAAUGAGGCGACCAAGUGAUGAAGGUAAUGAAGAGAAAGGAAUUCUAGUAAGGCUUAAAACUUUGAGUUCUUUCGUCCCUUCAAAAAAGAGGUCUGAAAUUUGCAUACGGCCAUUACCCUCUGCAGACAACAAAAAUAACUGGAGAUUGGGACAUUGCAACCUUUCAGGGAGCUCUUGAAUAUCUCUCUGGGGUAAUGAAAUGGCAAUUGGAUCUUUCCGUAUUGUCUCUUCCAUCUUUUUCUCUAAGUCGGCAACAUUUGGAAUAUUAAACAUGCGCUUCUCUGCGGCAAUUGAUACGGCAACAACAUGAAUGACGUCAUGCAUUUUAGCUUCAUCUUCAGCAUCACCGUCCAACAAUAAGCAUGAAGAUUUGAGGUUGUCGAUCAACCGAUGCACUCUACUCCUUGCUUCUUCCAAUGUGUAAACAUUUUCAAACAAACCCCAACCCACACCAUAUCUCAAUAAGUCAGAAACUUGUAUGGCAUGACCUUCACUGUAUAGACCACAAAGACGGAACAGAGAUUUUGCCUCCUCACUUUCCAAGAAGUCAUGACUCAAUUUUAUGGAGGUGUACACAUUUGCUUGCAUGCCAUGAAUUUCUCUUGCAUCCGAUCUUCUUAGCUGAUUCAAUGCAUCUUUCCAAAAGUCACGCUCCUUAGUUUUCAGAGCAUUUGCAACUGUACUCAGUGCAACAGGCAAACCUCCGCAUCUUUCAAUGAUCUCAUUUGCUAUACUUUGAAAAGCAGAUAUUUUAGUUGAAUCACCCACUAUCUUCUCAAAUAACUGCAAUGCUUCUUCUUUUGAUAAAGCAUCGAUCCAGAAAUUUUUCUGAGAAUUCAUAUCAAUGCACAAUAAAUCUCGACUUCUAGACGUCAAUAUUAUUGUGCAUCUUCUCUGAUCAUCCUCUCUAUCUUUCUCAUCAACAUCUCCAGAAGGAAUUCCAACCGCAUCUAACUCAAGUUUUGUCCAAAUAUUAUCCAAUAUAAUGAGGACCCGCUUCUCUUGCUUCAACCUUUCACGCAGUCGAGAAGCUCUAUGGUGUAUACUAUCAUUCAAGUCAAAUUUCAUGCCUAAAUCAGAAGCGAGCUUGUCUUGAAUUUUCUGGGGAUCUGGGUUCUGUAUUACCUCAGCCAUAACGACCUUAUCGAUCAACUUAUCUUCCAUCACUUUCUUAGCAACUUGCUUGACUAGCGUGGUUUUACCCACGCCGCCCAUGCCGUAGACCCCAAUUAUGUUGAGCUUAUCAUCCUUCAACGCCUCCAUAACAUCCUGAAAUACUUUCAUUCUUGAAUCAAAGGCCUCGUUAUCUUUCCCGUCAUUAAGUCCUGUGCUCUUUGGAGUAGGACGGUAGGAAACAUUAGAGAAGUUGCCUUUUCCCACGAGACCAGCGGCAGCUUCUGCGGCCUUUGCUGCUUGUUUACUAAGCUUGUAACGGGACAUCAAAUUUGGGCACAAUCCUUUGAAGCAGAACUUUUUAGCUCUUUCUUCAUCAUCAAUGAUGGAUUUUGCAACCCCUUCACUGAUGAAUUCAUCAACGCUAUGUAGCCAGUCUGUGACACCCUCAUAAAGCUCAUCCCCUUGUAGCCUAGCAUGAUUAACUGGUUGCUGCACCAUUUCUCUCUUAUAUCCCAGCUGCUUCACUUGAACUUUUAGCUCAUCUAUGUAGCUCUGGUACUUGAACACAUCAGAUAUCUGCCGUGUAAUCGGGUUGAACAGUGACUUUGCACCUUCUGAUACACAGUUGGUUAAAAAAGCCAGACACGCUUCUAUAGCCAUUGCCGGUUGCUUAACAAUAUAUAUCUAGUUUUUGGCUGUUGAAAAAAAAAAUGGAUUCAAAUAAAUUAAAUGAACUAGCGGGGAAGAAAAAGAAAGAAACGACAACAAACAACUUUUUAGAAAAAGGUUUCAGGGGCCUGAAUGGAAAACCAACAAUUUUUUGAGGAAAGAAAACUUUUUUGGAAGAUGGAUGCAAAUUAACCAUUAAUAAUACUGCAUAAGAACACAGAAGUUAACAAUAAACAGUAACUUAAAACUCAAGAAAAUUAAAUGACAAGAUUAAGACAAACAAGAGAUAGUUUUUGUCGGACAUUAAGAAACAACUGCUAUCAAGAUCAAAGAUUAGAAAUUAUGCUAUUGAAAGAAAUUAUUAAAGUAAUUAGAACAAACGCACCUCUUCAAUUAUCUAGGAUCACAGAGUUUAUGAGCUUCACUCUUGGCCUUCGAUUUAUAAGAAAAAUUUUAAUGAGCAAAAGAUCACUGUUGACUGCAGAAGAAUGUGAGUAAGCAAUACAAUUGAAUUGUAAAAGAACAAGACUUAAAGCGUGCACCCCAACAGAACACAUGUUCAUUUUUAACAAAGUGAUCAAUAACUAUAUUCGUUAUUUAAUUGAUAUUGUAACCAAUUCUAAGAGAAUAUAAUAAUCAGCAAACAAACAACAUUGAUCUUAUGCCUACUGAUAUUUAAACAGAGAAUUCUUUCUUCUUUUUCUCUUCAUGGAUUAGAGUUUUUGCUAUUAACAGAAUGGUUUCAAGGGUCUGAAUAAAAUCCCAGACUUUUUUUUAACUUUGUUUUCUGUGGGAAAAUGGAUUCAAAUUAACCAAAGCCAAUAAUAAGAUCACAGACUUUAACAAUGAACAAUAACUUAAGCAAAACCAAUGACAAGAUUAAAACAAACCAGAGAAAUUUUUUCUCGGAAAGUAGAUGAAAAGCAAGUAAGAACUGCUAUUAAAGGAUAUUAUUAAAGGAUUUAGAACAUGUAUACCUCUUUAAUUAUAUGGGAUCAGAGAAUCGAUGACCUCCACUAUUCGCUUCGGAUAUUAAGUAAGAACUGCUAUUAAAAGAAUGAGUUGAUGAGAGUAAUAACAAUGAAUUGCAAAAUAGGAAGACUCAAUCAUGCACCCCUUUUAUACCUGAUCAUAUUAAGAAGUCGUUAAAGAAUAACGACUAAAUUAGGAAUUAAUUCUGAAGUUCAGAAUCAAGAACAGAGACGAAGCUUUAAUAAAGCAUGCAGUGAGAUACAAGAAAUGGAUCUGAUAAAAUACAUUAAAAAAAUUUGUUCAACCUAGUUAAGCUGAUGAAAGCACUAGUUGUUGGCUCUACGUUUCAUAUGUUCUAAUGAAAUAAUUAAGUUGAAGUUUUCAACGAAUAAAUACCUGUUUCGCUUGAAUAGCUUUGGCAUAUACAUUACUUGUGUCCUGUGAAAUUGAAAAGGUUAUUGAUUUACAAAGCUUAUUAGUAGAGAAAAGCUACGUAAGAUGCCUGAUAAAAGAUAAAGCAAGAGCUUGAAUGAAGAAUGACAUUUUAGAAAGAAACUAAAGUGUAAUCAUCAAAGUAGGAUCAAUAAUGUACCACUUUCCUUGCAAAUCUGGUGGGUUUUCUGAAUAGAUUUUUACAUUAUUCUUCUAUUUAACCAUUUUGGCUUUACCCUAAGCAUUCUUGGUUGGCAUUGUCCUGUAAUCUGCGUGCCCUGGAUACGUGAGAGGGAAUGAUGAGGGUAGAUAUGCAAUUUCAAGAAGCGAUUUGCUUGUAUAAUUCAAUGCAUGGAAAGAGAUGUACCUGACCAGAAAAAAAAGGGGACCAUCCAUAUCUGAGCUUGACUUUUUAGAUAGAUAAAUAUUCUUAUUACUGUUGAUAAUGGAGAAGGGUUCUACUUUUACUUUGCCAUCUUUGAUAUAAAACAGCAUGAUUCCUUUUUUUCAAACACUUGCCUAAGUCUAUUUUUUAUUUUUCUUAUUUUCAGAAAGAGAUUAGCUUAAUUUAAAUUAUAUUCAAGUACAAAGUGUUAUACACUCAUAAAACGACAAAUAGGCAUGUAUUGAUCACGCGCAAUCUGUUUUUUUUCCCCCUUUUUUUUUUAAUCCAGUCUUCUUAUUUAAAAAAAAGAAUUUAUUUGCUUUAUUUUAAAUUAUUUUUUCAUGCGGUAAAUGCAAUACUGAGUAAUGGGUGAGCAAAAUAUUUACAGGCACACCCCCUUUUAAUGAUUUCGUACUAAAAUUAAAAAUUGACGAUUCCAUAAUAAAGUUCAAAGAGUAACUGAAGACCCAUAAAUGUUUUUUGGUCAUGAGCAAUUUUUGAGUUGGGACAGCACUCCUAUGAAAAAAAAUAGUUUUUUUUUUCUUUAAGCAUGAGCAUAUUAAUUCUUUUUUUAUAAAUCAACGUGAAUAUAAAAUUAAAAAAUAGUUUUGAAUAACUUCUUUUCUUUUUUCAUAAAUAUAGAUAUAAAAUUUUAAAGUCACCAAACACAAAACCAGGAAAAUGGAAAGGAAGCCCCUGUUUCUCCGCUGCUGCAAGCACAAAUUCGGUUUCUACAGGAGUACCUUCUAAAUGCACCAUUUGUAUUGCUUUGUCUCCACUUGAGCUAAUGGAAUUUGAUGAAGACAAAAUAGAUAUGAGUCGUGCUAUUCACACCCCUCGAUAAUUCUUUCAAAAUCCCUUUUCUAAUUAUACCCCGUUAAUACCCUUGUUCGCUAUGAAAAUAAAGCAAAUGCCUGUAUAAAAAGCUGGCUCUAAUAAUCUACUUGAAUUUACAUCAGAAAAGAGUGGACUUUGAGAAAUAAGAAGUCAAUAUGGAGAAUUUUACCAAAAUAAUCCAUUUUUAUAUACAGGGAAUGGUAUUUUCUGAUAUAGGGAGGAGUGGAGAAAUUAAAUUCAGCAAAAUAAAGAACCUCCAUCGAGAAGCAAAAAUGAUGAUAUCUUUGUCGUGAAGAGAUUUCUGCCUCAUACAAAUUUUUUAUUCUAGAAUGCUUGAAACCGAAAAGUUCUGUAGCUGUUUCAAUUCAAUUGCAUACAUUGACGAAACAUUAAAUACGAAAAAAACAAAAAAGAAAUAAUAGGACAUGGGGAUUUAGAGAACUUCUAAAGAGAGAAAUGUAUUUAUUGUUGGGAAAAUAUGCUCUUUAAAAGCAUAUGUGUUUAUUUAAUUGUAAUAAACUAUUUUUCUGAUUAAUAAAAUAAAUGAGGCAUUUUAUUCAAAUAUCUUAAUUGCAUUAAUACUUGUAUUAAAGUCCAUUUAAUCAUAUUAUAUGUAUUUAUGUGAUCACCAUGUGGAUUCACAGAAGACAUAAAUACAAGUUAUCUUAUGAUUAAAUAAAUUUAGUUCGCAGUUGAUAAAUAAAGUUGGGCACUUUAUUUAGGUAUAGACUGUAAUAAAUUCAUUGAAUGAUUUGUCUUAAUUAUGUAUGAAUUUAUUGAUGUAGUACGACUACAUUGAACAGGAUCACAUAUGAGAUUUAAUUAACUUUGUAAUAACUGUCAGACUUAUUAAAUCUCAUAGGCAUUGAUUUUACUGUAAUCUUAAUCUUGAGUUAAUUAUGAUUUCAUGAUUGUAAUUGUUAUUCCAUUUGAGUUACCAAUGGGCAUGACACAUACUUGUAGUCUACAUUACCCGGUAUCUUGGUGGGAACAAUUAUGAGUAUUGGAGUUAUGGAUUAACAAUAUAGAAUUUGUACAACACAUCUCUUGAUGGGUUUUCGGUACUUGAUCAUAGAAUUCUCUGGCCAGAGUGUGUCAACAUAUUUAGUAUGUUGAAAAUGAUCAUUAGAGAAAACCAGUAAGGAUCAAGGAAUAAGAUGUUAUUAAAUUGAUUGGACAGUUGAGAUAUCAAUUUAAUUAACGAUGUGGUACAAAGGAUUGUGCAGUAAAGAAAUCAAUGUGGCUUGGGACGAAUUAUUAUUCGAGCAUACAAUUAUGGAAGUCAGUUCCAAUCUUUUAGUGGAGUAGAUUUGGAAUUAAAUAAUUAGGCUAGUUUAAUUACAGGUAGGGAUGGCAAUGGGGAGGGGAGGGGAGGGGACCAAUCUCCCUAUACCCAUCCCCGAUAUUUUAUUAUGUCCCCGUCCCCUCUCCGUCCCCGUCAGAAUUGCUUAAGUGAAUCCCCAUCCCCUCCCCGAAUAAUAACAGGGGAUCCCCGAGGGUCCCCGGUUCCCGAAUAAUUAAUAGUCUAAUACAUUUUUUUUUAUUUUCGAUUUUAAAUUAAUCAUAUUAAAAUAAAAAAUUCAGAUAAAAAUAAAGUUCAAAAUAUAUCUUGCAUUAAUAUUGAUCAAUUUCAAAGUCACAUUCAAAAUAUAAAUUAUUAAAAUAAUUAUCUUUGUCAAUGACUCAAUCUUCAUAAUCCUACAAUAAAAAGAAAAAAAAUUAUUUUUAUAUCGGUAAUAAAAUAAAUGUAGAUACUUAAUUAAUAUUUUUAAUAAAACUAUUUACUUCCUGCUCCUCCUGUUCUUCCUCGAGAAAUGUGGCAAAUUGAGAGUUAGCCUCAGAUUUCAAACCUAAAACAAUGAAAAUGAUAUGAGUAACGUAACUUAUAAGCGCAAAUAUUAAUAACUGUAUAAUAUAAUUACAAUGUAAAAUAAAUUCAUACUGCUAUUGUAAGCUCGUAACCAACUUUAACAGCACAUUAAGGCCUCCAAUGUGCUUGGAUGAAGUUUGUUACGGUGUGGGCUCACAAUUCUAGCACUAGUGCGAAAAGCUGAUUCAGAAGCAACUGUUGUAAUUGGAAUUGCCAAAAUAUCUCUAGCAAUUCGAGCUAAUGUAGGAUACAAAUUAGGAUUAGAACUAUUGUAAAUUAUAAUUAGGCAGCUCUCUCCUGUAUCAUUGUGGUUUGGAUUAAAAAUUUAAGACUUUAAUUAGUUAAUUAAGUUUAAAAGUUUAAUAAUAUAACUAUUUUAAUAUUUAUUAUUUUUAACAAUAUUUAUAAUUUUGUUAUUUAUUUAUUAGUAAUUUUAAAAAUAAAAAUAAAAAUAAAAAUUAAAAUGGGGAAAUGGGUAGGGGAUGGGGAUUCCACCUCAUCCCCGUCCCCUCCCCGAAUAAAAAAUUGGGUAAAAAAUUUUCCCCGUCCCCUCCCCGAAUAAAAAAUUGGGUAUAAAAUUAUCCCCGUACCCUCCCCGAAUGGGGAAAAUCCCCGAGGGUACCCGUCCCCGUGGGGAUUUUUGCCAUCCCUAAUUACAGGCCUAAUUAUUGUAGCCACUAUUGUAUGUUCCCAAAUGAUCCCCGGGUUAGCUCAUUUAAUUGAUUGCACCACUGCUGGACUAAUAAGCAAGAUAACUAGCUAUUUGGGCCAAAAGCCUAAAUAUAUCAUUUAGUGGGAGGCUCCAUUUAAUAAGCUUAUGUGUAAGGGGCCUUAUGUUAUUUUACAUGGUGGGUCCCCUAUUAAAUGAAAAGUAACGUGAGUUUUAUUUUGGGGAAUCCUUGGAGCCUAGGGUUUUCACUAAAGGGAGAUAUAUAAGGCUUAUUUUCCCAAAAAAGAAAAAGAGAAGCCACUUUAUACAGAUCUGAGAAAAAGAUUUUUCUCUCCAUUGUUGAGAGAAAAAUUUUCUCGUGCUAGUUGCUUUGGUAGUGAUAAAGGCGCCCACACGUCAAGUGCAGAUCGAACCUGAGUCAUAACCUGGAAGAUCAUUGGAAACAGUUCGUGAUCUAACAAGCGUGGUGGUGACGGAUCGUGAUCUAACAGGAGUGGUGGUGGUGGAUCGUGAUCUAGGAGCCUAAAUCACUUCAGCGGUAAAAGCCAACUCAGAUUUUCAAGGUACGAUUUCUAGAAUACAAAUUCUUAUAUAUUAUAUGAGAGCGAUCUUCAAAAGGUUUUAUAAAAAUUCAAAAACCUAAUUUUUCCCCAACAUUUAUAAGCAUUGAAAAUUAGCUCAUUAAAUUUGAAAGAAUAAUAUACAAUCUCACUGUUGGCCAGAAAAUAAUAGAAGAACUUGUGAACAUAUAUAAUCAAUUGCUUAUUACUUAAGCUUUUUCUCCGUUAUUUUGAAUGGGUGCAAAGGAGAGAAGUUUUGUACCCAAAUCCAACCCGAAUUGUGUAGGCUGCUUGCAAGAGCUUCAUUAGAUUUUUAUUUGUCUUUUAACUUAACUUCCUUCGUGGUUAAAAUUGUAAAAACAAAUGCGGUUUUAAUAGAAUUAUUGAGGAGUGCCAAUAGUGCUACUCAAUAAAUACAACUAUCUGUCUUUUUUGUUACUGGACUAUAGAUCAAUUGACAGUUGAAGUUAUAUUAAUUUGUUGUACUGGAAUUGAAGCUUGUAUCUUAGCCAUUUCGUGAAGUGUCAAAUAUAUUUUUAAUUUCCUUAAAAUUGUUCAAAAUAUGUUUACACUUUUAAAGUCACUAUUAUACAUGAGUGCCCUAAAAUAAGAGAAGGCGAUUUGCCUGACAUUACCUGUUUCCUGUCAAAUCUAGCAGGUUUACUGAUUAGAUUUUAACAAGUCUCUUGGCAAAGUUUGCUAGAAAUGGAAUCAAAUUAUUCUAUUUAAUCUUACUGUAUAUACCCUAAUAGUUCUUGGUUUGCAUCACUGCAUCGUUCUAUAAUCUGUGUGCGUUGGCUUAUAAGGGCUAGCAAGGCUGACCGUUCGUAGCAUAGUUUUUUUUUUUUUUUUUUUUCCCACAAUGAAAUUCCCAUUGAUUUGACUCAGUAUUUAGAGGUGUUAACGAGGGCACUAUACUAGACAUGGAUUUCUACCUCUUUUGGUUGUACAAUUGUUGUAAUCCUUGGCCAUCAAAUCAUUUUUACGUAGCUUUCUCAGAGUUCAUGCCAAGUGUACAUUAAUGUAUUUAUGUUUUGGGUGCAAGUGGGAUUCUAGUUCUCUAUGGCAGUUGAAGAGGUAAAUGGGCAUAGAGCUAUGCUCUAUCAUAGGCUUCGGCCACUACAAGAAAUUUAAUUUUUUAAGACGAUAUUUUUUACAACAACUUUAAAUUUGGUCACAAAAUGAUAUUUAUUGUGACAAAUUUUUGAAAUCGUAGCUAAUAAUCUUGUCCUAACUUAUAUUGUUUUUUGUAACCAAUUGUUUUUAUUUUGAGACUUGUUCAUAUAUUGGUCAUUAAUUAAAUUUUUUUAUGACAAAAAUUAUUUUAGUCACCAAAAGAUAUAAUUUUUUGGCACAAAAUCUUCUCUCCAAAAGUGAUUAUUUUGAGACAAUAUUUCACUAUUUAUGACAAAAUAAAUAGUCACGAAAUAUAAUUAUAGGCGACCAAAUUAUUUGGUAACUAAAAGAGGGGUGUAAAAUUGACUAAACAAUCUAUGACACAAAAUAUUAGUAGCCAAAAUUAUUGUUCUUUUGGCUAAUUUUAAGACCAUUUUUUUGUCAUAUAUAAUUACCUACAGUGAUAAAAUUAAAAAAUAGUCGUUGAAUGUUUUGUCUUGAAUAAUUUUAUAUUUGAUAACCAAUUUUUUUUCUUUUUGAGACAUAUUACUUGGUCCCUAUUUCAACUUCUUUUUGACGAACUUUAUAAUAGUCACAAAAGACUUUUUUUUUUUUUUUGGGCAUAAAAAGUCUGUCCAAAGUUAGCUCUUUUGGGACAAUAUAUAAUCUUUUAUGACAAAAUAUAUAGUGGCGAAAUAUAAUUAUUUUUUACAAAGUUAUUUCGUAGCUGAAAAAGAGGUGUAAAUUUAGUUAACCUAUUUGUGACAUAAAAUAUUAGUCUCCAAAACUAUUAUGCUUUUAGCUAAUUUUAAGACCCUAUUUUGUUGUCAUGGAUAAUUACCUAUUUUAAAAAAAACUAAGAGAUAGUAAUCAAAAGUUUUGUCUUGAUUGACAUUGUAUUUUAUGAGCAAAAUAUUUUGUUUCAGUGACACUUUACUUGGUCUCUCAUUAGAGUUGUUUGUGAUGAUCAAUAGAAUUAUAUAAUAACCACUAAAUUUUUUUGGGUUAAAUUUUUAUAGAUACUAUUAAUUAAGUUGUUGACGAAAAUGAUCAACCAAUACUAAUAUGGAAUACCAUCAACAGCCGUAAUACUUAUGAAGCGAGAAAUUAUAAUAUGUAGUGAAAAAGUUUUCACAGUAGUCCCUAGUAUUUAGAAUUAUUUUGACUUACUUUAUUUACUUCCAAAACAUAAAAUUCUCAACCCAAAAUUCCCCGCAUUGUGUUUUAUUUUGUCUCCUCACUCAGUUAAGAGUAACUCACGGCUUGACAAAAAAAAGGAAAAAAAUUCUCACAGCUUGAUGUUCUCCUCUCUUUAAAAAUAAAAAUCCCUAGUUACUAUUUGUUUCCACCACCAAAGCAGCCACUCGUAUCUUUUAUUAAGCAUAAUAUUUUUCUUAAAACCUAAUUGAUCAUUCUUUAACGUCUCCAGGAUUAUAUAUGGCUCGCUAUUUUUCUCCUUCAAUUGAAUAGAAGUCUAGAAUUUUUUUUUUUUUCGCAAUUCACUUUUGCUGUGUUUCGUGGUUUGGACGGAGAUCAUGUCAAUAAUUGAACGAUGGGGAUAAAUAUCAAAGAAGGAGCUUACAUGCCCUAUAUAUCUCUCUUUGGAUGAAUAACGAUGGUGAGCUUUCAAAGUACAGAGAUUUACAUGUUUUAAUUGUCAUUUACAUUGCUGCAUGCCAAUUGUUUGAUAAAAUAUCGCAACAAAUACGCAUUCUCGAUUUUCUCAUAAAUUUAUUUUCUUAGUCUGAAAAAAAUUGAAUGUUUAGAGAAUUUUGAAGGUUUUGGUGUAUGUAUUAAUAUUUUGAUUCUAGCCUCAUUUUGCCCCUUGUUGUUUUUAUUCUUGUUUUUUAUAUACGGUUCAAGUGUGAUACACUUUAGUUUUUCUCAACUGUUUGUUAGUUUUUCCCGAAGCAAAAUUUGUCAGACUUUGAGUUCAAAAGUUGAAAUCAUAACUAACAUACUUCGAUUUUUUAUUUUCCUUUUUUCUUCGGUGUCUUUCUAUAUGGCAUUGCUUGAGAAAUUGGUGUACUUAGAUCGUAAUAUUCUGUAGAAAUAAGCCAAUAUUUCAUUGGGUACAUUGUUUAAUAUGAUAAGUACUGUAUGGAAGUUUUACAGAUAAGCUCCUUAUAUAUUAUGCAUUAUGUUUUUAUCAUAUUGUUGCUUGGAACUUUGAAGGAUUGGCCACAGGGCUUUAGUCCUACAUGGACAUUUUAUAUUUAAUAGCUGGUUAGGCAUUUUAUUUGAUGUUAUUUGGACUUGUAGGUCUUAAAAGUUUUGUUCAAUAAUUUUAUAAAGCUUAAUUUCAUAGGUGCUGAUUAGGCAUUUCACGAGGAAAUAGCUGUGCUUUUGGAAAUUAAUAUGCUGUGUUGUCAAUGUUGUGUAAAAUCCUUUUAUUGGUGUCUAUGUAAAGUGUUUCAGAUUUCAGACCUGAGAGUUAAUCUUCGCGUACCAGUUGGCUUUUGGGUUUAGUAUUGCUGCUUUUAACAUAUUUGACCUAUGGCCCAAAUCAUUUCUAUAGGGCGAAGCAUAUGAAUGAUACAUAUUAUCUUUUUUUGGCCUUAUGUAUUGUUAUUUGCACGGUGAUUUGGUCUAGCUUAAGAGCUUAAGCUUGCAGGUUGGAUUUGUCUGACAGGGAACAAUUUAAUUUGUUCAUCGUGAUGUUUAUAUCCAUUUUGUACUACUAUCAAUUUCAAUCAUGCCUAAUUUUUAUAUGUAUUUCUCGUGGACUCUCAGGUUCAGUGCACAAGAGGAUGAAGACGAUGGACACCCAAAUUUGAUGUGGAGAACAACUAUUGCAAAUGGUCCUUGAUUUACUUCUCCAAUUGACUUGAAUUGGUUUUACGCAAUUUAUAGUGUAUUUUUGUCAUCUUUGUAUGACUUGCAGGUCGUCCUGAUUUGGUACAUGACUGGACACAGGAAUUGGACUCAUAUUUUUCAAACCAGAAUGCCAACAAUCAAGGAUUUUCUUUUGAAAGCACUGGCGUCUUCUUCAAUGCCAAAAAGGUUAGAGAUUUUCUGUAUCCUGUUUUGUAUUUGAUCAGUUUAGCAUGUGGGUGGCAAUCAAGAAAAGUUAUUAUAACAUUUUUGUGUUCCCGAAAAACUGCUGAUGAUGUGUGACUUCUUUUUAUUUGUAUUCUUUCUUUUUUCUUUUCUCCCCAACAGUAUUAUGCAUUUCGAAGAGCUUCUUGAAGUUGAUUACCAUGUAUGCCACUUUCUUUACUCUAUGCUCAGGAUGUGAUUUUGCCAAGCAUUAAAAUGGUUUAGGUCAGAACCAUCAUCUAAAGUUUACUUAAAGUUGACGGAUUAAUUCCUUUUAAUAAUGGUCGAGUUAAUUUUACUAUACUCAUAAAACUAUUCUUAUUCUGAUAAUGCCACAAAUGUUAUGAUGUUUUCUUCAGCUAAUGAUCUUCUAUCAGGACUAGUUAGAAAUCAAAUGCUUAAAACACCGAUUGAAUGAAUAAUGCAGAAGUUUAAACAGUAUCUAAUUGAAAAUUGCAUGAAACAUGAAACAUCAAUUCAAGUCCUUCCUUAAACAGAGAAUGCAUCAAACAAAUCCAAAGUGUCUUGCAUGUCUGUAGCAUGACAAAAAAGUUGCAAAUGCGUUUAGAACCAAAUUAUUCAAGUACAGGAGAACGAGCAAGUUGAAUCAUGUACACGAGAUUGGCCUGGUUUGAGAUAGCUUCUUCACUGUACCUGAAGGGUUGGCUCAAUCUUUUCUUUAGAAUUCUGCACAUUUUGUAAUUACUCGUGUAAGCAAGCAUACAUUACAACCAUAAUAAUAAUAAAGCAAGAGUAAUGAUACGACCACCACCUCUUGUACACAAACAAUAUUGUAUAAACUAAUACGACAUAAUAUGAUUGGUUGAACAAAAACAUUACAUGGCCCUCAUAAUUUAUUUAUUUAUUUAUUAUUAUAUAUUUUCAGUCAACCAAUCAUAUUAUAUCACAUUAGUUUCUAUAAAAUAAUUUUCUAAAUAGCACCAAAACUUAAUUGAUACUCACCAUUUCAUUGAACAAUUUUUUUAUGGUGUCAUUGAGGUUGCCUUCCCAACAUCCUUCAUCAUCAUCUUUUUCUUCUUCGGUGACGUUCACUUUGUUUAGCAUUGGUGUGUCUAAGACUCCUUGAGAGAAGAUCUUCAUUUUUGGACACUGUCUCACAACUACUUGUUUCAAGGACGGGAAUUCAAGAGCGUAAUUACCUAAACAAAAGCUUGUUAGGCUUGGCAAACAAUCAAGUCCCAAGUACUUUAAUUCCUUGAAAACAAUGCAAUCUUUCGCUUCUUCUGCAACCGGCGACUGUAUGAUUUCUUCUAUCCUUUUGCAAUCAGCUAUCGUCAUACUUUGAAGAAUUAUCAGACUUCUAGAUGUUGAGAGCGUCAACAAAUUUAUCAACCUGUGACACUUCGAUACUUUCAAAGCCUCAAGAUUUUCCAAAUGCCACGAAGCUGGUACUAAUUUCUGUAACUUACUACAUUCAAAUAUUUCUAGACUUUUCAAGUUUGCAAACGCUUUGUUGGAUUCGUCAUUUUCCUUCCAGAGAUGCUGCACUUUGUGUAAUCUAGAUAGCUUUAACUCCUUCAAUUGAGGGAAUGUAAGCUGAAAAUCAACAAAAUUAAGUUGUAAAUGAAAAUAUGUAUCCAAUCUCUGCAGUAUUCCCCUGCAUAUUUUAUGGACAAGAUUAAUCACGGCAUUUUAUAUUUUAUUUCCAAAUUAGUAUGCUUUGCAGUAGGAUCCCAAAUAUAAGUAUCAAAUCGAUUACCCUUUGAAACACAUAAAUGAAAUCUGAUACUAAAUCCAAUAUGAAUUAGCUAGGAAAACAGAGAUGCGACAAGCAUAAUUGAUAUAGUUCAUCACCUCAUGUUACCAGUCAUCGAAAUAAUUUAAGACAUUUUUUUAAUUCAUACUAUAAAGUUAGUUCAUAACUGUAGUUGUAUUGUUAAUUCAUAUAUGAAUCAAGAUGACAUGCAAAAAGAUGAGUCAUAAAAUUUGAUUUGAUUCUAAUGAAAUUACAUCUGUGCAAACAAAAGUGAAGGGGAAAAUAAAAAUAAUAAUAAUAAUCACCUUUUCAUCGAAGAGGGGUUGUACUUGAUGAGCCAGCAAAAAGUUCUCUUCUGAUGUUAAUUUUUGAGGUUCCUUGUUAUUUGUUGUCACAUGCACUACCGAGUUGGAUAUGAAUGUUUCCAUAUCAGGGCAAUUCUCAAUAGUUAGAUUCUCCAACUCAGACAGUUCAAUUAUAUUCCCAGUGAAGUUACAGAAUCUUUUGAGUUUUGGAAGAUCAAUAAGCCUUAGUCUGUUAAGCCUAGGAAACCGGGGGCCUAUAUGUUCUUCCUUAGCAUUUAGCUCUUCUAAAUGAAGCACCUCUUCUAUUAAAUCACAAUUCCUCACUUCCAGGCAUCUCAAAUUGUUCAAGCAACGUAGCAGAUUGGUAGGAAUAGCACUCGACAUAUUCGUGCAGUCAUCCACAGCCAGUUGUCGUAAAUUGUUGAAGAAGCUGACAGGCACUGCUUGGCCGUGCCAUAUUUCUCUCAAGCGUGGAAAAUGUGAGAGUUGCAAAUGCUCUAUGUCACGGAAUCCAAUCUGCAUAAACCAAAACAAUUGCACUGGAUAUAUAUAAAUUUCUUUUUUUGAAAGGCAUUAGAUAUAUAUAUACAUUAAACUUACAUGUUUUGUGCUAUAACUUCUAAAAAUAUAUUUACAACGCAUGUGUAUAUGUUUAAAUGUGGUAUAGUGGAAUUAAGCUUAUUGCCAUUACUUCGAAGUGGUGUUCGUAACACCAUUACUUCGCAAAGUGAAUCGAUAAACACAUACCAUUACUUGGANNNNNNNNNNNNNNNNNNNNNNNNNNNNNNNNNNNGCCUUCCCAAUGGUGUUCACCCUCUUCCCUUUCAGUCACUUGCACUACGUAUAGCUUUGGUGUGGAUGAGAUUCCCCGAGAAAAAGUCUUCAUGUUCGGACAAUGUGUCAUAGAAACUUGUUCCAAUGAUGGGAAUUCAAGAGUGUAAUUCUCCAAACAAAAGCUGGUAAGCCUUGGUAAAUCAUCAAGUUCCAAAAGUUUUAAUUCGUUGAAAGCAAUACGAUUCUCCUUCGCUUCUUCUCCAACAUGUCCUAUGAUUUCUUCUAUUUUUGCACAGUCUGAUACAUCAAGAUUCACUAGACUAUUGGGAAUUCCAACCUGAAAUAAAGAGUAGCAUUCAACUAGAUCAAAGUAUGUCAAAAUCAUACAAUUGUUUUAUGAAAAAUAACAAUUUUGAGGAAUUGAAAGAUAACUAAUUUAAUUUUUUUUUGGAAAGACUAAUAAUGAAUGAAUUAAUGAUUAAAUAAUAUUAUUAGUUAUAUCUAUUUAAUAUUAAUGUUAUCAAAUAUAGAUUUUUCAUAAAAAAUAAUUCUUAACUAUAUAAUUAAUAAUUAGAGAGAUGUUAAUAAGCUUUUUGAUUUCCUAAAAUACGUAAUUUAAAAAAAAUUAGAAUUAUUAAAAAAAUUCAAAAAAUGAGGCCUUCACAAAAUAUGGGACCUUAGGCGACCGCCUUGUUCGCCUAUACCUAAAGCCACCCCUGCAUGGGACUGUAAUAGAGUGAAUAUUUGAGGAAAUUUUUUAAUCAACGGUCGACUCAAAAUGACCAUCAUGAAUUUGUGCUUAAUCAAUGGCGUAAUCAAUUCAUAACUAAACCAGAGAUAUUAACUACAUUUGAACACUUUUCUUUAUUUUUUAUUUUUAAAUCGAAAUCUAAAGACCCAAGGAAAAGAGAAAUAUAUAUGAAUUUGUGAACUUAAAAGCUGAGUAACUAAGUAUCUUUUAAUUUCUGAAAAUCUUAUUUAUUAGGAUAUAAGAAAAAAAAACAAUUAAAUUGAAUUAUAUUAUGCUGUUAAAUCGUGUUUAAAACAAUUACUUUAAUGCAGGUGAACCUAUAAAUUAGAUUGAAAAUGCAGAGUUCAGAAUGGUGAUUUGAAGUACACUACUUUUUUGCCCUCCAGAAGUUUGAAGUAAAAUACUUGCAAUAAAUAAUUUGUGAAUGAAAAUUAUUUGUAAACACAAAAAUGAUUAAAAUAAUUGUUGAAUGUUACUUGAAAUAAAAAUUCAAAAUGAAUAUAGCAAUCUUACCAAUGGAGGAAAAAUAUUCAGUAGAUUAUUACACCCAGAUAUCUUCAAUUUUUUCAAUUUGCUAAAAGACUUCGAAGCAAGCUGGUGGUGCCAUAUUUUUCUCAACUUAUCCGCCUCACUAAUAUGUAAUACCUCCAGACUUGGGAGUCGUACCUGAAGUUAAAAAUUCAAUGCAAUUAGAGAUGUAUAUUAAUUAAAUUUGAAGACUCAACGAAAAGAGAAUUUAAAAAUUCAAUGAAAAAAAACCUUUUCAUCAAAGAGGGAUUGAGGUUGCAUUUCAGUGUGAAUGACGUCUUCUGGUGAGGCAAAGCUACUUAGUUUUGGAAGCCAAUGGAGCGACAGGUAGUGUAGUUUGGGAAAAACCUUAAAUUCAUCUCUUCCUCCUAACGUCGUGGUGUUGACUACCCCUUCAAUUGACCGGCAAUUACGAAUCUCAAGAUGUUGGAGUUGCCCAAGACUAUUAACCAUAGAAUAUGAAAACAAAUACUUCAGACGAUGACAACUCCACACGGUCACUUUUGUUAAAUUUUGACAACAAUAUAUUCCCUGAAAUUGAUCGGACCAUAAUUUUUUGAUAUUUGUUAAACUGACAAGUUCCAGUUCCUCCAAGCGUGGAAAAGUAACCUGCAAAGAAAAACCAUACAUUUUUGUUCUUUCAACUACAACUUCUAAUAUAAUAUUCUUUCGAUGAUUGAAGAUCAAUCGUGAUAAUAUAUUAAUUAAUUAAUUAUUAAACAGAAAAUUAUUACCUGGUGAACAGGAUCAUCCUCUGCAUUGAUUUCUAUGAAUCCCUGAGUUGUUGGUGGUUUCUCCAUGUCGGGCCCUAUAAAUGAACCAAAACAAUAUACAAUAAACAUCCGUUGUUUUUUUCACCAAAAAAAAAAAAAAGAAAAAAAGAAAGAGUCAAUGUCAAUAAUCCUACCAAUAAUUAAUUUCAACACUUACCAAUAAUCAUUUUCAAAUCAUCGCAGUCUUCCACUUUUACUUUUUGAAGCCGCAAUAGGUUUUUGGCCAUAGAGAAUGAGAAGAGAUACUUCAAUUUUCGACAGGAAUCUACGUUUAUAAUCCUUAAGUUGCUGAAGGAUUGAUCUUCUCUGAGUUGGCUGUAGCAUAUCGUCUCCAAAUUAGUUAAAAACAUAAGAGACAAUGCCUCCAGCAAGGGAAAGACUUCGCAACGAACCCGUCUAACUGAACCGACAAUAUGUAAAAUCUCAGAACAGUCUGUUACGAGAAGACGCUUCAAUCGUGGAAAACCUUCCCCAUCGUCUAAUUCAUGAACAACACUUUGAACACCCUCCAAUGUUUCUAGCCAGAGAUCUUCAGUUCUCUGCAGCAACAUUUUUGUCCCAUCAUUCUCCUUAAGAAUGCUAACUUUUUUUAUCCCCUUGAGCAUCAUCAAUCUUGAUGCUUCGGAUUUGACGAGCAAUGGGUCAAACUCAUCUUCGGGCCCAUCUCCUAUACGUAUCUUAUAUCUUUGCAAUUCCACAGAGACAAAAUCCGGCGGCAGAAUUUCGGCAUCCGGAACUUCUAUCUCCAAAGUAGUUAGCUCUGUCAACCUCUCCAAUUCGACAAGACUGGCAUUACUUCCUCCUUCAACCUUCUCCCACCCUGAAAAACCGUUACCCAUAUACAAUUCUUCUAAUUGAGAUAAUUUUGAUAUGACAUUCGGUGCUAUCACCUCAAGCCACCAACAAUUGCUCAAAUCUAGCAAUUGUAACCGCGUCAAUUGUCCAAUUUCAACUGGUAGCUGGUUGAUAUUGGAAUAUGCGAGGCUGAGAAUCUCUAAUUUCUUUAGUUGUCCAAUUGCCGCUAUAUCUGCUAGUUCGCACCAGUCUAAACACAAUGUUUGAAGGUUAAUGAGGCGACCAAGUGAUGAAGGUAAUGAAGAAGAGCCAAUUCCAGGAAACUGUAAAACUUUGAGUCCUUCCAUCCCUUCAAAAAAGUGGUCUGAAACUUGCAUAGGGCCAUUACCCUCCGUAUACAACAAAAAUAACUGGAGAUUGGGACAUUGCAACCUUUCAGGGAGCUCUUGAAUAUCUCUAUGAGGUAAUGAAAUAGCAAUUGGAUCUUUCUGUAUUGUCUCUUCCAUCUUUUUCUCCAAGUCAGCAACAUUUGGAACAUUAAACAUGCGCUCCUCUGUGGCAAUUGAUACGGCAACAACAUGAAUGACGUCAUGCAUUUUAACUUCAUCUUCAGCAUCACCGUCCAACAAUAAGCAUGAAGAUUUGAGGUUGUCGAUCAACCGAUGCACUCUACUCCUUGCUUCUUCCAAUGUGUAAACAUUUUCAAACAAACCCCAACCCACACCAUAUCUCAAUAAGUCAGAAACUUGUAUGACAUUACCUUCACUGUAUAGACUACAAAGACGGAACAGAGAUUUUGCCUCCUCACUUUCCAAGAAGUCAUAACUCAAUUUUAUGGAGGUGUACACAUUUGCUUGCAUGCCAUGAAUUUCUCUAGCAUCCGAUCUUCUUAGCUGAUUCAAUGCAUCUUUCCAAAAGUAACGCUCUUUAGUUUUCAGAGCAUUUGCAACUGUACUCAGUGCAACAGGCAAACCUCCGCAUCUUUCAACGAUCUCAUUUGCUAUACUUUGAAAAGCAGAUAUUUUAGUUGAAUCACCCAAUAUCUUUUCAAAAACUGCAAUGCUUCUUUUGGUGGCAAAGCAUCGAUCGGGAAAUUUUUCUGAGAAUUCAUAUCAAUGCGCAAUAAAUCUCGACUUCUAGACGUCAAUAUUAUUGUGCAUCGUCUCUGAUCAUCCUUUGUAUCUUUCUCAUCAACAUCCCCACAAGGAAUUCCAACUUUUUCGAACUCGAGUUUUUUCCAAAUAUUAUCCAAUAUAACGAGGACCUGCUUCUCGUUCUUCAAUCUUUCACGUAAUCGAUCUGCUCUUUCGAAUUUAUUCUCAUCCGAGCCAAAUUUCAUGCCUAAGUCAAAAGCAAGUUUCUUUUGAAUUUCCUGAUGAUCUGGGGUCUGUGUUACCUCAGCCAUAACGACCUUAUCGAACACCUUAUCUUCCAUAACUUGCCUUGCAACUUGCUUGACUAGCGUGGUUUUACCCACGCCGCCCAUCCCGCAGACCCCAAUUAUCUUGAGCUUAUCAUCCUUCAACGCCUCCACAACAUCUUGAAAUACUUUCAUUCUUGAAUCAAAGGCCUCGAAAUCUUUCACUUGCAUAUGUUCUGCCCGCUUUGGAGCAGGACGGUAGGAAACAUUAGAGAAGUUACCUUUUCCCAUGAGACUAGCAGCAGCUUCUGCGGCCUUUGCUGCUUGUCUACUGAGCUUGUAACGAGAAAUCAAGUUUGGGCACAAUCCUUUGAAACAGAACUUCUUAGCUCUAUCUUCAUCAUCAGUGAUGGAUUUCGCAGCUCCCUGAGUGAAUUCCUUGACGCUAUUAAGCCAGUCUGCAACAUCCUUAUAAAUCUCAUCUCCUUGUUGAGUAGCCUGAUGAACGGGUAUUUCCACCCUUUCUCUUUUAUAUCCCAACUGUUUCACUUGAUCUUUUAGGCCAUCUAUGUAGCUCUGGUACUUGAACACAUAAGAGAUCUGCCGUAUAAUCGGUUUGAACAGUGACUUUGCAUCUUCUGAUACGAUGCUGGAAAAAGCAGCCAGACCCACUUCUACAACCAUUGCCUGUUGCUUAACAAUAUAUGUAUAUAUAUGAAUAAAAUGAAUAAAAAUGUCAAAGAAAGGAAUACAAAUAAAUUAAAAUGAACUAGAGGGAAAGACAGAGAAAGAAAAGACCGCAAACAACAUCGCGAUAUUGAUUUUGAACCAACUGAUACCUAAGUAGAGAAUUUCUUUUUCUAUCUUAAGGAUCAGAGGUUUCGCUAUUAACAGAAAGGUAUCCUUUAAGGAAAGUUGAUGGAAAUUAAGAAAGAAUGGCUAUCAAGAUCAAGUAUUCUGCUACUAAAAAUAAAUGAUAUGACUUAAGAAAAGUAAAUGAUAUGAUUAAGAAAAACCAGAGAAUUUUUUCCUAGGAAAGUUGAUGGAAAUUAAGAAAGAACCGCUAUGAAGAUCAAGUAUCAGAGAUUCUGCUACUAAAAGAAUAUUACAGGUUUUAGAACAAGUGCACCUCUUUACCUGUCUGGGAUCAGAGUCGAUGAGCUGCUGUAUUCACCUUGAAUAUAGAAGAAAUAUUACAGGUUUUGACUAAAGAGGAAUGUGAGGAACGAGUUGAUGAGAGUAAUAACAAUGAAUUUCCAAAAGAAGACGACUUGAGCAUUAAGCAUGCACCCCCUUUAUCAAUCAAAUAUUGGUACGUAUGUACGUAGGGACCAUUAUGCGUAUAUGAAGUCCAUUAGUUGCAAUCAGAAACCCUGGCCCAAUUUAAUUGGCACUCGAUUUUUGAUAAGAAGAAGGCAAGGAUAAGGACAAAGUCAAUCAAUCACCAACAGUAAUUACUUCAAUCUUUGUCAAUCUACUUAAAUUGUCGAUCAACAUGAAAAUUGUUUAAAUUGAUAUUUGUAAAUCAAUCAAUUUUCUAGUUACUAUGAUUAUAACGUUUCACCUUUCAUAUUGGAUUUUAUCUUUUCGAAAGUUUUCAAAUAUGAGUGUCAAUAAUUAUUGAGACUCCAAGCCGUGCUCUCAAGAUCGUGCUGACAAAUCACUAUUGACUUUGUUUAUGCAAAAUUCAAAGAAAAAAAGUUAUGGUUUUGUAUUGCCAGCCCUGCUACUUUUUGUUUUUUUCAUUUGUAUUAUUUACGAAUUAUUUUUUAACAGAAACAUGAGAACUCAUCAUCGUACAAAAUUGCAUGAAAAAAUCUUCAAAUUUAUAAAAGUAAAUUUCGUUGACAGAUUGUGGAUAUGUUAGAAAGAAUAAGGAUAAGAAUGAGUUAAGAAAUAAUAUAUAUAUAUAUAUAGAUAGAGAGAGAGAGAGAGAGUGAAAGUAAACAAUGUUUUGGUACAUUUGGUAUUGUUUUCAAAAUAUUUUGAAAAGAAAAAUUUUCAAUUAUCCACCUAGGAAUUAUCUUAUUAUCCAAAAAGUUAUAAAAAUUUAAAAAUAUUUAAUUUUAUACCCAUUAUUACAAUGUGUAUCAACUGUUUACUAAAAAAAUAAAGUUACUCCUAAAACAUAAUCACCACUACAAUUUUGUGUUCGCUUCUAUUUUGUCACUUUGAACGAAUAACUUUAUAUUUUUAACAGAUGUUUCAUACAAAUUGCAUACAUUGGAUGUAAAAUUAAAUAAAUUUAAAUUUUUAUAAUAAUUUUAAUAAUUGAAUAAACUUUGAGUAAAUGACUGAUAAUUUCUCUUUUAUAAGCUACAAGAAGUUAAAAAGAAAAAAGAAAAAAUAGGAUGAUAAUUUCUCUUUAAUAUGCCUCAGAUGAUUUAUUGUUUCGGGUCUAAGAUUUUAAAUAUUCAACUUAAAAGAUUAAUAUAUUAUAAAUUAAUUAAUUAAAUAAUCAUUAAGCAACUAAAUUGGGUCCCCUGGAUGUCAAUUCCUUUAUUAUUGACGCAACUAUUUUUUUAUGGCAAAUAAUUAUUAAUGCACUUACGGAACUUUUGCAUAUCUACACAGCGAUUUUAAAUAUUACUGGUAACUGCUGAGAAAUGUGCGAGAAAGAAGUUGAUGAGAGUAAUAACAGCGACUUGCAAAAGGAAAAGACAGAAUCAUUCAGACAUUCACCCCUUUUUGUAUCACGUACUUGGUUACUGUUUCCCUGUUGACGCAUGUAUAAAUUUGAGUGAUUUUUCUGCACUUUUUUGGCUGUUGCUUAACAAUGUGUGUGUGUGUGUGUGUGUGUGUAUUUGCUGUUGAAAAAUUUGGAUUCAAAUAAAUUAACUGAAAGAUUAGAGUUUUGACUAUUAACUGAAAGGUUUCAAGGGUAUGAAUGAAAAGCAACAUUCUUUUUUAGAAACUAUUUUAGAGGAGAGAUGCAAAUUAACAAAUGCUAAUAACAAGAACACAGAAGUUAACAAUGAACAGUAACUUAAAUCAAGAAAAUUAAAUGACAAAAUUAAGACAAAUAGGAGAUAUUUUUUCGUGGACGUUAAGAAAUAACUGCUGUCAAGAAUAAGGAGAUUAUGCUAUUAAUAGAAAUUAUCAAAGGAUUUAGGACAAGUUCACCUCUUUAAUUAUCCGGGAUCAGAUAGUUGAUGAGCUUCUCUAUUUGAUCUUGAAUAUUUAAGAAUAAUUUUAAUGAGCAAAAAGAUCACUGGUAACUGCUGAAAAAUAAGUGAGAAAAGAGUUGAUGAGAAUAAUAACAAUGAAUUGAAUAAAAAAAGGACUUAAUCAUGCACCCCCUUUGCAUAUCAUGUAUAGAAUAAUUACAUGUAUUAUUAUAAUUUUGGGUUCGAUAUCCUUGUAUUAGUGUCUAAGAUUUUCAUGAAGAAUUAAACUUGAAAUGACCAAAAGAGGAAGCUGCGGUGUAUUGUUGGACCCAAUUAAGUUGAAGAAAGCACUAGUUCACAACCUUACGUUUGGAUAUAUUCUAAAGAAAUAAUUAAACAGCAAAUGAUCAUCACAUGCACUUUAAUGAUUUGAUCUAUUGUUUUCAAAAGAAAUUGCAAUUAACAGUUUUUGUCAAAAGUUCGCACUGUGUGAAACUAGUGUUAAUAUAAUUUAAAAAAUUACUUUCAAUAGCAUAUGGAAUAAUUAUAAUAUUAUUAAUACCUAAGAUAUAUUUAUAUUUAUUAUAAAAAAUUCAGUUAAAUAUUUGUGUUAACUAGAAUUUAUAAUUAAUAUAAUAUAUCUUAGGUAUUAAUAAUAUUAUAAUUAUUCCAUAUGCUAUUGAAAAUAAUUUAAAUUUUUAGACGUUUAUUUUCAUAUUAAGUUUUUAUUUAUUAUAAAAUUUAGUUUAAUAUAGUAUAAGCUUGUAAAGUAUUAAAAUAUUUUUUUUCAUAUUUUUUAAAAAUAUUAAAAUUAUUUUAAUAUAUAUAUAUUAACAUUGAAGCCAAUUUUUUGAGUUAAUAGAGCUAGUAGGUGUUACACUAAAAAAGAGUAUCUUAGUAUCUCUUAUUGAGUGGGAGAGCCAAAUGAAUCGAAAAAUUCAUGUUUGGUUCGGGAAGGGAUCAUCGAAGUUUUGAGAUGAAUGGAAAGAUAAUCUACUUUCAUUAAGUGAUUUAUUAGAUAAUCGCAAACUGAGGAUUUUGAAUAGUAUUCAAAAUUCAGAAGAAAUGCAGAGAGGGGCCAUUGAACGGCCGGAAAAAGCCCGGCCCGGUUACAAAAAAUCAAAAUAGAAGCAGAUCAAUAUUGAAAAUAUAUAGAUCUAUAUAAUCAUUUUUUCAAAUAUCGAGAUGUAGCUAUAAAAGAAAAAAUAAAUUAAAAAAUUUUAAAUUUUAAAUUUUAAUAUGGCCAUCGUAGGGUUAGAAUCCCCGCUCCAACCCGAUUUGGAGAUGUGCUUGGUCUAUUUAUGUUUUGGAAAAAGAAAAACCAAAGAAAAAAAAUACGCACCCGACCAAAUCAAGUAACUCAUCAAAUAAAAAAUAAAAAAGGAAAGAAAUUUAAUGACUUGCGUGCAAUUUUGGAUCUGAAAUUAAAAUUACAUAAAAAUUCAGGCUUACGUACCUUGAUAUUUACAGCUUAUUUGAUGGCCUCAACAAGUUUAAGCAGCAUCAAAAUGUUGUGGCUCCUUCAAUGACAACAUCGACUUGUUUGACAGCUCCAACAAGGCUACGAUGAUCAGAAAAUGAGCCCUCAAUCAACCAGCGCCUUGCUCUUUGUCAUUUUUCCUCUUGUUAGUUUUCUUCUACAUAUAAUUAUUACACUGGGAAGUAUACACACACCUCUUUUCUUUUUAUAGUACCUUACUAUUAUAUCUUUACAAAACAAUAUCACCCUAAGACAUAUAUGUAUGAAAUAAAUAUAUAAGGAACUGACGAAAUAAAAUUAGAUCUAACACUAGUUUCAUGUGGUGUGUGAACUUUUGACAAUCCUCUCAUACCCCAACAAAAACUUUGUCAUAUUACGAAAGUUAUCACGACCAUAGACUUUUCAAUUGCAUAUUGGAAUUGCAAUGUCAUUUUAUUAUAGUAAUGUCAUUUCCAUUAUUCAUAGUGGCAGACAAUGGACAUCACGGGACACGGCGAGAAGUUAUCACGACCAUAGACUUUUCUAAUUUAUGAAAUAAAUGAAAUUAGAUCUAAUUCUAGUUUUAAGUGGUGUGAACUUUUGACAAUCCUCCCAUAUCCUAACAAAAGCUUUGUCAUAUUGCGAAAAUACCUUUCCAAUGUUUCAAUUGCAAUGUCAUUGCCAUUAUUCAUAGUGGCAGACAAUGGACAUCACGGGACAUGGCUAGAAGUCUAUGUUACGGCUUAUGUAAGUAACAGUAGCCAAUGGGGAACUUCCACAGGGGCUAUAGGAGAGAGAAAGAGGUCCCAAUACAAGUGUUAGAGUGCAAUUUAUACACUAGUUUUGCAUUGUUUACUUCCCUUAAUAUCAAUGUUUUGCAUUUAAUAAUAAUGAUUUACUUGUGUUUUACUUUUGUAGGUGCAAUUCUAUUGAUUUGUUAUAAAAUUGAGGUAUAAGAUGAUGUUUAAAGAUGAUUGUUCUCUUAGAGAAAUUUAGAGCGUCAGAAGAACUUUAUUGAUAAAGCGUGGGCGCGUGCUGUCAACUGCGGACCUGCAGUUUUUAGUUUAAUGUGUUUUGUAUUUUUGGCUAUUUUUGUAAUUACGAAUUUAAUAUUUCAAAUAUUAGUAUUUUAUUUUAAAUAGAACUCUAAAAGAGAAGAGAGAGAGAGUAUUUAAGGGAGGAAUCUAUUGUGAAAAAGGGGGGAUUUUAAUUGGAGAAAAAGAAAGAAACCCUAGAUCUAAUUUUUCUCUUCUCUCUAUGAAGAACUAAACUUAUUUUUUCUGGUGGAAGGUUAAUGAAGCUUUGAUUCAUCAAUACUGUGAGAUCUUUCUUAUGCUUUAAUUGUUUUAUUACUUUUUGGGUAUUUGUUUAUUCUCUGAAUUUGUUUCAUGAUUAUGUUUGUUAAUUAGGUAAUUGGCCACUAUUUAAUUAUCAACUUAAUCUAUUGUCAAUUAAAGAAUUCAUCGUAUGAAGAGUUUAAUGUUUGUGACAAAUAACAUAGCAGUGAGUUGUGUUAUGGGAAUAAACAAUCUAAUUUAAAUGAAUCAUUAUAUGUGUUGAUUAGGAUUUGGGUCUCUAUGGUUUUUCAGGCUGUCAAUUGAUUAAAUCCUAUGAUCGUAUCUAGGGUUGUCUAUUGAUUAGGGAAAUAUCCAACGGUCGUACCUUGGUUAUCGACUAGUUAAGGAGAGAUUGGCUAUUAGAGGGUCUCAAUAGCUAUAACCGGUCUAUUCAUAAGUAAUAAUAAUCUAUUUUUGAAUCAAUGAUUAGUAGUCGAAUCAAGCUGAGUUAAUUCCUUCAACCAGAGCUUUCUCCAAUUUGAAUUACAACUUUAAUUUGCAUUUUUGUUAUUUUAAUUUGAUUUUUUAUUAUUGUCAACAAUUCCCCCAUUUUACGUUUUACGUUUCAAAAGGAUUUAAAUAAUUACCGAUCUCUGUGGACACGACCCUGCUCAAUCACUAUACACAAUUUAUUUAGAGUAGGAAUUUAUUUUUGUUGGCUUCGACAACCAUCAACAAGGUGAUGGAAAUGGGAAAGUUCGAAGCUGUUACUUUCAGCUUCUGCACCGUAGCCAUGUCCCACGGGACAAGGCUAGAAGUUAUCAUGACCAUAGACUUUUCUAAUUUAUUUUUUCCUUUCAAAAAGGGACAAGGAUAAGUUUGGGAGAAUGAUUAUAUUUUUAAUAAAAGAAUUCUUUUUUAUUAUAAUACUUUUUGUCUUUAUUAAUUUAAAAAUAUUAACUCUUAUAUUUUAAUAAAUAUAAAUAUAAUAUUAUAAUAACAUAUAACAAUAUAUACAAAAAUUUAAAAAAAAUUAAGAUUUUAUUAAAAUAAAUUUUAUAAUAAAUACAAAUACAUUAUUAAUAUAAUUUUAAUAAUUUGCAUUUUAAAAAGUAAUACUGAUAUUAAUUUUUUAAAUAUUAAUUUUUUAAAUUAUAUUACUCUACCAAAAAAAAUUAAACUAUUAAAUUAUAUUGAUAUUUAUUACAAAAUUUGCAAUUAAUUCUUAUUAUAUUUUUAAUUGGAAUUUGUUCCUGUGAUAUAACAACAAUUGCUACAGUUUUUUUCCCUAAAUAAAGAUGGAGUUAUAAAUUAUUUGUGUAAGUGUCAUGAAAGUAAUAGUUGAAUAACAAUAAUGGGGCUUUAGGCAAUUUUUUCAUGAGGUCUUCUUGCAAUUUCAACACUUAAACAUACUUGUCCUUGAUCCCAAUUUAUUUACCCCAUUUGGGCCCACGAUGAGAUAAAUAUAUUCCUGUGAGAUGAAAAACAUCAGGAGAAGAAAAUGUUUUAUUAUAAUAAAAAAACAAGUGGUCCAUAAGUCUAUUUAUUACUUUUUUUAUUCAAUACAAAUGGCCAACUUAAAAAAUGAUAAAAAUCACAUAACGCACAAGCAAAAAUUUAGAUUUACAUUUUUUUAGUUCUCUCCGUGUCUCUCUUUCUCUUUUUUUUUUUUAAAAAAAAUAAAUGUCAGUGUAAAAUUAGAAAAAUUUUAGAUAUAAACUUUGGCGAUGACCAAACAAAAAUUGCAAGGGAAAGAAAAUAGAGGACCCUUGAUAUCAUUGAAAUACUGAUCAUAGACACUACAAUAUAAAUAACUUGUUGUGAUCCACUCAACUUGUAACACUUUAAUCCAUAUUCUAAAAUUUGUAUGCUUGUUAGGAAUUUUAUUAUUGACAUUACUGUACCAAUAAAAGUCUAAUUUAUUCAUAUGGAAAGAAAACAUCAAGAAAGGACCUCUGAUUUUUAUUAUAACAGAAAAAAGUGGUCCAUAAGUUUAUUUAUUAUUUUAUUUAUUCAAUACAAAUUGCCAACUUAAAAAAUGGUAAAAAUCACAAAAUGCACAAGUAAAAUUUUAGAAUUACAUUUUUUUAAUUCUCUUUGAGUCUCUCUCUCUCUCUUUAAAAAAUAAACCUCACUGUAAAAUUAGAAAAAUUUUAGACAUAAAAUUUGACAAUCACCAAACAGAAAAUGUAGGGAAAUGAAAAUGGAGGAGCCCUAUUAUCAUUAGAAUAUUGAUCAUAGAUACUAUAAUGUAAAUGAUUUGUUGUGGUUCAUUCAACCUGUCACACUCUAAGCCAUUUUCUAAAAUUUGUAAGGUUUAUAGGAUUUUUAUUAUUGGCAUCAUUGUAUCAAUAAUAUUAUAAAUUAUAUAUUCUAUUGUAAUGAAAAUUUAUGUAAUCUUAGGUAUUUAUUUAUUGUAAUAAUAAAAAAUUUCUAAAUAAAGGUGAUUGCUUCAUUGACAAGUACAUAUUUAUAUUCUCUAUUAGUAUUUGGGUUGUAAACUUUGUUUAUAAAGUGAAUAUAUUGUGGUAAGCGAUGUGGGCAAUAUCGGAUGCAAAAUAUUGAGAGAUCAUUAACGCAUAUAUUUAUUGAAGACGCAUAUAGAGGAAAGAGUGUAGAUCCGGCCGUAACAAUUAUGAAGCUUUCCCCAAGUAUUCUCACGCUUCCUUAACUGUUGCAAAGUAUUUUUCAUAGUGUGCAGAUUUACUUUAUGGUGUCUUAAUUCGUCUAAAAUGAUUACUUUAGUUCUUUUGGGAUGAAAGGUCAUUUAUUGUGUUAGUAUUAAACAAUAGAAAAAAUAAGUAAUGGUAACGAAAGACUAAUUUGUGAUAUUGAAGCAUACAUGCUUAACUCAAUCCAAAACUUAGUAAGUUAGCUCAAGAGUUAAGAGUUGUCCAAAUCUUAUAUGCUGAACCCAAGUUCAAUACUCAAUUGAUGCAGGAUGUUAUUCCUAACACCGCCCCUCAUGCGUAGGAUUGGCAAAAAAACUCGAGUCAGUCCCGCCUAGACCUGCAAGCUUUAUUUAUGGCCAGCAUGAUGAAGUUACAGAUAUUAACCUAAAAAUUUGAAACUUACUAUGAAUGGCCUUGGUUAAAGACUUUUGUAACUUUAAUUUAUAACAAGUAUGUAUACACACACACACACAUGUUUAGAUUGCAUUUGGAUGACUUUUUUAUCAAUGCAAACAAUAUCAAAUUUAUCGGAUUAAUUUGAAUCUGAUCUAUAUCCGAUUUUGCCCGCCAUANNNNNNNNNNNNNNNNNNNNNNNNNNNNNNNNNNNNNNNNNNNNNNNNNNNNNNNNNNNNNNNNNNNNNNNNNNNNNNNNNNNNNNNNNNNNNNNNNNNNNNNNNNNNNNNNNNNNNNNNNNNNNNNNNNNNNNNNNNNNNNNNNNNNNNNNNNNNNNNNNNNNNNNNNNNNNNNNNNNNNNNNNNNNNNNNNNNNNNNNNNNNNNNNNNNNNNNNNNNNNNNNNNNNNNNNNNNNNNNNNNNNNNNNNNNNNNNNNNNNNNNNNNNNNNNNNNNNNNNNNNNNNNNNNNNNNNNNNNNNNNNNNNNNNNNNNNNNNNNNNNNNNNNNNNNNNNNNNNNNNNNNNNNNNNNNNNNNNNNNNNNNNNNNNNNNNNNNNNNNNNNNNNNNNNNNNNNNNNNNNNNNNNNNNNNNNNNNNNNNNNNNNNNNNNNNNNNNNNNNNNNNNNNNNNNNNNNNNNNNNNNNNNNNNNNNNNNNNNNNNNNNNNNNNNNNNNNNNNNNNNNNNNNNNNNNNNNNNNNNNNNNNNNNNNNNNNNNNNNNNNNNNNNNNNNNNNNNNNNNNNNNNNNNNNNNNNNNNNNNNNNNNNNNNNNNNNNNNNNNNNNNNNNNNNNNNNNNNNNNNNNNNNNNNNNNNNNNNNNNNNNNNNNNNNNNNNNNNNNNNNNNNNNNNNNNNNNNNNNNNNNNNNNNNNNNNNNNNNNNNNNNNNNNNNNNNNNNNNNNNNNNNNNNNNNNNNNNNNNNNNNNNNNNNNNNNNNNNNNNNNNNNNNNNNNNNNNNNNNNNNNNNNNNNNNNNNNNNNNNNNNNNNNNNNNNNNNNNNNNNNNNNNNNNNNNNNNNNNNNNNNNNNNNNNNNNNNNNNNNNNNNNNNNNNNNNNNNNNNNNNNNNNNNNNNNNNNNNNNNNNNNNNNNNNNNNNNNNNNNNNNNNNNNNNNNNNNNNNNNNNNNNNNNNNNNNNNNNNNNNNNNNNNNNNNNNNNNNNNNNNNNNNNNNNNNNNNNNNNNNNNNNNNNNNNNNNNNNNNNNNNNNNNNNNNNNNNNNNNNNNNNNNNNNNNNNNNNNNNNNNNNNNNNNNNNNNNNNNNNNNNNNNNNNNNNNNNNNNNNNNNNNNNNNNNNNNNNNNNNNNNNNNNNNNNNNNNNNNNNNNNNNNNNNNNNNNNNNNNNNNNNNNNNNNNNNNNNNNNNNNNNNNNNNNNNNNNNNNNNNNNNNNNNNNNNUACCUCUUUUAACGACAAGAUUCGUAGUAGAUGAUAAAAAGAAAAUUAACUUCAAAUUUUUUCAUUAAAUGUAAAUCUGAUUGAAGUAGUUUAAAUUUUUCUAGUAGACUAAUAUAUAUAACUUAAAUAAUUAAUUUCAUUAUUAAUUUUUAAAAUGUUAACUAAUAUAUUUUUAAUUUAUUAUAAAAAUUUUAAAUAAAUCCUUGGAUUAAAUAGAUUUUACAAUUAAUGUAAUACUUCUGAUUUAUUAAUAAUAUUAAAAUUAUUUUAUAUGAUAUUCAAAAUAAUUUAAACUUAUAUAUAUAUUAAUAUUAUGUCUAUUUAUUAUAAUAUGGUUUAAUAUUAUACGGGAUUGUAAAAUAUUAAAAUAUUUUUCAAUAUCCAAUUAUUUUAAUAUGUAUAUAUCAUUACAUUUAUUUUAGUAUCGUAUUUAUAUUUAUUAUAAAAUAUAAAAUUAAUAAAAUUAAAGAGUAUUGCAGUAAAGUAAAAAAAAAAAGUCUUAUUAUCUCUUAUUCACAAUAUGAGAUUCUACAAAAUUAUUUCCCGAAACGGGUGUCCUUUUCUUAUUUUCAAAAGAAAAAAUAAAGUAAGAAUAAGUCCAUGGGUUUCAAAAACUUCUAGUCUUAUCCCGGGACUACAUUGUCUGCCACUAUAACUAAUGGAAAUGACAAUACAAUUGACAUUGCCUUUCGCAACAUGACAAAUUUUUGGUGGGAUAUGGAAGAAUUGUCAAAAGUUCACGCCAUGUAAGAGUUUUUGGUGGGAUGUGGGAGGAUUGUCAAAAUAUCACACCACGUGAUAUAACCACAAUUGCUAUGGUUUUUAUUUUUUAAAUAAUGAUGGGAGUUAUAAAUUAUUUAUAUAAAUUUGCGUAGAAACUAAUGUAACAUAAAAGAAGUAGCUGAAUAAUAAUAUUUGGUGCUUUAGGUAAUUUUUAUAUGAGCCUUUCUUUUAUUUAGCGGCUCUAGUGCUUAAACAAACUUGUUCUCGAUCUUAAUUUACUGACCCCAUUUAAGCCUAUGAUGACAUAAUUAAACAUAUUCUUUUGUGACGAAAACAUCAAGAGAAGACAUCUCAUGUUUUAUUAUAACAGAAAAGAAGUGAUCCAAACGUCUAUUCGUUAUUUUAUUUAUUCAAUAUAAAUGGUCAACUUUAAAAAAAUGAUAAAAAUCACACAACGCUCAAGUAAAAAUUUAGAAUUACAUUUUUUAAAACUCUCUGAGUCUCUCUCUCCUGCCCCCCCCCCCCCCUCUUUUUUUUAAAAUAAACCUUAGUGUAAAAUUAGAAGAAUUUUAGAUAUAAAAUUUGGCAAUCGCUAAACAGAAAAGUAGCGGAUUGAAAAUAAAAAAGCUCUAUUAUCAUAGGAAUAUUGAUUAUACAUAAUAUAAUAACUUGUUGUGGUUCAUUGUAGCACUCUGAGCCAUACUUUAAAAUUUACUGGUUUGUUAAUGCUUUUAUUAUUGACAUUAUUGUGUCAAUAUUACUAUAAUUUAUUCAUUUUAUUGUAAUGAUAAUUUGUGUAGUCUUAGGUACUUAUUAUAUUAAAUUAUGUAAAUUAAUUGAGAAUACUUUUAGAGACAAAAGAAACACGUGUAUGUAGGAUUAAUAAUCGAAGAAUUGUAAAUGAAGGUGAUUGCUUCAUUGAGAGGCAUAUUGAAUAAUUAUGGAGGUUGCACUAUUUCGGAAGCACAUAUUUAUACUUCCCUAUCAGGAUUUGGGGUAAACGAAGUGCUUUAUCUAUUGCAGUAAGCAAUGUGGGCAAUAUCAGAGGCGAAAUAUUAAAAGAUUAUAACGCAUAUAUUUGAGCCAUUUAUAUUGAAGACACAUAUAGAGGAAAGAGUGCAGAUCAGGCUUUCCUCAAGUAUUCUCAUGCUUCCGCAACUGUUCUGAACUAUUCUUCAUUGUGGGCAGAUUUACUUAAUUACCAACACUAUGAUUCAAUACUUCAAAGGUUGAGGAAAUGUCAAAAUAUGAAAUGAAAAUACUUAAAUACCCUUCUACCUAACAAAACUUGGUACUUCUAACUGCACUCGCAGAGAAUAUAUAAAAUUAAAAAAAUAUAUAUUCAUCCAUGAAAAGCUUCGUAACAGAAAAACCAUCUUUAAAAAAAAUAAAAAUAAAAUUAAAAAAAAAAAACAGAAAAACCGACUCAUUUAUCUGCCAAUGAACCAAUUGGGACUCAUUUAAAAAAGAAUACAAAGCAAAAGUGAAUGACACAAAUUGCAUAGAUAUCUAGGUAUAAUUUGUCCAAGUAAUAAAUUCUCCUAGGUCAAAAGCAAUUAACGAUGAAAACUUUCUUCAUUAAGGUUCUGGCCUACGUAAAAAAACAGAAAAAACCACCCCAAGGUCAAAGCACAACGAUAAGUUUAGAACUGCAGUUUUUAAUUUUUUUUAAUAAAUCAAUGUGUAUCAAAAAUAGAUAAUAAUUUUGGAUAACUUUUUUUGAUAAAUAUAGACAUAAAAUUUUAAAAUCACCAAACAGAAAAACAGGGGAAUUAAAAGAGAGCCCUUGUUUCUCCUCUGUUUUGUUUGUUAUCAAACAGUGAAAUGAAAAGAUCGCAAGCGGAAAUUUUGUUUCUGCGUUGUAUCUUCUCAAUGCUGCAUGCAUUCAAAUUAAACCUUAUAUAUGCUAGCAAACUAGCUACUCUGCAUGUAAGUUCUCGAUAAGUCCAAAUAAUAGAAUAAUUGUAAAAUGUUAAAAUUCAGUAAUUAAUUAUACAUAUUUAUUUAUUCAAAAAUUAUUAUUAUUAAUUAUUGUCAAUAUAUAUUAAUAUUCUGAUUAAUUGUAAAAAAUUUAUCAUUCAUAACAAUAAUAAUGAUGAUGAUGAUAAUAAUAAUAAUAAUUCAAAAUAUAUUAAUUAAUUAUAAUAAUAUAUUAAUUAUUUAAUAAUAGUAAUAAAUGUAAAAUGUAUAAAUUGAUUAGAAUAGUUAUAUUAAUAAAUUAUAAACAUAUAUUAAUUAAUCAUAAUAAUUUUUUAAUUGAGGACAAAAUAGACAUUUUAUAGUUUGUGAGAGGGGGUAAAAUGGUCAAUCUUGGGAACGGGGGAUUGAUUCCCACCACCUUCCUUGGGAAUCAAUCUUCCAUUCCUCAUUCCUAAAUUUGGGUGGCCCCAUAAUUCUGAUUUGGAUCCCUGCCUCCAUCAUUAAUGAUUUCGAUUUCGGAUUCCGAUUCCCCAAUCCAAGAAGUAAAGGCACCAUUAUUGUUAAUUGGUUCAAACACACAAAGAGAAUGUACCAUGUAGCUAGGCGUCAAGGUUGUGUUGCACAAGUAACCUUUUUCUUUUCUUUUUAUUUUUCUUGUUUUCCUUAACGGAUCAGAAGAAAUUGGUGCCUUUGAGAUACCACAAUGUAAAUAAGUACUUGUGGUUCAUUGAAUCGGUAACACUCGGUACCCUAAGGUUGCUUUGGAAAAAAGGCUUUUCUCACUGAUCGCCAAUAUCCAAGUAAGUUUGUUUCAUUUCAGAAGGUGCAAAGUUUCAAACUUGUUGUAUUGGGAUGUAACAAACUUUGGCCUCAUAUGCCUGCUGUGACGUUAGACUGUUCAUUUUGAUUGUUUCCUACCUUCCACUUACGCCAUUGUAGCACUGUAUUAUUCACCAUUUUAACUGUUUAAAUGAAAUUUUAUUUUUGUCAAAAAUAAAAUGACACCAUUAAAAUUUAGAAAAAUAAUAAUGUAGAUCCCAAAUUUUUAAAAAAGAAUACCAAUAUUCCCCUUGACUACAAUACCCUUAGUAGGUGGUAAUAAAAAAAAAUUGGCUUAAAAUUUUUACGAAAUGUAAAUAUGAUUUAAAUAAUUUAAAUUUUCCAGUAGACUAAUAUAUAUAAUUUAAAUAUUAAUUUUUAAAAUUUAAAUUAAUUUAUUUGUAUUUAUAAAAUAGUUGUAAUUAUUUUAAAAUUUAACUAAAUCCUUAGGUUAAAUAGAUUUUACAAUUAAUAUAAUAUUUCUCAUGUAUUAAUAAUAUUAAAAUUAUUUUAUAUGAUAUUGAAAAUAACCUAAAUUUUUAUAUAUUUAUUUGAAUAUUAUGCUCUAUUUAUUAUAAUUUGGUUUAAUAGAAUACGAGAUUGUAAAAUAUUAAAAUUUUAAAUAUUGAAAUUAUUUUAAUAUGUAUAUAUUAUUAUAUUUAUUUUAAUAUCCUAUUUAUAUUUAUCAUAAAUUAUUAGAGUUAAUUUUUUUAGUUAAUAAAUUUAAAAAAUAUUAUAAUUUUAAAAAAAAAGUCUUGUUGUCCGUUAUUCACGAUAUGAGGUUCUACAAAAUUAUUUCUCCAGGCGGGUGUCCUUUUUUUAUUUUCAAAAGGAAAAACAAGUUCAGGGCCUCAGGGGUUUCAAAAAAUUCUGGUCCUAUCUACCACUAUGACUAAUGGGAAAUGACAUUGCAAUUGACAUUGCUUUCCGCAAUAUGACAAAUUAUUGGAGGGAUAUGGGAGAAUUGUCAAACGUUCACACACGCGAGAGCUUUAGGUGGGAUAGGGGAGGAUUGUCAAGAGUUCACACCACGAGAAACUAAUGAUAGGCCUAAUUUCGUUGUCAGUUCUUUAUUUAUUUAUUUUAUUUAUUUCAUACAUUAUUGUUUUUAUAAAGGUAUAAAAGUAAAGUAAAAUACCAGGGGUGCUGUUAAGUUACAACUUAUGUAACUUGCAAUUUUUUCAAAAAUAAUGUAAAAAAUUUAAUAGGUGGUGGGACCCACAUAUUUUUUAAGAGACUUAAGUUACAACAGUUGUAACUUAACAAAAUCUAAAUAUUAGACAAUAAUGCAUAUAAUUUGGGUUUGAUUUUUAAAAGAUUAUUUGAGUACCACCUAUCCUUAUGAUAUUAAUCUGAUUAUAUCUUAAUAUUAAAUAAUCAAAAUUUGUUUAAUUAUUAUUUGUAUUUCAUACAUUACAUAUUAGAUUUGUUUGAAUUUUAAGUUGUUGCUAAUAAAUAUUUAUGUUGUCAAAGUCAAAGUCAAUAGCUACAAAAGCAGAGAUAAUGGUAUUGUAUAUAGUUUUUAAGAAUGCAAGGAUAAGCUGGAUAAUUGACUUAAAUUCUAAUGAUUAAAAGAGCAACUAUCCCUUAAGUUAUAAUGUCAAUUUCUUUAAUUAGAAAUUUUUUUUUUCAUGUGAUAUAACCUCAAUUGCUACAAUUUUUUUUAUAAUAAUAAUGGGAGUUAUAAAUUAUUUAUAUAAAAUUUGGGUUGAAACUAAUGUAACCUAAAAGUGGUUGCUAAAUAACAAUAUUUGAAACUUUAAGUAAUUUUCAUGAGUCCUUUUUAUAUUCAGCAACUUGAAUUGGGGGAAAUCCGACUUGAAUUGGCGGUUGAUUUUGGUGAUGUGGCUUUUGGUUUACGCCGGCUUUACAGUGGCGGAAGACUGGAUUUACGGUUGCCGAAUGCUAGGGAUUAUGGUGGUGGUGUAAAUUGACGGAAAAAGAAGGUGUUUUGGUGGCGGCGCAUCUAGGAAGCACUCGUGGGUUGUCGUUUCGUGUGCUGACAACGGGCGGCGAUCAAGGGCUGAAGUUGGUUGGUUUUUGGUCAACGGAGGCCGGCGAGUUUGUUGGUGGAGGUGGUUGGUGGAGAAAGUGGCUGAAUGGUGGUGGGUUGCUUGGUGGAGCCGUGGGUUUGGGUUGGUGAUUUGCGGCUGUUGAGGCAGCGAUGACUGAGGCUUGGUCAACUGUGGCUAGUGAGGUUUGUGGUGGUGUUGGCUGGCUGAUCGGCGGUGGUGGGCGGCGGUGGAGGUUGAUGUGACGGGUUGGGUUUUCAAAUUUGUAAAUUUUGUUUUUUGAUGGAUUUGGUUUGGAUAGGUAUGGUGUAUCUAGGAAAGAUGUGCGAUUCGCACAUAAUCAUCUUGAUACCAAUUGAUGGAGCGAGGCGUAGCGGAAGCAGAAUUGAUAGGGUAAGAAACAUUAGAUAUUGUUCUAGUACUAGACCAAGCCAACGCGAUUAGUUCACGCUCUAAUCGAAGCAUGAUUAGAUAUCGUUAUAAUCCAAAUGACUCAAUGAGAUUUUUAAUAAUGCGUAAUACGAGAUUAGAUGACACUCUAAUCCAAACGACUCUACAAGAGAGAUUUUGAUAAAUAAUCCUAGAGAAAAUUAUAAAAGAGGGGUUUUAUUUAAUAAUUGAACUUGAAGUUAUGAAAAUAAUGACAAGACAUCUUUAUUUUUUUUAUUACAAAUAUCUUUAUUUAUAAUAGAAGAAACCCGCUUUCCUAAGUUAACCUAAAAAGAAAAUUUAAAUCAUAAUUAUAAUGGAAAUAAAAGAUUAAAAUACAUACCAUAAUUAACUCAAACUAAAAUAGAAAAUCAUAAAAUAAUAAAUAUUCUAGAAUUAUAAAUUAUCUAAAAUAACGUUAAUUAACUUCUUAAAUCACUUCUUUGGUGUUAACCAUUUUGCAUCCAACCUCGCUUUAAAGGUUUGAACCAACGUUACCAACAAUAAUGUAUCAAAUUCCAAUCUAACUUAAGAUCCUGAUACAUCUACCGAUGUCCUUGUUUGAUUAGACAAUAAUGAGUCUAUCUCAUCACUUGUUACCUCUUUCUUGAAGGCUGCAUCUGUUGAAGUGAUAGUCUCGUUUAGAGUUUAAAGAUCUUCUUCCAUGUUAAAUAAAAUGGGCAUUUGAUUAAAAAACUUUAUCUCUAUCUCCUUCUAUCAAAUAACGACAACUAUCCGAAGGGAAAAAAAAUUAGAAAAGUCCAUGGGUCACAAUAAUUUAUGGUCUGUUCCCGGACCCCAUUAUCUGCCACUAUCAAUGAUGAAAAUGAAAAUAAAUGGCAUCUUCCCAAAAUGGCAAAAGAUUUUUGGGGGAUAUGGGGGAAUUGUCAAAAGUUCACACAACGCGAAACAAGUGUUACAUCCAAUUUUAUUUCGUCAUAUAAUGAUAAUAUCAAAUAAUGACAACCAUCCAAAAGUAUGAUGGGUCUUCCACAAUUUUGAAAAUGUCGUCAACAUUUAAUCUUCAAUGCUAAAGAAGAUGAAAUGACCAAAAAUGACACGCAGGACCAACUUACAGACUAAAUGGCUCUGACCACAUGUAACAAACUUUGGCUUUAUGUCCUUGCUGAGGCGUUAGACUGUUGGUCAUUUUGAUUGCUUUUUACCUUCCAUUUACGCCAUUGUAGCAUUGUACUAUUCACCAUUUUAGCUGUUUAAAUGAAAUUGUUAUUUUUUUUUCCAAAAAUAAAAUGACACCCUUAAAAUUUUAGAAAAUAGCCAUGUAGAUCCCAAAUUUUUAAUAAAGAACACUAAUAUCAUUUUUGACUAUAGUACUCUUAGUAGAUGGUAACAAAAAAAAAUGACUGCAAAAGUUUUUACUAAAUGUAAAUAUGAUUUAAAUAGUUUAAAUUUUCUAGUAGACUAGUAUGUCUAAUUUAAAUAAUUAAUUUUUAAAAUGUAAUUUAAUAUAUUUAUUUUAAUAAUAUAUUUAUCAUAAAAAUUUUAAACAAAUCCUUGGGUUAAAUAGAUUUUAUAAUUAAUAUAAUAUUUCUCAUGUUUUAAUAAUAUUAAAAUUAUUUGAUAUGAUAUUGAAAAUAAUUAAAACUUUUAUAUAUUUAUUUGAAUAUUAUUUCUCUAUUUAUUAUAAUUUGGUUUAAUAGAAUACGAGAUUGUAAAAUAUUAAAAUAUUUUUAGGUAUUAAAAUUAUUUUAAUAUGUACAUAUUAUUAUAUUUAUUUUAAUAUCCUGCUUAUAUUUAUUAUAAAAUAUUAAAAUUAAUUUUUUUAGUUAAUAAAUUUAAAAAUAUAUAUUAUAAUUAAAAAAAGAGUCUUAUUGUCUGUUAUUUACGAUAUGAGGUUCUACAAAAUUAUUUUCAAAAGGAAAAAUAAGUCUAAGGGUUUCAACAAAUUCUAGUCCUAUCUGCCACUAUGACUAAUGGAAACGACAUUGCAAUUGACAUUGCUUUUUGUAAUAUGACAAAUUUUUGGAGGCAUAUGGGAGAAUCAUCAAAUGUUCACACUACGCGGGAGUUUUGGAUGGGAUCAGGGAGGAUUGUCAAGAGUUCACACCACGAGAAACCAAUGAUAGCCCUAAUUUCGCUGUCAGUUCUUUGUUUAUUUAUUUUAUUUAUUUCAUACAUUGUUGUCUUGUUGGCAUUGUUUUGUAAAAUAAAAGUAAAGUAAACUAUUAGGGUGCUGCUAGGUUAAGUUGUUGUAACUUACAGUCCCUUAAAAAAUAAUGUAAAAAAUUUAACAUGUGGUGGGAUCCACAUAUGUUUGAAGAGGCCGUAAGUUACAGUAGUUGUGACUUAGCAAAAUCCAAAUAUUAGACAAUAACGCACAUUAACAAUGCAUAUAAUUUGGGUUUUAUUUUUUUUUAAUUAUUUGAGUAUUAUCUAUCCUUAAGAUAUUAAUGUGAAUAUAAUUUAAUAUUAAAUAAUCAAAAUCUAUUUAAUCAUAAUAUAUAUUUCAUACAUUGCAUGUUUAAUCAAAAUCUGAUUGCUUUUUACCUUCUAUUUCGCCCACUGUAGCAUUCUACUAUUUACCAUUUUAGCUAUUUAAAUGAAAUUUAUUUUUUUUCCAAAAAUAAAAUGACACCCUUAAAAUUUUAGAAAAUAGUCAUGCAGACGCCAAAAUUUUAAUAAAGAACACCAAUACCCUUUUUGACUAUAGUACUCUUAUGGUAGCCACAAAAAAAAAAUGACUUCAAAUUUUUUUACUAAAUGUAAAUAUGAUUUAAAUAGUUUAAAUUUUCUAGUAGACUAGUAUGUAUAAUGUAAAUAAUUAAUUUUUAAAAUGUAAUUUAAUAUAUUUAUUAUAAAAAUUUUAAACAAAUCCUUGGGUUAAAUAGUUUUUAUAAUUAAUAUAAUAUUUCUCAUGUUUUAAUAAUAUUAAAAUUAUUUUAUAUGAUAUUGAAAAUUAUUUUAUAUGUAAAUCAUAUUUACAUUUAAUAGAAUACGAGAUUGUAAAAUAUUAAAAUAUUUUUUGGUAUUGAAAUUAUUUUAAUAUGUAUAUAUUAUUAUAUUUAUUUUGAUAUCCUACUUAUAUUUAUUAUAAAAUAUUAAAAUUAAUUUUUUUAGUUAAUAAUUUAAAAAAAAAUAUUAUAGUUAAAAAAAAAGAGUCUCAUUGUCCGUUAUUCACGAUAUGAGGUUCUACAAAAUUAUUUUCAAAAGGAAAAAUAAGUCCAGGGCUUUCAACAAAUUCUAGUCCUUCUGCCACUAUGACUAAUGGAGACGCAUUGAAUUGACAAUGCUUUUUGCAAUAUGACAAAUUUUUGGAGGGAUAUGAGAGAAUCGUCAAGCUUUCACACCAUGCGAGAGCUUUAGGUGGGAUAUGGGAGAAUUGUCAAGAGUUCACACCACGAGAAAUUAAUGACAAGCCUAAUUUCGUUGUCAGUUCUUUAUUUAUUUAUUUUAUUGAUUUCAUACAUUAUUGUCUUGUUGGUACUAUUUUGUAAAGAUAUAAAAGUACAAGUAAAAUAUUAGGGAAAGUAAAGUAAAAUAUUGGAGGUGAUGCUAAGUUACAGCUGCUAUAACUUACAGUUCCUUCAAAAAUAAUGUAAAAAAUUUAACACGUGGUGGGACCCACAUUAUGUUUGAAGAGGCCGUAAGUUAUAGCAGUUGUAAACUAGUAAAAUCCAAAUAUUAGACAAUAAUACACAUUAACAAUGCAUAUAAUUUGGGUUUGAUUUUUAAAAAAAUUAUAUGAGCAUUACCUAUCCUUAAGAUAUUAAUGAGAAUAUAUUUUAAUAUUAAAUAAUCAAAAUAUGUUUAAUCAUAAUAUGUAAUUCAUACAUUGCAUGUUAGAUUUGUUUGGAUUUUAAGUUGUUGCUAAUAAAUAUUUAUGUUGUGAAAGUCGAAUUCAAUAGCUACAAAAGCAGAGAUACUGGUAUUUUAUGUAGUUUUUAAGAAUACAAGAAUAAGACCAUAAUGCAUGAGAUAAUGGUAUUUUAUAUUAAAAGACCAUAACACAUGUAUUUGAGCCAUUUAUAUUGAGGACACAUAUAAAGCGAAGAGUGCAGAUCCGGCCGUAACUAUUGUGAAGCUUUCCUCAAGUAUUCUCAUGCACACAGCCCUUAUCUGGUCAAGUUCUCUGAUUCAAUAUAAUCAAUUUCCGAGUAGUACUGACGACAGCUUCUCUGUAAAGCUCUUCAACCACAAGCAUUUCUACAAGGCAAAAGACUAGGACGUAUUGGAAUGAAUAUCAAUAAGGGAAUGUCUUAUGAAUUUAGUUUAUAUCCUAAUAUAAGACAAUCAGUAAAUAUUGGAUGCAAUCUAAGGGCUAACAUUUGAUUGAUCAUUAUACGAAAAAAAAAAAAGGUGCAAAAAUACAAAACAUAGCUGAUUGAUGGCCUCUCACAGUCAGUUAUAUGACAAAGUAGCCACCACAACAAACUUUUUUUUUUGAACUGAUUAAGCAUCAGGUUACUGUAUUACACAUAGAGAUAUAUAUAACUGCUAUGACAGCAAGUCAUUAUACUGAUAUUUACAAUCAGAUAUAUACAUGAGACUUAUAUUAUUACAUUUUUAUUAUAUGAAGUACAUGCCCAUCCAAAUCUCCCUCACGGAGGAGGGAUGUCUCUACUCCACUCACAUUUCGCAAGGGAGAAAGACGUUAUAAGAAGUUUUCACCACAACAAACUUGAACUUGGGUGGAGGUCUCAUUAGUAGUAUACCUCAGAAAUUAAGACAAAGACUUUAAAAUGCAAACUUAUGGAGCAAUUUAAGCACUGAAACUAAUAACAGUACGGUAUUAGCAAUUGACCUCUGCUUUUGCUUAGACAAAGGUUUUCAUCACAAUGGACUCAUUAGUUGCCCUUGCCUCACACGUUUGGAUGCUAAGGGGAAAAAGGAAGCUUGAAUUAGUCAAUCUCAUUUCUAAUGGCAUUCACAGAGAACUUAUAAAACAAAAAAAAAAAAAAAUUAUAAAAAAAAAUUCAUCCAUAAAAAGCUUAGUAACGGAAAAAUCGACUCUUUUAUCUGCCACUGACGAAAAAAAAACUGAAGUAUUAAAUAGAUAAAGAAUUUAAUUUUUUUCUUGGAAAAACUAAUAAUAAAUUAACAAUUAGAUAAUACUAUUAAUUAGAGAUCUUUAAUAUUAAGGUUGUCAAAGAUAGAAUGUGUAUAAAAAUUCUUAAUUAUAAGAUAAUUACUAACUAAAAAGAGGCCUAAAAAAGAAGAUUUGCUAUUAUAAGUAAUACCAAAAAUAAAAAGGGAGACUUCCUAAUUGUGUAAUUGGUUAAAAAAGAGGAUUUGCUAUUAUAGGCCUAAUUUGCCUAUGCUUAAAACCGUUCCUGGAUGUAAAAAAAUAAAAAUUAUUGUUAAAUUCCUGACUAAUAAGGUCAUUGAAAGUAUUCAAAGGACCUGAACUUAUAGGAAAGCCAGCCAUGAUGAACUAUACCACGUUGCAAGUGAGCUCGUAUCUUCACCCCUUGAUCUGCCAUCGGCAUUUCUCUUCCACUCACUAUACCAUCCUUUUCAAUCGAUUUUUAUAGAUCAUAAGAGACCAUGUGGCCCACCUUAUUUUUAUUUUGGAUCCAUAACCCAAAGCUGGCCCAAGUUCUGAUUCCAGAAUCAUUUGUCUACAAAGUGACCUCAUUCCGGCAAUUGGUUUAUGCUAAUAGCACGUGCAAUUUUCAUUUUCUUCUUUUUAUUAAUUAAUUUCAUCAUUAUUAUUUGCUUAUUAUUUUAAAAUUAAAGCUAGCAUUUUUCAAAUUAAUUAAUUAAAUUGUAUUAAUGAAAUUAAUCUUUCAUUUUCUUUUCUCUUUCAAUGCACAAAGCCAAACAACCAUUCUCGCUUCAAAUACCGAAGAGCUCCUGACUACGGCUGUCAAUGCUUCUAUAUUUACGUGCUGUGCUGCAUCACUCUUAGCGAAAGCUUGAAUGAAUGAUUAAAGACAAAAGCUUAUAUAAAAGCAGAUGCCGGAGGCAGUCAAAAAGCAUUUGAGAGAGAAGCUAAACAGCAAAUCAUCAAACGCACUUCAAUGACUUUAUUUUGAUUUUGAUUUUUGUUUCGAAAGAAGUAGAAAAGUCCAUGGGUCACGAUAACUGCUUGUCCUAUGCCGUGACCUCAUUGUCCACCGCUAGUGUCAAAUAGAUUAAUCUUUCUAGUAGAUUAAUAUAAUUUAUAAUUUUAAUUUCAGUAUUAAUUUUUAAAAUGUUAGUUGUUAUAUUUAUUUUAAUAAUAUAUCUAUUUUUAGUAUAAAAAAUUUAAAUGUAUAUUUAGAUUAAAUAGAAUUUAUAAUUAAUAUAAUAUAUCUCAUGUAUUAAUGAUAUUUAAAUUAUUUUAUAUAAUAUUAAGCCUAACUUAGAAUUAUAUAUAUUUAUUUUAAUAUUAUGUUUCUAUAUAUUAUAUAAUAUUAAGCCUAACUUAGAAUUAUAUAUUAUGUUUCUGAGCCUCUCUCUAUAACACUAUAUAGAACCCUAAGCCUAAGUGUCACGGGAUGAGUGUUUUGCGCAGCUAACCCGUGCGGCACUUAGACAACUUUGCCGAAUGUUGCUAAGUAAGCCUAGAGAUUCUCGAACAAGAGAAGAGAGCAAUUGAGCCAAAGAAACUUGUAUUGCACAAAGAGAGAUUACAAUGCUUGUUGGAUACAAAUGCCUAAUGCCAUCCCAUAUUUAUAGGGGAGGCUUUGUCAAACUUGGCCUAACUUUGCCAAACUUUGCCAAACUCUAGAGUAUUCUACAAUUUCCUAGCUAUUUACAUGUGCUGGAAUUGUAUAAAGAAUUCUAGAAUAUUUACAUGUUCACAUGUGCUAGAGUUUCCUAGAACCUUCCGGAAUUGGGCCAAGCUAGCACUCUUGGCUUUGUGUUGGCUCUCUAGCUCGAAAUUGGGGCAAUUGGGCUAGCGAAUUGGGCGGUCCGCAACAACCUCCCCCACCUAUGCUCGCGGCGUCCUCGUCGCGCUCUCAUGCUUGAACCUCUGGAUGUGCUCAGCGAAUUGCCACAAACCAUCUUCACGUUCCCAAGUGGCUUCACUCUCGGGGAGGUUUUUCCAUUUCACCAAGUACUCGCUAUGUGCUGGCACGCCCCUCCUCGAAACCGUGCGGUCCGCAAUGAUGUAGUCCACAUCUUUGUCGAAUGCGGUGACAACGGCAGUUGGUGCGCGCCUUGAUUCUCCGCGACCUGGUUCUCCCAUGUCUUCGUGAUAUGGCUUGAGAAGGCUCACAUGGAAGACCGGAUGGAUCUUGAGUCUUGGCGGAAGUUGGAGUUGAUACGAGACGUUGCCCACACGUCGAACAACUCGGAAGGGUCCCUCGUAGCGCCUCACUAACCCCUUGUGAACUUUCCGCAAUGUCUUGAAUUGUUGGGGUAGGAGCUUGAUCAUGACUUGAUCUCCUUCCUUGUACUCAACAUGCCGUCUCCUUGUAUCCGCCCAUUUCUUCAUUUUCCUCGCGGCUUUGUCGAGGUAGGCUCGCGUGAUGUCCGCUUCCUCAUGCCAUUCGCGGGCGAGCUUGUGUGCCGCGGGGCUUUUCCCUCCGUAAGUCGAGGCUAUGGCAUUGGGAGUCAUUGGCUGGAAUCCCAUGAUGAUCUCGAACGGACUCUUGCCCGUAGCCUCGCUUCGCUGCAAGUUAUAAGAAAAUUGGGCGAUGUCGAGUAGCUUCGCCCAAUCCCGCUGGUGAGCGCUCACAUAAUGCCUCAGAUACAUCUCGAGGAGGCCGUUAAUGCGCUCGGUCUGCCCAUCCGUUUGUGGGUGGAAGCUUGUCGAGAACUUGAGAUCGGUCCCCAACAUCUUAAAGAGUUCCGUCCAAAACCGCCCAGUGAACCAAGGGUCUCGGUCGCUCACAAUGCUCUUCGGAACUCCCCAAAGCUUCACAAUGUGCUUGACAAAUAGGCGGGCUGCCUCAUCCGCUUUGCAAUCCACUGGUGCGGCAAUGAAUGUGGCGUACUUGCUGUGUCGGUCGACAAUGACCAUGAUGCUUCCGCAACCUUCGGACUUGGGCAGCGAUGUGAUGAAGUCCAUGGAGACACUUUCCCAUGGCCUUGUUGCUAGUGGUAGCGGCUCCAACAAUCCCGCUGGAAGUUGAUGAUCCACCUUGUCUUGUUGGCACACAAGACAAGUUCGCACAUAUGCCUCGAUGUCGUCCCUCAUGUGCGGCCAAAAAUACGAGGCUUGAACUAGUGCGGUGGUGCGCUCGAUUCCUGGGUGACCAGCCCACUUGGAGUCGUGGCACUCCUUGAUAACUUCCUUCCGCAAAUUUCCCCACCUUGGCACAAACAGCCGAUCUCCCUUGGUGAGGAGGAUGCCUUCCUCUUGCCAAAAUCGCCUUGUCUUCCCUUCGAGCACCUUCUCCAGCAAAUCCUUUGUUAGCGGGUCUUGUUGGAGGCCUUCCUUGAUGCGUGAGACAAGGUCGGACUUCGGUUGGCUCAUGCUAAGUGUUGCCAAUUCCGCCUUGCGGCUUAGAGCGUCCGCAACGACAUUGGCUUUCCCCGGUUUGUACUCUAGCCGAUAGUCGAAUUCCGCAAGGAAAUCUUGCCACCGUGUUUGCUUCGGACUCAACUUCUUUUGAGUUUGAAAGUAGCUUGUCGCCACGUUGUCCGUUAUGAUCGUGAAGUGUGAGCCAAGCAAGUAAUGUCGCCACACUCUUAGACAAUGGAUGAUGGCUGUCAUCUCCUUUUCUUGCACCGUGUAGCGGCGUUCCGUAUCAUUUAGCUUUCGACUCUCGAACGCUAUUGGGUGGCCUUCUUGCAUAAGGACUCCACCUAUGGCGAAAUCCGAGGCAUCUGUUUGAACUUCGAAGGGCUUGGUGUGGUCCGGAAGAGCGAGGACUGGUUCCUCCGAAAUUGCCUUCUUCAACUCCUCGAAUGGACGUUGGCACUCUUCGGAUCAAUGCCACGUUCUGUUUUUCUUGAGCAUAUCCGUCAAGGGUGCCGCCUUGGCUGAAUAGCCCUUGAUGAAAUGGCGGUAGUAAUUCACCAACCCAAGGAACGAGCGAAGCUCGGGUACUUUCGAGGGAGGCUCCCAAUCGAGGAUGGCCUCUACUUUGUCAUUCUCCAUCAUGAUCUUCCCGCCCGCAAUCUUAUGGCCAAGGAACUCCACCUCUUGUUGGGCAAACGAGCACUUCUCUAGUUUGAGGAAGAGCUCAUUGUCUUGAAGUACUUGGAGGACUUUUUGCAAGUGUUGGGCAUGAUCCUCGAGUGUGGUGCUAUACACCACGAUGUCGUCCAAGUACACGACCACGAAGCGGUCGAGGAAUGGUUGGAGUACCUUGUUCAUGAGUGUGCAAAAUGUGGCGGGUGCAUUAGUAAGGCCAAAAGGCAUCACAAGGAAUUCGAAAGACCCGUACCUUGUUGUGCACGCUGUCUUUGGUUCGUCUCCCUUGGCGAUGCGCACUUGGUAGUACCCGGAGCGCAAGUCAAGUUUGGUGAAGUACCGCGCUUUGCCAAGCUGGUCGAACAAGUCCGCAAUCAAUGGAAUCGGAUACUUGUUCUUGAUGGUGAUCUUGUUGAGCGCUCUAUAGUCGAUGCACAUCCGCAGCGAUCCAUCCUUUUUCUUUUGGAAGAGGACCGGUGCACCGAAUGGGGCCUUUGAGGGGCGAACGUAGCCUGCGUCCAGCAAGUCUUUGAGCUGUCUCCGCAACUCCUCUAAUUCGGGUGGCGCCAUGCGGUAGGGCGCCAAGGCUGGUGGCUUCGCGCCUUGUUCUAGCUCAAUCGCAUGAUCUACCUCUCGCGGAGGUGGGAGCUUCUUCGGAAGUUCUGGAGGCAUCACGUCCUUGUACUCAUUGAGGACGGCUUGAAUUCGCGGAGGGACUUGGCUUGGCGACGUUCCGCUAUUUCCUUCCUCGUUUAGUUCCCGAAUGGAGACCAAGAAGCUUGGGUCCUUCUUGAAAGCCCUCUUGAAUUGCAUGGCGGAGAGUUUCUUCUCCUCGGACUUGCCUCGUUCGGUGGGUACCAUGCAUGCUUUGCUCCCAUCGAGGAUGCUUAGGGAGUUUGUAGCGGGCAGCGGGAAGGCAUGGACUUGGUCGAAGAAUUCCAUGCCAAGGACCAUCUUGAAGUCAUCCAUGGGCACAAUGGAGAAAUCAAGCUUUCCGCUCCAUGUACCGAGUGUGAUGUGCACGCCUUGUGCAAUUCCCGCAAUUGGUUUGGCGGGUGAGUUUACUGCCUUCAUUGUGCCUCCUUCCUUGGUGGCCUUGAGGCCUAAACGCUUGGCCUCGUCUACGGACACGAAAUUGUGUGUUGCUCCCGUGUCUAGCAGCGCGCGAACAGACUGGCCGUUUACCUUUGCGCUAACAUACAUGAGCCCUUUCUUGGCUAGUGCGGGCUGUUGGCGGUUGAGUGCCCCGAGGCGUUGGAGAGAACCCAUGCUGAGUUGGGGUUCCUCCGUGGACAUUGUGGGGUUGCUCUUGAGUUGGGCAGCAAGAACAUUAAGCGACCGCUUCUCCGGACAGUCGCGUACCCAAUUUGGACCGUUGCAUAUGAAGCAUGGGCUUCGCGGCUUUGGCGCCUCCUUCUUGCCCUCCGAUUUUCCUUGCCAACUCUUGUUGCUAGACGGCUUUUUCUGCCCCCAAUCUUUGCGGUUGUUACCCUUGUCCUUGCGACUCUCUCCCCCACCUUUGCCUUGGUUGGCCUUUUUGUCCUUGGAUUGGGUAGAGUAUUCGGUGAGCGACUCCGCAACGGCGAUGGCGUCGUCAAGUGUUUGAACACCACGCCUAUCAAGCUCGGUCUUGGCCCAAUCCUUGAGGCCAUCUUGGAAGUAGAAGAGUGAAUCUUUGUCGGACAUGUCACUUAUCUCCAACAUGAGGGUAGAGAACUCGUUAAUGUAGUCCCGAAUGCUACCCGAUUGCUUGAGGCGACGUAAGCGCGCUCGCGCUUCCUUCUCUGCAUUGCUUGGGGUGAACUGCUUUCGGAGUUCUUGCUUGAAGUCGGCCCAAGUGUCGAUGGUGCAAAUGCCCUUGCCCAUCUCGCCAUGCUUGCGACGCCACCAUAGUUGUGCAGCGCCUCUAAGAUAGGUGGGUGCAGUGCCCACUUUCGAUGCCUCAUCUCGUACACCCAUGGCAUCGAAGUAUUGAUCCAGCCCGAACAGGAAGUUGUCCACGAUUGUGGCAUUGCGUGUGCCAUCGUAGGUGUCGGGCUUUGGCACAUCAAUGCGGCGCGCAUCACUCGAGUUUGCGGAAGCUGGACUUGCGGAGAGUGUGCGCUUGUGCCAUGCCCAAUCCGAGCGGACUUCAUCCACUUCCGCACGGACAGCACGUAGUUCGUCCUGAACAAAACUACGAAGUUUUAGCAACUCAUCAUGGAAAGAAUGAAACUCACCUCGGAGAAUGUUCGCUUGCUCAUGCAUGAGAGCUUUUGUGGCCACCGUGAACUCGGCGUAUUCUCCCUCGAGAUUGUCCACUCUUCUCUCUAAUCCCUCAAGGCUAUCUUGAGUGGCGGACAAGGCUAUUUCGAGAGUGCCUACACGAGGCUCCAAAGCAUCCACGGAUGGGGCCUUGGACUUGCCGCGAUUCUUGCCUUGGGCGCGUUCUCCCUCUCGGCCGCGGCUUGGUUCUGGUGGAACAUCCACACCAACAAAACCCUCUUGUGCUACGUUUGAAGGGUUGGCCAUUGCUUUGUGAGCUAAUUUGCGUGCGUGCAAACCUUAGCUCUGAUACCACUUGUCACGGGAUGAGUGUUUUGCGCAGCUAACCCGUGCGGCACUUAGACAACUUUGCCGAAUGUUGCUAAGUAAGCCUAGAGAUUCUCGAACAAGAGAAGAGAGCAAUUGAGCCAAAGAAACUUGUAUUGCACAAAGAGAGAUUACAAUGCUUGUUGGAUACAAAUGCCUAAUGCCAUCCCAUAUUUAUAGGGGAGGCUUUGUCAAACUUGGCCUAACUUUGCCAAACUUUGCCAAACUCUAGAGUAUUCUACAAUUUCCUAGCUAUUUACAUGUGCUGGAAUUGUAUAAAGAAUUCUAGAAUAUUUACAUGUUCACAUGUGCUAGAGUUUCCUAGAACCUUCCGGAAUUGGGCCAAGCUAGCACUCUUGGCUUUGUGUUGGCUCUCUAGCCCGAAAUUGAGGCAAUUGGGCUAGCGAAUUGGGCAGUCCGCAACAUAAGUCUCACAUUCGCAACCGCCCCACAUAUCAGAACCACAGCGAACUGCCUCCGACCCUUCGGACCCAAAAAAAUGAUUGUAUUCCUGCUCUUUCACUUUAAUAAUUUUUUGUAUUAUUCCAUAUCUUUCACUUUAAUAACCCAAAAGCUUUCCUCUGUUUCAACCCAAAAGCUCAAAUUCCUUUUUUCAAUCGAAAAUUGUGUUUGCCUAAUUUUUUAACCAUUUUUAUAUGUCCGUUAAACUUGACAGCCAAUGUGGUCUAUUCGCUAAACAGAGUAAACGAUAACAAUCAAUGGAAAUUGAAACAAAACCCACCAAUCAACAAAACAGAAUAGCCGAGGAAUCCAAUUUCAGGAAACAGCAGUUUCAAAACUCACCAGAGACAAAUGAUAAAACGAAGCUACGCCGUUCCUCGAUCGGUGAUAACUGGCUACAAGGUUUCUUCGCAUUCGUUGGCCUAAUUUUUUAACCAUUUUUAUAUGUCCGUUAUGCUUGACAGCCAAUGUGGUCUAUUCGCUAAACAGAGUAAACGAUAACAAUCAAUGGAAAUUGAAACAAAACCCACCAAUCAACAAUGUGGUCUAUUCGCUAAAUGGUUAAAAAAUCUAACCUUUGUUCACAAUAAUUGUAUUUGCCUCACUGUUUUUGUUUUAUGAGAUCUAUAAUUGAUCUUGGGAUAUUACUUUCUAGUUCUCAUGCAAGCAAGUUACUACCUUCCCACUGCAUCUCCUCCUUUAUCUGCUAUUCAAGAGUUGCGUGCCAUAAUCUGGUGUUACCUCUGCAAGAUUGUGAAUGAAUAUAACGCCUCUAAAUUUAUUUUAUACAUAAUGCUGAUGCUGAAUAAUAUAUUGUAGCUCCUGUCAUAUUCUACUUUGACUUUUUAUAUUCUGUUUCAUAUAAAAAUCUUAUUCAACUUUAGUUGUUCAUGAGCAAAUGUCACAUGUAUAAGCCCAAAUGAUGUUUAAAGGUAGCGCGGCUACCUUUAGUUUGAGCUGACAAUGGAUGAAAAAGAUAUUGAAACUGAUAUUUUGCUGUUUUUCUGAUUUUUCAAAGUAUUUUAGAUCCUGACUUUUGUUAAGUUGUUUCCAACACCUCGUGCCAAAUGAAAGCACAAUCUUUCUGAUUCAGAUGUCUUGUUAAUUAUGCUUCAUUUUUUCAUUAAAGAUUGGAUGGUUACAUGGAUUGAUGGAGUUGGAGUUCAACCAAUAAUUCUAAUUUUUUGGACUUAAAAUGCCUUUUUCUUCUGUAUAAAAACUUUAGUAAGUGCUAUUGAGUUGACAGAAGUUGCAUACUUACAGGUUGUUUCACACUUUUUAGUAGUUUUACAUAUAUGAAUUUCUGUUUUUUGAAUUGCAGAAAGGAGGUGGAACUAUUGAUUUGGAGCCUUAUCUUACUCACUCAUCGACAACGGAGCCUACCCUCACUCCCAUGGCAGUGGAACGGACAACGACUACUAGGGCUGCAACAUCAGUUGGUUUGGGUCUGUUUUGGGUUUAUUGUCAUUUAUUUGGGUAUGUUUUGAUAGCGAAUUUUGAUAUGUCAAUAGAAUGUGUAAUUGUUUUGGGUUGAGCUGGUAAUUAUGCUGGAUUAGAUUGGUUUGGUUUUGGUGCUUCUCUGAUGGAACACUGCUUUUUUUAGAAAUUUUGAAUGUAAUAUGAGACUACAUUUAGUUUAAUUGAACACUGCAUCUAGUCUAAUUACUAGAAGUGUGGCAUUUGGUUUGGUUUAUCCGAUAUUCUCCAGAAUUUCACUUGCAUCUGGUUUUGUUGCAUAUGUUUGUUUGCUUGCAUUUGAUGGCAGUAGCAGACUGUUUGUUUUUGUGACAUUUGAUGGCAGUUUGGUCUGUUCUUGGUGUUGAUUUAAGAUUCUUCCUGUUGUGCUGAUGUUAAUUGCAGGUGCUUGAAUCAGCUAGGGUUGCUGGUUUAUUCAGAUGGUUGACUCAGGCGUUGCUACUGGUUAAUUCAGGUGGCUGACUCAAGUUGUUCAUUUAAUGUUAGGAAGCAAAUUAGGAAUUAAUGAAGUAUUCAUUUAACUAUAAUUAUUGUAGUUAUUUUAUUUCAUAACUGAAUUAUAAUCUAUGAUACUUGUGAACAAAUUAGAGAAUUUUUAUAUAUGAAUUAUAUAUAUGUGUGUGUAUGUACAUUUUGCUAUUUAUAUAAUAAUUUAAAGAAUAUAUUUCAAUUCCCACAAAAAAAAGGCUCCAAUUUCAAUAAUUCCCGCCAAAUAAUUAAAUUUUUUUAAUUUACCACCAAAAUAUAUCUUAAGUUAUUCUUGCUAGAUUUAACAAAAAUAAUUUGUAGGAUUAACAUUUAAUUAAAAUAAUUAAAUAAUUUUAUUAUUCCAAUUAAAUAUGUCAUGCUUAUACGACAGACAAUAAUCAUGAAUGGGAAGUAUUAGUAACAUAUUCUUCCUUGGGAUUUCAGGCAAAUGAAAAAAAGAUUGAGAAUGAUUUCAAGAGGACAGGUGGAUGAUAAAUAUUCAUUUUUGUAUAUUUGGCUAAUGUCCUCAUUAGUGGAUUUUUAUGGUAUUGAUCUUUUUCUUUUUUUAAAAAAAUUUUCAAUUAGUUGCAGCCCUAGAGGAAGAGCAGGCUGAUCAAAUUGAUUUGUCUUGUUUUUCGGGCAAUCUACGACACGAUGACCGUGAUAAUGCUCGUGACUGCUGGAAACUUUCUGAUGGAAAUAACUUUAGAGUUCGUAGCAAGCAUUUUUGUUAUGACAAAACAAAGGUUCCCCCAUAUUUUGUUUGUUUGUUAUGGUAUUUAUAUAUCCUGCAUAGGCUAGGUAGACAGGUUAUGAUGUAGUUUGGUUGGCUCUUCUUGUGCUUUGUGCAAUUUGUAACUGCAGAUACCUGUGGUAAAACAUUUAAUGGAUCUUGUUGCUGUUGAUUGGUUCAAAGACACAAAGAGAAUGGACCAUGUAGCUAGGCGUCAAGGCUGUGCUGCACAAGUAACUAUUCUUUUCUUUUUAUUUAAAAAAAUAAAACACAUUGCCAACAAGGAUCUCUUCAUUGAACAUGUGUCUAGUUCUGAUAAGCUAGCUGAUGUGCUUACCAAACCUCUGAGUUUUGAUCAUUUUGCCUAUAUGCAAACUAAGGUCAAUGUCUGCCCAUGACCUUGAGCUUACGGGGGCAUUUUAAGAAUAACAUAUGCUGAGUCAUCAAGCCAUGCUGGAAGUCAGUUUUGCAGUUAGUUAGAGAGCUUAUCAGCUUCCCUCCAAAAGUUUGUUAUGUGUAUUAGAAUCUGGGCUCACGAGUUUUGUGAGAUUGUAACCUUGAGAAGAUUCUCACACUACUAUAAAUUGUAUUGUGACUCAAUUAAUAAAAUAAGUUGAAGCUUUGCAUUUUCUCUCAGUCAAAAUUUUCUCUCUAUUUUUCUAAGUAACCAAACAAGAUCUACAGAGCAUUUUGUAUUUUAACUGGAGCGGCUGAUUGGUGCUGUACGUGUUACAUUUUUACUUUUUUAACUCAAGUCUGCUGUUGUCCCAAAGUUGGAACUAGAGAUAUCAUUUCACCUCAACUGUGUUUUUUUUUUAAUUAAAAAAAUCAUUUGUUUUAGGUAUACAUACAUGUAUUUUAAUUCUAUUUUCCUUGUAAUUUCUCCUUUACUUUGAAUGAAAGUCAUUGGUGUUUUCGAAUGGGAAUUUUGCAUUAAAAAAUUAAGAAUAGUUAAUAGGAAAUUUCCUGAUUCUUUAGUUACUAUUUUUGGUAUGAGUGUAAUUAGUAGUAAAGUUGGUUUCUACUCGCAAACAAGUGAACUGCUCGAUUCCCAAGUGCUAUUAACCAGUUUCCAACUUUUUAAUAUACACUAAUUGUUCCUGUUUAAUAGCUACUACUAUUAAAACUCAACAGCUAACAAAAAUACUAAAAAAAAAUGAUUUUUUCUUAUGAUGCUGUGAAAAAAAUUACGGGUUUACUUAUUUCCACGAGAUCUUGUAUAGUGUUCUUGUAUAGUGGAAUUAAGAUUGUCUUCCCGAUGGUGCAAUUCACCCUCUUCCUUUACAGUCACUUGCACUUUGUGCAGCUUUGGUGUGGAUAAGAUUCCCAGGGAAAAAGUCUUCAUGUUCGGACAAUGUGUCACAAAUACUCGUUCCAAUGAUGGGAAUUCAAGAGUGUAAUUCUCCAAACAAAAGCUGGUAAGCCUUGGUAAAUCAUCAAGUUCCAAAAGUUUUAAUUCUUUGAAAGCAAUACGAUUCUCCUUCGUUUCUUCUCCAGCAUGUCCUACGAUUUGUUCUAAUUUUUUGCAGUUCCAUACAUAAAGAUUCACCAGACUAGUAGGAAUUCCAACCUGAAAAUAAGCAGAGAGUGUGUGUGUGUGUUAAAAAAGUAAAAAUGUAAGAGUGUCAUUCAACUAAGCUCAAAGUAUGUUUGAUAAUACAAUUAUACGUUUUAUGAACAUAACAAACUGUGAAAUGUCUACUAGAUAUUUUUUGUUAAACAAAAAACGUAACAAGAUAAAUAAAUAAAUAAAUAAAAGCCAGAUAAACAAAGAUGAUAAAAAUGUAUUUACACUAUUUAGUAUUAGGGACGUAGAAAGAAUUUAAGGCAAUUUCUAAAUAUUUUAGACUUAUUUUGCAUCUUGAUAUAAGUUUUUAAGCAUAAAUUUGCACAUUUCAACUAUUCCUUUAAAAAGAACUCAACUAAAAUGCCUCUUUUUCCCUUUUCCUUGGUCCCCUUUUUUUUAUAUAUAUAUAAAAAUGGAAAAAAAAAUUUGGAAAAGACUUCUUAGUACUGUCAACAAGGGAUUGCUGUAAAGUGGAUCUUUAUUAAGUACUUCCAGACUCGAGGAAAUUUCUUUACAAUCUCAAAAAAAUAGUAAACAAUCAUGAAUUUGUGGUUAAUUAAUGGCAUAAUCAAUUCUUAACUAAACUGGAGAUAUUAAUUAAAUUUGAAGACUUUUUUUUUCCGAUCGAAAUGUGAAGAACUAUGGAACAGAGAAAUAUAUAGAUGAAUUUGUGAACUUAUAAGAUGAGUGACUAUCCUUUAAUUUUUGAAAAUCGUACUUAUUAAGAUAUGAGCAAAAACAAUUAAAUUGAAUUAUAUUAUGCUGUUGAAUCUGUUUAAAAAAAUUAUAUUGUUGAUUCUAAUGCUGGUGAACCUAAAAACUAGACUUAAAACGUAGAUUUCAGAGUGGUGGUUUGAAGUACAAUAUUUGAAAUAAAUAAUUAGUGGCUGAAUAUCAUUUGUAAACACAGAAAUGAUUAAAAAAUUGUUGAAUGUUAUUUGAAAAAAAAAAUCGAAAUGAAUACAGAAACCUUACCAAUGGAGGAAAAAUAUUCAUUAGGUUAUCACACUCUUCUAUCUCCAAAUUCUUCAAUUUCCUGAAAGACUCUGAAGCAAGCUGGUGGUGCCAUAUUGUUCUUAGGUUAUCCAUCCACGCAAUAUAUAAUACCUCCAACCUAGGAAGUCGUACCUGGCAGUUAAAGAUUAAAUAACUAAUUAAUCAAUUAAUGGCAUAAUCAAUUGAUAACUAAAUUAGAGGCGGAUAUUAACUAAAUUUGAAGACUCAAGGAAAAGACAAAUCAAGUAUUGUGACUAAAAUUAUUUUUUUAAUUAAAAAAAAAACCUUUUCAUCAAAGAGAGGAGGAGGUUGCAUUUCAGAAUGAAUGGUAUCUUCUGGUGAGCUCGUAGAGAUGAAUCUUAACAUAUUACUGCAACAACCAAUCAUGAGGUUUAGCAAAGAAGGGAAUUCAACAACUAAAUCUGUAUGAAUAUGUCCCAUAUUGGCAAAGCUACUUAGUCUUGGAAGCCAUUCUAGCUGCAGGGAGUGUAGCUUAGGAAAAACCUUUAAUUCAAUCAACUUUCCUUCAUCUCUUUCUGACCAUCCCGUGGUGUCGACUACCCCUUCCAUUGACUCACAAUAGCUUAUCUCAAGAUGUUGGAGUUGCAAAAGGCUAUUAACCAUAGAAUAUGAAAACAGAUACUUCAGACGAUAACACCUUUCCACAGUCACUUUUGUUAAAUUUUGACAACAGUACAUUCUUUGAUUAUGAUCGGCCCAUAAUUUUUUCAUGUUUCUUAAGUCCCUGAGAUUCAAUUCCUCUAAGCUCGGAAGAAUAACCUGCAAAGAAAACCCGUACAUUUUUGUUCCUUCAAGUACAACCGUCUAGUAUAAUAUUCUUUUGAUGAUCGAAGAUUAAUCGUGAUAAUAAAUUAAUCAAUUAAUUAUUGAACAGAAAAUUAUCACCUUUGGAGCAGGAUCAUCAUCAGCAAUGAGUUCCUUGAAUCCCAAAGAAGUUGUUGGUUUGUCCAUGUCGGGUCCUAUAAACAAACAAAAACAAUAUACAUAAUUAAUCUUUGUCGUUGUCUUUUUUUUAAAAAAAUAAUUGAGGCGAAGUCCAUAAAUCCACCAACACUUAAUUUCAACACUUACCAACAAUCAUUUCCAGAUCAUCGCAAAAAAACACUUCUACCUUUUGAAGCCGCAGUAGGUUUUUGGCCAUGGAGAAUGAGAAAAGAUGCUUCAAUUCGUGACAGUCUGAUACUUUUAUAAUCCUUAAGUUGCUGAAAGAUUGAUCUUCUGUGAGUUGGAUGUCACAUAUUGUCUCCAAAUUGAUCAAACGACGAAGAGACAAUGACUCCAGCAAGGGGAAGACUUUGCGACGAACCCGUCCAACUGAACAGACAAUAUGCAAAAUCUCAGAACAACUUUUUACAGAAAGAUGCUUCAAUCGUGGAAAACCUUCCCCAUCAUCUAAUUCAUGAACAACAUUCUGAACACCCUUCAGUUCUCCUAGAUAGAGAUAUUCAGUUCUCUUCAACAACAGUUUCAUCCUGUAAUUCUGCAAAAGAAUGCCAAACUUUUCUAGCCCCUGGAGCUUCAUCAAUCUUGAUAAUCCAGUUUUAACGGACCAGCUGCUCCACCACUUAUUUCCUAUACAUAUCUUAUAGCUUUGCAAUUCCACAGAGACCAAAUCCUGCGGUAGAAUUUCGGCAUCCCGAACGUGUAUCUCCAAAGUAGUUAGCUUUGACAACCCCUUCAACUCAACAAGACUGGCGUUACUUCCUCCUUCAACCUUCUCCCACAGUGAAAAGCUGUUACCAAUAUAUAGUUCUUCUAAUCGAGAUAAUUUUGAUAUGACAUUUGGAGCUAUCACCACAAGGCUGCUACAAUUGCUCAAAUCUAGCAACUGUAAUCUCGUCAAUUGUCCAAUUACAAGUGGCAACUCCUUAACAUCAGAAUCUCGGAAGCUGAGAAUCUCUAAUUUCCUUAGCUGUCCAAUUAUAGUUAUAUCGUUCAGUCGGCAACCAUCUAAACAUAAUGUUUGAACGUUAAUGAGGCAACCAAGUGAUGAAGGUAAUGAAGAGAAAAAUAUUCCAGUAAAAUCUAAAACUUUGAGUUCUUCUGUCCCUUCAAAAAAGAGGUCUGAAAUUUGCAAAGAGCUAUCACGCUUUGAAAACAACAAAAGAACUCGAGACGGGGACAUUCCAACCUUUCGGGAAGCUCUUGAAUAUCUCUAUAAGGUAAAGAAAUAGCUAUUGGACCUUCCCGUAUUGUCUCUUCCAUCUUUUUCUCCACGUAGGCAACAUUUGGAAUAUUAAACAUGAGCUCCUCUUCUGCAAUUGAUACAGUAACAGCAUGAAUGAUGUCAUGCAUUUUAACUUCAUCUUCGGCAUCACUGUCCAACAAUAAGCACGAAGAUUUGAGUUUGCCGAUCAACGUAUGCACUCUACUCCUUGCUUCUUCCAGUGUGUAAACGUUUUUAAAAUAGCCCAUACCCAUACCAUAUCUCAAUAAGUCAGAAACAUGUAUACCACGACCUUCAUUAUAUAGACCACAAAGAAGGAACAGAGAUUUUGCUUCCUUACUUCCCAGUAAGUCGUAACUCAAUUUUAUGGAGAUGUACACAUUUCUUUCCAUUCCAUCAAUUUCUUUUGCAUUGGAACUUCUUAGCUGACGCAGCACAUCCUUCCAAGUGUCAAGCCUCUCAUUUUUCAAAGCUUUUGCAAGUGUAAUCAGUGCAACAGGCAAUCCUCCGCAUUUUUCAACGAUCUCAUCUGCUAAAGGUUGAAAAGCAGAUGCUUUUGCAGAAUUACACACUAUCUUUCCAAACAAUUGCAAUGCUUCUUCCUUUGAUAAAACUUCAAUUGAGAAAUCCUUCUGAGAUUUCAUAUCAUUGCGCAAUAAAUCUCGACUUCUAGACGUCAAUAUUAUUGUGCGUCUUCUCCGAUCGUCCUCUCUAUCUUUCUCAUCAACAUCCCCAUAAGGAAUUCCAACUGUAUCGAACUCAAGUUUUGUCCAAAUAUUAUCCAGUAUAAUGAGGAGCCGCUUCUCUUGCUUCAACCUUUGACACAGUCGAGAAGCUCUUUGAAAUUCAUUCUCAUUCAAGUCAAAUUCCAUGCCUAAAUCAAAAGCAAGUUUGUCUUGAAUUUUAUGAUGAUCUGGGGUCUGUGUUAUCUCAGCCAUAACGAACUUAUCGAACAACUUAUCUUCCAUCACUUGGUUUGCAACUUGUUUGACCAGCGUGGUUUUGCCCACGCCGCCCAUCCCAUAGACCCCAAUUAUGUUGACUUUGUCAUCCUUCACCGCCUCCACAACAUCUUGAAAUACUUUCAUUCUUGAAUCAAACGCCUCGAAAUCUUUCACUUGCAUAUGUUCUGCCCGCUUUGGAGCAGGACGGUAGGAAACAUUGGAGAAGUUGCCUUUUCCCACGAGACUAGCGGCAGCUUCUGCCGCCUUUGCUGCUUGUUUACUAAGCUUGUAACGAGAAAUCAAGUUUGGGCAUAAUCCUUUGAAGCAGGACUUCUUAGCUCUAUCUUCAUCAUCAAUGACGGAUUUUGCAACCCCUUCACUGAUGAAUUCAUUAACGCUAUGUAGCCAGUCUGUGACACCCUCAUAAAGCUCAUCCCCUUGUAGCCUAGCAUGAUUAACUGGUUGCUGCACCAUUUCUCUCUUAUAUCCCAGCUGCUUCACUUGAACUUUUAGCUCAUCUAUGUAGCUCUGGUACUUGAACACAUAAGAUAUCUGCCGUGUAAUCGGGUUGAACAGUGACUUUGCACCUUCUGAUACACAGUUGGUUAAAAAAGCGAGACACGCUUCUAUAGCCAUUGCCUGUUGCUUAACAAUAUAUAUCUAGUUUUUUGGCUGUUGAAAAAAAAAAAUGGAUUCAAAUAAAUUAAAUGAACUAGCGGGGAAGAAAAAGAAAGAAACGACAACAAACAACUUUUUAGAAAAAGGUUUCAGGGGCCUGAAUGGAAAACCAACAAUUUUUUGAGGAAAGAAAACUUUUUUGGAAGAUGGAUGCAAAUUAACCAUUAAUAAUACUGCAUAAGAACACAGAAGUUGACAAUAAACAGUAACUUAAAACUCAAGAAAAUUAAAUGACAAGAUUAAGACAAACAAGAGAUAGUUUUUGUCGGACAUUAAGAAACAACUGCUAUCAAGAUCAAAGAUUAGAAAUUAUGCUAUUGAAAGAAAUUAUUAAAGUAUUUAGAACAAACGCACCUCUUCAAUUAUCUAGGAUCACGGAGUUUAUGAGCUUCACUCUUGGCCUUCGAUUUAUAAGAAAAAAUUUAAUGAGCAAAAGAUCACUGUUGACUGCAGAAGAAUGUGAGUAAGCAAUACAAUUGAAUUGUAAAAGAACAAGACUUAAAGCGUGCACCCCGUGUUCAUAUAAACAGAACACAUGUUCAUUUUUAACAAAGUGAUCAAUAACUAUAUUCGUUAUUUAAUUGAUAUUGUAACCAAUUCUAAGAGAAUAUAAUAAUAAUCAUUCAAUCCAUAAAUUUAGAAUUAGAUUUUUUUAACUCUUUAUUUAAAUAUAAACCUUAAUGGAAAAUUAUAAAAGUUUAGAGAUAAAAUUUUUCAAUCACCAAACGAAAAAAACAGGGGAAUGAAAACAGAGGAAUCUUGUUUUAACUAUUUUUUUUUCCUCAACUCUUGUUCUUAUAUUAAUAAUCUUGUUUUGAUGAUAGUGCUCGUGACUGCGGGAAAAUUUGUACUGGAAACAACUCAAUUUCGGAAGAAAACUUAAUUUUGCAAGUGAUGAAUUUGAACUCGUUGGAUUGGUUGAUUUAUGAUUGACUGAAUUUCACUUUUGCCCAAAAGAUCUUUAACCAAAGUUUAAUAGCCAUCAUGUACUCCUUAAAAGCAAUUUUUUUUUUUAGAUUUGACUGAAUUUGAACUUGUUGGAUUGGUUGUUUUUAGAUUAUUAAUAUGAGAUAUUACAACGUAAAUAUUUUCAUGUGGUUGAGCCCUAUUCUAAAAUCUGUAUAGUUAGCUUUAGAAAAAGGGCUUUUCCUGCUGAUCUGUAAUCUUCAAAUAAACUUAGAUACAAAUAAUGAAAUAAAAGACAACAAACACGCNNNNNNNNNNNNNNNNNNNNNNNNNNNNNNNNNNNNNNNNNNNNNNNNNNNNNNNNNNNNNNNNNNNNNNNNNNNNNNNNNNNNNNNNNNNNNNNNNNNNNNNNNNNNNNNNNNNNNNNNNNNNNNNNNNNNNNNNNNNNNNNNNNNNNNNNNNNNNNNNNNNNNNNNNNNNNNNNNNNNNNNNNNNNNNNNNNNNNNNNNNNNNNNNNNNNNNNNNNNNNNNNNNNNNNNNNNNNNNNNNNNNNNNNNNNNNNNNNNNNNNNNNNNNNNNNNNNNNNNNNNNNNNNNNNNNNNNNNNNNNNNNNNNNNNNNNNNNNNNNNNNNNNNNNNNNNNNNNNNNNNNNNNNNNNNNNNNNNNNNNNNNNNNNNNNNNNNNNNNNNNNNNNNNNNNNNNNNNNNNNNNNNNNNNNNNNNNNNNNNNNNNNNNNNNNNNNNNNNNNNNNNNNNNNNNNNNNNNNNNNNNNNNNNNNNNNNNNNNNNNNNNNNNNNNNNNNNNNNNNNNNNNNNNNNNNNNNNNNNNNNNNNNNNNNNNNNNNNNNNNNNNNNNNNNNNNNNNNNNNNNNNNNNNNNNNNNNNNNNNNNNNNNNNNNNNNNNNNNNNNNNNNNNNNNNNNNNNNNNNNNNNNNNNNNNNNNNNNNNNNNNNNNNNNNNNNNNNNNNNNNNNNNNNNNNNNNNNNNNNNNNNNNNNNNNNNNNNNNNNNNNNNNNNNNNNNNNNNNNNNNNNNNNNNNNNNNNNNNNNNNNNNNNNNNNNNNNNNNNNNNNNNNNNNNNNNNNNNNNNNNNNNNNNNNNNNNNNNNNNNNNNNNNNNNNNNNNNNNNNNNNNNNNNNNNNNNNNNNNNNNNNNNNNNNNNNNNNNNNNNNNNNNNNNNNNNNNNNNNNNNNNNNNNNNNNNNNNNNNNNNNNNNNNNNNNNNNNNNNNNNNNNNNNNNNNNNNNNNNNNNNNNNNNNNNNNNNNNNNNNNNNNNNNNNNNNNNNNNNNNNNNNNNNNNNNNNNNNNNNNNNNNNNNNNNNNNNNNNNNNNNNNNNNNNNNNNNNNNNNNNNNNNNNNNNNNNNNNNNNNNNNNNNNNNNNNNNNNNNNNNNNNNNNNNNNNNNNNNNNNNNNNNNNNNNNNNNNNNNNNNNNNNNNNNNNNNNNNNNNNNNNNNNNNNNNNNNNNNNNNNNNNNNNNNNNNNNNNNNNNNNNNNNNNNNNNNNNNNNNNNNNNNNNNNNNNNNNNNNNNNNNNNNNNNNNNNNNNNNNNNNNNNNNNNNNNNNNNNNNNNNNNNNNNNNNNNNNNNNNNNNNNNNNNNNNNNNNNNNNNNNNNNNNNNNNNNNNNNNNNNNNNNNNNNNNNNNNNNNNNNNNNNNNNNNNNNNNNNNNNNNNNNNNNNNNNNNNNNNNNNNNNNNNNNNNNNNNNNNNNNNNNNNNNNNNNNNNNNNNNNNNNNNNNNNNNNNNNNNNNNNNNNNNNNNUAAACUUUUUUUUGGGGGGGGGGGGGGGGAGCAUGCAAAUUUACCAAAAGAAAUAAUAAGAGCACAGGCUUUAACAAUGAAUAGUAACUUAAAACUCAUGCAAAAUAAGUUACAAUAUGAAAACAAACCAGAGAAAAUUUUUUCUUGGAAAGUAGAUGGAACUUAAGAAAGAGCAGAUGUCAAGAUCAAGGAUCAGGGAUUCUACUAUUAAAAAAAAAAAAAAAUUAUUCAAGGAUUUAGAAAACGUGCACCUCUUUAAUUAUCUGGGAUUAGAGAGUUGGUGAGCUUCUCUAUUUGGCCUUCAAUAUUUAAGAACAAGUUGAAAGAGGAAAAAGAUCACUGGUAACUGCUGAGGAAUGUGUGAGAAAAGAGUUGAUGAGAGCAAUAACAAUGACCUGCAAAAGAAAAAGAAUUAGUCACGCACCGCUUUUCUAUAUCAUGUAUUUGGUUAUUGUUGCCCUGUUGACGCAUGUUGAAGAAGAAAGCACUAGUACACAACUCUAUGUUUUCAUAUAUUCUAAAGAAAUAAUUAAGUUUUCAUAGAAUAAUACCUGUUGUGUUUGAAUAAUUUGGUAUCUACAUUGCUUGUGUACUGUGAAAUUGAAAUGAAUAUUGAUUGACAGAGCAAUGUAUAUACCUAAUAAAACAUAAAGCAAAUCCUUGAACGAAUGAUUCGGGACUAAAACUUUUAUAAAAGCAAAUACCGGAAACACACAAAAAGCAUUUAAGAUAGAAACUAAACAGCAAAUAAUCGAAGUAAGAUCAAUAAUAUAUGAUUUGAUUUAUGCAUAUUCAAAAACCAAAAUUUAAAAUAAAAUAAAAAAUAAAGUUUGAUUUAUUCUUUCCACAAAAAACAGGGGAGUGAAAACAGAGGCAGCUUGUUUUACCAAUUUUUUCUUCUUAAUUUCCGGCAAAAAAAAAAAUUCAAUAAACAGGGGAAUGAAAACAAAGGAACGAAAACAGAGGAAACUUGCUUUUCAGGCUAUCUUGUGACAUGAUGAUAUUGCUCGUGAAUGCAUGAAAAUUUCUAAUGCAAACAGCUCAAUUUGGGAUGAUAAGCUUAAGUUUGCAAGUGAUGCAAGUAAAUAAGUUUUUGCGGUUAAUUGAAUCUUUAAUACUCUGGGCCCUAUUCUAAAAUUUGUAGGUUGCUUCAGAAGAAAGGGCGGUUCUCACUCAUCUUUAAUCUCCAAGUAAAAUUAGAUACAAAGCAAAUCUAAUAAAAUGACAAACAAACAAACAAAACAAAGAAAAGACAGGAGGCAAACAACAUUGAUCUUAAGCCAACUGAUAUUUAAACAGAGAAUUCUUUUCUUUUAUUUUUUUAACCACCUUUUGCUCAAGGAUUAGAGUUUUUAUAUUAACAGAAAGGUUUCAGGGGUCUGAAUAAAAGCCCACAAUUUCUCUAAUUGUUUUUUUUUUUUUUUUUUUGGGAAAAAUGGAUGCAAAUUAUCCAAAGCUAAUAAUAAGAACACAGACAUUACAAAUGAACAAUAACUUAAAACUCAAGCAAAAUAAAUGACAAGAUGAAAACAAACAAGAUAAAUUUUUUCUUGGAAAUUAGAUGGAAAUUAAGGACUGCUAGUAAAAGAUAUUAUUAGAUGAUUUAGAACAUGUGUACCUCUUUAAUUGUCUGGGAUCAAAGAAUUGAUGAGCUUCUCCAUUCGCAUUGAAUAUUAAGUAAGAACGGGUAUUCAAAGAAAUUAUUAGGAAAAAUUUUAAUGAGUAAAAGAUCACUGUUAACUGCAGACGAAUGUCCUAGUAAAAUGUUGAUUUGUGUAAUAACAAUGAAUUGCAAAAGAAGAAAACUUAAUCAUGCACCCCUUUUAUACCCGAGUUUUAAGAUUUAAUUUUUGAAGUUCAGAAUCAAGACCAAAAGCCGAAGCUUUAACAAGGCAUGCAGUGAGAUACAAGAAAUGGAUCGGGUAAAAUACUUUAAAAAAUGUUGUUCAACUCAAUUAACUUGAAGAAAGCACUAAUUUCAUAUGUUCUAAUGAAAUAAUCAAGUUAAAAGUUUUCAACGAAUAAAUACCUGUUGCGCUUGAAUAAUUUUGGCAUAUACAUUACUUGUAUCCUGUGAAAUUGAAAAGAAUAUUGAUAUGCAGAGCUUAUUAGUAGAGAGAAAGCUUUGUAAGAUGCCUGAUAAAAGAGAAACCAAAAGCUUGAAUGAGGAAUGACAUCUUAGAAAGAAACUAAACAUCAAAGUAGGAUCAAUAAUGACUUGAUUUAUGCUUUUUUGUUAUUUCAUUUGUUCUGUCAACAAAUGAUGCCUCGUUAUUACGAGUUCCAACCUGGACGUUAUGCACAAAUUGUUUUUAUGUUUAACAGAAAAAAAUGAAAGCAGGUCACCAUACAAAAUUGCAUGAACAAAUCUUCAAUUUAAUGAUUAUAAAAUAAAAUAAAUUUUAUUAAUAGAUUAUGGGUAUGUUAACGUUAGGGAUUUGAUCAGAUGAUCAUAUGAUUUACUAAACGCUUUAACAAGAACAAGAAAAAGAAUUAAUGGGUUAAAAAAAAUUUAAAAAUAAAAUAAGAGAGAAGUAAAGAACUUAUUUGCAAUUACCAAACUGAAAAAAUGCGAAAUGAAAACAAGGGAGCCCUGUUUUUCCUCACAUUUUUUUUCUCUCUUUUUCAAGUGGUGAGAAUGAUAGCAGAAAAUGCGAGCUCACUAUUUUCAUUUGUUGGCCUAAAAGCCUUCCUCCAAGAGAUGCAUAAAUUUUAUUUGUACAUUUGUUCCAUUUUAAGUACACAUUGUUGCAUGCAUUUUGAACUGUAUUAUCAAUCCUUUUUGUUUUCAGUUGGUUAGUUCAUAAUAACAAAUGAAUUAUAUUAUUUUGCAUGGAUCGAAAUUUAACUUUCCCUCUUUAUUUGUCCCACAACUAAAUAGUCUCAUCUUUUGUAGUAAGCUCGCAGUACGUACGGGGAACUACUGUAUGGGUGCUUUAGCCUAAAAUGAAGAUCUAUUAAAAAUUUCCCUAAUAUCAUGAUAUUAAACAUUAAAUAAUAUCAACAUUUUGACUUCCAUUUUGUUUUUUGGAUGGAGGAUGUUCCAUCUUCUAUUUUAGGUGCUUUGUAAGACUUUUAAUUGAACAAUUGAUGCAAUCAGUAACAAAGGCUUUACUUACAUAUGCAAGUAAAAUUUGCAGGUUGCUUCAGAAGAACGGGCAGUUCUCACUCAUCUUUAAUCUCCAAGUAAAAUUAGAUACAAAGCAAAUCUAAUAAAAUGACAAACAAACAAACAAAACAAAGAAAAGACAGGAGGCAAACAACAUUGAUCUUAAGCCAACUGAUAAUUAAACAGAGAAUUCUUUUUUUUUUUAACCUUUUGCUCAAGGAUUAGAGUUUUUACAUUAACAGAAAGGUUUCAGGGGUCUGAAUAAAAGCCCACAAUUUCUCUAUUUUAUUUUUAUUUUUAUUUUUUGAAAGGAGCUUCACUAUUGGCCUUGAACAUAUAAGAAUAAGCAAAAGAUCAAUGUCAACUGCAAAGGAAUGUGAGUAUGUCAAAGUCAUGGGCGGUUUGGCACCAUUAACAUAUUUCAAAAUGGCCACCCUAAUUGAAGGAAAUUAAAGGCCAAGUAGAUGCCGCCCAAGGAAAGAAACAAAAGAGAAUGAAGAAAAAGAAGAAAGAGAGAAGAAAAAGAGAUGUCGGGCCGAAGAAGGAAAAGAAAAGAAAAAUUAAUAAAAUAAUAAUAAUAAUUAAAUAUUAAACAAAUAGUAGCUAAUUUUGGCUAUAAAACCGCUAGCUCCCUUCAUUUGUAAAUCAUCUAGUUCUUCAGUUCUUUUCUUUAUUUAGAGAGCGAUUUUAAGAGUCUAGUGAUUUGAGAGUUUAGGUGUAUUGGGAUUUUGGGUAGUGAGCUAAAAUACCACAAUACUUGUAACUUCUUUUCACUAGUAAAAUACUUUCCUUCUGUUUUCACCUGUGAACGUAGGCUAAAAGCUGAACCACGUAAUUUCUUGUGUCUAUUUUUUGUACUUGUUCUUUAUUUUCUUCCAAUUUCACUUUAGCUGCGUGUUUGCUUCACUCACCAAUUUUGUAAUAGUGAAUCAGAGCUAUUAGUUGUAUUUUUUGGAGUCGGGUACUGUUCACGUAAGGGGUACUAUUCACGUAUAUGGCACUGUUCACGUAUACGGUACUAUUCACGUAAAACGAUGGGAGGAUCCAAGAAUUUUGCGGUGCAAAGCAGGGAAUAGUGGUGUGAGUAAAACAACUGUGUGGUUUUGUACAUGUCUAGGAAAGUUCUAUCACAAAGGCGAUAAGAGCUUAAGGAGUCUGGGUUUUAAGUGGGACCAUUGUGACCCCUCCAAUGUUUCCUGGGAACUUUCUUGGUGUGCAUUCUCACACAUACUCACAACUAUUCAAGGUGGUACACUUGCUUGUGUGCGGUAUUUAUCAAUAAAAUGGCGGCAAAGUAUGAAAUUGAGAAAUUUAACGGAAACAAUUUUUCAUUGUGGAAAAUGAAGAUGAAAGCUGUAUUGAGAAAAAAUAAUUGCUUAGCAGUAAUUGGAGAAAGGCUUUUGGAGAUAACUGAUGACAAGUGGAACGAGAUAGAUGGCAACACCAUUUCUGAUCUACACUUGGCACUUGCAGAUGGAGUAUUAUCUAGUGUGGCAGAGAAAAAUACAGCGAAGGAAAUAUGGGAUACUCUCACAAAAUUGUAUGAGGCUAAGUCACUACACAGCAAAAUCUUCUUAAAGAGGAAACUUUAUACUCUUCGAAUGGUGGAAUCUACAAUGGUGAUCGACCACAUCAACACCUUGAAGACUCUAUUUUCACAACUCACAACGUUGGGUCAUAAUAUAGAGGAGAAUAAACAUGUAGAGCUUGUACUUCAAAGUCUACCAAAUUCGUAUGAUCAACUCAUCAUCAACCUAACGAACAACAAUCCAGCGGAUAGUCUAGUUUUCGACGAUGUUGCAGCUUUCCUAUUAAAUGAGGAGAGCAGGCGAAAAAAUAAGAAAAACAGACAAGCAAUUUCGCAGCAAGCGGCGGUGCUAUCGGUGACGAGAGGGAGAUCAACGGAACGUGGCCCUAGUGGGAGUCAAAAUCAUAGUAAAUCAAAAUCCAGAAGUAAGAAGAAUGUUAAAUGCUACAACUGUGGCAAGAAAGGACACGUCAAGAAAGAGUAUUGGAGUAACUAGAAGAGAAAAGAGGAUAAAGAACCUGAGUCAUCAAAUGCUCAGGGGUGUGUAGCAAGUACCUCAGAUGAUAGCGAAAUUCUUUACACUGGGGCAAUAACUAUUUCAGAAGGCAGAAAACGACUAUCUAAUGUCUGGCUUAUAGACUCAGGAGCUACCUGGCACAUGACGGAGAGAAUGGUUCUAGACAUAUGAACCUAUCUCAGGAGGAUCUGUAUAUAUGUGAGAUGAUCAUGCCUUGGAGAUCGCUGGUAUUGGUACUAUCAAAAUAAAAAUAUUUGAUGGUACAAUUCGCACAAUUGGGGAGGUACGACAUGUCAAUGACCUGAAGAAAAAUCUAUUGUCUUUGGGACAAAUAGGCAGUUAUGGGUGCAAAACUCAUGUGGAGAAUGGAAUUAUGAAGAUUGUUAAAGGAGAGCUUGUAUUGAUGAAGGCAGAAAAGAUCGGUGCUAAUCUAUUCAUGCUUAAAGGAGAGUCACUACAGGAGGCUGAUGCGUGUGUCGCAUCAAAUGGAGAAGAGUUAAUGAUGAUGUGACAUCUCAAACUUGGCCACAUGUCGGAACAUUGUUUGAAGAUUCUCUCUGAGCGAAAAUUACUUCCAGGGCUUAAAUCGGUAAGUUUACCUUUUUGCGAGCAUUGUGUUACCAGUAAGCAGCAUAGAUUAAAAUUUAGUAGAUCUAUUCUAGAAGUAAAUAUAUUCUAGACUUGAUUCAUUCUGAUGUUUGGAAAUCACCGGAUAUAUCCAUGGGAGGUGCAAAGUACAUGGCGACUUUCAUUGAUAAUUAUUCCAGAAGAUGUUGUGUGUAUCUAAUUAAGAAAAAGUUAGAUGUAUUUCCAGUGUUUAAAGAAUACAAAGCGCGGGUGAAACUUGAAUCUGGUAAAAAGAUUAAGUGCUUGAGGACGGAUAAUGGUGGAGAGUAUACAGACGGCGAGUUUCUUGCUUUCUGUAAGCAAGAAGGUAUUUAGAGACAGUUCACCAUAGCAUACACUCCUCAACAAAACGGAGUGGCGGAGCGGAUGAACAGAACUCUUACAGAAAGAAUAAGAGCUAUGUUGAGGACUGCUGGUCUACCUAAUUCAUUCUGGGCAGAAGCAGCCAAAACUGCUUGUUAUAUAGUAAAUCGGUUGCCAUCUACAGCUAUUAGGCUAAAGACAACGAUGGAGAUGUGGACUGGAAAGCCAACUGAUUAUUCCUACCUACAUGCAUUUAAAUGUCCUGUGUACGUGAUGUACAAUGCCCAAGAAAGAACAAAGCUGGAUCCAAAAUCUAGAAUAUGUAUCUUCUUGAGAUAUGCUGAUGGAAUAAAGGGGUAUCGUCUGUGGGACCCCACUGCCCACAAGAUCGUUAUCAGCAGAGAUGUUAUCUUCAUAGAAGAUCAACUGCAAAGGAAAGAUGAAGAUGAUAGUAGUGUAAAAGAAAAGUCAGAGACUAUACCGGUAUAUGUGGAAAAUAAUCCAUAAGAUUCAGAUUCUUCUGAAGCAGAACCAGAGCACGAGCAACAAAAACCAGUCGAGUCUGAGGCUCCAGAAGUUCGUCGGUCAACUCGUGAGAGACGACCGCCAAUGUGGCACUCGGAGUAUGUUACAGAGAUCAACGUUGCAUACUGUCUUCUAAUAGAGGAUAGAGAGCCUUUAACUUUCCAUCAAGCUUUAGAAAGCUCAGAUGUUGCUUUGUGGAUGACAGCAAUGCAGGAAGAAAUAAAGCUCUACAUAAUAACAAGACAUGAGAACUUGUACCACUACCACGUGGAAGAAAAGCCAUUGGAAACAAAUGGGUCUACAAAAUCAAACGUGAAGGCAAUGACCAAGUAGAGCGGUGUCGUGCGAGAUUGGUGGUGAAAGGAUAUGCUCAGAAAGAAGGUAUUGACUUCAACGAGAUAUUUUCGCCGGUGGUUUGCCUCACGACGGUCAGAGUAGUCUUGGCAAUGUGUGCUACAUUUGACCUACAUUUAGAGCAGUUAGAUGUGAAAACUACAUUUCUUCAUGGAGAACUUGAAGAAGAAAUAUAUAUGCUCCAACCAGAAGGUUUUGCAGAAACAGGAAAAGAGAACUUGGUUUGCAGGUUGAACAAAUCUUUAUUCGGUCUCAAACAGGCGCUGAGGUGUUGGUAUAAGAGAUUUGAUUCCUUUAUCAUGAGCCUUGGAUACAACAGACUCAGUUCAUACCAUUGUGCAUAUUAUAAAAGGUUUGCAGAUAAUGAUUUCAUUAUUUUACUAUUGUAUGUGGAUGACAUGUUGGUAGCAGGCCCUAACAAAGAUCGAAUCCAAGAAUUGAAGGCACAGUUGGCUAGGGAGUUUGAAAUGAAGGACUUGGGACCAGCAAACAAGAUUUUAGGAAUGCAAAUUCACCGAGACAUAAAUAACAGGAAGAUUUGGCUUUAGCAGAAGAAUUACUUGAAGAAAAUCUUGUGGCGCUUCAACAUGCAAGAUUGUAAGUCAAUUUCUACCCCACUUCCUGUUAAUUUCAAAUUAUCCUCAAGUAUGUGUCCUAGCAAUGAAGCAGAGAGGAAGGAGAUGUCUCGAGUACCGUAUGCAUCAGUAGUGGGAAGUUUAAUGUUCGCUAUGAUAUGUACUAGACCAGACAUUGCACAAGUAGUGGGAGCAGUCAGUCGAUACAUGGCGAAUCCCGGUGGAGAGCAUUGGAUAGUUGUGAAGAGGAUUCUGAGAUACAUCAAAGGAACCUCAGAUGUUGCAUUAUGUUACGUAGGAUCAGAGUUUACUGUCAAGGGCUAUGUGGAUUCAGAUUUUGCAGGAGAUCUUGAUAAAAGAAAAUCCACUACUAGUUAUGUGUUUACACUUGCGGGAGCAGCUGUAAGCUGGGUUUCGAAACUGCAGACUGUUGUGGCUUUAUCUACAAUAGAAGCAUAAUACAUGGCAGCUACACAAGCUUGCGAGGAAGCUAUUUGGAUACAAAGAUUAUUGGAGGAGCUCGGGCACAAACAAGAGAAAAAUUAUGUGUUUUGUGACAGUCAGAGUGUCUUUCACAUUGCAAGAAAUCCAGCCUUUUAUUCCAAGACAAAGCAUAUAGGAGUUCAGUAUCACUUCGUUCGAGAAGUAGUGGAAGAUGGAAAUAUGGAUUUACAGAAAAUCCAUACGAAGGAGAACCUAGCAGAUGUUUUGACUAAGCCGAUAAAUGCUGACAAGUUUAUCUGGAGUAGAUCUUCUUGUGGCCUAGCAGAAACGUAGGCAACAUGAUUAUGGCGAAGCAGAAAGGAUGUUGUGGACAUUGAUUGAUUCUCAAUCUAAUCUCCAGGUGGGAGAAUGUCAAAGUCAUGGGCGGUUUAGCAUCAUUAACAUAUUUCAAAAUGGCCACCCAAAUUGAAGGAAAUUAAAGGCCAAGUAGAUGCCGCCCAAGGAAAGAAACAAAAGAAAAAGAAGAAAAAGAAGAAAGAGAGAAGAAAAAGAGAUGUCAGGUCGAAGAAGGAAAAGAAAAGAAAAAUUAAUAAAAUAAUAAUAAUAAUUAAAUAUUAAAUGAACGGUAGCUAAUUUUGGCUAUAAAACCGCUGGCUCCCUUCAUUUGUAAAUCAUCGAGUUCUUCAGUUCUUUUCUUUAUUUAAAGAGUGAUUUUAAGAGUCUAGUGAUUUGAGAGUUUGGGUGUAUUGGGAUUUUGGGUAGUAAGCUAAAAUACCACAAUACUUGUAAAUCAUUUUCACUAGUAAAAUAUUUUCCUCAUGUUUUCGCCCGUGGACGUAGGCUAAAAGUCGAACCACGUAAUUUCUUGUGUCCAUUUUUUGUGCUUGUUCUUUAUUUUUUUUCCAAUUUCACUUUAUCUGCAUGUCUGCUUCACCCACCAAGUUCCUAACAGAGUAAAGAUUUCAUCAGAGUAAGUAAUACAAAUGAAUUGUAAAAGAACAAGACUUAAGCGUGCACCCCGUGUUUUGUUUUAUUCGUAUAAACAUAACAUGUUCAUUUUUAACAAAGUGGUCAAUAACUCUAUUCGCUAUGAAAAUGAUAUUGUACCCAAUUUUAAGAGAGCAUAACAAUAACCAUUCAAUGCAUAAAUUUAGAAUUUUUUUUUUGUAAUUCUUUAUUUAAAUAUAAACGUCGAUGGAAAAUUAUAAAAAUUUAGAUAUGAAAUUUUAAGUCACCAGACAAAAAAAAAAAAAAAAAAAAGGGGAACAGAAAUAGAGGAAUCUUGCUUUACCUUUUUUUUUUUUUCCUUUAACUCUUGUUCUUAUAUAAAUAAUCUUGUUUUGAUGAUUGUAACUCGUGACUGCGGGAAAUUUUCUAAUGGAAACAACUAAUUUCGGAAGAUAAGCUUAAUUACGCAAGUGAUGAAUUUGUUCAAUUGACUCUGUACUUGAACUAGUUGGAUUGGUUGAUUGAUGAUUGACUAAAUUUGAAUUAAGUUUAAUAGCUAUGAUGUGCUCCUUAAAAGCAAACGUAAAUCUUUUUUAGAUUUGACUGAAUUUGGGAACCUGUUGGAUUGAUUGUUUUUAGAUCAUUAAUAUCGGUUACUACAACGUAAAUAUUUUAUUGUGGUUGAGUCCUAUUCUCAAAUCAGUAGGUUGCCUUAGAAAAAGGGCUUUUCUCACUGAUCUUUUUUUUUUCUUUAAUUCACACGCACUUGAUUAUUGACUUCUUUCAUGAAGAAAUAAACUUGUAAUGACUUAAAGAUUUAAUUUCAAGUUAGAAUCAAUACCAAAAGACGGAGGUUUAACAAAGCCGUUUAGUGUGAUAAAAGUACUUUAAAAAAUGUUGUUCGACCCAAUUAAGUUGAAGAAAUAACAAAGUUUUCAUGGAAUAAAUACCGGUUGUGCUUUAAUGAUUUUGGCAUAGACAUUGCUUGUGUACUGUGAAAUCGAAAUGAAUUACUGUGAAAUUGAAAUGAAUAUUAAGUGACAGCGCGAUGUAUAUGCCUAAUAAAAGAUCAGCAAAAGCUUGGAUGAAUGAUUGAGGACCAAAACUUUUAUAAAAGCAUUUUUGAGAGAAACUAAACACCAAAUUAUCAAAGUAAGAUCAACAGUAUAUGAUUUGAUUUAUACAUAUUCAAAAACAAAAUAAUGAUUAAUAAUAAAGUUUGAUUUUGUAUUGCCAACGAUGCUUUUUUGUUGUUUCAUUUGUUCGACGUGGCCUUAUUUACAAAUUGGUUUAUGUUAACAGAAACAUAAAAUUCACAUCACACAAAAUUCCACGAACAAAUAUUAAGAGAACGUAAUAAUAAUCACUCAAUGCAUAAGGGUAAAUUUAGAAUUACAUAUUCUUUUUUAUUUAAUAAAAUCCCAACGGGAAGUCAUAAAAAUUUAGAUAUAAAAUUUUCAAUCACCAAACAAAAAAACAGGGGGAAUGAAAACACAGAAAACUUAUUUUAACUUUUUUUUCAUCUAACUCUUGUUCUUAUAUAAUAUUUUCCCUAGUAUUUCAGGCAAAAAAAAAAAAUCAAUAGAGAGCAAGUUGCUCAAAUUGAUUUAUCUUGUUUUUCAGGCAAUCUUGUGAUAUGAUGAUAAAGCUCAUGAAUGCUAGAAAACUUCUAAUGCAAACAACUCUAUUUGGGAUGAUAAGCUUAAUUUUACAAGCGAUAAAUAUAAAUAACUUUUUGUGGUUAAUUGAAUUUGUAAUUACUCUUAGCCCUAUUCUAAAAUUUGUAGGCUGCUUCAGAAAAGAAAAAAAAAAAUUCUUACUCAUCUUUAAUCUUCAAGUAAAAAGCAAAUCUAAUAAAAUGAAAAACAAACAAACAAGUAAAAGACAGCAAACAAACAACAUUUAACCAACUGAUAUUUAAACAAGGAAUUCUUUCUUCUUCCUUUUUCUUCCCCCCCCCCCCCCCCCCCCCGGGGCUCAUGGAUUAGAGUUUUUGCUAUUAACUGAAAGGUUUCAAGGGUCUGAAUAAAAUCCCAGACUUUUUUUUUUAAUUAACCAAAGCCAUAUAAUAAGAUCACAGACUUUAACAAUGAACAAUAAUUUGAAACUCAAGCAAAACCAAUGACAAGAUUAAAACAAACCAGAGAAAUUUUUUCUUGGAAAGUAGAUGAAAACUAAGUAAGAACUGCUAUUAAAGGAUAUUAUUAAAGGAUUUAGAACAUGUAUACCUCUUUAUUUAUAUGGGAUCAGAGAGUCGAUGACCUCCUCUAUUCGCUUCGGAUAUUAAGUAAGAACUGCUAUCAAAAGAAUGAAUUGAUGAGAGAAAUAACAGUGAAUUGCAAAAGAGGAAGACUUAAUCACGUACCCCUAUUAUACCCGAUUUUUAAGAUUUAAUUUUGAAGUCCAGAAUCAAGACAAAAGACGAAGCCUUAAAAAAUAUGCAGUGAGAAUAAUUAAGUUGAAGAAAGCACUAGUUUAUGGCUCAGUGUUUCAUAUGCUGUAAUGAAAUAAUUAAGUUGAAGUUUUUAACGAAUAAAUACAUGUUGUGCUAGAAUAAUUUUAGAAGAAUAUUGGCUUAUAGAGCAUAUUAGUAGGGAUAAGAUAGAAUAAAUGAAAUAAUAAAAAGCAUAACUGAUCAAGUCAUUAUUGAUCUUACUUUGAUUAUUACAUUGCACAUUAGUUUCUUUCUAAAAAUGUCAUUCUUCAUUCAAGCUUUUGCUUUAUCUUUUAUCAGGCAUCCUACUGUUGAUGCCCAAAUCUGAUCUAGUCUAUUAGUGACUUAAUAUCAGACUUCUACACUAGCAUUAGAUUUAUUUGGUAGAGAAUCGAUUGGUCAAUUGUCAAGAUGUCCUGCAACCACUAGCGAUUAACCUGCGAAUACCUGAAAUCAUAGAAGACGGUCAGAGGCGCUGGAAGUUUUUCCGGCGUGAACCCUCUAACGCUCAAGUCAGUUUCUGGGCCUUUGCCAAAAAACUUGUGCCACCACUCAUAUGGCUUAAUAAACAUUAACUUAAAAACCAAAAGCUUUUUGAGUAACUUGCAGAAAAAUGAAAUAGAGUGUAAAAGAAAGGAUUUUCCAUGAGAAGAAGAGAGAAAAAGAUGCCUUACAGACCCCGAAAAAAUAAAUAAAUCCUCCUUUUAAGGUCACGCCCCACUCCCCUCUUUUCCCCUUUGUUCUCCUCCACUUACGGAAGUUAAGGAUGAGUAAAAGUAAUGCCUCUACUCUCCAUUUUUUUCUCCUUUUUCCGUUACCAAACACUAGUCCCCCAGUUUCUAGUGUUGAGAGUUUUAACGAAUCAAGACUGGAAACUAUAUGAAUUUUAAAGUGACCUUGAUGUGGUUGGCAUAAAUCGGCUCGGGAUUGCUAAAAUUAACCUUACUAUUUGCAAAAAAUUUCAAGUUUUAAACUUUUACAUGCCUUUAAAUAUACCAUUUUCCUACUUGCAUAAUCAUGUAAAGCAGGUUUCAUAAGUUCACGUAUUUAUCUCACCUAAAGUAGGUUUUGAGACUUAGUCAUUUAUCUGCUUUAGAAUAUUUUUCACUCAUAUAACUCUUGCUCGCCUAAUCUUGGUCGGGCAAGAGCAGGCAAACUUUGACUUCAUCUCACUGCGAGGAGGUUUAAAGACUGUAAGCCUUUUACUUGAAGUACCCUUUGUUUUUUUUUUUUUUAACUUUCUGCUCGCCUUCACAUGGUUGAGCAGAUUCUGGCAAGCUUGAUUUCUUAUCUCGCCAUCGAGCAGACUUUGAGACUUUAAAGUCUUUUGUGUGCCUUAGAAACUUUCUUGGGAUUUUUGUUCUCUGCUCGCCUUUACAUGGUCGAGCAGAUUCUGGCGAGCUUGGCUUCCUGUCUCGCCAUCAAGGAGGCUUUGCGACUUUGGAGCCUUUGCUUGCCUUAGAAACUUUUUUGGAACUUUUGUGGUCUGCUCGCCUUCGCUUAGUCGAGCAGAUCCUGGCAUGCUUGGCUUCCUGUCUUGCCAUAAAAUAGGCUUUGAGACUUUGGAGCCUUUGCUUGCCUUAGAAACUUUUUUGGAAUUCUCAUUUUUUGCUCGCCUUCACAUGGUCGAGCAGAUUCUGGCGAGCUUGGCUUCCUGUCUCGCCAUUGAGGAGGCUUUGAGACUUUGAAGCCUUUGCUUGCCUUAGAAACUUUUUUGGAACUUUUGUGGUCUGCUCGCCUUCGCUUGGUCGAGCAGAUCCUGGCAUGCUUGGCUUCCUGUCUCGCCAUAAAAUAGGCUUUGAGGCUUUGGAGCCUUUGCUUGCCUUAGAAACUUUUUUGGAACUUUUGUGGUCUGCUCGCCUUCGCUUGGUCGAGCAGAUCCUGGUAUGCUUGGCUUCCUGUCUCACCAUAAAACAGGCUUUGAGACUUUGGAGCCUUUGCGUGCCUUAGAAGAUUUUUGAAACUUUUUUGGUCUGCUCGCUUUCGCUUGGUCGAGCAGAUCCUGGCAUGCUUGGCUUCCUGUCUCACCAUAAAACAGGCUUUGAGACUUUGGAGCCUUUGCGUGCCUUAGAAGAUUUUUGAAACUUUUUUGGUCUGCUCGCCUUCGCUUGGUUGAGCAGAUCCUGGCAUGCUUGGCUUCCUGUCUCGCCAUAAAACAGGCUUUGAGACUUUGGAGCCUUUGCGUGCCUUAGAAGAUUUUUGAAACUUUUUUGGUCUGCUCGCCUUCGCUUGGUCGAGCAGAUCCUGGCAUGCUUGCUUCCUGUCUCGCCAUAAAACAGGCUUUGAGACUUUGGAGCCUUUGCGUGCCUUAGAAGAUUUUUGAAACUUUUUUGGUCUGCUCGCCUUCGCUUGGUCGAGCAGAUCCUGGCAUGCUUGCUUCCUGUCUCGCCAUAAAACAGGCUUUGAGACUUUGGAGCCUUUGCGUGCCUUAGAAGAUUUUUGAAACUUUUUUGGUCUGCUCGCCUUCGCUUGGUCGAGUAAAUGUGGCUUCCUGUCUCGCCAUAAAACAAGCUUUGAGACUUUAGAGCCUUUGCGUGAUGAUGGGUGUCGAAGCCAACAAAAAUAAAUUCCUACUCUAAAUAAAUUGUGUAUAGUGAUUGAGCAGGGUCGUGUCCACAGAGAUCGGUAAUUAUUUAAAUCCUUUUGAAACGUAAAAAUAAAAUGGGGGUUUUGUUGACAAUAAUAAAAAUCAAAUUAAAAUAACGAGAAUGCAAAUUAAAGUUGUAAUUCAAAUUGGAGAAAGCUCUGGUUGAAGGAAUUAACUCAGCUUGAUUCGACUACUGAUCAUUGAUUCAAAUAAAGAUUAUUAUUACUUAUGAAUAGACCGGUUAUAGCUAUUGAGACCCUCUAAUAGCCAAUCUCUCCUUAACUAGUCGAUAACCAAGGUACGACCGUUGGAUAUUUCCCUAAUCAAAUAGACAACCCUAGAUACGAUCAUAAGAUUUAAUCAAUUGACAGCCUGAAAAACCAGAGAGACCCAAAUCCUAAUCAACACAUAUGAUGAUUCAUUUAAAUUAGAUUGUUUAUUCUCACAACACAACUCUCUGCUAUGUUAUUUGUCACAAAUAUUAAAUUCUUCAUACGAUGAAUCCUUUAAUUGACAAUAGAUUAAGUUGAUAAUUAAAUAGUGGCCAAUUACCUAAUUAACAAACAUAAUCAUGAAACUAAUUCAGAGAAUAAACAAAUACCCAAAGAGCAAUAAAACAAUUAAAGCACAAGAAAGAUCUCACAGUAGUGAUGAAUCAAAGCUUCAUUAUCCUUCAACCAGAAAAUAAGUUUAGUUCUCCAUAGAGAGAAGAGAAAAAUUAGCUCUAGGGUUUCUUUCUUUUUCUCCAAUCCCAAAAAAUCCCCCUUUUCACAAUAGAUUCCUCCCUUAAAUACUCUCUCUCUCUUCUCUUUUAGAGUUCUAUUUAAAAUAAAAUACUAAUAUUUGAAAUAUUAAAUUCGUAAUAAAAAAAUAGCCAAAAAUACAAAACACGUUAAACUAAAAACUGCAAGUCCGCAGUUGACAGCACGCGCCCACGCCUUAUCAACAAAGUUCUUCUGCCGCUCAUAAUUUCUCCAAGAAAACAAUCAUCCUUAAACAUCAUCUUAUAGCUCAAUUUUAUCACCAAUCAAUAGAAUUGCACCUACAAAAGUAAAACACAAGUAAAUCACUAUUAUUAAAUGCAAAACAUCGAUAUUAAGGGAAGUAAACAAUGCAAAACUAGUGCAUAAAUUGCACUCUAACACGUGCCUUCAAUGUGCUCUUAUUUGAGGUUUUUGCUUUAAAUCCUUACAUAUGGAUAACCAUCAAAAAUUUAAUUUCGGACUUGUAACUUAUAACUUGUCCAGAAAAUAGCUCUCAUUUACAACUUGCGCUUUAGCUAUUUAUAUAUGUUUGGGCCUUUGAUGGAUAAACAUCCUUGGUGUUUUUAUUACCAUCUAUAAUAUUUGGUUAGCAAUAUUAUUAAAGACCUUUGCUAAAGGUGCAGAGCACCAUUUACCAACACUAAAGAUAUUAAAAUUUAUAUAUAAAAUAAAUCAUAUUAUAUAAAAUAUGUAAUCAACAAAUAAAUGGUACCAUAAAAGUUUAAGCAAAGUCAUAUCACUGUAUCAAGGAAAUACGAUCUCAUGCUAACCCAAGUUCCAUCAAUCCUUCGGUCAAGCAUGUUGUGUGCUAAUAUAUGACUAUGCUAUAUAUUCUAUAAUAUGUAAUCUUAACUAUUUUCUAUUAACGACUUAAUAAGUCAAAACCCCAUCCAUCAGAUUUUUGAAGUCAAGUAGUGGAUUUAAAGGAUAAAUAUAAAACUGAGGUAUUAGAACAAGUGCACCUGAGAUUGUGCUCUGCAUUAUUUCAUUAGUACUUCAUCAAACAAAUCUCGAGCUUGACUCUGCUUUGCUCCCUUCUUAGAAUUAUUCUUGCAAUAUUUUAACAUGGGCACAAAACGGAUAAAAUAUGAAGGAAACAAAAAUCCAACUUCAUCAAUUCUUUGAAGCUUGAAGACAUGCCUAUCAAGCAUAUAUGUAGUGUAUGUAGUGUAAUCAGCAACAAACUCACUUUUGAACUUUCAUAUCCCUUGAGGCGAUUUAACGAAUAGCUCCUGAUUUGAAUUUUAACAAUUCGGCCUCAACUUGUAAUGAACCGAGUUUCAUACCAGAAUUGUCUAAAUACUUUCCCUGCAUAUUCUUCACAUGAAAACUAGCAGCAUGAUUGAUUGAUGGGGUGUAAAACCAGCAGGAAAUAUCUUGAAGAAACCACAGAUCCGUGGAUUUUUUAUGCUUACCACCAAAUGAAUUUAACAAUUUGUGUGAUCUUUAUUUUAAGAAAUUGAACAUUGCUAAUACCGCAAAUCGAUUGCUCUUUUGAACAGACUUUAUAUCUUGAGUUCGAUGAAAAGAGAACAAUCAAUCAAGAAAUAUAAAUACAUCAGCAAAAUAAUGAUGGUAGCAGCAUUACACAUCUAAUUAGCCAUAACGAAGCUGAAUAAUUAGCCAUAAUAAAUCUGAAAUGUUAACAUUAUGUCAAGCAUGUUGUUGGAAAAUACUAAAUUAAUUCAUUUGCAAGUAUAAUAGCAUGUAAUCUUGAAUUAUGAAUGAAGCCCAUUCUAACAAGCUAAUUUUGUGAAGGAACAUUAUCAACGAAUUCCAAGGGAUAAUAUUCAAUUUCAGCAAAUAUAUCAUGCACGGUAUUGAAACAUGCAUGUUAUUAAAGAAUUUCCAAGCAUCUCUCAGUUGAUAAAUCAAUCAUCAUAGCAAUUGGAAAUUGAAUUUUAAUGACAAUAUACUUAAAGCAAUAAAUAAGCCAAAACCUUUACAGGUAAGCAUUCCAUCCAGCCUUGAUUGGCUUCCGUGUUUGAGCCAGCUUAUCAAUUUGUGCAUGAUAAUAUUAUGCCUUUGGCUUGGCCGGAUGCAAAAUUGGUAGAGACAAGAAGUUGGCUUUUUGUAUCGAUUCCCCACAGACGGUGCCAAAUGUUGAUGCCCAAAUCUGAUCUAGUCUAUUAGCGACUUAAUAUCAAACUUCUACACCAGCAUUAGAUUUAUUUGGUAGAGAAUCGAUUGGUCAAUCGUCAAGAUGUCCUGCAACCACUAGCGAUUAACUUGCGAAUAUUUAAAAUCAUAGAAGACGGUCAGAGGCGCCGAAAGUUUUUCCGGCGUGAACCCUCCGACGCUCAAGUCAGUUUCUGGGCCUUUGCCAAAAAACUUGUGCUACCACUCAUAUGGCUUAAUAAACAUUACCUUAAAAACCAAAAGUUUUUUGAGUAAUUUGCAGAAAAAUGAAAUAGAGUGUAAAAGAAAGGAUUUUCCAUGAGAGGAAGAGAGAAAAAGAUGCCCUGCAGACCCCGAAAAAAUAAAUAAAUCCUCCUUUUAAGGUCAUGCCCCACUCCCCUCUUUUCCCCUUUGUUCUCCUCCACUUAUUGAAGUUAAGGAUGAGAUAAAAGUAAUGCCUCCACUGUCCAUUUUUUUUCUCCUUUUUCCGUUACCAAACACCUACAAAUCUUAUCCCUACUAAUAUCCUCUAUAAGCCAAUAUUCUUCUAAAAUUAUUAAAUGCCAUUCUUCAUUCAAGCUUUCAUGGACAUUAUUUACAAAUUGUUCUUGUAUUUGACAGAAAAAUGAAAACGCCUCGUCAUACAAAACUGGAUGAACAAAUCUUCUGUUUAAUUGUGAUAAAAUAAUAAAUUCCAUUAACAGAUUCAGCUGUAUGUUAAUGUGAGGGAUUUGAUCAGAUGAUCAUAUAAUUUACUACACGCUUUAAGAAGAACAAGAAUUGAUGACUUAAAAAUUAAAAAAUAAACAAAUAAAGAGUAGAUACAAAGAAUGUUAUUUGCAAUCACCAAACUGAAGAACAUGGGAAUGAUAACAGAGGACGGUUGAUGCAACAUUAUGAAGUCAAAAUUAAGAAAGGCCUUUUUUCCUUUUUUUUUUUUACAUUAUUCUAUUUAAUCUUACAUAAGGCGCACACUACGAAUAUAAAUUAAAUUCAUAAUUAAGAAUAAACGAUAAACCCUAACAAUCAUCUAGCAAGUACCGUGUAGACUGCAUCAAAAAUUUAGAUUUAAAUUUUUACAAUCACCAAAUGGAAAAACAGGGGACUGAAAACAAAGGAGCCCUGUUUCCAGAAACCGGGGAGUUUCCGGGUUUCUGGAAACAAACUCAGAAACGAAUGAACUGGCUGCCGGCGGUACUUUCUAGAUAAAUCGCUUGGUGUAUAUAAGCUUUCAUGGUCUGGUUUUAGUCUGGUUAGGUUCAGCCACUGUGACUGUUAGGGAUUCUCGUAAACUGAAUUUAAAGUUGCGGCUUAAAGUGUUUACCAACUUAAAACCAGAGCUAUAAAGUGUUUGAUGAAUUAUUUUUUAAUUUAAAAAAAAAAAACUGAUUUAGCGGGAUAAAAUAAUGCUCCAUUCCGUUUAGUAUGUGAAGUCCAGAGUAUUACCUACUACUAACUAAAUCCGCUUGAUUCACAAGACUACCAAGAGAUAACUGAAUCUUCAAUGUAAUAAAAUAAUAAUCAGCCUCACAGGAUACAUAAAAAGCUCAUUUAUCACAAUCAUAUCCUAGUGCAUCAUAAAUUUAGAUUAUUUACUUUUACUAUUAGGAAACCUACUUAUAUAAGGCGCAAACCACAAAUUCUAAAUUAAAUACCUAACUAGGAAUAAAAGAUAAACCCUAACAGUCAUACACCAGGUGCCGUGUAGCCUGCAUCAUAAAUUCUGAUUUAAAUAUUUGCAAUCACCGAACAGAAAAACAGGGGAACGAAAACAGAGGAGCCCUAUUUUUCCAUUUUUUUAACCCUUAACUCUUGCUCUUCUAAUUAUAUUUUUCCUUGGAAUUUCAAGUAUGAGAUGAAUUUGGAGAAAGUAAAUAAAUUUGAAUUACGUGAAAAAUUCUAAUUUUUUUAACCCUUAACAGUUGGUAUAUUUUUUUUAGGUCAUAUAUUAAUAAUUUCUUUUAAAAAAAAUUUAUAAUAUCAAUUAAUAUUAUAACCUACAGAUUAAUACAGAUAAAAAUAUGAUUGAUUUAUCUCCACCACCUAAGUCUUAGCCAAAUUUAAUUAAAGAUUAAUUUAAUAAAUUACCGAAAAUAAUAAAGUAAACGAAAAAUAAAGCACGCAAUUAAGUAAUCAUGCUUCUAAAGGGCUAAUUAACCAUAAUAGGCAUAGGUAUUAAUUUGACUUCUAUGAAAGUCCCUUCUAGUUUCUCAAAAUUCAAAAAUUACAAUAAAAAGCCAAAGAAAAAGUCAAUGCUUCUAAAGUAGAAAAGUUUGAGUACUAGAUAGGCUGCCCAAAAUACAUUUUCAUUACUCACAUAUCUCUAUAGAAAGUAAUUUUUUUAAUAAAAACAACCUAUUUGGCUAAUAUUCAGUCGUCUUUUUUGUUGAUGGAAUUAUCCUCUUAACAAUAUUUUAAAAAGUUUACAUGAAUAUUCCUUUUUUUUUAAAAAAAAGAAUUAAUAACGUGUAUUGUUAGGAUAAAAAUGAUCAUCAAUACGUAUGUAUAUAGGCACAAAUAUAUGAAAAAAAAUCAAGUUUAAGUACAAUGUAUAGGUCAAUGCCUAAGAGUCAAGCCUAAAUUAGGGCAACAUAUAACUACAAAAUACAAUUUCGUACACUACAAAAUUUUGAUAUCAGCAGUAGGGGUAUAAAAAAAUCAUUGUUGCCAAAAAUCCAAAAGCUAACUAGAGGUUUGGUUUUGUUUCAAAAAUUAAAAAAACAAGUCAAUUCGUAAAAUCAAAAACAGAAAAAGAAAAACAAAAUAUAGAGGAAUUUACAGUUUAAAAAGAAAAACCAAGCCAAAACGAAAUUGAAUCGAAAGUCGAACCAACUCAGUUCAGUUUGAUUUGAAUUUUAUUUUAUAAAAAAAAAUGAUCGGAACCAACUAAACUGUAUUAUGUUAUAAAUUAUUAUAUAACAUAAAUUUUUGAAUACCUUUGUGACGAGCACAAUUUAAAAUUUUAUGAUUUUAAAUUUUAACAUUAAUGGAGAGUUAAUACUCCACCAUUUUCCAAUUUUUACAAUACAUAUUACUAGUUUAGAUAUGCUGUAUAUUAUUGUUAUAAUUUUUCGAGCAAGAUAAUAUUUGUCAAUUGGUGUUAUGACAUCAAAAUACUUGGUAUUAGUUAGUGCUAAGUGCUUCUUUUUCUUAAAAAAAGCGGUUCCUUAGUUUUAAAACAAAAAUCAUUAUCCUGAAAUUCUCCAUUUGCUUUGUUAACAGAUAUAACAAAAUAAAGUGAUAAAAGUUUAAUUUAUAAAACUUCGGCAUUUAUAUCUAUCAGAUUCAACACUUUAGUGUCAUAGAUUUAUUUCGGUGGAGCACGAUGUGGGUCGGGCCAGGCUUAGAAUUUUAAGCACGAGAGCCUUAAAAAUAUGAUAUGAUUAGAGAUGGACUGAGCACAGCACGAUGAAAAUGCCCACAAUAAGCACAUUAUAUUUUUUUUUUAUUGAAAAUAAACUUAAAAUUUUAUGUUUUAUAAAUAACUUGAAGUUGAAUUUUUUAAAUUCAUUUAAUUCUUAGUUUAAAAAAAUAUUAUAAUUAAUUUAUAUUCAUAAUUUAUUAAAUAAAUAAUUGAUAUCAUGAUUUUAAUGAAUAAAAUUAUAAAUAUCACGAUUUUAUAAAUAUGCAUUAAUAUUAUUGUGAACUAUGAUCUAUGACUCUAUGUAACUCUAAGUUAACAAUUAAGUUAGCCCUUAAGAAAAUAUUAUUAUUAUUGUUGUUGUUGUUGUUGUUGUUGUUGUUGUUGUUGAGUAUUAAAAAAAUUAUAAUACUAAGAGAUCAAACUUAGUAAUUAAUAUUAAAUUUUCUUACUAUUAUUAGUUUAUUAUUAUUGAAUAUAAACUUGAGUUUUGAUUUUUUGAUUCUAUUAAAUUUGAAUAAAAGUAUAGACCUAAGAAAAAUAUAUAGACUUGAAAAAAAUAUGCCAACAGUUUAGUAUGCCCCUUAAAAAAUUUAAAAAAAAAAAGAAAAAAACUUAGUGAGCUUUUUUUCUUAGGCAUGGCACGGCAUGUAUCGGCAUGUGUGCUAGGCCGAACCUAAACAAAAAAAUAAAUAAAUAAAUCUUGACACGACACAACACAAGCAUAAGCACGCAUGGGCCUUACUUACCGCCCGACCCAUUGAGCAUCUCUAACUGUAUCUAUCUCCGCCAUAAUAAAUUAAACAUCGGGUAACUACUAGACUAGGCAUUAGCACAUAAACUAACUAACUAUAGUACCAAAAAGAAUGAUGCGACAUUGUAAAAGAGAUGGGGCAAAGGGCAGAAUGGGAAACGAAUGAACCAAAUAAUAGUAUAUAAUAAUAUGAAUUUGGUAAAAAUAAAAAAUAAAUAAAGUAAAGUGGUGACACGUACCUCCUUUUAUUUCUCGAUCGAGUAGUGCAGAAAGUGGAGUGUGUGUGUGUGUGUUAAUUGUGAAAUGUCAGCCAAUUUUUUCUCUCUCAUUCUGAAACAGCUCAGCAGGAAUGGUGUACACUAGAGACGUCUGUCUGUCAGUCAGAACUGCCAAAAGAGCAAAACGGGUGCACGUACAAAUUAAAGCAGCCAAUCAGCGAUAUAUUUCAGUUACUUAAAGCUAGCACAGAGGGAACAAGCAAUGUGCAGGGCCAAAAGAGAUGAGACCCCUGAACCCGAACCCUCCUGAAUGAUCUGAUCACAUCUGAUUCGAUGUCUCGAGUCAUUAGAUUUAACAUAUUUUAAAAAUAUUUCUCAGUUAAUAUGUGAUUUAAUUAAAGGUCAAGUUUACAUCUGAAACUGAACUUAUUAAAAAUUAAUUUGAAAUAACAUCUAAGCUAUCUAUUUGUUUAUAAUAAAAUUUAAUUGUCAUAUCAGAAUUAUUUUCCGUUAGACUUUACAAUAAGUUAAUCCCAAAUAAAUUGACAAUUUCAAUUUUAAAGUUAGUUUGUAACUUUAAAAUAAUUUUCUAAUAAAAAUUUAAUCUGAAACAUCUGCAAUAAUAUCAAGUAUUUUGAUGUCAUAACACCAAUGUUUCACAUGCACACACAAGUCAUAUAUAAGUUAAUAAAAACAUCAUUUGUUAUUAACAAAAUCAUGUUAAUUUUUAAUUCUUAAAUUAACUCCCUGUUAAAUUUUGGCUAAAUCAUUAUUGCAAUUUAUAAAUUAAUAUUUAUAAAAAAUUAUGAAUCAUCCAAAAAGCUGCUUGAUAUAGAUUAAUUUCAUGGUCAUCAAUUUUUUUUUUAUUUAUACACCUUUAAAUUAUCACUUGUAUCAUAUGAAAAGACUAUAUUACCCCUCUAACAUCAUCAUAUUUAAACGGCAACUAAGCUAUGGUGAACGACAUUAUAUUUUGUCAACUUAAGAUGAAUGACUGAUAUACGCUAAAAGUAUUGUAGUAAAUUUGAUAAUAAAGUAUACAAUUGAUAAUUUUCCUAUUUAUAAUUUAUCCCCUUAAUUAUGAGUAAUUUUGUUUUUGUCUUCAUUUGUCCCUUUCCUACAAAACCAUUACUAAUGUACAAGUUACAUAUAUAAAACAUUCUUCUUUAAUCAAGUUUGGAAUAUUUUCAUCCUUAUGUAAAAUUAUGCAUAUAUCUUUUGAGUUUCUCAAUUGUACUUGAAAAAAAAAAUUACAUUUAAUCACGGUUGGUUAUCCAUAAAAAAUUUUAGGUGGAAAGUUCACGCGUUUUAAAAUUUAAUUGUGGAAUUAUAUUACAUUUAUUAUUUAGUUUCAAUUUAAUCAUGUAUCAAAUUCAUGUUUUAAAACAUGUGGAAAUUUAUAAUAUAUAAUGAUUCUAUGUAAAUAUAUUAUCUCAUUUCUUCAUUCUUUUGUUAUUAGUUCUCCUCCACUGCAUUAGAUAUAUUUUGAAGUUUUCUAAUGUAAAUGUUACUAACAAAUACGCAUUGAAUAAUUAUCGGGUAGUUUAUAUUAUAAUUUAAUAAUAGCCACAACAUAAAUGUACAAUUUGGUGAUAGUAAAUGACAUUACAUGAAAAUGAAAUCAUCAUGUUGCAAACAAGAUGCAACCAAGGGAUUGCAAACAAUGUUAAGUUACUAUUGGGUCACUUGAACUCCUGGGCUCUCUCCUGUGUAAUUUAUAUUAGACUGUCGCGUACAAAACGCAGACAUAUAUAUACAUACAAGUAGUGCUUUGGCAACAGACACAAUAACCAAGAAGCAGCCCUUGUUUUCAAAUUCAUUCAAAUGCCAGCCUGCAGUUUUGAAUCCUUCAAAUGCCAGCCUGCAGUUUUGAAUCCUUCAAAUUGUGCUCCACCUUUUGAGGGGACGAUGAAGAGUGAAAGAAGAGACAAAUGGCAGAAUAUCAUCCAUUGCAAUGCCUCGUUUCUUAUAUUUCCAUGCCCGAACAGCAAAUUCCACCAAUCUUUUUGCUGCCUUUUCCCUAUCCACUACUGAAGAAACAAUCUCCACCGCCUCUUGGUUCGAAAUCACAUCCCAAACCUGAAGAACAAUCCAUAAUUGAUCUUUCAAACAUUGACAUUAGUUCAGAUCAAAAGAUAAUUCCAAUAUGUGGAUACGUACCCCGUCCGAUGCCAGAAUGACAAAUUGGUCUCGUGUUGUUAUGUUUCUUUGCGUUACAUGGAGCACGGAGAUUAGGCCAUAGUCCUUGACACAGUAAUCACCCAAGGCUCUUGAUAUGGCUAGUCCCGGAGUCUCACCAUUCGGCAUCCAGACUCUGUAUACGCCCGGCUCAUCAUUUAAGCAAAACACAAGCCCUUUGGACUGCGUUAUUCGCUCCGCUUCCUCUGUAUAGGCCAGUGAAGACAAGAACCCGUACGCAGACCUUAAAACACACCCAUAUAUACACCUACACGAGGCAGAAAUAUUUAAGAGAAGAUGAGAUAAUUGAGAUCUGAUUGGUAAAAUAUUGUUAAUUAGUAAAAAAUAAUUAAUAUACUUGCUAUUUAAGUAUUUUACUAAUAUUUUAAACAUCGGUAUUCAAUGAUGUUAAUAUGUGAUUUUAAUAUUAAAUUUAUGUUCUCAUUUAUAACAGUAUGGUCAUCAGUAUUCACAACACAUCAUAUAUUAAUGUAUGGGUUUAUUAAUAUUAACAAACAUUUAUUUCCAAAUAAAUAUGGUAGCCUUAGUAUUUAAGAAUAUUCUUUAUUGUCUAGUCGUCUGUCCAAGGAAGAACGGGCCAUCAUCAAAUUUAUCAAGGGCCUUCUCUAAGUAAUCAAAAGCAGGACCUGUGACAAAUUAAAACUUUUUCCGUGAGUUCAGCACAUAUAUAUACAUAUUCAAAAUGCAUUCUAUUAUAAACAAGUAAGCAAGUUUCAAAUCCUACCAGCUUGUUUUGCUGGGUCUCCUUUGAAUGAAGUAUACACAUCGUUGGUGAAGGUAUCGAUGUGGGAAAACAGUUCAUCAGCAAACUUUCGUUUCUCAGGAUCCUACAAUAUUUUCACAACAUUACUUUACUCAAAGUUGAGAGAGAGAGAGAGAGAGAGAGAAGCUUUUAUUAAAAGCAACAAUGUAAUCAGCAAAAUCUUACAUCAGGUAAAAGUGAAGGCCCUUCAAAAUUGCUGUCAACAUAUUUAAUCAAAUCAAGAGAUUCUCCAAUAACUUUGCCAUUGUGCUCCAGUGCUGGAACCUGUAAAGAAGAACUCUAAUAGGUAAAUAUACUUCAUAACUCCAGCAAUGAUCUCUAAUCUUGCACGAAAAUGUAACAAUCAGUUUAACUCUUUCGUUGUGUUUUCUUGCAAGCAAGCAACUUGCUCAAAUCAGAAUAUGUUAAGAUUUUACUAGGCACACAAAGCACAAAGACACCAUUCCAAUUUUAUUCAGGAACUCCUCCGCACAGAUUACAAGCAUUUCAAUUUCAAAGAUGGGGCAUAAGUGUUGGAGAAUUAACAAAUAAAACACACAAAAAACACACUAUUUUAUUUCUUCAACAACACUCCUCACCAAUUACAACUCUUAUCUUUCACUCUCUACACCUUAGAGAUUUUGCUACUUCACUUGAUGAUUAAACCAAAGGGGAGAGGGGGUAUUUAUACAUGAAACAAACUAAUCACAACCAUUCAUUUAUUCAACUAAUACACAAAUCCUCACCAUCCAUUAAAACCUACCACUCACCUACUUCACCAACCACACCUAACACACCUAACACAAAUAAUUCAAACCUCACCAACCAUACCUACUCAUGGAACCUUCCAUGAGUUGGGCUUGAUUUGGAUCAAGUUUAUGAUCCAACACCUCCCCUUAAACUUGAUCCUGUGACACCAAGCAAACUUCUGAAUCUUAUAAAGUCUUCUUGCUUGAGUGGCUUAGUGAAGAUAUCAGCUGUUUGAUCAUGUGAUUUUACAUACUUGAUUUGCACUUCUUUUGUUGCAAUACACUCUCUUAUAAAAUGAUAGCGAGUGUCUAUGUGUUUACUUCGAUCAUGAAAGACUGGAUUCUUGGAUAGGGCAAUUGCUGAUUUGUUAUCAACACAAAUCUCGGUUGGCUCUUCUUGUGCCAAACUCAACUCCUUCAGCAAAUUUCUGAGCCAAAUUGCAUGACAAACACUUGAUGUGGCAGCUACAUAUUCAGCUUCACAGGUGGAUAGCGUGACAAUUGGUUGCUUCUUUGACAUCCAUGUGAAAGCAGUAUCUCCCAUGAAGAACACAAAUCCUGUGGUGCUCUUUCAAUCAUCUACAUCUCCACCCCAAUCGCUAUCGCUAUAUCCAACAAGCUUAUAGUCAUUAGAAAAUGAGUACAGCAAGCUGAAAUUAGUUGUACCUUUGAUGUAGCGAAGGAUUCUUUUUGCAGCUUUAAAAUGGGUGGUCUUUGGAUUCUCCAUGUAUCGGCUCACAAGUCCAACAGCAUAAAGGAUAUCUGGUCUUGUGCAUGUCAAAUAACGUAGGCUUCCAACCAAACUUUUAAAGAAUGUUGGAUCUAUAUCUUCGCCUUCAUCAAGUUUGGAUAACUUGACUCCGCAUUCCACUGGCGUGCUUAUAGGCUUGCAAUAAUUCAUCUUGAUCCUUUUGAGAAUCUCCUUUGCAUAGCUUUCUUGGGAGAUAAAUAUGUCUUCUUCCUUUUGCUUGACUUCAAUGCCGAGGUAAUAUGCCAUCAGUCCGAUGUCAGUCAUCUCGAACUCUUUGAUCAUCACUCUCUUGAACUCUUCAAACAAGCUUGGAUUACUUCCAGUAAAGAUGAGAUCAUCCACACACAGGCACACAAUCAAAAUAUCUCCAUCUUUUUCUUUGACGUAGAGAGCAUGUUCAUAUGGGCAUUUAGUGAAGCCUUUCUCUUGAAAAUACUUGUCAAUUCUGCUAUUCCAUGCCCUUGGUGCUUGCUUUAACCCGUAGAGAGCUUUCUUCAAUCUCAAAACUUUGUCUUCAUGUCCUUUCACCACAUAGCCUAUUGGUUGUUCGAUGUAAACUUCUUCUUCAAGGAAUCCAUUCAAGAAAGCAGACUUCACAUCCAUUUGAAAAAUCUUCCAUUUGUUCUGAGCAGCCAAAGAAAUAAUAAGUCUAAUAGUUUCAAGUCGAGCUACAGGAGCAAAUACCUCGUCAUAGUCUAUGCCAGCCUUUUGACUAUAGCCUUUUGCAACUAGCCUUGCCUUGUGCUUUUCAAUUUCUCCCUUCGCAUUUCUUUUUGUUUUAUACACCCAUUUGACACCGAUCGCCUUGUGACCUUUUGGAAGAGUAGUAAGCUCCCAAGUAUCAUUCUUCACAAUGGCUUUGAUUUCUUCAUCCAUUGCAGUUCUCCACUUCUCAUCUAGUAUAGCUUCUUAGAAGUUGACUGGCUCACAAUCAGCAAAGAGGCAAAAGAGAGUGAGAUUAUCAUGUCUCUCAGUUACCUCAUAGAGAUCUUGAAGACUCCUUGUACGUUCUUCGAUUCUUUCAUUUAAGAAAGACGGCGGUGAAUCUCUGCAUGUGGUUGGUGCUGGUGAGAUAGGUGGAGUAGCAAGCUAUUGUUGUUCGUCUACUUGUUUUAUCUGUGUAUGAUCAUUUUCUUCAAUGGGAAAGAAGUUGAAGUCAUCCACACCAGAGCCAAAAUCCCAUUCUCCUUCUUCAUCAAAAAUUACAUCUCGACUGAUCACGAUCUUCCCGUUGUUUGGAUUGUAAAGCUUGUAUCCUUUGGAGUUGUUGUCGUAGCUGAUGAAGAUGAACUUCUCACUUUUGUCAUCCAGCUUGGCUCUACUUUCGUCUGGUACAUAUACAUGGGCAAUGCUUCCGAAAACUCUUAGAUGGGUGAUGCCGGGUUUUCUUCCACUCCAAGCUUCUUGUGGCGUCUUGCCCCACACGCUUCUUGUUGGAGAUCGAUUGGAUAAGUAGACUGCACAUGCAACUGCUUCAGCCCAAAAUUCUUUAGGUAGCCUCUUACUCUUAAGCAUGCUUCUUGCCAUGUCGAGGAUGGUUCUGUUCUUCCUUUCUGCAACACCAUUUUGUUGGGGGGAUCUUGGAACUGUCAAAGGGCGUCGAAUUCCAUUUGCUUCACAAAACUCUAAAAAUUCUUUGGAAGUGAACUCACCACCUCGAUCAGAUCUCAUGGCUUUAAUCUGGUAUCCACUUUCUUUUUCCACUGCAGCUUUAAACUUCUUGAAAGCUUCAAAGACUUCUGAUUUUUGCUUCAAAAAAUACACCCAAGUUUUUCUUGAAAAAUCAUCUAUGAAGAGAAGGAAGUAGUUACUUUUACCAAGGGAGUUUGGCUUGAAUGGACCGCACACAUCAGUAUGAAUAAGCUCGAGUGGCUUCUGAGCUCUUGAGUUUGACUCCUUUGGAAAGCUCUUUCUGAACUGCUUGCCAAGUAAACAUCCUUCACAAAGUUGAUCAGGGUGAUUGAUGUAUGGUAAGCCUUUCACCAUGUUCUUCUUAGAUAGUAGCUCCAGUCCUCCAAAGUUGAGAUGCCCAUAUCGAAGAUGCCAAGUCCAGGAUUGAUCUUUGUGACAGGCUUUGAGACAUUUUGCAACAUCAUUUUGAAUAUUUAAUGGAAACAUUCUAUUCUUUGACAUUUUCACCUUUGUAAUUAGAUUUCCUUUAUCAUCUCUUAGGAAAAGACUAUAAUCUUUUAAGUGAAUAUCAUAGCCUUUUUCAAAAAGUUGACCCAAACUAAGAAUGUUGCUUUUCAUAUUGGGCACAUAGUAAACAUUCGAAAUUAUUUGGUGACUACCAUCUUUUGCACGAAAAAGAAUGUUACCUCUACCCUUCACUGGUACUUUUGAAUCAUCUCCAAAAGCAACACUGCCAUUCACAGAUUCACUUAGCUGCACGAACAUGCUUUUGUUCCCACUCAUAUGAUUGCUAGCACCUGUGUCAAGAUACCAUGUAUUUUCUUGACCCCCACUUGUGUCAUUGCGUGCUAGUAAAAGUGUGCCAUCUUCACCAUUUUUCUCUUCAGCAUAGUUCACUCUCUCCUCAAUUCUAGUGCUUGGAGCUCUGCAUUCUGAAGCAUAAUGCCCAAACUUUUGACAAUUAUAGCACUGUACUUGAGAUUUGUCAUACCCUCGAUCUUGGAUUGCCUCUGCCUCGUCCUCUGCUUGAGCUUUCUCCUUUUGGCCAUAAUUGGAGUUGUUAUUGAAAUUCCCAACCCUCGUCCAUGACCCACGACCUCUACCUCGUCCCUCGACCUCUACCUCGGACAUAGUGUCUUCUCUCGUUGUCGGAGCUUUCUUCUCUUUUCUUUGGAUUGACUUCCAUCUUGAGAAGUUGUUCUUCGAUUCCCUGCUUCUUUUUUUGUUUCUCUUCAUAGGCUUGUAACCUUCCUUAAAGUUGCUCGAUCGUCAUAUCUUCCACGAACCUUCUUUACUUGCUCCGCUCCUUUGUAAGAGGUCUCUAGUUUCUCCCAUGCUUCUUUUGAGGAGGUUGUACCAGCAAUCUUUUCAAAAGCAUCUUCAUCUAAUGAUUGAAAGAUGAGAUACUUUGCUUUAUUCUCUUUCUUCUUCAAGUCUUUUAAAUUCUCCUUCUGCGCCGCAGUUAAAGUGGCUUCAUUUUCUGGCACAAUAAAGCCUUUCUCCACGACAUCCCAUACGUCAUGUGCACCCAAUAGAGCUUUCAUUUUAAUACUCCAAUUGUCAAACUUACUUCCCUUUAAUUGUGGAACUUAAAAUGACAUCAUACCAUUGUUUGCCAUAACUCACAAAUUGAGUGAAAAUUUGGAGAUUCUGAAAGCACAGAUGGAUCCGGCACGUCGAAAAACCUUGGGAAGGACUCGAGUCAACUUUCAGUCAACGGUCAACGUCGGUCAACGGUCAACACCGGCUUGGUAGUCUUGGUUUGGUCCGGAUUGGUUCAGCUCCAGUUGGCUCGGUUCGACUCGGCUCGGUUCAGCUCGGCUCGGCUUGGUUCAGUUCGGCUCAGCUUGGUUCAACUCGGUGAGUCGACUCAGCUUCAGGACAGAAAACUUCCGAUGGCAAGUGUGGGUGCGUUCGGUCUCGGAUCGGGAUGAUUUUUGCGGCGUCACGUUCCUCUCGUCAAGAUCUUCGAUUUGAUAUGCUAUAUGACUAUAUAUAGCAUCAAACACUAGCUCUGAUACCACUUUGUUGGAGAAUUAACAAAUAAAACACACAAAAAACACACUAUUUUAUUUCUUCAACAACACUCCUCACCAAUUACAACUCUUAUCUUUCACUCUCUACACCUUAGAGAUUUUGCUACUUCACUUGAUGAUUAAACCAAAGGGGAGAGGGGGUAUUUAUACAUGAAACAAACUAAUCACAACCAUUCAUUUAUUCAACUAAUACACAAAUCCUCACCAUCCAUUAAAACCUACCACUCACCUACUUCACCAACCACACCUAACACACCUAACACAAAUAAUUCAAACCUCACCAACCAUACCUACUCAUGGAACCUUCCAUGAGUUGGGCUUGAUUUGGAUCAAGUUUAUGAUCCAACAAUAAGGACACAGAGUCACAUAAUUAGGCUAUUUGGUAUUGAGGUGCUGUAGUUUUUUUAGCUACAGCUGCCACGGACCCAAAAAAAAAAAACUGUAACUAUAAAAUAAAAGUUAAAAAUGCGUAAUAAAUAUGAAUUUUAAAUUAAGAUUUUGACAAAAAUAGUAGAAAUAUUAUAAUUUUACAAAACACUUUUAACUCUAUACCUUUUAAUCCACGGCCGCCCUACCUCAAUACCNNNNNNNNNNNNNNNNNNNNNNNNNNNNNNNNNNNNNNNNNNNNNNNNNNNNNNNNNNNNNNNNNNNNNNNNNNNNNNNNNNNNNNNNNNNNNNNNNNNNNNNNNNNNNNNNNNNNNNNNNNNNNNNNNNNNNNNNNNNNNNNNNNNNNNNNNNNNNNNNNNNNNNNNNNNNNNNNNNNNNNNNNNNNNNNNNNNNNNNNNNNNNNNNNNNNNNNNNNNNNNNNNNNNNNNNNNNNNNNNNNNNNNNNNNNNNNNNNNNNNNNNNNNNNNNNNNNNNNNNNNNNNNNNNNNNNNNNNNNNNNNNNNNNNNNNNNNNNNNNNNNNNNNNNNNNNNNNNNNNNNNNNNNNNNNNNNNNNNNNNNNNNNNNNNNNNNNNNNNNNNNNNNNNNNNNNNNNNNNNNNNNNNNNNNNNNNNNNNNNNNNNNNNNNNNNNNNNNNNNNNNNNNNNNNNNNNNNNNNNNNNNNNNNNNNNNNNNNNNNNNNNNNNNNNNNNNNNNNNNNNNNNNNNNNNNNNNNNNNNNNNNNNNNNNNNNNNNNNNNNNNNNNNNNNNNNNNNNNNNNNNNNNNNNNNNNNNNNNNNNNNNNNNNNNNNNNNNNNNNNNNNNNNNNNNNNNNNNNNNNNNNNNNNNNNNNNNNNNNNNNNNNNNNNNNNNNNNNNNNNNNNNNNNNNNNNNNNNNNNNNNNNNNNNNNNNNNNNNNNNNNNNNNNNNNNNNNNNNNNNNNNNCUGGAAAGAGCUCAAGCUAAUUAAUUGAUUUUUAUCUUUUGGAUGCACUUAAUUGUAAUUAACCGGAUCAAAUUUUGAAACCAAAAUAAUUCACGGGGCAUUCUAGCUUCUAGCUAAUUCAUCCAAAAAAAUAUAAAAUUAUAUAAAAAUAAUAAAAAUACGUGUGAUGUCAGCUUGAUGCGUACAUUCAAAGUUCCAAUUGAAAACAAAUAGAUAUUCAUUUUUCUUGUCAAAUUAUUGAAAGAGACAUCUCUUAAUUUCUUCCAUCACCAGCAACGGUUGAGUGACCUUGUCUUACAUUGUGCAGCAGCCUCCUCGAAGUUAAAAAAAAAAAAAAAAAAUAGCCCAUUAUCUUGGCUUUUGGCUGGAUCCAAAUUUUUGUUAAAUACAAAUAAAUAUAAUAUCAACUUAAAUAUUCCAAUAAACCUUCUAAUAUCUUCUUUGAACAGUUUUAUUUUUAUUUUAUGAGGAGGGAAGAGUAAACCAUUAAAACUAUAAUUCAUCAUAAAUUUAUUGUACCAAUUUUUUUUUUAAAUCCAUAAUUUUGUGAAAUAUAAAUUUUAAGAAUUGAAAAAUAUCAUUAUAGCUUUCAUAUCCAAAGUUAAUUUUGAUAUUUUUGUACAAUUACAUAAUCUUCAAAUGUGGAUAAUGUAAAAGAUGAAAAUUGUCAAAUUAUUAGAUAAUUGUUUUUACAAAAUUUUAACGAUCAGAAAAAUCUUAAUUUAUAUGUCUUAGUUUAAAGAAUUGGUAUUAUCAAAUGUUACUUAAAUGUAAAUAUAAUAUAAAUAUUUUGUGUAUUUAUAUGUUACGUUUAUGAUUUGAUCACUGUUUAUCUAAAUUUUAAUAAAAUCAGACAUAUUUAUGUAAUUUACUCAUAAAAAAAUAAUCCAUGAUUUAAUUUGCAAUGAUCAAAUUGUUGUAUUUUGUCAUAUCAAAAUACAUAUUUUUGUACAAUUACCCAUAAAGUUUAUGCUACAAUCAAGCUAUUUAUAAUAUAAGUGUGAUUUUUGAAUUUAAUAUUGAUAUUAGUAUUAAAUAUGAUAAUAGAAAAAUAUUUUAUUAGAUAUUAAUUGGGUCAUUUGUGUUAUUGUUUUUAAAAAUUAAUGACCUGCAACAUUAAUUGUCAAUAAUGGGUUUUUUUAAAACAUGCUGGUGCCCGGAUGUAAAUGCCGGUACCUCCCAAGUCAGUAGCCUUAUUAUAACAGUGUAUUCCCGUCAGCAUAUUGGCCUGCCCCUGUACCAUUACUCCAAUUGAUGCUGAAAAUAUAACAACAUCAGUGACCGCGUUGUCGUUUCCCGUGAUGUUUAUUCCGAUGCCGGAGAAAUCCUUUUCGCGAUCAUCCCCGCCGAUGUUGAUGUGUUGGCCGAUGAAGGAAUUUCUUAUAUACGUUUCGUGGCCAUCUUGGAUGGAAAUGCCAGCGGUAGUGAAAUGCGAAAUGUAACAAUUGUCCACUGUGGUUCUUAUUGAAUUUAUAAUGGCAAUGCCGCCACCCCUAAAAUUGGAGUCCAACAUAAGCUCCUUCAAAGUAAUGUAUUCGUAUAAUGACGAUGAUGAUGACGAUCUUAACUCUAUGAGAUGUCCGUUGCCCGAAAAAUCAUCCGAUGCUCGGAGGGACCCACCGUGUACCUAUGUAUACAUAUAUAGAUGUUAAAAGUAAGAAUUAAAGUAAGAAUUAAAUUUUAAAUUAAUAUGUGAUUUGGUAUGAUUCCUAGUUACAAAAUUUUGGCAUUUUGUAUUCGGUUUUGUAGUCCUUCAUAAGACUGGCAAAAAUCAUUAUCAAUUAAACAUUAUGUUGUUAUAUUUUUUUAAUGAUCUUUAUUUUAUUUGCUUUAAACAAUAUCUAUUUUUCAAAAACAAUACUUUUGACAAGCAAACCCUAAAGUGGGAUUGAAGCAGAGAUGAAAGAGAAAGCAUGCAUUUUGCACAUGUUUAUAAAAACAAGAGAGUAUAUUUAAUCUCAAUCUGUAAUUCUGUAUAAUGUAUUAUUCUUAAGUUUGAAUCAAAUUAUUCUUGAUUCCAUCUGCCAAUCCAUCUCGGGCCAUUGAAUUAUGCAUAGCUAUUAUGGUAAUGGUCUCUUUAUUCUCCUCACAAUCAAUUAAUUGUGAUGACCAUACUGUUCUCACGAUUCUCAACCGCAAAAAAUUUAAAUAUUGUAUUGUACAUUUUUAUAAACAAAUUUUAUGUCAUCUCCAUUAUUGUGGAAUUUUAAUAUCCUAAUACAAUAUUAUGAUAGUAAUUGGGUCAAUAUGGGUAUUGGGUCAUAUUAUCGUUAUAAAUAUUAAUUUAUUAUAACUGAGUGUGUAAAGUAUCUUUUUUUAUUGUUGUACCAUAUUUAACUUUUGGCUGCAAAUAUAUAUAUACUUAGCAUUAUUUAUAUCAAUAAGUUAAUAUAUAUAUCCUUUUCUUUAGCAUCAAAUUUAAGUUUUUAAAAAGUUAUGAUAAUUCACUAAUUUGGUAUUUAGGAAAUUAAAUCCAUAUCAAUUUAUUAGAUAUCUUAAACCGUAUGUAAAAAUAGAAUAUUGACCAUUAUUCUAUUAGUAAUAUAUCCAUUAAAGAUUUUGACGUGCUAUGGUCUAAAAAAAUUAACUUGGCGGGAUGUUAUGAUUAUAUUCAAGGUGAUAGGCAAGAAAGUUAUGAGGAGACCCCAUUGAAGCCUAUAUAUUAUAGUAUGCAUAAAGACUCAAAAAGUGCACUUGAAAUAACAGUUGUCACUGACAGGUUAAGAUAAGCUACCAAAUUGGCACUUAAAGGAAGAAAUUCUAGUAUUAGUGUCAUAUUUUAUGCCAUAUUAUGUAAUGCAUAUUAGUAAUGAUUUCUUCAUAAUAUCGCAUAUAUAUAAAAGUUCAUCCUAGCUAGAUGCAUUGUAGAUUUUGUAAGAAUUAUUUUACUCUGUCCAAAUGAGUUCACAUUAUUAUCCAAUUUUCCUUUUUUUAAGUUGAUUUAUGAAAGAAAAAAAAAAAUGACACCAAUGUUUUCCACGUCGCCGCAAGUCUCAUCGAUAAAAGUCCAUCUACAAAUUAGUUCAUAAUUCUUUUUGUAACUUCGCUAAAAGCUAGUCAAGUCAUUGCUAGCAAGCCUCAAAAGCACGAAGUACGCGAAUCACGGCGAUAACUGAUAAUAACUUGGUUGUCCGGUUUCGCAUACUAAUUAGCUUGAUUGAAAAUCGUGAAGUAUGGGGCACGACUAACGCAACGCAUACGUCUCAUGCAUUAGGCAAAUAUUGUACGCGACCCAUGUUGAGAGCACAAAUCCACUAUCUACAAGUACUAUAUAUAGAGCUGCAAUGCGUGCUUCAAGUAUUCACAACUUACCCCCAGCUGGCUAGCUAGCCUCUAUAAUUUGAAGGGAAAAAAAAAAAAAAAAAACCUUGUUCAACUUGCAAAUACCUACCAAUUAUUAUGGAGAAAAGCUUUGAUAUCAUUGCCCUGUCUAUGAUCAUUCUGGUGACUUAUUCAUCUAAAAUGGUGUCGGUCGCCGGCCGGUCGCUGCAUGAACCAUCCAUUGUUGAGAAGCAUGAAAAAUGGAUGGCUGAGCAUGGGCGCACUUACAAGGACGACCUGGAGAAGGAAAAGCGGUUUAAGAUAUUCAAAGAAAACCUUGAAUACAUUGAGAAAGCCAAUGAGGAGGCGAAUCGGACGUACAAGUUAGGCACCAAUGAAUUUUCAGACUUAACUAAUGAGGAGUUUCGUGCUUCAUAUACAGGAUACAGGGUGCCAAGCCAGUCAUCUUCAUCACGGCAAUCCACAACAGCAUCCUUCAAGUAUCAAAACCUGACUGACGUUCCAACUAGCAUGGACUGGAGAGAGAAAGGAGCUGUCACUCCUAUUAAGAACCAAGGUCAAUGUGGUAAGUAAAUCGUAUACUAAAUAUUUAUGAAGUAACUAUAAUAGAUUAUUUAGCCUCCAACCUCUUUCAGAACUCAAACUCAGUUGACCAUCAGCUAAUUAAUAAAAACAGCUUGACAACCGUCUGCCAAACCCCUGCUGGGGCAUGUUUCAUGUAACUUAAUCAAGCCUUUUUUUUUUUUUUUUCCCUUAAUAUGUACGAUGCAGGAGACUGUUGGGCAUUUUCAACUGUGGCGGCGGUGGAAGGGGUGACUGAGAUUAGUAGUGGUAAUCUUAUUCCACUUUCGGAGCAGCAAAUACUAGACUGCUCAAUAGAUGGUAACCGUGGAUGCGGUGGCGGUUGGAUGGACAAUGCCUUUAAAUAUAUUAUAAAAAACCAGGGUAUUGCCUCAGAAGCGGAUUAUCCAUACAAGGAAGUCCAAGGGACUUGUGAAGACGCACAGGUCAAGGCAGCUGCUAAAAUUAGUAACUUUGAAGAUGUAAAACCCAAUGAUGAGCAGGCUUUACUCCAAGCUGUAGCCAUGCAGCCAGUAUCAAUUUGCAUUGAAGGAAGUGGACCAGACUUCCAGAGUUACAAAGGCGGUAUUUUUAACGGAGGAUGUGGAACUCAGUGUUCUCAUGCUGUUGCUAUCGUUGGAUAUGGGGCAACUGAAGAUGGAAUGAAGUAUUGGUUAAUUAAGAAUUCAUGGGGGGAGAGCUGGGGUGAGGCCGGCUACAUGAGGAUUCUCAGAGAUGUUGAAGCACCUGAAGGUCUCUGUGGCAUUGCCACUAAACCUUCCUACCCAGUUGCAUGAGUAGCAGUAUUUUAUAUUAUAAUAUUAUUAGCCGCCUCUUAGUAAUGAUGUCUUCAAGCCUACACAUGCAUUAGCCUCGAAAGGCUUAUACGAACCGUAUGAAUCGUAUGAUUCUGUGGUUUUACCUAUGUUGAGUAUUUCAUAAGUUGUAAUUGAACGCCAAUAUUUGGUAUUAGUUAAUGUUAAAUCUCUCGUUUAAAUAUAAGUUUGAUCUUUGCAGUAAUUAGUCAUUUACAUUUAAUGUCACGGAUACUCAAUUCGACCAAGAAAUACAUAGUUUAUAUCUUAGUUACUCUGAUAUUUUAUGUGGCAUGUUAUAUGUAGUUCAUUGAUCAAGUUGUAAGAAUAGUAUGUAAAUAAUUAAUAAUAAAUUUAUUUAUUAUCAUUUAUGAGACAAUAAAUGAUUAGUGGAACAUUAAUUAAAAUACAAACUAUUAUUAUUUAUUUAAGAAAUAUAUAUUGGUCAAUGAAAUUAAUGCAAGACAAAAAGUAACUGAAUUUUGAUUACACGCUUGAUGUCUGGAAGUACAAUGAUUAUGAAUUUGUGUUUAAUUAGGUCAAAGUUUUAAGUUAAAAUAAUCAAACCUAUAUACUCACACUAACUUUUAAAGUUUGAGUGGAAUUUGCCCGCUUUAAUUGGGGUCUCAUACAGCAAAAAAUUUUUGGCCAUCUUGAAUUUCUUUUUCUAUUUACUUAUAAAAAUUUAAAGGCUUGGUAAUUUCCCUCCCCCAAAUUCUGUCUUUAUUCCUAAGUAAAUUAGUUAGUCAUUAUUUCAAUAAUUAAAAUUAUUCUAAGUUCUAAAUUUUGGGCGUGGAGGGAAAGUUAAGCGCAAGUAGCCGUGACUGAUUAAUAUUAAACAAUAUAAUUUAAUGCAUUUUUUUCUUCAUCUAUUUUUUUAAUAUUAGUUUUUGAACAAAAUAGUAGAACGAUAGUUAGAAUUUAUUAAUCAAAUUUUUUUACUUUCAUAUCCAUAUUAUAUUGUCAAUAAUAGUGUCAUGUAAUUAUAAUUAAAAGUAUUUGCAAAUAAUUUUGAAAGUCGACCGCCUCAUCAAAAACUCAGGAUGGCCGAGUGGUCUAAGGCGCCAGACUCAAGUCUGGUCUUCGAAAGAGGGCGUGGGUUCAAAUCCCACUUCUGACAAUGUAAUUUUUUAUUUUUUAUUCAUUUUUUUACAACGUUACGACUAAACGACGUCAUUUUCAUUAAACGGCAAGUCGUUUCAGUCGUCUUCUUUAACGGAAUAAAAAAUAUCUAAACCGAAGACCAAUGUUUCCAAACCCGCUAUAAACCCUACAGAUAACCCUCAUUGCCACUCGCAUCACUGAGUUCUUAACCUGAGUUAAAAUGGCCGAGUCCGCAUCCGAACUCAGUGAGUUCCGGAUUUUUCCGGCGGACUCACCGCCACCACAACCGAAUUCAACCGGAGUUCCGGUUCAUAAUCUAACACCAGAGGAGCUCGUGGCCAAAGCCAUAGCUCCAGUUAAGAAACAGUUUCUUCGUCAUUAAAUUCCAAAAUAAAUUUUAACAUAAUAAUUAAUUCUUUUAAUAGAUAAAAUUUUCUAUAUGCACGAUUGAAUUCAGCCCCAAAAUGUUAAUUAAAAAACAAUUAUCCAAUAUUCAAGAUAGUUUGAAUCGUCAUUCUCAUAUCGUUAUAAUGUCAUGAAAUAAUUGUACAAAAACAAAUGACCAAUAAAUUCACAAACGUAUAAUAUUGCCUAAUGUAAAUAACUUAUUAAUUAAUAUUGAUAUAUUAUUAAUUACUUAAUGUUUUACCUUUUUAUAAAACAUAAAAUUAUGUUUACUUCCAUUCAAGAUAUCCCAAAAAAAUUAAUCUUUUUGGAUGAUUCAUAAUUUUCAAGAGGAUGUUUUUACACCAUACCAUCGUCAAAUUGAUAAGGGCCAUGUUAUUUUUUAUUUAAUUGAUUUAAAUUUCAACUAGAGAGCUAUUGGAAUCGAUCACUGUAAAAGUUAAGUUGUGAUGUAAUCACACAAUCUUGAGAUCUGCUAUUAGAAAAAUAAUUGAAGAACCAAAUCCCAAUGAAAAUACAUCCAAAAUGAUGUCGUUUUGAAUUUGUUCCCAAAAAAAAAAAAAAAUUAAACUCACUAAAAAACAACAUGUGUGUUUUUGUUAACCUUUUAUCGAAUUGUAAUUUAAAUAUUUAUCAUGUACUUUUAUAUUCUAUUCAGGGCUGGCUCAACCAUAUUUGAGGCCUUAGGCAAAUGGUUUUAAUUAGUUUUUCUUAAAAUUUAGGACAAAAAAUAUGUUUAUUAGUUAUGAGUGAUGAUACAGCCACAAACUCUUGUACAAACUGACGUGGUAUUAAUUCAUUGGUUGAAUGAAAAUAUAAAAUAAUAAAAACAAAUCACGUGAGCCAAGUGAUAUUUAAUUCAACCAAUCUUAUCAUGCCACAUCAGUUUGUACAAGAGUUUGUGGUUAUAUCAUUACUCAUUAGUUAUAUAAUAUUUAUUGAAAAUCAAUUCUUUAAACACUCUCUAAAAUGUAAAAUUAUUAAAUAAAAUUAUAUUACACUAUUGUCAAUCCUUGAAAUUUUAAUUCAAUUAUAAUAUUUUUACUUUUUUUUUUAACUCAAAUUACAUCUUUUAUACUACUUCUUUUCUACAUUAAAUUAAUUUUUUUAUUCUUCUAUUUUCUAAAGUUUUUUGAUAUAGUUAUUUAUUUCACAAUAGAAAAAAAAAAGCACACAAAAAAUAGUAGAUGAAUAAAAGAAUGUAUUAAAAAGAAAUAAGAACACAUAAAUAAUACGAUUAAUUAAGAGAAUAAUAAAAAAUAAAAUCUGAAAUUUGAAAUUUGAGAUGAAAUCAUAAAUUAACUUUAUCUUUAUAUUAAUUAUUUGAAGAUUUGAGUAAUGACUAAUAGCCAUAGAGAAUAGAAAAAAACUAUUAGAUUUUUUCUUUUUUUUCUUGAGUGGAAAGUAGAGGAAGCAAGAUUUUUUUUCCCCUCUCUCUCUUUCUUGCUCUCAAAAACGAAGAACAUAUGCUGUCUUCAUUGUUAGAAGAAAAAUUUAAUGGAUAAGUAAUAAAAUGUGGGGCUUUUAUAGAGGUUUAAAAUGAAUAUAAAACUUUUAUAUAAGUUGUUAAUUCUAACAAUGAAAUAACGAAUUUAUAGGAUUGAAACUAUUAAUUUAUCGGUUUUGUAGGAAUUAAAACUACUAAGUACUACAUUAAAUAAACUUUAUAGGAACUCGGUAGUUUAUUUGAGAAAAGAUAAUUACAAAAUAAUAAUAAAUUAGAUGCAUGAUAAUGACUUUUAAAUUCACUUUCCUCUUUUAUAUACAAAAUAAUCAUCUUAUAGGAUUUUCUUGUAAAGUAGGGCUCUAAGCAACCGCCUAAGUUGUCUAGAGAUCGAACUGCUACUGAUUCUAUUACUAAUUUUGAAAUUUUCAGACAUAUUUAAGCUCCACUAUUUUAUUUUUUUAAUCAAAAUAGUAUGUUUAUUAAUAAUGAUUAUAAAAAAAAGAUAAUGAUUCAAUAAUGUUGUUUAUAUAUAUUGAAUCAACUUUAAAAGUCAACAUUUACUUUACACACUCGUAUAAAUGCUAAAAUAACCCUUUAUUUAUGUAUUUUUUAAGGCUGUAGAAUGUAUUCAUUACAAAGAUACAGUACAUUUAAUUUGUGGUAUUCAAAAUUUGAUGAUUACCAUUUUUGAGUUGAUGGUCUUAUGCUUCAUAUUUGCAUUAAUUUUAUGUUUAAUAGUAUGACAGUGAUUUCAUGUAAAGUUUUAUUUCCUAAUUACAAUUUUAAAUUAAUGUUCCUAAAUUUCAUAUUAUCAUUAGUUUCAUAUAUCUUUUAUGUUCAAUAUUAAUGAUUUCAUGUAAUACUCCAAUGAAUUCUAGCUUAAUUAUUACAAUUGUAAGUAGAUGAUCAUAUUAUUUUAUGCUUAAUUUUAUAAUUAAAUUAACGAAUGAAACUGUUGCUACCUUUUCAUAAUUAUUUAUUUUCCAGGAAUCAUUUUUUAGCACUUCUCAAUGUCAUUAUUUGAAAAUUAAAUGAGGGGUUGGGUUUGUAUUCAUUACAUCGGAUGAUUUAUAUUUAAAUAAAUUAUUUCAAUCUCAUAUCGUUAUAUUAUGGGUGAUUUUAUAUCCACAUUUAAAUUUUUAAAGUUGUUAUCUUAACUUUUUAAAAUCAGAGUUGUGUUUAUUUAUCAAUUUAAAACGUCAAUAAUCUACUAUUGGCGUAACAAUUGAUAUUCUCAUUUUGGAAUCAUCAAGAAUCUUAAAAUUUUCAAAGCCACCAUGCUCAAUUUAUACACGAAAAAGAGGAGGGGGGGGGGGGGGGGUAAGAUGCAUGAUCAGAAAUGAAUUUGGCAAGUAUUUGAUUGAGUUGAGAGGUCACUAAUCUCACUUAAUUUGCGAAUCACAAUAUGAUUGUUUUCAAUCGGCACCAAAACGAAGGGCUGGUUUUGGUUAUUAUAGUGCCUUGUUCUAUGAAGGAUUUUGGUUACCCACAUAUGGGAUUGAUCUUUGCUUCUACUCAGUAUAAAUUCUUGAAUUAUACUAUAUAUAUAAAAAAAUAAAAAUUAUAGAACAUGCUAUAAGCGUAUAAAUUGAGACUUUCGUUAAAUUUUAAUUUAUAAUAUUUUUCCGGAGAAAAGUAAUUAGCAUGAAACACAACAGCGGUGAAUCAUCUCAUUUUUCAAGAAAUAAUAUUUGUCAGAGCUUUUUUUUUUAUAUUAGUUUAUAAUUAACUUUAAUAUGUAAUAAUAUAGCAUAUUCUGGGAAACCUGUUGGGAUAAUUGUUUUUAAUAUUAUUAUGAUAUUACACAUGAUUGGCAGUCGCAACUCAUCAUCAUCAUCUGAAACCAUAUUAACAAACAUUUAUUUAACAAUAUUCUUUAUGUAAACAGGAUUACCCUAAACCCAAUUAAUAUCUGCAGGGAUCAGACGACUGUUAGAACAUAUGUUAAAUUUGUAUAAUAUAUGAUUUAAAAAUUUAAAAAAUAAAUUUUUCUUUUUUGGAGAUAACAGUUGGUAUAUUUAGGAUUAGUAAAACUAAAUGUUUUAUUUUUAUUCUAUGUGCUCCAUCAUGGCAGUAGUUAUUUUUUUGCGAUUAAACAUACUAUUUUGAUUUAAAUGGAUUACAAAAUGGCACAUUUUUUUAACCCUUAACAGUUGGUAUAUUUUUUUUUAACCCUUAACAGUUGGUAUAUAUUUUUUAAUAAGAUUAUUAAUGCAUCAAGUAAUCUUGUUUUGAUGAUUGUAACUCGUGACUGCGGGAAAAUUUCUAAUGGAAACAACUCAAUUUCGGAAGAAAACUUGAUUUUGCAAGUGAUGAAUUUGAACUCGUUGGAUUGGUUGAUUUAUGAUUGACUGAAUUUCACUUUUCCUCAUAAGAUCUUUAACCAAAGUUUAAUAGCUAUCAUGUACUCCUUAAAAGCAAUUUUUUUUUUUAGAUUUGACUGAAUUUGAACUUGUUGGAUUGGUUGCUUUUAGAUUAUUAAUAUGAGAUAUUACAACGUAAAUAUUUUCAUGUGGUUGAGCCCUAUUCUAAAAUCUGUAUAGUUAGCUUUAGAAAAAGGGCUUUUCCUGCUGAUCUGUAAUCUUGAAAUAAACUUAGAUACAAAUAAUGAAAUAAAGGACAACAAACAAGCAAUACUGAUACAAAGCCAACAGAUCAGAGUUUUUGGUACAAAUCCAAUAAAAGACAAUAAACUUAGGACCUUUUUUUCUUGCUUUCUUUUGUUGAAGGAUUAGAGUUUUUGGUAUUAUCAGUAAAGGUUUCAAGGAGUAAAAGCCUAUAAACUUUUUUUUUGGGGGAGCGCCGCCGGGGGGGGCGGGGGAGAGCAUGCAAAUUAACCAAAAGAAAUAAUAAGAGCACAGGCUUUAACAAUGAAUACUGACUUAAAACUCAUGCAAAAUAAGUUACAAUACUAAAACAAACCAGAGAAAUUUUUUUCUUGGAAAGUAGAUGGAACUUAUGAAAGAGCAGAUGUCAAGGAUUUAGAAAACGUGCACCUCUUUAAUUACCUGGGAUUAGAGAGUUGGUGAGCUUCUCUAUUUAAGAACAAGUUGAAAGAGGAAAAAGAUCACUGGUAACUGCUGAGGAAUGUGUGAGAAAAGAGUUGAUGAGAGCAAUAACAAUGACCUGCAAAAGAAACAGAAUUAGUCAUUCACCGCUUUUCUAUAUCAUGUAUUUGGUUAUUGUUGCCCUGUUGACGCAUGUUGAAGAAGAAAGCACUAGUUCACAACUCUACGUUUUCAUAUAUUCUAAAGAAAUAAUUAAGCUUUCAUAGAAUAAUACCUGUUGUGUUUGAGUAAUUUUGGUAUAUACAUUGCUUGUGUACUGUGAAAUUGAAAUGAAUAUUGAUUGACAGAGCAAUGUAUAUGCCUAAUAAAACACAAAGCAAAUACCGGAAUUCCCCUUUUAAGGUGAAGGCCUUACUCAAUUCCUAUUGGAAUUGCAACGAAUGAUUCGGGACUAAAACUUUUAUAAAAGCAAAUACCGGAAACACACAAAAAGCAUUUAAGAGAGAAACUAAACAGCAAAUAAUAGAAGUAAGAUCAAUAAUAUAUGAUUUGAUUUAUGCAUAUUCAAAAACCAAAAUAUAAAAUAAAAUAAAAAAAUAAAGUUUGAUUUAUUCUUUCCACAAAAAACAGGGGAAUGAAAACAGAGGCAACUUGUUUUACCAAUUUUUUCUUCUUAAUUUCCGGCAAAAAAAAAAAAUUCAAUAAACAGGGGAAUGAACACAAAGGAACGAAAACAGAGGAAACUUGCUUUUCAGGCUAUCUUGUGACAUGAUGAUAUUGCUCGUGAAUGCAUGAAAAUUUCUAAUGCAAACAGCUCAAUUUGGGAUGAUAAGCUUAAGUUUGCAAGUGAUGCAAGUAAAUAAGUUUUUGCGGUUAAUUGAAUCUUUAAUACUCUGGGCCCUAUUCUAAAAUUUGUAGGUUGCUUCAGAAGAAAGGGCAGUUCUCACUCAUCUUUAAUCUCCAAGUAAAAUUAGAUACAAAGCAAAUCUAAUAAAAUGACAAACAAACAAACAAACAAAACAAAGAAAAGACAGGAGGCAAACAACAUUGAUCUUAAGCCAACUGAUAUUUUAAACAGAGAAUUCUUUUCUUUUAUUUUUUUUAACCACCUUUUGCUCAAGGAUUAGAGUUUUUAUAUUAACAGAAAGGUUUCAGGGGUCUGAAUAAAAGCCCACAAUUUCUCUAAUUGUUAUUUUUUUUUUUAUUAUUGAAAGGAGCUUCACUAUUGGCCUUGAACAUAUAAGAAUGAGCAAAAGAUCAAUGUCAACUGCCGAGGAAUGUGAGUAAAGAUUUCAUCAGAGUAAGUAAUACAAAUGAAUUGUAAAAGAACAAGACUUAAGCGUGCACCCCGUGUUUUGUUUUAUUGUACGUAUAAACAUAACAUGUUCAUUUUUAACAAAGUGGUCAAUUACUCUUUUUUUUUUUGGUACAAAGACGUGCCUAGCAUAGACUAGGGCAAAACAAAACGGGGGUGUGAAACCCCAAUACAAUUAUGACGAAUCCAAAACCCAGCCCCUAAAGGAAGAGAAUUGAAAAUGUGCAAUCCAACAGGGAGUGAAAGAGCAGAGUUUGCAAGAAAGUCAGCUGCAAAAUUUGAUUCUCUGUAAACAUGCUUGACCUGCACUUGCCAGGUUUUGUUAAGCAAUUCCUUAAUACCCCUGACAAGAGAAGCAUGUGCAUUUGGCCUAAUCUCGUCAUCCGCCACCAAAAGAGUAACACAAAGGCUGUCAAUCUCCACAUGAAGCUGCCGAAUUCCAUUAUCCCAAGCCAGACAUAACCCUUGAUAAAGGCCCCAUAACUCAGCACCAGUGAUGGUACCCACACCAAUAUUCAUUCCAAAACCAAUUAUCCACUCUCCAUAACAGUUUCUAAUCAAGCCAUCUGCACUAGACAGACCAGAACUUUUACGAGCUCCAUCUGUGUCGAGUUUAAACCAAGGCCAAGUAGGUGCCACCCAUCCAAAAUAUUCUCAAUCUUCAUGGCAGCAGGAACCAAACAACUCUAAUUAAUCUUUUGAAUUUCUUCUGUACGGAUCUUAAUAUCCAUUACAACAGUACUCUUGCUGUUGCUGGUAAAAACACCAUUAUGCAGAUUUUGGUUACGCCAAAACCAAAGCCUCCAAACUGUGACCCCAAAAAGACACGGCCAGUCAAACAUACCAUCAUACUUCCACAAGUUCCUCAAAUUAUAUAACAUCCAAUCUCGGAGAUUCAAACUAAAAAAUUAAUGACUAAUCCCAUGGGGUAUCAAUGACGACCAGACAUGCUUAGCACUGGGGCAAUCCCGUAGCACAUGAAGAGUAUUUUCAACAACACAGCCACACUUUGCACAGCUCAUAUCAUCAACAAUAUGUCUCCGGAAAAGUUCUGCUUUAGUUUUAAGUCUAUUUUGACCCACCACCCACAGAAAGGUUUUGAUACGUUGGGGACCUCUCCACUGCCAAAGAAUGCGCCAAAAUGAUUCUUCAUUGUGAACCUCCAUUUUUGACAAAGCCCUAUAUGCUGAAUUAGUAGUGAAAUCUCCUGACUUAGAAUAUGCCCAGUUCAUGUAAUCAUCCUCAUCAUUUACACUGGGAGGCUUGGUGGCUGCAAUUUUGAGAAGUAAAUGAUGGGGCAAUAAAUUCUCAAAAAGCCGCCAAUUCCAAGUACCCUCAACAGUGAUAAACCUCACCACGCACUCCUCAAGCUGCUCUAAAGGUAUCGGCUGCAAAGCGAAAGUAUACAAAGGGUAUUCCUCUGUUACCCAAUUAUCCCACCAAAAUCUAACUCGGUUGCCAUUUCCAAUGUCCCAUUUGAUCCCUUUUAAAACCUCAUGCCAAAUGCCUCCCACAGCCUUCCACAUGUAAGAGCCACAUUUCGUAGGUAAUGUGCUGGGGAGAGCAUUAGGAGCCAGCCCAUACUUAGACAAGAGAACCUUCAACCAUAAACUAUUUGGAGAAGCAAUUAAACCGCCCCCAAUCUUCAUGAGCAGAGCAUCAUUCAUUAAAUUAAGCUGCUUAAGACCAAGGCCUCCGCUAGGUUUCGGUUGACAUAUUGUAUCCUAUUUCACUAAACUGAUUUUCUUCUUGUCUGCUGUCCCGCUCCAAAUAAACCUCCUACAAGCCUGAUCAAUUUUCUCCCGAAUACCAAACGGAAUCCUCGUGGUCUGCAUUGCAUAAAUAGGAAUCGCCUGGAUUACCGAUUGAGUGAGAGUGAUCCUACCCGCCAAGGACAAAUGUAUCGCAUUCCACCGCAACAAAUGUUGGUUCACUUUGUCCAAAAUUCCCUGAUAAGUUAGCUUAUUAACCCGUGAAUGAAUAAUUGGCAUUCCUAAAUAUUUCCCUAGGUUUUUUGUGACAGAAAAACUGAAGGAAUCACCAAUUUCCUUAGCCUCAGCAAACUUUACGUUGUGGGAGAAAAAAACUUAUGUCUUUGUUUUACUAACUUUCUCUCCAGAGCUCAUACAAUAAACAUUCAACACUUCAUUUAUAACCAUUGCUUGCCUAGAGGAAGCCUCUGCAAGCAAGAUAAGAUCGUUAGCAAAAAAUAAGUGAGAUAAAGAGGUACCUGCACGAGACAGUUUAAUAGGUUUCCAGUACCCUCUCUUCACAGUGUCAUUUACUCCAUGGCUUAACCUUUCUAUACAUAACACAAAGAUAUAUGGGGAAAUGGGGUCUCCCUGUCUAAUACCCCUAGAAGGGGUAAAACUCUCCGUAAUUUCUCCAUUCCAUAGAAGUUGCAUAGUCGCCGUUGUAAUACAUUCCAUAAUAAGCUGAACCAAAACAGUAGGCAAUCCAAACUCCCUCAAGGUUUCAUAAAUAAAAUCCCAGCUUAAACGAUCAUACGCCUUUUCCAAAUCCACCUUAAUGGCCAUCUGCCCAAUCCUCCCUUUCUUACGUCUCAUCUAAUGAAUAACUUCCUGAGCAACCACUAUGUUUUCCGUUAUGUGUCUCCCCGGGAUAAAACUAGUCAGGGUAGGAAUGAGGUCAGGCAAGAUAGAUUUCAGCCGGUUAGCUAAUAACUUAGUGAUAGUUUUAUAGAUAACCGGGCAAAGACUAAUCGGACGAAAAAGCUUAAGGCUAAUAGGAUUAUCCGACUUAGGAACCAACACAAUCAGAGUUUUGUUCAGCUCCUUAAGGAUCUCGUUGCCAUUAAAAAUACCUUUUAUAAGACUACAGACAGAUUUUCCCACUACAUGCCACUGGGUCUGGUAAAAGAGAGCAUGCAACCCGCCUAUUCCAGGGGCUUUCAAAGCCUUCAUGCUGAAGAUCACAUUCUUAAUUUCCUCAUCCUCCACUGCUUGUCCCAAAGCUUGCAUUCGACUUUCCUCAAGGACUGGGAAGGCGUUAACAACAUGGUAUGGAUGAUAGAUUGCAUCCUCUUUGGGAUAGAGCUUUGAAAAGAAGGACACAGCAUAAUCUCUAAUCUCAUCAUUAUUCAACAACCAAUAACUCUAUUCGUUAUGAAAUUGAUAUUGUACCCAAUUUUAAGAGAGCAUAAUAAUAACCAUUCAAUGCAUAAAUUUAGAAUUAGGUUUUUUUUUGUAAUUCUUUAUUUAAAUAUAAACUUCAAUGGAAAAUUAUAAAAAUUUAGAUAUAAAAUUUUAAAUCACCGGACCAAAAAAAAAAAAAAGGGGAACGGAAAUAGAGGAAUCUUGCUUUACCUUUUUUUCCUUUAACUCUUGUUCUUAUAUAAAUAAUCUUGUUUUGAUGAUUGUAACUCAUGACUGCGGGAAAAUUUCUAAUGGAUUUGUUAUGCAAGUGAUGGAUUUGUUCAAUUGACUCUGUACUUGAACUAGUUGGAUUGGUUGAUUGAUGAUUGACUAAAUUUGAAUUAAGUUUAAUAGCUUAGCUAUCAUGUACUCCUUAAAAGCAAACGUAAAUCUUUUUUAGAUUUGAAUGAAUUUGGGAACCUGUUGGAUUGAUUGUUUAUAGAUCAUUAAUUUCAGAUACUACAACGUAAAUAUUUUCUUGUGGUUGAAUACCGGUUCUGCUUUAAUGAUUUUGGCAUAGACAUUGCUUGUGAACUGUGAAAUUGAAAUGAAUAUUAAGUGACAGCGCGAUGUAUAUGCCUAAUAAAAGAUCAGCAAAAGCUUGGAUGAAUGAUUGAAGACCAAAACUUUUAUAAAAGCAUUUUUGAGAGAAACUAAACACCAAAUUAUCAAAGUAAGAUCAACAGUAUAUGAUUUGAUCUAUACACAUUCAAAAACAAAAUGAUGAUUAAUAAUAAAGUUUGAUUUUGUAUUGCCAACGAUGCUUUUUUGUUGUUUCAUUUGUUCGACGUGGCCUUAUUUACAAAUUGGUUUAUGUUAACAGAAACAUGAAAUUCACAUCACACAAAAUUGCACGAACAAAUAUUAAGAGAACGUAAUAAUAAUCAGUCAAUGCGUAAGGGUAAAUUUAGAAUUACAUAUUCUUUUUUAUUUAAUAAAAUCCCAACGGGAAGUCAUAAAAAUUUAGAUAUAAAAUUUUCAAUCACCAAACGAAAAAACAGGGGGAAUGAAAACACAGAAAACUUGUUUUACCUUUUUUUUUUUCAUCUAAUUCCUGUUCUUAUAUAAUAUUUUCCCUAGUAUUUCGGGCAAGAAAAAAAAAAUUCAACAAAGAGCAAGUUGCUCAGAUUGAUUUAUCUUGUUUUUCAGGUUAUCUUGUGAAAUGAUGAUAAUGCUCAUGAAUGCUAGAAAACUUCUAAUGCAAACAACUCUAUUUGGGAUGAUAAGCCUAAUUUUACAAGCGAUAAAUAUAAAUAACUUUUUGUGGUCAAUUGAAUUUGUAAUUACUCUUAGCCCUAUUCUAAAAUUUGCAGGCUGCUUGAGAAAAAAGAAUAUUUCUCACUCAUCUUUAAUCUUCAAGGAAAAAACAAAUCUAAUAAAAUGACAAACAAACAAACAAACAUAUAAAAGACAGCAAACAAACAACAUUGAUCUUAUGCCUACUGAUAUUUAAACAGAGAAUUCUUUCUUCUUUUUCUCUUCAUGGAUUAGAGUUUUUGCUAUUAACAGAAAGGUUUCAAGGGUCUGAAUACAAUCCCAGACUUUUUUUUAACUUUGUUUUUUGUGGGAAAAUGGAUUCAAGUUAACCAAAGCCAAUAAUAAGAUCACAGACUUUAACAAUGAACAAUAACUUAAGCAAAACCAAUGACAAGAUUAAAACAAACCAGAGAAAUUUUUCUCGGAAAGUAGAUGAAAAGCAAGUAAGAACUGCUAUUAAAUAUUAUUAAAGGAUUUAGAACAUGUAUACCUCUUUAAUUAUAUGGGAUCAGAGAAAUGACCUUCUCUAUUCGCUUCGGAUAUUAAGUAAGAACUGCUAUUAAAAGAAUGAAUUGAUGAGAGUAAUAACAAUGAAUUGCAAAAUAGGAAGACUCAAUCAUGCACCCCUUUUAUACCCGAUUUUUAAGAUUUAAUUUUGAAGUUCACCAAUCAAGAACAAAGAAAAAACCUUAAUAAAGAAUGCAGUGAGAAUAAUUAAGUUAAAGAAAGUACUAGGUUAUGGCUCUGCGUUUCAUAUGCUGUAAUGAAAUAAUUAAGUUGAAGUUUUUAACGAUUAAAUACCUGUUGUGCUAGAAUAAUUUUAGAAGAAUAUUGGCUUAUAGAGCAUAUUAGUAGGGAUAAGAUUUGUAAGAUGCCAGAUAAAAGAUAAAGCGAAAGCUUGAAUGAAGAAUGGCAUUUAAUAAUUAUAGAAGAAUAUUGGCUUAUAGAGCAUUUUAGUAGUGAUAAGAUUUGUGGACAGAAUAAAUGAAAUAAUAAAAGGCAUAACUGAUCAAGUCAUUAUUGAUCUUACUUUGAUUAUUACAUUGCACAUUAGUUUCUUUCUAAAAAUGCCAUUCUUCAUUCAAGCUUUCGCUUUAUCUUUCAUCAGGCAUCCUACAAAUCUUAUCCCAACUAAUAUGCUCUAUAAGCCAAUAUUCUUCUAAAAUUAUUAAAUUCCAUUCUUCAUUCAAGCUUUCAUGGACACUAUUUACAAAUUGUUCUUGUAUUUGACAGAAAAAUGAAAACUCCUCAUCAUACAAAACUGCAUGAACAAAUCUUCAAUUUAAUUAUGAUAAAAUAAUUAAUUCCAUUAAUAGAUUAUGUUGUUUUUUUUUUUUUUGUCUUGACCACAAGGUAUCCUGGGAAGGGCCCCAACUGUGGGAGGCAUUUUUAAGCCCGUACCACAACCCAUACUAGAAGUCCCCACUCGAACCGGGAGGCACAAGUUCUCCCAACAAAGGCGACUUCCCUGCAAUUCGAACUGGGGAGCAAACCCAGUCAAUCCACUUAAGGGGACUCCAUUGCCAGUGGAGCCAACACUUUGUUGGUUAUGUUGUAUGUUAAUGUGAGGGAUUUGAUCAGGUGAUCAUAUAAUUUACUAAACGCUUUAAGAAGAACAAGAAUUAAUGAGUUAAAAAUUAAAAAAUAAAUAAAUAAAGAGUAGAUGGAAAGAAUGUUAUUUGCAAUCACUAAACCAAAGAACAGGGGAAUGAUAAGAGAGGACGGUUACUGCAACAUUAUGAAGUCAAAAUUAAGAAAGGCAUUCUUUUUUUUUUCACAUUAUUCUAUUUAAUCUUUCAUAAGGCGCACACUACGAAUCUAAAUUAAAUUCAUAAUUAAGAAUAAAAGAUAAACCCAAACAAUCAUCUAGCAGGUGCCGUGUAGACUGCAUCAAAAAUUUAGAUUUAGAUUUUUACAAUCACCAAAUGGAAAAACAGGGGAAUGAAAACAAAGGUGCCGUGUUUGUAGAAACAGGGGAGUUUCCGGGUUUCUGGAAACAAACUCAGAAACGAAUAAAUCUCUUGGUGUAUAUAAGCUUUCAUCAUCUGGUUUUAGUUUGGUUAGGUUUAACUACAUUUCCUGGGUAGCAUUACUUAUGCUAGUAUAUUCAUUUCUACCCAAGCCACAGUGACUGUUAGGAGUUCUCGUAAACUGAAUUUAAAGUUGCGGCUUAAAGUGUUUACCAACUUAAAACCAGAGCUAUAAAGUGUUUGAUGAAUUAUUUUUUCAUUAAAAAAAAAAAAACUGAUUUAGCGGGAUAAAAUAAUGCUCCAUUCCGUUUAGUAAGUGAAGUCCAGAGUAUUACCUACUACUAACUAAAUCCGCUUGAUUCACAAGACUACCAAGAGAUGACUGAAUCUUCAAUGUAAUAAAAUAAUAAUCAGCCUCACAGGAUACAUAAAAAGCUCAUUUUUCACAACCAUAUCCUAGUGCAUCAUAAACUUGAUUAUUUAAUUUUACUAUUAGGAAACCUACUUAUAUAAGGCGCACACUACAAAUUCUAAAUUAAAUUUUCAACUAAGAAUAAAAGGUAAACCCUAGCAGUCUUCCACCAGGUGCCGUGUAGCCUGCAUCAUAAAUUUUGAUUUAAAUCUUUGUAAUCACCGAACAGAAAAACAGGGGAAUGAAAACAGAGGAGCCCUCAUUUUUUUAACCCUUAACUCUUGUUCUUCUAAUUAUAUUUUUACUUGGAAUUUCAGGCAAACAACAAAAAAUAGUGACAACUAUUCAGAGAGAACAGGUGGAUGAUAGCAAAAAUAUUUUUAAUUAAUAUGCAUGAUUAACUCUUGUUCUUCAUUAUUGGUAGUCUCUGUGGGCUCAUUUCGUCUCCAGACCUGAUAUUGUAUAUCUCUUUUUGAAUAUGCAUGCUGCUGAAUAAAGAUGAUUACUUCCAAAUUUUUGUUGCUUUUUUUUUUUUUUUUUGGGCUUUGGUGCAUGAAGAAUGUGGAAAUAGAAAUAGCUUUCGAAGUUUAAUGGCUUGCUUCAUUAGUAAAGAAAGACAAGGAUAUCUGUCCCUUUUUGUUACUGAAUUAUUGAUCAAUUGACGGUUGAAGUUGGUUAUAUUAAUUUGUUGUACAAGAAUUGAAGCUUAUAUCUUAGCCGUUUCGUGAAGUGUCAAAUAUGUUCUUUCCUUGCAAUUGUUCAAAAUAUGUUAUUCUUUUGAAGUCACUAUUACAUAAAGGGUGUUGUAAAAUAGGGAAAGGCGGGUUUAUGAUUAGAUUUUAAUAUGUUUAAUUCAAGGAUUAACCGAAGCUAUUAACCAACGGCUACUAACCGAAAACCGAAUUUAACAAUAAACACUAACUCAGAAUUCAAGAAAAUUAAAUGACAAGAUUGAGACAAAUGAGAGAUAUUUUUCUUGGACAUUAAGAAAGAACUACUACCAAGAUCAAGGAUUAGAGAUUAUAUAUGCUAUUAUUAAUAGAAAUUAUUAAAGGAUUUAGAACAAGUUCACCUCGUUAAUUAUCUGGGAUGAUGAGUUUCUAUAUUCACCUUGAAUAUAUAAUAACAAUUUUAGUGAGCAAAAGAUCACUGGUAACUGCAGAGGAAUGUGUGAGUUUAAGAGCUUAUUAGAGUAAGCAAUACAAAUGAAUUUUCAAAUUAUGUACUUGGUCAUUGUUGUCCUACUGACGCACGUUUUUUUUCAUGAAUAAUUGCCAGAUCAGAAAAGAAUAAAUUCGGUUGAUUGAAAGAUUGCUGAAGUAAGUAAAACAAUCUUCAUAUCGAACAUGAUUCCAAUUAAAUUAAUCUUUUUAUAAGAUGACUAAUAAAAGAUAAAAGUAGAAGCUUUGAUGAAUGAACGAUGACCAAAACUUUUGUAAAAGCGGAUGCCGAUAAAAUAAACAAAAGGCACUUUAAAAAGAAACUAAAGUGCGAUCAUCAAAGUAAGAUCACUAAUGAUGCUUCGCUAUCACAAGGUCCGCAUGGACAUUAUUUACAAAUUGUUCUUAUGUUUCACAGAAAAAAAUGAAACACUGUUCAUCAUACAAAAUUGCAUGACCGAAUCUUCAAUUUUUAUAAUUAUAAAAUAAUGGAUUAUGGGUAUGUUAAUGUUACGGAUAUGAUCAGAUCAUCAUAUAAGUUACUAGAAGCAUUAACAAGAACAAGAUCUAAUGAGCUAAAAGUUUUUUUUUUAAAAAAAGUUAAAUAAAUAAAGAGUAAAAGUAAAAAAAUGUUAUUUGCAAUCACCAAAAUGAAAACAGAGGAGCCCUGUUUUUCCUCUUGUUUCUACUUCUCUCUUUUUCAAGUAGUAGAAAAUGAUAUCAGAGUAUGAGAGCUCACUGCUUUCAUUAGUUGGAAAGUGUCGCCUAAAACACUUCCUCUGCUGGGUGGAAUUGUUGGCUUGAAGAGAUGAGUUCUUGUCACGAGCACAAAUUUUAGCUGUACAUUAUUUCCUUUUAAAUGCACCAUUGUUGCACAGAUUUGAACCAUAUGAUCAUUAGUUUUUUGUUUUGAUUUGGUUAGUUCGUGAUGACAAAUGAAUUAUUUUCAUCACAUUGUCAUUAUGGUAAAAAGUUGCCCUCUUUGUUACUUCCACAGCUAUUUAGUUUAAUAUUUUGUAAUAAGAUCACAAAGUGCGUGGGAACUAUUGUUCGGGUACUUUAGCCUAAAAUGAAGAUCUAUUAAAAAUUUCCCUGAUGUCAUGAUAUAAAACAAUAAAAGGUACCAACUUCAGCUUAAAUUCAUAUAAAAUUAAACCUUACCACAUACUGUAUUGAAACAAAUUACUCAUCUUUAUUGGUAACAUCAUCACCUUCAUAAAAUAUAUGGUAUCGUACAAAGUUCUUGCGCUGGGUUCGGGCAUCUAACAACGAGGACACAGCAACCUAUUCGCUAGGUUAGAGACCAAAUAGCCAACAGCAAAAUGUGCACGACGCAUGUCACUAUCAUGAAAACAACAUUCUUUUUCUUUUUUUUUUUCCCCUCAAUAAUUUCAGAUAUAAUAUUUUAACUAAGUUUGUAACACUGUUGAUUGAAAUUAUCAAGUACGAAUGUGUGUAGAUUUUAACAUGUGCACUCAUAAUUAUUAUUGUGCAGUUUUAGACUUGGUUGGGUAUUGAGGUGCUAAAACUUUUGCCGUAAGAAAAAAAAGUUUUGCAAAAGUUUUAAGUAUAAAAUAAAAGUUAAUAGUAUAUAAUAAAUUUAGUUUUUUUAAUAAUAAUUUUGAUAAAAUUAUAAAAGAUAUAAUAAAUUUUUUAUCAUAUAAGUGUAAAAUCAAAUCAUCUUAACUUUUAAACUACAACAACUAUAACAUUUUAACUGUUCAAUCUCAAUCCUAAAUAGACCCUUAAUUUAUAAUUAGAUUGUCACUAAAAGAUUUUAAGUAUGUAUUUUAGAAUUUAACGAAUACACUUUUAAACUACCUUUGUCAGAUGAAAUGUUGGGAAAUUUUUAUUAAGCUCCAAAAGUGUUUGAAAUAAAUUUAUGUUUUUAUGAUACCAAAAAAAAAAAGAUUUAUGAACAUUUUUGUGAAGCUUAGGCGAAAAUUUUUGUUAGGCUCUAUUGGGCUAGAUGAGCAGCUCGGGCAGUUAAUUAUCGCCCAAAAAGCCCAACCCAGAUUACAACAAGCUGGGAUUUGGUUAGCUCGUUGACGGCCAUUUGGGUAUGCAUGAAUUGGGUGGAUGAUUAAUAAAUACGAUUUAUUAAUUAUUUCGCCGAUUUGAAUAUUCUCCUAAUUUAAUCUUUUCUAAUAUUAUAAUAACGAGAUUUUGACAUGUGUUAUACCUGUGUUAUUUUAAUAAUCCAAUAGAUAAUAUCUACUUUAUUUUUAUCUUUCGUUAUUAAAUACAAAAACACUAAUAGAAAAAAAAAAUGACUUAACUCUUUUUAUAUUUUUAAUUUUUAUUUAUUUCCGUUUAUUGCUUUCCUAGCAAUGUUCAUCUUUUUACUCUACAACAUCCAUAACCUUAACUUUGGAAAUAAAAGAGAAUAUGCGAAAGUAUAAGUAGGAGAAAGACUUCAUUGAAAUCAAACGAAUUGGGCAACGUUAGAUUUUUCUUUAAAAUUCUCAUGCGAUAUUAAUUAGUAGUAUUAUCGUUGUUGCCUGCCUACUUCUAACCUCAACCAAUAUAUGAUCAAUGCUUGAUUUGGUCAAUCUAAAUAAUUAUAAUCGAUGAUAGGAUAUUGUUGAAGGGCGGCCCUAAGGAUGAGAGAGGGAAUGCGUGUGCAAGCCACAUGUGUGAAGAAAAAGAAAAACGCAAGAGUGAAGAUGACGGCGAUUAAGAUCGUGUUUGAUUUCUUUUCCUGUUUAAUUUUAGUUAAUAUGCUGUUGUUAGUUCCAAAAUUUGAGUUAGCAACAAAAUGACAUGUUUUUGUGUUUAAUAAGGAAAAAGUAAAUAAUAGAUUUUCUAUAGGAUUCUUGGAAUGGAUUAGAUUAGACUAUGGAGAGAAAUAUAUUUGAAAAUAUUAGUGUUGAGUCAUUCUAAUGUCUUUAAUAGUAAAUUCAAUUAAGAAUAUUUUAGUAAUAUAAUUUUUUAUUAAAAUUAGAGUGUUCAAAGUUAGUAAUAAAAAAUUCAUAUAACUCUGGAUUUUUUUAUUGAAUUUAUAUAACUCUGGAUUCUUUUUUUUUUUUUUUUUUCCAACACUGAUAUGGUUCUGUUCUGUGUAUUUAUAUACAAUUUAAUGUUUACAUACAAGUUAAAUUAUAUACAAUCCUUCAAGUCGUAACUCAAUUUUAUGGAGGUUUAUACAUCUUUCAACGAUCAAUUUAAUAUUUAUAUACAAACCUCCGCAUCUUUCAACGAUCUCAUCUGCUGAUUUUUUGUAUUCCUGUUCUUUCACUUCAAUAAUUUUUUGUAUUAUUCCAUAUCUUUCACUUUAAUAACCCAAAAGCUUUCCUCUGUUUCAAUCGAAAGAAAACCCUAGCUUAAACUAAGAGAAAAUUUACAUAUUAAAGCUAAUUAGUACUGAAUUUUUUCUGGUGGUGCGACCAGAGGUGGAAACAGGGUAUGAAAAUGCGUUACUGGUGAGGUUGCUGCUUAAGAUGAGAAUGCAUUCUUUUCAAAAAUCCUUGGUAGGUGUUAUCUAAUUAUCUUUGAUGGAAUAUUAAAUGGCUAAAAAUCUGUCAUACGUUCAAACUUUGUUUUUGUUUAGAAGAAUGGUGUUGACUGUAUAUUCGUUUGGAAGAAUGGUGUUGAUUGUAUAUUCAUUUGCUUAGCCUUUUGACAGAUGGAUUUGGAACUGACGACAAAUGUGAUUCAAUUUACAAGGUUUUCGAGGGGCUCACCGUGGAAGGGAUAUUGAAGAACUGGUCUAAGAUAAAGCCUAUGAUUGUGAAAGAUUGGAGUGAGAAUAUAGAUGCUCUUUUUCAUCUUUUUGGCAAGGUCAGAGAUGAAUGGAUAGAUAAGGAUUUAUUUGACUACUUGGACUGGUGCUAAUAGGUAUUUUAGGCAAGCUUUUUGAGAUAACACUGAGCAAGUUAUACUACUAUUUUGCACAUGAUGAUCUCGAAAAGUAAAAUAAAAUAAAUUAUUAACUUUUACUUUCAUCUUUUGCAUAGCAAUCAAUGUGGUGCUUGUUCUGUGACAACUUUGAUAAUCUACUUAAUUAUUGGUUAGCAUUUGGACCAAAAAAGUUCUUAUGAUUUACAUGUUUUGUAGAAAUGCAUGAACCUUAAAUGUGCUGAUCAGGGAGUUUAAUUAUUGCACCUUGAAAUUCAUUUAUUGUUAACUAAUUGGCUUUCCUUUGCAUAAAGCCACUUAUAAGGCUUGAGUGGACGUCUUUAUGGGCAUAUUAUUUGUAUUUCUAUAUGCAUGCCUUUAUCAUUUAAUGUGCUGCUUUUAUUUCUUUAUGCAUGCCUUUAUCAUUUAAUGGCCAGCUCCCUCUCCUCUUUUGUAAUUUGAAUAGUAGUAUGGGCCUCCAUUUUACAAAUCUUUAACAUCUUUUGCUGUAAAUUAAUUUUUCUUUCAAAUAUUCACUACUAGAAAAAUAGUCUUUACUGACUUUACAAUAGUAUCAGAAAUUACUUUCACUGACACUUGUUAAUUGUGUCAGUAAUCUGGGAGUCAGAAAAAUAGUGACACUUAUAAGUGGUGUCAGUGAUUACUAUUACUACAGUAUCACCGAUAUUAUGACACCAUAGUGUUAGUAGUUAUUGAUAUUUUAUUAGUGUCUAUAAUUACUGUUACCAUGGUAUCACUAAUUAAUAUAUUUUUUUAAAAAUAAAAAAUUGAAUUGGAUCAUUGCCUAUUGAUUUAUUUGUAAAAUUAAAAGCACCACAAAAUAACAAAAAGAAAUUGAUUUAUAUCACAAAAUCUUUCAUUUCACAUUUAAAUAUUAUUAGUAUAUAACUAAAUAAUCCAAAUUCAAUACAUAAAAAUUUCUACCAUCCAAUCAAAUGCCUACUACUUGUGGCUAAAUUUAUAAAUCUAGAAGUUAAAUUGAGAAUGAUGACUGUCUUUCACUCUUUGAAUAUGAGUAGUAUAAUUGCGUUAUCACACCAGCAGCUUCUCCAUUUAAUAAACUGUAUGGGUUAUGAUACAAGUGAAGUUGAGGAAUAAACACUUCAAACACAUUGAGCAAAUAUGCAUACAUGGAAAAGGGAGAAAAAAUUAGCUGCCAAUUCCCAACCAUUAGAGAAACAAUGGUUAAUAUAAAUAAAUCUAUUUUGUUCUAAAGAAAAAAUAUUCAUACACUAUUUAUAAGUAAACUCAAUUAUUUCUAAUGGUGGAGCACAUAUGUGUGAACAACAGAGCAUCACAUAGCUCAAAGUACAUUAACUGUUCUGUGUCUUAUUCAUUUUUCACUUUAGCUUUUAUUUUAGCAAUUUUUUGAGAAUAAGCUCCAACUCAGAAGGUGAAAUCCAACUUCCAUAUGUAGACAUUCUUGCAGCUGACAGCAAUUAGUUUGGGACUACGGCUUUUUUGAGCAUCUGGCAUGGAUUACAUUGAGAUAUACAAUUUACAUACAAACAUUAAAGAACUAAAACAUUAUUUAUAUUUAGAGACAAUUCAAAUGUCAGCAAACAUUAUUUAUAUUGGUUUAGCAAGUGGCACGACAAUUUUUUAGAUAGAAAUGUACAGAAACUAUAAAGGAAAAACAUUAUCAAGACACCAUUAAAGAAUCAUAGAGUACCUUUACCGGAUUUGUUUGCUUUGCAGGUGGGCUGUGAUGAUGAUGAGCAUAAAGCAUUUUCAUUUAAGCGGACAAGUGCCUUAGCUUCUUUACUUACUACAGACCACGUGUUCUCCCCAUCUAGCCUUGCACUUCCAAAAUCAUGAAAUCCAUCUUUGUGGAAUGUCUUAAUGCCAGGAGUGCGUGAAAAUUCUGGGAGUGCAUUGGCCUUCUAAAUAAAAAGAAACUCGUAAAUAAUUCUUGUGUCAAGUAACAAGGACAAAAAUUUACUUGGAAGCAGCGCAUCCAUGAAAAGAUAGACGCAGAUAGCUACAGAGACACAGUCAACACAUAAUAGCUAAUCCUAAACCUUAUUGGAUAUAAUACCUCAUUAGCAGAGAUUGCUUCGUCAUCUGAGGUACAUGUUGAUGCCUUCCUUGGCGAGAAGAUAAAACCAACCUCAUCAGGAAAUUCAGGCGUUUCAACCUCGUCUUCCACAAAGACACUUAUUUGCUUCUGUUACAGCGACAUACACAAAUGUCAGUUUCUCCUAAGAAAACUGGUCGGAACCUGAAAAUUCUAUUCAAAUUUAAUCACUUGCCUUUGGUGAUAAACUGCCAGCAAUCCUUCCACAAGUUUCUCCAUGAGUACCUGUAUGUCAGAAACCAAAUCUGUGCUUUGGAACCUAAACAUGAAUAUCGAUGAACAACACCCUCAACAAUCUCAUUAGCGUCAAAAACAUUUUAUUACAAAAUAAUACUACGGUUUCGGAGCGCACCUUUCAGUAUGUCUAGUCGCGAUUGAAGUUGCACUACUUCCUAUCAAUUUACAAAAAUCAUAGCAUGAAUAAAUAAAACAAUUGCCUCUAAAUUUACAAAAUCAACGUCAUCACAUCAAUUACGUGAUGGAUAACAAUUUAAGUAAAUUUUAAUAAAAAAUUAUUCAACAAUUAAAUCGAAUGACAAUUAAAUUAGUAAAUUGAAUACUGACCUCUUUCUCCGAUGGCCCACCCAACGAAACACAAUUAUCUCGUAAAUCGACGUUAAAAUCUUCCUCAUCUGCAAAUCAAAAAAUUUGAAAAACAGAGAAAUGCUUAAAACGCGUACAGUGUUUAGUGUAUACAUAACAUAAGAGUAUUUAAAAAAUAAUGGCAACCCUGUAUGAAAUGUCAAUCAAAUUACCAGAAAUGCUUUGAUCAGAAUCUUCAUCUCCCUGAAAGCGCAUAAGAUCCCGGCAAAAUGAAAAGAAAAAAAUAAAACGAAUUAUCAUCUACAAAAAAAAACAACUUUAGUUGGUUAAAAUCUACAAACUAAGUGCGGCUCGGAUAGCAGAAUAUGACUAGAAAAACAAAAACAUUAUUGAGUAACCAGAACAUCUAACAUCGCAUAUGGGCACCAGAACAAAAUUCAUGCAAAAAUAUGGAAGUUGAAAAAUCAGCAAAUGCCGCUAACCGAGUUAAUGGAAUGCGAAACCUGCCUAGAUAGUGGAGGAGUUCCGGUAAAGGAGGACCAUCAAGCACAGCUAAGGAGGAAGAAUGCAACUUAAAAUAGUUAUAGUUUCAUUACGAAUUAAAAAAGUUUAAUCCUCUAAUUUUCAAUACAAUGGCAUCUCCUAUUCAUGCGCAUGCAUCAGCAGCAUUGUUAUUGAUAGAACUGAAAAAUUGGCACUCGGAUAAUCAUAUGGUUGUAGACACUGCUCCAAAAUAAUCAUUAAACAUGGAAACUAAUAAGGCCACAGGUUCUGGAAUGCCAAAAGCUGCACGCAUAUAUAUGGGUCAGUCACGAAUAAAAAGAAACGAAUUAUCAUAACCUCGACACGAAUGGGCGUAGUCACUAUAGGAUCAGAGCGGCACAGCCCUCAGCCACUAUAGGCAGGGGUUAUAUUAAUGGUUGUGAAUGAAUAAAUUCAAAUAUCAACUUUAGUAAUCAACUUAUUAAUUUACAAGUAUUUUUUUAUAUUAUGAUAUCGUAUACUCUACUAAUUGUAUUUAAAAUAUACACACACACAUACAUACAUAUAUACCAACUUAUAAUUGUGAGGUAAGCUAAGACUCGAAGCUAUUCCUUAACAAUCUAACACUCUAUAUAAUCUCAAGUGUGGAAAACCAGCAGAGAAACCAAGUUGCUUAAACUCUUGUUCAGUCAUGUGUUUACCUUUGGCCCUGUAGAUGGUCAUAACAAAAAUGUCCCCUUCUAAGAGAGCACGAGUCCUCUGACUUUCAUUUGAAUCAUCAGGCAGCACAGGCUCGCAAGCAAUCAGUUUUCCUCCUGCAGGAAUAGCCUUGUAACAAUUCUCCAUUAUCAGCUUGCAUUCAUCAUCAGUCCAUGUAGUUAAAACCCACUUCAUAAAGAUAGCAUCAGCGGCAGGAAUGGACUUAAACAUGUCCCCACCAAUAUGGGUCACUCCAGGGAUACUUGGAGCUUCGGCAACAACCUCAGGCAAAUCAAAAUUGAUCCCUUCACAUAUAAAACGAUGUUUCUAUAAUAUCAUCCUCAGGCAAUCACCUGCACUCCCACCCACAUCAACCAAUCGCUUCACACCUUUGAACCCAUCGUAACCGUCCAAAAUGGACGUCAUGAACGGCACGGACACUCCCGACAUGGCUUUUCGCAUCAAGCCGUUCAUUUCAGGCAUCUUCCCAUAAUAACUAUAUGUCGGCUCGCCAUGGACUUUCACAAAUGGCUCAAUAGUUGGGUCCAGAAUGGCCUCGUGCACCAAAGGCCACGCGCUCAUAAGCGCGUCCUGGUGAUGCUGGAGCACGUAGGGCGCGUACGAUUGACCCUCGGCAUCAGUAACGAGGGAUUUCCCAAUCUCGGUGAGGCUGUACUUCCUUUCGCCUCCAAAUUCGCGAUGCUCCGAGAACACGCCGUAGUUGGUGAGCAAGCGGAGGAUACGUUGCAAGUUCUCGGCGUCCCCACCGCCGGAUGGGAGGAUACGUGUCAAGAUCUGGGAGGCGGAGAGAGGGGUGUUGGCCAGUCUUCCCUUCUUCCCGCCAUCUCUGCACUCGUUAUCUUCCAUUACUGCUUACUGACCUUUGAUUUCGCAGCACCAUGCCGGCCAAACAAAAAGAUAAGACCUGAGCACUUUUUGACAAUUUGAAUGUUAGGGAUUUUUCAGAUGUGGGGAGCUUAGGAGGGAACGAAUACUUUGGUAGAGGGAGUUGAAAAGUUGUAUUUUGGAUAAGAUAAAGAUUUGUUCAUUUGUUUUGUUUUUAUCCACUCAAAAAGUACAAAUUCUAAAAAAAUUAAAAAUAAUUCGUAGUCUAGUGGUCUUUUGAUUCAAUGUAGAAGUUCUAGGUUUAAGCAGUCUUGGGUUCGAAUUCAGACUAAAACAAAAUUAGAAUGAUAAUUUUUAAUUACUGAUACUUAAGCGUCAUUGAUCGCUAUUACUAAAGUUAUUGAUACUUCAGUAUUAGUAAUUAGUGAUACAUAUCUGUUAAACGCGGAAAAUAAUCUAAAUAUAUGUAUAUAUUGAUACUUUUAAAUAAAGUGUCAGAACACAAGUAUCAGUAAAGACCAUUUUUCUAGUAGUGAUUUUGGAGGUCAUUGGAAUUCCUGUAGGUCUAUUUACCAGAUUUUAGUAAGUUUAAGGUUUUAAUUUUGCUUAGACUUUAAUUUUUCUGAAAGAUUGUAGUAUUGAUCCUUAAAGAAAGAUCAUGCUACUUCAAAUUAUUUUGAAGUGUUGCUAGUUAUAGCCUUACAUAUAAAAUUCCAUUUGUCUGGAAAUUUAUUGAUAGCUGUUACAGCAGCAUAUUUUAUGACUCUACUUCUUAGUUAUGUAAGUUCAUUAUGUUUAGGUCAGAGGCAGUCAGCUGUGGGGAAUUGAUAUAUACACAGAUGACUUUGAUCUUGUUGCCGGUAUGUGGUUCUAUGAAUAAUUGUUCACAAUAAUUGUGUUUGCCUCACUGUUUUUGUUUUAUGAGAUCUAUAAUUGAUCUUGGGAUAUUACUUUCUAGUUCUCAUGCAAGCAAGUUACUACCUUCCCACUGUAUCUCCUCCUUUAUCUGCUAUUCAAGAGUUGCGUGCCAUAAUCUGGUGUUACCUCUGCAAGAUUGUGAAUGAAUAUAAUGCCUCUAAAUUUAUUUUAUACAUAAUGCUGAUGCUGAAUAAUAUAUUGUAGCUCCUGUCAUAUUCUACUUUGACUUUUUAUAUUCUGUUUCAUAUAAAAAUCUUAUUCAACUUUAGUUGUUCAUGAGCAAAUGUCACAUGUAUAAGCCCAAAUGAUGUUUAAAGGUAGCGCAGCUACCUUUAGUUUGAGCUUACAAUGGAUGAAAAAGAAAUUGAAACUGAUAUUUUGCUGUUUUUCUGAUUUUUCAAAGUAUUUUAGAUCCUGACUUUUGUUUGGACUUGAUGGUUAUAGAUUGUGUCUAGAUUUGUUAAGUUGUUUCCAACACCUCGUGCCAAAUGAAAGCACAAUCUUUCUGAUUCAGAUGUCUUGUUAAUUGAAGAGAGCUCAUUGUGCUGAGUUAAAACAAGAAAGGAAGCCAGCAGUCAAGAUUCUUCAGCAAUGCCAUGUCAGUGCUGAGUCAGCUGAUUCUGUUAAGGAUUGUUGAAAGCUCACGUGACUAUUAGUUAGUUAAUUAGCUUUUAGUUAGUAAUGCAGGAUUCUGAUUGGUUGAUUAAUUGCAAUGCUUAUUUGAUCAAUUGUAGCUUGGAAAUAAACUGUAUAUAAACAGAGUCUAUAACGAUUGCUUCAAUUAAUGAAAAGAAAAUAUUCCAGAGAGUUCAUCUAUUUUCUCAGUAACCAAACAAGCAUUUAGCUUAAUUUGCUAUUAUUUUACAUGGUAUCAGGGCCACAAUAUGGCAAGCUCAAGCAAUCCAAACGGAAAUUCAAACACAAUCACUGCAAAUCAAUCAAUACAAACCACAUUCUCCUUCAUAUCACCAAUCAAGUUAGAUCGAUCUAACUACAUGCUCUGGCGAAAUCAAGUUCUAGCCUCUAUAAGAGGAAACAGACUUGAAGGUUACAUUAAUGGAGAGAAGGUUGCUCCCAAUCAGUUUAUCACAACUGGAGGAUAUGCUGGAGCAGCAGGUAGUUCUACUCAACAGAAAGAAAAUCCAGAAUAUACAGUCUGGAGAUCACAAGAUCAGACAUUACUAAGCUGGCUGUUGAGCUCAGUCACUGAAGGUAUUCUCCGCCUUGUUCAUUCUUGCAAUACUUCAUAUGAUAUAUGGAAAACAUUGGAGAAAAAGUUUGGUGCAAAAUCUGAAGCAAGAGUACUUCAACUUAGAUAUGAAAUGAGUGUUUUAAGAAAAGAUUCACUGAAUAUAGAAGAUUAUUGUUUGAAGAUGAAACAAAUAGCAGAUAAACUAGCAUGUGCUGGUAAUCCAGUUUCAGAUAAAGAUUUGCUGCAACAAAUUCUAAAUGGUCUUGGACAAGGAUAUCUUGAUUUAGCUACAUUCAUAACAGCAAGUAAACUUGAUUAUGAUGAUGCAUAUGCACUACUACUUACUCAUGAAACAAGACUUGAACAGAGUAUGAAUGAAAAACAGAUGUUCAAUGCAAAUUUUGCCAAUUUUACUCCUAAUAACAGUGGAUAUGGUAUGAUGAAUGCCUUUUAUGCACAAGCAAGAGGCAAUGCUCGAAGAGGUGGAUAUAAUGGAGGUUUUCACAGUGGCAAUCAAGGAGGAAGAAAUAAUUUUCAUACUGGAAGGGGAAUGUUUGUUAACUCUCAUCCAAGAGGUUUUCCCUCUGGAACUGGAAAUUUUGGUAACAGUCAUGGUAGAGGUCAGAUGAUUGGUAAUAAUAAACAGAUGCAAUUUAUGAGAGGUCAAUACAGUAGUAACUCUGGUAUGCCAAACUCUGAUGGUAAUGAUGAGCAAAGUGUUGUAUGUCAAAUUUGUUUUAAAUCUGGGCAUACAACAACAGAAUGUUGGCAUAGAUUUGAAGAGAAUUAUGUACCACAAUACAUGAAGAAAUGAAGAAAUUAGAGAUGAGCUUAUAUGGCAUAUUAUGAUGCACCAACUGAAAAUUCAUGGUCAACUGCUUGUUCAGGAAUGCCUCAAAUGCACAAUCCAUCAUUCACCCCAUACAUGUCUGAUUCAGUGAACUUGUUAGGAGCUGGAGCUGGAGCUGCCUAUGUUGCUAAUUUUGAAGGUCCAGCAGAUGAAGGAUGGUAUCUUGACAGUGGGGCUACACAUCAUUUGACAAACAACAUGGCAAAUAUGCAUGUCAGAGAUGAAUUCAAUGGUAAUGACAAGCUGAUUAUUGGCAAUGGUAAAGGUCUGUCAAUCACACACAUUGGUAGCACUACUUUUUCAGUUCAAGGUUCUAAGUCACAAGCUGCACGUAAAUGCAUUACACUUAAAGAUAUACUGCUUGUUCCUUCUAUCACAAAGAAUUUAAUAAGUGUUUCUAAACUUACUGCUGAUAAUAACCUAUCUAUUGAAUUCUUUGGAUGUAUCUGUUAUGUGAAGGAUUCACUGGAGGGGAAGGUUCUGCUACAGGGUAUUGCUGAGAAAGGUCUAUACAAAUUGCUGAUCAAAUCAUCUUCAAAAUCAUCACUACAACCUACAUACACCUCUUUUCUUUCUCAAAGCUCAAUAAAUCAACCUUUGUCUAUGUUGUCUCUCUGUCAUUUCAGUUCUGCAACUAAUAAUACUUGUUCUGCAAAUUGUUUUCAUUCAAAUAAAAACUCUUGUACUGAUUCAUCAUCAAAUAAAAUGUCUCUAUUUCACAGAAGAUUUGGUCAUCCCAAUGCUCAAAGUUUCAUUCACUUACUUAUACUUGUGCAUCCUAACUUGUUAUCUACAAAUAUGCUUAAUCAAGUAAUAAAGCAUUUAUGUGAAGCAUGUCAGCUGGGCAAAUUUCAUAGACUUCAUUUUCCUAUAACUGAUAUUAAGUCUAAAUCAGCACUAGAACUAAUCCAUACUGAUCUAUGGGGCCCUUCACUAAUAUGUUCUAGAGAAGGUUAUAGAUAUUAUAUUAGUUUUGUGGAUGAUCACACUAGAUACACCUGGAUAUACCCUCUGAAAUUAAAAUCAGAAGCUCUAGAAGUGUUCAAAUUGUUUAAACUUCAAGUUGAAAAUCAGUUUCAAACCACCAUCAAAGCUCUACAAUCUGACUGGGGGGGAGAGUAUAGACCAUUCACUACUUUUCUAAAUGAAUGUGGUAUUCUUUUCAGACACUCUUGUCCCUACACACAUUAUCGAAAUGGCCUUGUUGAAAGAAAACACAGACAGAUUAUAGAAUUAGGCUUAACACUUCUAGCACAAGUUAAACUUCCAUUCCAGUUUUGGUGGGAUGCUUUUCAUACCUCGGUUUAUCAUAUUAACAGACUUCCUACCUCUGCCCUUAAGAUGUCUAUUCCAUAUGAAAAAUUAUACAGACAUAAAGCUGAUUACAACAUGCUGAAAUGCUUUGGUUGUGCUUGUUAUCCAUACUUGAGAGAUUACAAUAAGCAUAAAUUUGAUUAUCAUACAACCAAGUGCAUCUUUCUUUGUUAUAGUCCUUUUCAUAAAGGUUUCAAGUGCUUUCAUCCCUCUGGUCGUGUGUAUAUUGCUAGACAUGUCAAUUUUGAUGAAACUUCAUAUCCAUUCUUUUCAGAUCCUGAUUUUCAUUCUUUGAAUAAAUCUCAGUCCAACUCUUAUGAUUCCAUUACACCUAUACAAGUAUUUCAAUUGUCUACCUUACCUGUCAUAUCAGUUUUUUUGAAUAACAGCAAUGAGUCUCUUUCUCAAGCAUAUACCAGUAGUGAUAACUUUCCUUCAGCAGUAGAUUCAACACAAGUACAUGUCUCAGAUCAACAACUCUCAAACACAAACAAUGUCUCAGAUCAACAACCAAUUUUACCUGCACCUACAACAUUACCUUCUCCAGAUGAAAUUCCACAAACUCAACCUAUUCUAAACUCACCAUCUCUAAACCACCAUCCUAUGAUUACUAGAGGAAAGGCAGGUAUCUUUAAGCCAAAGCUAUGUACUGCAGUUUUGUUGUACAAAGAACCAAAAACUAUUCAGGAGGCUCUCAACAAUGAAAGGUGGUUUCAGGCAAUGAAAGCUGAAUAUAAUGCAUUGAUAUCAAAUGGCACUUGGACAUUGGUACCAAGAACAGAAAAUCAUAAGCUUAUUGGUAACAAAUGGGUUUUCAGAAUAAAAACCAAUACUGAUGGAAGUGUUGAGAAAUAUAAGGCAAGAUUGGUUGCUAAAGGAUUUCAGCAGAUUGAGGGUGUUAACUACUUCGAGACUUUCAGUCCAGUGGUAAAAUCAGCAACAGUUAGAGUGAUCUUAAGUUUGGCAGUGAUGAACCAGUGGCAAAUACGACAAGUUGAUGUGAAUAAUGCAUUCUUAAAUGGAGAUCUAACUGAAGAAGUUUAUAUGAGACAGCCAGAAGGAUUUGUUGAUCCACAAAGACCAGACUCUGUAUGUAAACUGCACAAAGCUCUUUAUGGCCUGAAACAAGCUCCUCGUGGUUGGUUUGACAAACUGAAAAGUAGUCUUAUACAAUGGGGAUUCAAGAAUUCUAAGUCUGACACAUCUCUAUUCUUGAGAAGAACCAAGAGCUCAAUCAUUAUAAUUCUGAUAUAUGUAGAUGAUAUAUUGAUUAUAGGAUCAGAUUGUGUUGAGUUGGAAGAGUUUAUUAAGUUGUUCAGCUCUACAUUUGCAUUAAAGGAUCUGGGGAGACUAUCUUACUUUCUGGGUAUAGAAGUAUUAUAUGGUCAUGAUAGUAUAUACCUGUCACAAAAGAAGUAUAUCCGAGACUUGCUUGCAAAAGUUGACAUGCUUGAAUGCAAGGGAACAAACACACCAAUGAGUAGCAGUAAAGAUUACAGAUUGCAGAAGAGUGUUGAGGGAGAAAUGGGCUAUUAUAUUGAAGAUCCCACUCAUUACAGAAGCAUAGUUGGAGGACUGCAGUAUUUGGUUUUAACUAGACCUGAGAUAGCUUAUUCUAUUUACAAACUAAGUCAGUAUGUGUCUUCACCAACUCUUCAACAACUUAUGGCAUGUAAACGAGUGCUAAGAUAUUUGAAGGAAACACAAGAAUAUGGUCUAAAGUUUGUUAGAGAAGGUGACAUGAAGCUUACAGCAUUUACAGAUGCUGAUUGGGGAAGUGAUCUUGAUGACAGAAGAUCAGUUGGAGCUUAUUGUGUAUACUUGGGAAACAAUUUAAUCUCAUGGUCCUCAAAGAAACAAUCAGUGGUUACCAAGUCAUCAGCUGAAAGUGAAUACAGGGCUCUUGCUGCAGCUGUUUCUGAAAUAACAUGGCUAAAGUCAUUGUUCCUUGAAAUUGGUUUAUGUUGUGAUGAAAGCCAAUCAUAUGGUGUGACAAUGUGAGUGCUGCUGAACUUGCUCGCAAUCCAGUAUUUCACUCAAGAACAAAACACAUAGAAAUUGAUCUACACUUUAUCAGAGACAAGGUUUUGGCUGGAGACUUGAAGAUACUAUAUGUUCCCAAUGCAGAGCAAAUAGCUGACAUAUUAACUAAGCCACUGAACUCUUCUCAAUUCAAACCUAAGGCUCAAACUCAAUGUGGAGCUAUGUCCCUUGAGUUUGAGGGGGGCUGUGAAGAGAGCUCACUGUGCUGAGUUAAAACAAGAAAGGAAGCCAGCAGUCAAGAUUCUUCAGCAAUGCCACGUCAGUGCUGAGUCAGCUGAUUCUGUUAAGGAUUGUUGAAAGCUCACGUGACUAUUAGUUAGUUAAUUAGCUUUUAGUUAGUGAUGUAGGAUUCUGAUUGGUUGAUUAAUUGCAAUGCUUAUUUGAUCAAUUGUAGCUUGGAAAUAAACUGUAUAUAAACAGAGUCUGUAACGAUUGCUUCAAUUAAUGAAAAGAAAAUAUUCCAGAGAGUUCAUCUAUUUUCUCAGUAACCAAACAAGCAUUUAGCUUAAUUUGCUAUUAUUUUACAUUAAUUAUGCUUCAUUUUUUCGUUAAAGAUUGGAUGGUUGCAUGGAUUGAUGGAGUUGGAGUUCAACCAAUAAUUCUAAUUUUUUGGACUUAAAAUGCCUUUUUCUUCGGUAUAAAAACUUUAGUAAGUGCUAUUGAGUUGACAGAAGUUGAAUACUUACAGGUUGUUUCACACUUUUUAAUAGUUUUACAUAUAUGAAUUUCUGUUUUUUGAUUUUCAGAAAGGAGGUGGAACUAUUGAUUUGGAACCUUAUCUUACUCAUUCAUCGACAACGGAGCCUACCCUCGCUCCCAUGGCAGUGGAACGGACAACGACUACUAGGGCUGCAACAUCAGUUGGUUUGGGUCUGUUUUGAGUUUAUUUUCAUUUAUUUGGCUAUGUUUUGAUAGCGAAUUUUGAUAUGUCAAUGUAGGGUGCGUUUGGGAUUGAGGUGCUGUAGCUUUUAAGCUAUAGCCACUGUGAAAAAAAAGUUGUAAUUAUGAAAUAAAAGUUAAUAAUAUAUAAUAAAUAUAAAUUUUAAAUAAUAAUUUUAUUAAAAUUAUUAAAGAUAUAAUAAAUUUUAUAUUAUACAAGUGAAAAAUUAUAUCAACAUAACUUAAAAGCUACAGCAGUUAGUGUUUACCAAACACUUUAGUGCUGUAGCUUUUAAGCUACAGCUGGCCAACCUCAAUCCCAAACGCACCUGUAAUGUGUAAUUGUUUUGGGUUGAGCUGGUAAUUAUGCUGGAUUAGAUUGGUUUGGUUUUGGUGCUUCUCUGAUGGAACACUGUUUUUUUUAGAAAUUUUGAAUGUAAUAUGAGACUACAUUUAGUUUAAUUGAACACUGCAUCUAGUCUAAUUACUAGAAGUGCGGCAUUUGGUUUGGUUUAUCCGAUAUUCUCCAGAAUUUCACUUGCAUCUGGUUUUGUUGCAUAUGUUUGCUUGCAUUUGGUGGCAGUAGCAGACUGUUUGGUUUUGUGACAUUUGAUGGCAGUUUUGUCUGUUCUUGGUGUUGAUUUAAGAUUGUUCCUGUUGUGCUGAUGUUAAUUGCAGGUGCUUGAAUCAGCUAGGGUUGCUGGUUUAUUCAGAUGGUUGACUCAGGCGUUGUUACUGGUUAAUUCAGGUGGCUGACUCAAGUUGUUCAUUUAAUGUUAGGAAGCAAAUUAAGAAUUAAUGAAGUAUUCAUUUAACUAUAAUUAUUGUAGUUAUUUUAUUUCAUAACUGAAUUAUAAUCUAUGAUACUUGUGAACAAAUUAGAGAAUUUUUAUAUAUGAAUUAUAUAUAUGUGUAUGUACAUUUUGCUAAUAAUUUAAAGAAUAUAUUUCAAUUCCCACAAAAAAAUGGCUCCAAUUUCAAUAAUUCCCGCCAAAUAAUUAAAUUUUUUUAAUUUACCAGCAAAAUAUAUCUUAAAGAAAUUUUAGUUAUUCUUGCUAGAUUUAACAAAAAUGAUUUGUAGGAUUAACAUUUAAUUAAAAUAAUUAAAUAAUUUUAUUAUUCCAAUUAAAUAUGUCAUGUUUAUACGACAGACAAUAUUCAUGAAUGGGAAGUAUUAGUUACAUAUUUUUCCUUGGGAUUUCAGGCAAAUGAAAAAAAGAUUGAGAAUGAUUUCAAGAGGACAGGUGGAUGAUAAGUAUUCAUUUUUGUAUAUUUGUCUAAUGUCCUCAUUAGUGGAUUUUUAUUAGGGAUGGCAAUGGGGAGAGGAGGGGAGGGGACCAAUCUCCCCGUACCCAUCCCUGAUAUUUUGCGUAUGUCCCCGUCCCCUCUCCAUCCCCAUCAAAAUUAUUUAAGAGAAUCCCCAUCCCCUCCCCGAAUAAUAACAGGGGAUCCCCGAGGGUCCCCGAUCCCCGAAUAACUAAUACAUUUUUUUUAUUUUCGAUUUUGAGUUAAUCAUAUUAAAAUAAAAAAUUCAAAUAAAAGUAAAGUUCAAAAUAUAUCUUACAUUAAUAUCCAUUACAAAAGUCACAUACAUUAAAUUAGUAAGUAACGCAGCAUGCAAGAGAUACAAACUAUCAUGAACAAAUUAAUAGCCUAAUACAAAAUUGUUACAAAUAAAAUCAAAUUUAGAUUAAAAAUUAACUUUUCAAUGGUGGCGUGGGCACUUUAUAAAUGUGGACUAUUCCCUUUACAUCACAAUAGUUAAGUCGAAGCAAAUCAAGAGUAAAUAUUAGAUUAGAUUAUAUAUUAAAAUUGUGAUUUGCUGUGGGCAAUUAUAACAUCUAAAAAAAAAUAGAUUUAAGAUAAAUAAAAAAUAGAUUUAAGUUUAAAAUAUUUAAUGAAUAUUAAAAUUAAAACAAAAGUUUUGGGCUAAUAGAAUCUGUCCGGUCUUUUUAAUGUCCUAAAUAAAAAUUUAGGACUUUAAUUAGUUAAUUAGGCCUAAAAAUUUAAUAAUAUAAAUAUUUUGAUAUUUUUUAUUUUUACCAAUACUUAUAAUUUUAUAAUUCAAAUUUUAUUAUUUAUUUACUAGUAAUUUUAAAAAAUAAAAAUUAAAUUAAAAAUUAAAAUGGGGAAAUGGGUAGGGGAUGGGGAUUCCACCUCAUCCCUGUCCCCUCCCCGAAUAAGAAAUUGGGUACAAAAAUUUCCCCGUCCCUUCCCCGAAUAAGAAAUUAGGUAUGAAAUUAUCCCCAUACCCUCCCCGAAUGGGGAAAAUCCCCGAGCGUACCCGUCCCCGUGGGAAUUUUUGCCAUCCCUAAUUUUUAUGGUAUUGAUCUUUUUUUUUUUUAAUUUUCAGUUAGUUGCAGCCCUAGAGGAAGAGCAGGCUGAUCAAAUUGAUUUGUCUUGUUUUUCGGGCAAUCUACGACAUGAUGACCGUGAUAAUGCUCGUGACUGCUGGAAACUUUCUGAUGGAAAUAACUUUAGAGUUCGUAGCAAGCAUUUUUGUUAUGACAAAACAAAGGUUCCCCCAUAUUUUGUUUGUUUGUUAUGGUAUUUAUAUAUCCUGCAUUGGCUAGGUAGACAGGUUAUGAUGUACGUGUUUCUCAUAUAGAACUCAAGUCUGCUGUUGUCCCAAAGUUGGAACCAGAGAUAUCAUGACUCUGGUUUCAUUUCACCUCAACUGUGUUUUUUUUUUUUUAAUUAAAAAAAUAUUUGUUUUAGGUAUACAUACAUGUAUUUUGAUUCUAUUUUCAUUGUAAUUUCUCAUUUACUUUGAAUGAAAGUCAUUGGUGUUUUCGAAUGGGAAUUUUGCAUUAAAAAAUGAAGAAUAGUGAAUAGGAAAUUUCUUGAUUCUUUAGUUACUAUUUUUGGUAUGAGUGCCAUUAGUAGUAAGGUUGGUUUCUACUCGCAAACAAGUGAACUGCUCGAUUCCCGAGUGGUAUCAACCAGUUUCCAACUUUUUAAUAUACACUAAUUGUUAGUGUUUAAUAGCUACUGCUAUUAAAAUUCAACAGCUAACAAAAAUACUUAAAAAAAAUGAUUUUUCUUAUGAUGUUGGGAAAAAAAUUAUGGGUUUACUUAUUUCCACGAGAUCUAUAACAUGGUCUUGACUUCACGAAAUUCUUUUAAUUUAAAGCGUGCUGGUGUGAGAAGGUCAGUUUGACGGAUUAAUUCUUUUCAACAGUGGUCAAGAUAAUUUUACUAUACUAAAAAAUAUUCUUAUUCUGAUAAUGCCACAAAUGUUAUGCUGUUUUCUUCGGCUAAUGAUCUUCUAUUAGGAGAGGUUAGAAAUCAAAUGCUUAAAAGACCAAUUGAACGAAUAAUACAGAAAUUUAGGCAGAAUCUAAUCGAAUAUUGCAUGAAACAUGAAACAUCAAUUCAAGUCUUUUCUUAAACGGAGAAUGCAUCAAACAAAAUCCAAAGUGUCUUGCAAGUCUGUAGCAUGAGCAAAAAAUUGUAAAUAUGUUGAACCAAAUUAUUCAAGUACAGAAGAACGAGCAAGCUAAAUCAUGUAUAAGAGAUUGGCCUGGUUCGGGAUAGCUUCUUCACUGUACCUGAAGGGUUGGCUCAAUCUCUUCUUUAGAAUUCUGCAGAUUUUGUAAUUACUCGUGUAAGCAAGCAUACAUUGCCACCAUAAGAAUAAUAAAGCUAGAGUAAUGAUAUGACCACCACCUCUUGUGCACAAACAAUAUUGUAUAAACUAAUGCGACAUAAUAUGAUUGGUUAAACAAAAACAUUACAUGGCCCUCAUAAUUUAUUUAUUUAUUAUUAUUAUUAUAUAUUUUCAGUCAACCAAUCAUAUUAUAUUACAUUAGUUUCUAUAAAAUAAUUUGCUAAAUAGCACCAAAACUUAAUUGAUACUCACCAUUUCAUUGAACAAUUUUUUCAUGGUGUCAUUGAGAUUGCCUUCCCAACAUCCUUUAUCAUCAUCUUUUUCUUCUUCGGUGACGUUCACUUUGUUUAGCAUUGGUGUGUCUAAGACUCCUUGAGAGAAGAUCUUCAUUUUUGGACACUGUCUCACAACUACUUGUUUCAAGGACGGGAAUUCAAGAGCGUAAUUACCUAAACAAAAGCUUGUUAGGCUUGGCAAACAAUCAAGUCCCAAGUACUUCAAUUUGUUGAAAACAAUGCAAUCUUUCGAUUCUUCUCCAACCUGCGACUGUAUGAUUUCUUCCAUCAUUUUGCAAUCAGUUAUCUUCAUUCUUCUGAGAUUAACCAGAUUUUUAGAUGCUGAGAGCGUCAACACAUUUAUCAACCCGUGACACUUCGAUACUUUCAAAACCUCAAGGUUUUCCAAAUGCCACGAAGGUGGUACUAAUUUUUGCAACUUACCACAUUCCGAUAUUUUUAGACUUUCCAAAUUUGCAAAUACUUUGUUGGAUUCGGCAUUUUCCUUCCAGAGAUGCUGCAAUUUGUGUAAUCCAGACAACUCUAACCCCCACAAUUGAGGGAAAGCAACCUGAAAAUCAACAAAAUUAAGUUGUAAAUGAAAAUAUGUAUCCAAUCUCUGCAGUCUUCCUCUGCAUAUUUUAUGGACAAGAUUAAUCACGGCAUUUUAUAUUUUAUUUUCCAAAUUAGUAUGCUUUGCAGUAGGAUCCCAAAUAUAAGUAUCAAAUCGAUUACUCUUUGAAACACAUAAAUGAAAUCUGAUGCUAAAUCCAAUAUGAAUUAGCUAGGAAAACAGAGAUGUUACACACAUAAUUAAUAUAGUUCAUCACCUCGUGUUACCAGGCAUCCAAUUAAUUUCUGACAUUUUUAUAAUUCAUACUAUAAAGUUAGUUAAUAACGGAGGUUAUAUUGUUAAAUCAGAUAUAAAUUAAGACGACAUGCAAAAAGAUGAGUCAUUAAAUUUGAUUUGAUUCUAAUGAAAUUACAUCUGUGCGAAUGAAAGUGAAGGGAAAAAUAAUAAUAAUGAUUACCUUUUCAUCGAAGAGAUGUUGUAUUUGAUUAGCUACCAAGAGGUUCUCUUCUGAUUUUAAUUUUUGAGCUUCCUUAUUAUCUGCUGUCAUGUGCAGUACAGAUGUAGAAUUGGAUAUGAAUGUUUCCAUAUCAGGGCAAUUCUCAAUAGUUAGAUAACUCAGCAGUUCAAUUAUAUUCCCAGUGAAGUUGCAGAAUCUUUUGAGUUUUGGAAGAUCAAUGAGCCUUAGGUUGGAAAGCUUAGGAAACAGGGGGCCUAUAUGUUCUUUGUCAGCAUUAAUUAGCUCUUCCAAAUGGAGCACCUCUUCUAGUGAAUCACAAUUCGUCACUGCCAGGCAUUCCAAAUUGUUCAAGCACCGUAGCAGAUUGGCAGGAAUAGCACUCGACAUAUUCGUGCAGUCAUCCACUUCCAGCUUUCUUAAAUUGUUGAAGAAGCUGACAGGCAGUUCUUGGCCAUGCCAUAUUUCUUUCAAACGUGGAAAACGUGAGAGUUGCAAAUACUCUAUAUCACGAAAUCCAAUCUGCACAAACCAAAACAAUUGCACUGGAUAUAUACAAUUUUUUUUUAAAGGCAUUAGAUAUAUAUAUAUAUAUAUAUAUACACACACACACACACACACACAUUAAACUUACAUGUUUUGUGUUUUAACUUCUAAAACUACAUAUACAAGGUAGGUGUAUAUGUUUAAAUGUGCAAGCGUAGGGGAGAUGCAUGAACAAUUUGGGUGAAUCGAUUAACACAGACCAUCUUUUUGUAACAUAUUUUUAAAUGUGCAAGUGCAAGGGAGAUGCAUGAGCAAUUUGGAUGAAUUGAUGAGCACAUACCAUUUCUUUGUAACACUUCUGUAUAGUGGAAUUAAGAUUGCCUUCCCGAUGGUACAAUUCACUGUCUUCCUUUUUACUAACUUGCACUUUGUACAGCUUUGGUGUGGAUAAGAUUCCCUGGGGAAAAGUCUUCAUGUUCGGACAAUGUGUCACCGAAACUCGUUCCAAUGAUGGGAAUUCAAGAGUAUAAUUCUCCAAACAAAAGCUGGUAAGCCUUGGUAAAUAAUCAAGUAUCAAAACUUUUAAUUCGCUGAAAGCAAUACGAUUCUCCUUCACUUCUUCUCCAACAUGUCCUACGAUUUCUUCUAAUUUUUGGCAAUUCGAUACAUUAAGAUUCACCAGACUACUAGGAAUUCCAACCUGAAAAUAAGCAAAAGUGUGUGUAUAUUAAAAAAGUAAAAAUGUAAGAAUAUCAUUCAACUAGCACCACAACAGAAAUGGCUUUUUGCAACAAAAAGAUUUUGUUGCCUAAAGUGCCAAUUUUGUUGCCAUAGGUUAUUGCUACAAAAACAAGCUUGUCGGCCCGGUCGUCGGCCUAGCACUGUCGCCCUCUAUGUUUAACAACAUAUCAAAACAUUUCUCGCCUCAAACUUCCUUUCGCAACAAAACAGAUUCGUUGUGAAGGAGUCUUCAACUUGUUUAGAGAAUAAUUUGGCAACAAACAUUUUUGUUGCGCUAAACAGUUUUACACAACAAACUAAUUUUGUUUCUAUAUAGUUAUUUACUACAAAACUAAUUUGUUGCUAAGAAAUAAAGUACAUUUUAUAAAAAAAACGUGUACCAACAAAGGUGUUUGUUAGCUAAGAUCAUUUUAGGCAACAAAACUACUUUGUUUCUUUAUGUUGAAAAUUUUACAAAUUUGCAAUAAAUAUUUAUAUAUUUUUAGAAACAAAUCAAUUUUGUCAUUAAAAAAUAGUACAAUUUUUUUUUAAUAAUAUCAUGGUAUAAAAGGAAGCAAACCAAGUUCGUUGGGAAAGAUACCAAUUUUUUCCCCCACCAUGACAAUAAUAAACUAGAAAUAUAUGUUGAGAAAUCUAACAAAAAAAUCAUUAAUGUCAUUGAACUAAUUUAAAAGUUAAAGGCCCAUUCAGUAUCCAAGCUAUAUAUAUAUAUAUACAAAACUGACUUUAAGAAUCACAUAUGAUAGUCAAAUACAAAAGUGGAUUGUCAUCUAUCCCAAAAAUGUAAUGAGCAAAAAUUAUAAACGAUCUCUAAUUACAACUACUCCAAACUCCAAAUACUUAAAGAUAUGACAUGCACCAGCAGUAACCAAAAAGAUCAAGUGAUGACCAAUUCAAAAUACUAACAAGUUCAAGAUACUCUAAGGACAUCAUUGAAAUGAGUAAUCAUUGAGUAGCUGAAUCUGUAAAGCAAAAAGUGGAUCCUUGAGAAGAAAAAAAUUGCUGCAUCAUACCCUCAAAUUGGGACAAUCUGGACUCCAAUUGAUCAAUAGUCUUCUUUUGUUCUUGAAGCUCAACAUCUUGUGAAUCCAAUCUACUUUGUUGUGAAGAUAUAAUACCAUGCAAUCUGUCAGCCUCAGAAGUAUCAACACCAUGGUUUGAAGUUGGGCGUGGUCCGUUGCCAAGUCCUCGAAAAUAGCCUGUUUUCUUUCCAAGUACUUCAAUGCAUAUUUCCUUUUGAGUUAGUGGUUUUGCUUCUUGAGGAUCUAUUUGUUGCUGUUGUUGUAUCUCUACCAUUUGGUCCUAUACAUAAAGCUUUGUUAGUAAAUGAAGGAAGAAAAAAAAGAAUUUUAUUAAUUAAAUAGUUGAAAUUUAAUCCAUUGGUCAUGGAAUUAAUUUGUAUUAAGGCAUAAAUUGAAAAAAAAAAAAAAGAAACUUGCUGUUAUACUUAUAAAUCUAAUUAUUUGAUAUUUCAAAUAAUAAAGUUAAUUAGAGCAUGAAAGAAAAAUUAAGAAAAAAAAACUCAAUGAGUAAACUUUCAUCAACAGUAUGUAGGUGAUAAGAAAUAAUAAAAUUAAAAAUUUUGUUUCCAACAAAGCAUCUUACAUGGUUUAAGUGUGCCAUCUCAUUCACCCAACCUUUUGUCUUGCUGAAAUGAUUGACGCGAAAUAAUUCUAUUUCACCAUCAACCAUGUCAUCCUCAAGAUAAUUAACAAAAGGUCUUGAUCCCCCACAAUGGACAUAUGGGAGCUUAGCACGAUUAGCUUUGUUUUUGGUAGAUUGAGUCUACAUUAAAAAAAUAUAACAGUGGAAAAUAAGAUACAUAUACAAGCAUAUUGACAACUAGUUGGACAAUUUAAAGUUCAUAAUAUGAAUAUCAUUGGACCUGGAAACUUGCGGAAUUGUAAAUGUUAUGACAAAGCCAAGCCCAAUCAUCUGGACAUAUGCCUGGAUAUGAAUGCUUAAGUGCCUCUUCAAAGGAUGGAUAAUCCAAGUAAUGAUCAUACAUCCAAUGUCUCAUAUCAUGAUAUCUCCCACCCAUAAUGUUAUUCACACAUCGACGAACAUGUGGUACGUUCAAAUCAAUCUCAAACUUUGACUGAAUUUAGGAAAAAAAAGAUAUCUCAGUUUAUAAUUAAAAAAAAUGACAUAUGAAGAAUAUUAAUAAUCAUAAGUACUUACUAAUAGUCGAUCAAACAAAACCUACCAAUUAAACUCUUUAAAUACCAAAUUCUAGAGUUGUAACAACACCUUGCACAAACUCUUGGCUGGGCAUAACAGGCUAAGAUUGGGGAAUUGUAGAUGCGACAACAAUUUCUGCUCUUACACGUUUGGUAACUCUAUGUCCAGGACCCAUCUAGUAAUUAUUAAAAAUAUACAUUAGAGUUUAUUAAUAAUCAACAUAAAAAUAAAUCAAGAUAACUAUAAUUUUGUCAAAGAAAUUAUAACAUGAAAGAUCCUAUUACUGGGCAUAGAUCCUAAAUUCAUUUGACUAUUGUCCACAAACUCAGGUUCUUCACCAUGAAAAACCCAUGAAAAAUCCAUUAACUUUAAUUUAACAAAUUAAAAAUUGAAACAAAGACCCACUUAAUAAAUAAUUAAAGCAAAACCCACUAAACAAAAUCAAACUCAACAGGCCAAUAUAUAAAAUAAAACUAAAUUUACUUGAAGAAAUCGUUGUCUUGAGUGGUGCCUUCCAAGUACAACUCUUCAAUGGCUUAAAGCUUGGGCAGAGAGAAUGACUCCAAGGCAGGGCAAAAGAAACAAGCGAAGAGUAAAGUGGAAAUAUUCUAGAAGCAAUAUUUUAAUUAAGAAAAAAUUGGAGAUGGAAACUUUACUUCGGUUAGCACGCGGUUUAUUAAAUAAAGGGCGCGGAAAUAAAAAAUUAAAAAGCCUCCCACAAAGUCAUGUUUGCUUUUAUAUUAUCUUUAUAUUUUCAUUUAUUAAUUUAAUAUUUUUGUUAACCUUUGCGCAACAAAAUUAAUCUCGUUGCAAAAAACUCUGAGAGUACAAAACAAAUUUUCUCGCUAAUCACAACCUUUUGCAAUAUUUCAUUUGUUGCAACUGAUUUAAGUGUUUGUUGUGGAAAAACUUGAGCAACGAAACAUAUUUUGCCUUCAUUAAGCUUGUUAGGCAACAAGAACACUUUUGUUGCCAAACAUAGCGUAGGGCAAGAAAAUAUUUUGUUGCCAUAUAUUCUAAUUUUCUUGCCUAUUCCACAUCAUUAAGAAGAAUAAAAUCUGUUUAGCUAUAGCGAUAAAGACUAAUUUUUGUUGCAAGAUAUGAAUUUUAGCAAUAAAGUAAGUUUUGUUGCAAUAGAAUUUGUAGCCAAUACUCUAUUUUCUUGUGGUGUAGGUUCAAAGUAUGUUUAAUCAUACAAUUAUACGUUUUAUAAACAUAACAAACCAUGAAAUGUCUACUAGAUAAUUUUUUGUUAAACAAAAAAAGCAACAAGAUAAAUAAAUAAAUAAAAGCCAGAUAAACAAAGAUAAUAAAAAUGCAUUUACACUAUUUACUAUUAGGAAUGUAGAAAGAAUUUAAGGCAAUUUCUAAAUAUUUUAGACUUAUUUUGCAUCUUGAUAUCAGUUUUUAAGCAUAAAUUUGCAAAUUUCAACUAUUCCUUUUGGGGAAAAAAAAAUCAACCAAAAUGCCGCUUUUUCCCUUUUCCUUGGUCCCUUUUUUUUAUGUACAUUUAAAAAUGGGAAAAAAAAUUGGAAAAGACUUCCCAAUAUUGUCAACAAGGGACUGCUGCUGUAAAGUGGAUCUUUAUUAAGUACUUCCAGACUCAAGGAAAUUUCUUUACAAUCACGGGUCAGUUGUAAAUAAUCAUCAAUUUGUGGUUAAUUAAUGGCAUAAUCAAUUCGUAACUAAACAAGAGAUAUUAAUUAAAUUUGAAGACUUUUAUUUUCUUUUUUUUCUUUUUCCAAUCGAAAUGUGAAGAAUUAAGGAAAAGAGAAAUAUAUAGAUGAAUUUAUGAACCUAUAAGAUGAGUGACUAUCCUUUAAUUUUUGAAAAUCGUACUUUUUAAGAUAUGAGCAAAAACUAUUUAAUUGAAUUAUAUUAUGCUGUUGAAUCGUGUUUGAAAAAUUUAUAUUGUUAAUUCUAAUGCUGACGAACCUAAAAACCGGACUUAAAACGUAGAUUUCAGGGUGGUGGUUCGAAGUACGAUACUUGAAAUAAAUAAUCAGUGGCUGAAUAUCAUUUGUAAACAAAAAAUGGUUAAAAUAUUGUUGGAUGUAAUUUGAAAAAAAAAAAAAAGAUUCGAAAUGAAUACAGCGAACUUACCAAUGGAGGAAAAAUAUUCUUUAGGUUAUCACACCAAUUUAUCUCCAAAUUCUUCAAUUUGCUGAAAGACUCCGAAGCAAGCUGGUGGUGCCAUAUUCUUCUCAAAUUAUCCAUCCUCCCAAUAUCUAAUACCUCCAACCUAGGAAGUCGUACCUGGCAGUUAAAGAUUAAAUAACUAAUUGAUCAAUUAAUGGCAUAAUCAAUUGAUAACUAAAUUAGAGGCGGAUAUUAACUAAUUUUGAAGACUCAAGGAAAAGAAAAAUUAAGUAUUGUGACUAAAAUUAAUUUUUUUUAUUAAAAAAAAAACUUUUCGUCAAAGAGAGGAGGAGGUUGCAUUUCAGAAUGAUUGGUGUCUUCUGGUGAGCUCGUAGAGAUGAAUCUUAACAUAUUUCUGCAACCACGAAACUUGAGGUUUAGCAAAGAAGGGAAUUCAACAACUGAAUCUGAAUGAAUAUGUCCCGUAUUGGCAAAGCUUGUUAGUUUAUAAAGCCCAUAGAGCUGUAGGGAGUGUAGUUUAGGAAAAACCUUUAAUUCAAUCAACUUUCCUUCAUCUCUUUCUGACCACCCCGUGGUGUCGACUACCCUUUCCAUUGACCAACAAGUGGUUAUCUCAAGAUGUUGGAGUUUCGCAAGACUAUUAACCAUAGAAUAUGAAAACAGAUACUUCAUACGAUGACAACUGACCACGUGCAGCUUUGUUAGAUUUUGAUAACAGUACAUUCCUUGAUUAUGAUCGGCCCAUAAUUUUUUCAUGUUUCUUAAGUCCCUGAGAUUCAAUUCCUCUAAGCUCGGAAGAAUAACCUGCAAAGAAAACCCGUACAUUUUUGUUCCUUCAAGUACAACCGUCUAGUAUAAUAUUUUUUUGAUGAUCGAAGAUUAAUGGUGAUAAUAAAUUAAUCAAUUAAUUAUUGAACAGAAAAUUAUCACCUUUGGAGCAGUAUCAUCAUCAGCAAUGAUUUCGUUGAAUCCCAAAGAAGUUGUUGGUUUCUCCCUGUCGGGUCCUAUAAACAAACAAAAACAAUAUAUACAUAAUUAAUCUUUGUUUUUUUUUGGUCCAAAAUAAUUGAGGAGAAGUCCAUAAUCACACCAACACUUACCAACAAUCAUUUCCAGAUCAUCGCAAGAAGCCACUUCUACCUUUUGAAGCUGCAGUAGGUUUUUGGCUAUGGAGAAUGAGAAAAGAUGCUUCAAUUCGCGACAGGAUUUUACUUCGAUAAUCCUUAAGUUGCUGAAAGAUUGAUCUUCUGUGAGUUGGCUGUCACAUAUUGUCUCCAAAUUAUUCAAAUAGCUAAGAGACAAUGACUCCAGCAAGGGAAAGACUGUCCAAUGAACCCGUCCAACUGAACCAACAAUAUGCGAAAUAUCAUAACAAUAUUCUACACGAAGAUGCUUCAAUCGUGGAAAACCUUCCCCAUCAUCUAAUUCAUGAACAACAUUCUGAACACCCUUCAGUUCGAUUAGAUGGAUCUCUUCAGUUAACUUCAGCAACAUUUUCGUCCCAUAAUUCUCCCAAAGAGUGCUAACAUUUUCUAACCCAUGGAGCUCCACCAAUCUUGAUGUUUCAGAAUUAACGCGCCACCACGCUUCUCCUAUACAUAUCUUAUAUCUUUGCAAUUCCACAGGGACCCAAUCCUGCGGCAGAAUUUGGGCAUCCCGAACGUGUAUCUCCAAGGUACUUAGCUUUGACAACCCCUUCAAUUCAGCAAGACUGGCGUUACUUCCUCCUUCAACCUUAUCCCACUGCGAAAAACUGUCACCCAUAUAUAGUUCUUCCAAUCGAGAAAAAUUUGAUAUGACAUUUGGUGCUAUCACUACAAGGCUCCUACAAUGUUGGGUGCAAGCGGAAGUGCAGAAAAAUUUUUAUUUAAGAACAGAGUAUUUUGCUGGAAAUUUCUGAAACUUUAUUGCUUAAUUCAUUUUUUUCGUUUCUCUCUUCCUUUUCAUACAACCAGAGUUCUAUAUUUAUAUGCAUUAUAGACAACUCUAGAGAUUACAUUAAUCAUGCUUUACAUUUCCAAAGCUACAUUGCAAACAUCAAUUCUACCCUUUACUUCAUGUUGAAAAACAAACCAAAUAACCCUUCAAACUUCUUGCUCAAUUUACUAGAUUAUUAAUUAUAUCUCAACACCCCCUCUUAAUUAGUAAUCUUCAAUUGCUUCUUGAAUUUUUCAAACUUCUCAAUGUUGAUUGCUUUGGUCAGAAAAUCUGCUGGCUGCUCAUUAGUGCUGAUAAACUCCAUAUUAACUUCUCCUUUGUUUACUAAGUCACGGAUGUAGUGAUAACGCAGCUCAAUGUGCUUAGAUUUAGCAUGAAAUACGGGGUUCUUUGUUAGAGCAAUGGCUGACAUGUUGUCACAAUAAAUUGUUGUUGCAGCAUCUUGAUUGAAUUGCAAAUCCUUGAGAAUUCUUCUAAGCCAAACGGCUUCACAAGCUGAUUCAGUUGCUGCAAUGUACUCUGCCUCGGCUGAGGAUAAAGCUACUGACUUCUGCUUCCUUGAGCUCCAUGAAAUCACAUUUGUACCAAGACAAAAUAAAUAACCUGAUGUGCUUUUUCUGUUAUCAAGGGAACCAGCCCAGUCACUGUCAGUAAAACCAACAAGCUUGCAAUUGUCUUCUUUUUCAUACAUGAUCCCCUGCUUUUUUGUUCCUUGAAGAUACCUUAAGAUUCUCUUUGCUGCAAUAUAAUGGGACUUCCUUGGAUCAUUCAUAAAUCUAGAAAGAACACUAACUGAGUGCAAAAUGUCAGGUCUUGAGUUGGUUAGAUAAAUCAAUGAACCAACCAAGCUUCUAUAGAUUCUUGCGUCAGCCUUUUCUUCUUUUUCAUCAUGUUUCAAUUUUUCAUUCAAACCCAUAGGAGUAGGUGCUGGUUUGCAUUUGAACAUGUGGAAUUUCUUCAACAAAUCUUCUACGUAUUUUUCUUGACAAAAGAAGAUUUUACCUCUGGCUUGCUUCACUUGAAUGCCAAGAAAAUACAUCAUUAAGCCCAAGUCAGUCAUCUCAAAUUCAUCUAGCAUGCUUUUUUUAAACUCUUCCACCAUUUUCAGAUUAGUGCCACAAUAAAUUAGAUCAUCAACAUAAAGGCAAACAAUAAGGAAAUCAGUACCUUCCUUUUUGACAUAAAGAGAAGGUUCACUUGAGCUUCUGUCAAAUCCAUUUUUAACAAAAUAUCUAUCAAUUCUACUAUUCCACGCUCGAGGGGCUUGCUUCAAGCCAUACAAGGCUUUUCGGAGUCGAUAAACUUUGUUUUCUUCACCUUUUACUUCAUAUCCUUUAGGCUGCUCAACAUAAACCUCUUCUUCAAUUUCACCAUUUAGAAAUGCCGAUUUUACAUCUAGCUGAAACACAUUUAAUUCCAUUUGGGCUGCCAAGGCAAGAACAGUUCGAAUAGUCUCCAUUCGAGCUACGGGAGCAAACGUUUCUGUAAAAUCAACUCCAGGCAGCUGAGAGUAUCCUUUGGCAACGAGCCGCGCCUUAUAUUUUUGAACUGAACCAUCUUCAUUGUACUUGAUUUUGAAGAUCCAUUUCAGCCCAAUUGUUUCUUUUCCAUUUGGCAAAUUAACCAUCUCCCAAGUUUUAUUUUUCACAAUGGUGGCCAUUUCCUCGUUCAUUGCUUUGAUCCAAUCUUCAUUUCUUGAGGCCUCCUCAAAGUCUUGAGGCUCACAAGAAAAUAAAGCAAGUUCACAUGACUCAUAAAUUUCUCUCAUUGACUUUAUCUUCCUUGGAGGGCUUUCAUCAUCCGAAGAAACUUUCUGCUGCUGAAUUUNNNNNNNNNNNNNNNNNNNNNNNNNNNNNNNNNNNNNNNNNNNNNNNNNNNNNNNNNNNNNNNNNNNNNNNNNNNNNNNNNNNNNNNNNNNNNNNNNNNNNNNNNNNNNNNNNNNNNNNNNNNNNNNNNNNNNNNNNNNNNNNNNNNNNNNNNNNNNNNNNNNNNNNNNNNNNNNNNNNNNNNNNNNNNNNNNNNNNNNNNNNNNNNNNNNNNNNNNNNNNNNNNNNNNNNNNNNNNNNNNNNNNNNNNNNNNNNNNNNNNNNNNNNNNNNNNNNNNNNNNNNNNNNNNNNNNNNNNNNNNNNNNNNNNNNNNNNNNNNNNNNNNNNNNNNNNNNNNNNNNNNNNNNNNNNNNNNNNNNNNNNNNNNNNNNNNNNNNNNNNNNNNNNNNNNNNNNNNNNNNNNNNNNNNNNNNNNNNNNNNNNNNNNNNNNNNNNNNNNNNNNNNNNNNNNNNNNNNNNNNNNNNNNNNNNNNNNNNNNNNNNNNNNNNNNNNNNNNNNNNNNNNNNNNNNNNNNNNNNNNNNNNNNNNNNNNNNNNNNNNNNNNNNNNNNNNNNNNNNNNNNNNNNNNNNNNNNNNNNNNNNNNNNNNNNNNNNNNNNNNNNNNNNNNNNNNNNNNNNNNNNNNNNNNNNNNNNNNNNNNNNNNNNNNNNNNNNNNNNNNNNNNNNNNNNNNNNNNNNNNNNNNNNNNNNNNNNNNNNNNNNNNNNNNNNNNNNNNNNNNNNNNNNNNNNNNNNNNNNNNNNNNNNNNNNNNNNNNNNNNNNNNNNNNNNNNNNNNNNNNNNNNNNNNNNNNNNNNNNNNNNNNNNNNNNNNNNNNNNNNNNNNNNNNNNNNNNNNNNNNNNNNNNNNNNNNNNNNNNNNNNNNNNNNNNNNNNNNNNNNNNNNNNNNNNNNNNNNNNNNNNNNNNNNNNNNNNNNNNNNNNNNNNNNNNNNNNNNNNNNNNNNNNNNNNNNNNNNNNNNNNNNNNNNNNNNNNNNNNNNNNNNNNNNNNNNNNNNNNNNNNNNNNNNNNNNNNNNNNNNNNNNNNNNNNNNNNNNNNNNNNNNNNNNNNNNNNNNNNNNNNNNNNNNNNNNNNNNNNNNNNNNNNNNNNNNNNNNNNNNNNNNNNNNNNNNNNNNNNNNNNNNNNNNNNNNNNNNNNNAACUUGAUGGUGACUGCCUUUUCGGACCUUGAAAUUCUUGUUUUAGGAUUUCCCAAGCAUUUUUGGCCUUUUUGACACCAAAUAUUCUGGGGAAAAUUGACUUACUAACACCUUGCUGGAUAUAUCGAAGUGCCGUGGCAUUUCUCUGUAUGUUUUCUUUGUACUGCUGUUGAUGUGCUGGAGUCCAAUCUGAAGAACUUGCUGAUUCUGGUGGUUCAGCAUAUCCAUCUUCAACAACAAGGUGUUGGGUGCAAGCGGAAGUGCAGAAAAAUUUUUAUUUAAGAACAGAGUAUUUUGCUGGAAAUUUUUAUUUACAAUUGCUCAAAUCUAGCAAUUGUAACCCCGUCAAUUGUCCAAUUUCAAGUGGUAACUGCUUAAUGUCGGAAUAUCGAAAGCUAAGAAUCUCCAAUUUCUUUAGUUGUCCAAUUGCCGCUACAUCUUCUAGUUGGCACCAGUCUAAACACAAUGUUUGAAGGUUAAUGAGGCGACCGAGUGACGAAGGUAAUGAAGAGAAAGGAAUUCUAGUAAGACUUAAAACUUUGAGUUCUUCUGUCCCUUCAAAAAAGAGAUCUGAAAUUUGCAUAGGGCCAUUACCCUUUCUAAACAACAAAAAUAACUGGAGAUUGGGACAUUGCAACCUUUCAGGGAGCUCUUGAAUAUUUCUCUGGGGUAAUGAAAUGGCAAUU
rnacentral:lncRNA from 1 species